GCCUGCUUGUUCGCAUAGAUUUUAACGACAUGAACAUUGUGGUAAGGUUAGAGAGUAAUGCGAAUGUAGGAGCUUAUAUUAGAAAUGACACAAACACGUAAAUAGAAGUAAUCUAUAUAUGAUAUUACUCAUGGACUACAAGCAAAGAAGUACAAUACAUGGAGUAAGUGAUGAAAUGAGCAUUCCUCACUACUACUGCUUGACUGAUGGAACAUGAUGCACGAGAUAGCAUAAGUAGUAGUAGGAAGCAGCUCUUAUUUGUGGCGUCGGUAUACAUCAUACUAGGUAGAUGGUUCAAUUGGCAUGGAUGGGUGGUGGAGCCUUGAAGUGCUUGUGAUGGGGAGCCCACGGCUUCUUCUCAGGAGUUGGUGGCUUCUUGUAUGGAGUUGAUGGAGGUGUUUCUACUGGAGGGUGGCCAGGGUAGUGACCCUGGGGUGGUGAAGGUUCUUUUGUCGGUGGUGGCCUCACUAUUAUUGGCGGUAGAGUUGGUGGCUUGGGCGUUGGCGGUGGUCUCACUACUCUUGGGGGUAGAGUUGGUGUCUUGUGUUUUGGUGGUGGAGGUGGCUUAACAGGAGUUGGUGGCUUGUAUUCUGGGGGUGGUUUCUCCACCGGAGGUGGCUUAUAAACUGGAGUUGGUGGCUUGUAUUCUGGGGGUGGCUUCUCCACUGGUGGUGGCCUGUAAACAGGGGUUGGUGGCUUAUAUUCUGGGGGAGGCUUCUCCACUGGAGGCGACUUAUAAACAGGGGUUGGUGGCUUGUAUUCCGGGGGUGGCUUCUCUACGGGAGGUGGCCUGUAAACAGGGGUUGGUGGCUUCUCCACCGGAGGUGGCUUAUAAACGGGGGUUGGUGGCUUGUAUUCUGGGGGUGGUUUCCCCAGUGGUGGAGACUUGUAAACAGGAAGAGGUGGUUUGUGCUCAUAUGGGGGUGGCUUGUGGUCAUUAGCAAGUGAGGGAGUGGUGAGGACCACCAAUCCAAGGAACAACACGAGUGAGCAAGCAGAAGACAUGUUUGGGCUCUGGUGAUGCACAAGUAGAAGAAAUGGGAACCAUUUAUAAUGCUUCGAGACCUUGGUUAGCACCAAAAUAUGUCAAAAUCUUGAUUACUUCAUUUCAUACAUAGAUUUAAAAUUAUUUCAAUCAACCAUGAUCCUUAAUUUUCUGGGUGGUCCAUAAAUGUAAUGGGGUCAAUUUGGGACCUAACAAGCUGAGAAGUUUGACAAUGCUGCAAGGCUUCAUCCGAAAGUCCGGGGAAGAAUAUUAGGAGUUACACUCCGUUUCCUUUUUUGGGUGCAUUUUUCUCCUUUAACAUUCUAUUCCCUUUUACAUUAGCAUUUGAUCUUAGCUCAUUUCAAGUACAAGUUUCUUGAACCCUAUACCAUUGUCAAAGUUGAGUAACCAUCUCUACUUUGCUCAAGAAACAUAAAAGACAAUGACAAUAAAGAAAAAGGAGAGAGACCAUACGUGACUUGGUUUAUAGGUGGCUUUGUGUUGACAUUUGAGUAUGGAAGCCGACAUGCAUCUUAGCUUCGAUUUUAAUUAAAUUUGUACAUUAGUGUCUGUGUCAUUCAUUUUGGUAUAAAAGGUCUCUUGAUUUCGUAAGUUUGGUAAGAACCGUUGAAAAUAGCAGUAGCAGCACAUGGUCCACUUUCUUUCACAAAAUAAUUUUAAAAGUUUAGAAGCAUAGGAGGUAACAUUAGUGGCCUUGUGGCUCAGCCACGAGUACUAUGUGGUGCUCGAGAAAUUGAGUUUAAUUUCCUUCCGAUAGUUCAUGAUAAGGUCCGUCACUGUCCUGAGACAGAUUGCGUUUUUUCUUUUUUCCUUUUUUAGUGUUUUAUUGACUAGCUAGGUGUGACUUUUCCUACUUUAAGGCACGAGGCAGAAAAGAAACUGGGAUUUAGUGCUUAAGAAGGCAAAUUUAAUUCGAUUUGGAUCUAAAAUUUGCCAGCAACAUGAGAUUUUCCAGCCUAUCGUUGCUCCACAUAUAGACAAGGCACUUGUAGAAGUGGCUUGUUUGUAGCCAUUCCCGAUAUUUGGACUCACUUGAUUCACCGGACACUUUGAUAAAAUUUAAUAUUUAUUAUUUAAUAAUUUAAAUUGAUUUAAAAUUAAAUUAUACCGAAGUUGUGAUUUAAAAAUUAUUAUUUAAUUCUUACUUUUAAAUAUGAAGAUUAUUUGAUAAAAAUAAUUUAAAAUUUAUUAUAAAUUAUCAAAUUAACAUAUUUAUCCUUAUAAAUUAUAAUUAAAACAGAAAAGGUCAAAUGAUUUGAGUAUCCAUAGAUGUGGUAAAAUAAUAAAAAAGAUUAUAAAAACAAUUAUGAUAAAUAAAGAUAAAAAGUAAAAUGAAUAUGUGAAUUUAAAGAAUAAAUUAAUUAUUUUUAUUUAUUACUUAAAAUUAUUUUUGACUUUAAAUUAUAUUAUUAAAUUAUUUUACCAAACAUACUUAAUUUAGUUAAUAAUUUAAAUUUAAUUUAAGUUAUUAAAUUGAUUCACCAAAUACCCACUUAAUCAAAGACUGAAGUAUACAUUAUUUGGCCAAAUGCAGCUAUUGAAAUUUAACUUUUUCCAAACUUAUUCAUUUUGUGGAAAUAUUUUUAGAAAUGAUUUUAAAAAUGCACUAUUCUGUGUGUUGAUUUUAUAUUUUGGCAUUAAUCCAACAUAGAAAACGGUUCUUAUUUUCGCUGUUAAAUAGGUACCAGAUCCUUAAUUAGUGCCGUGAAUCCGGCAGCUUCCAAUGAGUAAUUUGGACUUGGGUAUUGACAAUGUGUGGCCAUGCUUCUACUAUUUUAUUAUUCUUGAAACAUAUAUGAUAUAUUGGACUUUAUACAGGGAAAAAAAAAAAAAAAAGUCUUCACCAAAAAUGAUUCCUCCUAAAAAAUAGACUCCACAAACUAGGUUUAACAGGAAAAUGAUUCUAAUCUAGUAGUUUCCAGCCACAUGAGCAUUUACGUAACAAUAGUAUAGUUGAUAACGACUUUUAUUUUAUUUAUUUUUAAAUAGUUAAAGGGAUAAUUUUUGAGCUUAAAUUUUAUUUUUUUAUUUAGAAACAUUUUACUUUAUUUUUUAAUCAUAAUUCUAUUAUAUUAAUGUUUUAUUUUCUAUUUUUUAAUAUAUAAGGAGAUACUAAAUUUAUGUGAUUAUUUUUUAAAAAUUUAGUAUAUGAAAUUAAAUAAUUGGAUAUAUAUACAUAUAUCAUAUAAUGUUUUUUAAGUGUGAUUUUUGAACUUUUUAGUCAUUUUAUAAGUUUAAGCUUUUGAUUUUUUUUUUUAAACUUUGGUAUUUUUUAUUUUAUAUAAAACUAUUUUGAUUUAAUUUUAUUAAAAAAUAUUGGUAUUAUAAAUUAUUGUAUUAAUUAUUUUUUUAUAUUAUAAUGUAACUGGUAUAUACUAAAAAAUGUAUGCAAGUUCAAUUUAAGUUUCAAAUUAAAAAAUUUCAUUUAAAUAUUUAAUAACUUGUUCAUAAUAAAAAAUUAAACAACAUAAUACAAAUGAAAAGAAACAUAAAAGAAAAAGGAAAAAAUGGUCCUCUCUGUGUGUCACAUUACUAGGUCAUCCUCUUUUUCUAUGACCCUUACAAUAGAAUGGCAUAUUUGUCAAAUCUACUUAUGAAAGUUGGAAUGUUUCUACAUGUGUAGGGUCCAUUGGAACUAAUGGAGGAAAGGCUUAACGUCUAUGUAAAUCACAACGUUGCCUAGGUGGGCAUAGAUCUAGUUGUGUAACAUGAGAUGGUGUGAGAGUACAAUAUAUGCAUUGUAGUCUCUAUGGGAAGAGAGAUAGGUAAUGGUAGGGUGGUAGACGGUAGGGUGAUCUCUAAUAUAAUGACAUUUGAUGUGGUGGCUUCUAAGAGAGGAGAUAUAAGAGAUGGUAGAAUGACAUUUGGUGUAAUGGUCUCUAGUGCAAUGACAUGUGAUAUGGUGACCUAUAAAGAAGAGAUAUAGGUGAUGGUGAAGUGGUAUGUGGUGUAGUGACCUUUGAGAUAGAAAAUAGAGGUAAUGGUAGGUUGGCAGGUGGAGUGGUCUUUGGUGUAGUGACAUCAAUUAUAAAUGUCUCCAAGGGAGGAAAUAAAGGUGAUGGUAGGUAGUAAAUGUUGAGGUGGUCUUUGAUAUGUUAUGCUCUAAGAGAGAAGGUAUAGGUAAUGAUAAUAGGGAAUUUGACAUAGUGGUGUUGGAAAUAAAAAGUGAAAGUGACCGUAGAGGUGAAAGGGCAAGUGUAAAAGCCUCAAGUACGAAUGGAGUAAUUAAUGUGGAUGGUGCUAACAUAGUCUUAGGUGGAUACACAAAUAGUCAUAGUCAUCAACUAGCUUGCCCACCAUCUGUCUUUCUGCUAGUGAUAGGUUACAUCUUAAUAGUAAUGGCCAACAUAAGUGGUGUGGAUCCGAUUUUUUUACGUGUGUCCCCACUCAAUCGACAAGACUUAUUUUUUAUUAGUGAAAAAUUAAUUUUGGAAAAGUUGGAGUCACCACUUAUUUUAUUUUAUUUUAAAAAGGAAAGUAAAACAAGAAAGAGAACUCUAAAGAAGUGACUUCAUAGUUUUGGAAAAGUUAGUCUUAAAAAAUCCAAGUCUUGGUCCGGAGAUCAGGUUACUUAUUGGGAAGAUACCUCUAAGAGGUAAUACCCCUCUAAACCCUAAAGAAGUCUCUAAUGACUAAGUUGAGGAGAAUGUGGUAAUUAAUUAAUUGAUUGAGGGUACCUAGGUAGACUAAGGUGAUUUCAGAAUUAACAUACCAAGCUAGAAAGUCCAAUCAUGAUCAUAAAAGAGAGUCAAAGUAUGUACCUGAACUGCUUCUCAAACGCUAUCAUAAAACAUCAAAGUUAGUAUAGAAAUAUAACACAUAAUAUUUGUUUUAUCCAAGCAAAUAAAGCAUACAUCUAAGCACCCAAGAAUCACAUCAAGUAUGGAUAUAGUCAUCAAUAGCAUACGUGUCCAUAGAACUAUCGAAAGUAAAUGUGGAGGAGCGUAUCUGGACAACAUAGAUAACUUAUAAUGUGCUUCCACAAGACAUGGGGGUUAGAUAAAAGUUAUAAUAAUAAUUAGUAAAUGAAAGAAUUCUAGCAUGUUUGGUAUCUAAAUAACAUAGCAAAAAUGAACAAGAGUACACGAAAACAUCAAUUAUCACACGAGUCAUAUUGGCUAGUAUUUAAUCAAUAAACCAACAAUAAAUGACUAUAAACAUAUAAAAUGACAUAUUCAAAGAGACCCAAACAUAAAGAGCCUAGAACACAAGCUUACACUAAAUUUAGAAAACUAAAACAUGGAAUUUUAAAAGCAUAAAUUAGCAAACAAAUUGAUGGAAACUAAAUUUAGAUAACUUAAGAAUAUUUUUCUUAUCCUUCAAUUUAAAUCAGUAAGCCAACAAUAAAAAAUUAUAGAAACAUGGAAUAUCAAGAUCAAUGGGAUACCUAAACUAUAAUUUUUAAAAGAAAAUAAACUAAGCAUAAUAUCUACAAAGCAACUAAACUAACAUUUUUUUAAAAAUAAAUUAAACAUGACAUUAAUGGAGUAACCAAACUAAAUUAAAGUAAACUAAAAACAUUUAUGAAUUUUCAAACAUGGAAUCAGCUUUCUUAGUAAAUUAAAAUUAUUAAAAUAAAAUCUAAGCUUAAAAAUGAAUUAAAUACUAACUAAAGCAAAUCUAAAACCAAAUAUUUAACACAUAGGAUCAAUUAUAUUAACAAACUAAAAUUUUAUAAGAACACUUAAACCUAAAGUUGAAUUAAAAACUAACCAAUUUUUAAAACUAGAUCUUUAACCCAUAGGAUCAAUUAUAUUAACAAAUAAAUAAUAAAUAAUAAAUAAAUAAAACUCAAACCUAAAGAUGAACUAGAAAUGUACCAAAGUAAAUUCAAAACAAGAUCUUUAACACAUUAGAUCAAUUAUAUUGACUAACUAAAAAAAAAAAAAAAAAACACUCAAACCUGAAACGAUGUAUUAGAAACUAACCAAAGCAAAUUUAAAAUAGAGUCUUUAACACAUAGGAUCAAUUAUAAUCACUAACUUAAAUUACAAUUUUUGAAACAUGAACUAAUUAGUGUUGGAUUAAUUAAACUAAUUAACUAAAAAAAACUAUAAACUAGAAUACGGUGAAUCAAGAAUUCAAAUCAACAAACAUAAAAUAUGGGUACAAUGAAAUGAAAAUCUAUUAAACUAAUAAGACGGAAAUAUGACAAACUCAUGAACCCACAUUUUGAUCAACUAGGAAAUAGAAAUUAAUAGACCUGUAGCAUGGAUACAAUGAAAUGAGAUCAGUUAAAUUUAUUUGCCGAAAUUCUAAAAAACACAUACACUCAAAUAAGAUCUAAAUCUAAGACCAAGCAAAACUCAAACUUUCUCAAUCUAAUGCAAUGAAUCAAAACUAAAAUUAAAUAGAAAUCAAACCAUUUUUUUUUUAUCUAAUAUAAUAAAUCAAAGCUAAAACUAAACAAAAUCGAAUUUUCUUAAUUUAAUAUGAUGAGUCAAAGCUAAAAUUGAACAAAGUUCAAACCUUUAUAUAAUGGAUCAAAGUUAAAUCUAAAUGAAAUCCAUACUUCCACAAUUUGAUAUAACAAAUCAAAAAUAAAACUAGAUAAAAAAAAAGUCAAAGCCUUUCAACUUGACAUAGUGAAUCCAAACUGAAACGAAACAAAAUUUUAACUUUUCCAAUGAAACCCAAUAUAGAAAAAAUUAGCUUACCUUCUUUAGAAUAUAUGUAUGGGCCAUAAAGAAGUCACCUUGGUGCAUGUGUUCCUCACUUUGACGCCAAUGGACGACUUUCUAUGGUAGCAAAUGGAGAUCCUUUUUGGUGGUAACUUGCGUGUGGAAACCUAUGGUACAACCAAUGUCAUCUUUUAUUGUGCGUGUGGACCAAUUUCUUCUCGAGAACUCAUGUGUGUUGUGCUCAAAAUAUGUUGCCUGUGAGAAUCUAUUGGUAUACCCCACAUAUGGUUUCCUUGAGAGAAUCUGUGGUUGUGUGUGGGCGUUUUCUUCAUGACAGCAUGUGGAUGUUCCCAUCUAUGGUAGAUUGGUUGUGAUGCUUUAGUGCAUGGUCUCCAUAGGAAUAGUGUGUUAUGGAAAUUUGGUUUUUUUAUUGGUGCAUGUUGUCUAGACUUUCCCAUAUGCGUGGACUGUGUGUUCAUGCUUUUCUUUUCGGAUGGUCGCCUGUGUUAAUGUGUGGCGGUGUCUACAAUGAAAGAUACAACCCUUUCUCUCCUUCUGCGUGAUAGAAAAGUCAAUCCCCCAUGGUGCGACUAUGUUCCCUCGUCCUUUUUGAAAAAUUUUGGUGUUUUCCCCCCAAAAAAUCCCCUCCAAAAAUCUAAUUAUAAAUGUCUGCUUUGGCCUAAUGUGUGUGCUACUUUUUUUUUCCUUCUUUUUAUGGUUGUGCGUGCUUUUCUUGAUACGUGGCUUAUUUCUUAAGGAUAUGAUUCGCUCCCAAUUGGUGUCUCAGCUGAUUCAUGUCCUUUCAAUGGUCCCUGACAGUGGUGCCAUUUGAUUCGUGUCCAGCUGGUGUCCCUUGAUUGUGGUCCUCAGAAGGGAGUAAUCAAUAAAAUUUAUAACCUAUUACACCAUGUAUUAGGAUAGCCUUAGCUAGCAUAGCAUAGUGGCUCUAGGGUCGUUUAUUGGGAUGAGUUUUCACUUCACAAUUGAUAUUAAUUCAAGAGCUGAAUUGGUGCCUUUUCAUUUCAAGGUUAGCUUUAAAAGAAAACAUAAUCUUUGGUGGAAAAAGGUUUGGUUUUAAACUAACCAAAAAUAGUAACUGAUUUUACUUACAAAGAAAAGUGUUCUUUGGAGUUUAGAUCACUAGGCUCAGGUUCCUCAUACAAAAAGGAGAGUUCCGAUCAUUUGUUUCUUUUCCUCGCAUUAGAGAAUUAACAUAUAGUUAAUUCUCUAACCGGUGCGGUACAUAUGCUUCCCAUUAAUGGGUUCAAACACUAAAUACCUCUCACUGAUGCACCUUGCAAUGGCUCGUGCCUCUCACCUAGCAUUUAUCAUUCAAGGUGAUCUUUAACCUUGGAUUACCCAUCAAAAGCUCGCAAGAGAUAACUAAAGGAUGUCUCCUUAGAGUCCAAAAGCUUACCAAGUGUUGGUUAUUCUAGAAAAUCCUACCUUCAAACCACCUCCCAAAGGCUCGCAAGAGAUAAACAAGUGCAUCUCAAUGGAUGAAGAUCACUUGCCUUACCAAGUUUUGGCCCAGAUGAUUUAAUGACAUUUUAAGUUAACUAAAAAGAUAAAAACCAUUAACGGGUCACACUUUCUCUUCAUUAAAAACUAAAACAACAAAACUUCCAAUUUAUGCAUGAGGAAACUUACCUGGCUUUCUUCACUUCAAGAGAUGAAGAGCCUAGCCACUCAUCAUUUGAGGAAAAAUCCUCAGAGUUUGAUUUGCUAGAAAUAAAAAUAAUGAGAAAACAAAAAUAUAUAUAUGAAAAACAGAGCAAGUUCUCUGUAAUAUAUUUUUCUUCCUUAUACAAAAGGUUGUCUCUAAGAACAAGUUCCCGAGAUCUAUCUGAUUGUAAAUAAAAUUACAACUAUAUAUAAGAGGUUAUUCACCCCUUUGUUCUUUCUUAAAGACUAAGGAAUCCUAUGAUAGGUGGGUUACAAGGAGAGUUUGGGGAUUUAGACAUCAAAUAUCUAAAGCAAAAUAUCUCAAGAUGUUAGUCGGAAAUAUCAGGAAGCUUCAGGAGAACACCGCGACACUGUAUACUGAGAGAAAAACUCUCCGGGUAAGCUCUAUCAAAGGAUCCAGACAUGUCUGACUGGGAAAGUUGAAACGUCCUUCUCUCCCAUCCGGAUGUGAGAUAUCCGGAGAAAGUGAAAUGUCGGUCGGACAGAAUUCUUUCCCCGGGUGGAAUGAGUUGUGUUGCGCGUCGCAAGGGGGACCGUCUGCGUGUACAAGUUGUAGGGACCCCUCUCCCGGAUGACACCGAGCGCGUAAGGCUAUCCGGAUCAACUCCAUUCGGAUUCCCCAAGAGGACAUGUGGCGUGCUCCCCUAUCAGGACUCCCUUAGGGAGAAGCACACGACACUCGUGAACAUCAUACCCGGACGAUAGCAUGUCCUAUCCGGAUGUGUUGUCCGGAUCAUUGACUAAAGUGAGCAAGCCUUGCUACGUCAUUCGGACAGCUUGCCACAUACCAUGUUCCGUCGCCAUCUGAUGGUGUGUCCGAACGCCUUGUCCGGACAUCUUUUGCUCCUUGCAUUCCGGAUUUGCUUAUGACAAAGGACUUCAAAGCUUCGGUUCUUCAUGUUUCUGAGCUUUCCAUUGCUUUGCCAUGGAUUCCAAAGAACUCUCCUUAAUCACGGAUUGCUUUGGUGAUCAAAAAGUUAUCAAAACACAAAAACUUAACAUAGUUUGAUUAGAAUUGAUUGCAAGGGUUCUUAAUAUGUUAAUUGGGUUAAAAGGUGAUAACUACUACUCAAAAGUGUUUAUAAGAAUUAAUUACAAGCUAUGAAAUAACACUUUUUGAGUAGUAAUCAGGAUACAUCCUAGUUUUUCAUGGAAUUGAUAGUGGGUUGUUGUGCAUGAAUGCCACCAUUUCAACUAUGCUGUUGUUAUUUUUAAAAAAAAUAUGGAUUAUGCGCGAGUGGCAAUUCUCCACUAUGGAAAGUGGAUUGCUCCUUCAACCCAUGCAUGGCUACGUAUUCCUAUGUCUUUCUACUUGUGUUUGAUCCUCCAAAAAAAAUUUCGGUUUAGUGCUAGUAGAUUUUAAGUGGUGGAUCCCCAUUUUUUGAAAAUGAAGUGGCAGCCUCCCAUUUCAAGACAAAAUGGUAGCCUGCCUUUAAUCUUUGGAGAAAAAUCUGUGCAUGACCUUUUUUUUUCCCAAAAAAUCCGUGCAUGGUGUCCUUUAAUAUUUGGAGAAAAAUCUAUGUUGGAUCUUUUCUUUUCUAGAAACAUUUGUGUGGUCUUUUUUGUUAGCCCAAGGGUUCUUCUAAUCAAGUUUUGAUGAUAACAAACCAUGGUUAAGUGACUAAUUGGUUUAAUGAUUAAGAAUCUCAAACAUAAAAUCGAAAAUUCAUCAAAGGACCAAAUGGAUACAAGAUCGAGACGCUUGGAAGACUUGUAAUCAUAGGAAACUAAUGUAAGAUGAAUGCAUGAGUGCACUUAGGAUUUUCACACGUUUCAUGCAACUUAGAAAACCCAGUUUAUUCUUUAAAACUUCAUCCCAGUUUAUUCUUUUUAUGGUUGUGUGUGCUUUCCUUGAUACGUGGCUUAUUUAUUAAGGAUACAUCCCAGUUUUUCAUGGAAUUGACAGUGGGUUGUUGUGUGUGAAUGCCACCAUUUCAACUGUGCUGUUGUUAUUUAAAAAAAAAAAAAAUGGAUUGUGCGCGAGUGGCAAUUCUCCACUAUGGAAAGUGGAUUGCUCCUUCAACCCAUGCAUGGCUACGUAUUCCUAUGUCUUUCUGCUUGUGUGUGAUCCUCCAAAAAAAAUUUUGGUUUAGUGCUAGUAGAUUUUAAGUGGUGGAUCCCCUUUUUUUGAAAACUAAGUGGCAGCCUCCCAUUUCAAAACGAAGUGGUAGCCUGCCUUUAGUCUUUGGAGAAAAAUCUGUGCAUGACUUUUUUUUUCCCAAAAAAUCCAUGCAUGGUGUCCUUUAAUAUUUGGAGAAAAAUCUAUGUGGGAUCUUUUAUUUUCUAGAAAAAUUUGUGUGGUCUUUUUUGUUAGCCCAAGGGUUCUCCUAAUCAGGUUUUGAUGAUAACAAAUCAUGGUUAAGUGACUAAUUGGUUUAAUGAUUAAGAAUCUCAAACAUAAACUCGAAAAUUCAUCAAAUGACCAAAUGGAUACAAGAUCGAGACGCUUGGAAGACUUGUGAUCAUAGGAAACUAAUGUAAGAUGAAUGCAUGAGUGCACUUAGGAUUUUCACACGUUUCAUGCAAUUUAGAAAACCCAGUUUAUUCUUUAAAACUUCAAUUUCAUUAAAACCCGAGUUUUUAACUAAUGUACCUUAGGCAAAAUGUUUUAUAAUUGGCUUAAUAAUUCACCUAAAUACAUUUUCUAAGUGUUAGAAAAGAAAGGAAUUAAAAAAAGGUUUUCGGGGCAAAAAAGGCUCAACCGGUCGAGGCUAUGGUCAACCGGCUCAACCGGUUGAGGAACCAAUCGAUCGGUUGUGCUUGUCCGAUCGAAGACCAAUCGAGGGAUGCCAAAAAAUUUCUCUCUCUCCUAGUGGCCUUCUCUUCCCGGUCGAGGUUCGGUCUAGGCAACGGUAACAUGUCAAGCAUUAAAUGCUCCGACGACUAGUGAAUCGGUCGACCCCUAGCCCGAUCGGACGAGGUUGCCUUUUGCUGUUUUUGACUCCCGAGCUUAGAAACCUAUAAAUUGAGAGCUCCACUUCAUUUAUUGAUAAAAGAGAACACUUGCAUUCAAUAGUCUACCUACCUUUUCUUGAUCAAAAAGCUCUCAUUUCCUUCAUAGUGCAUUAAAUCAUCACUUGCAUAUCCUUUAGUGCACUAUUGUGUGUCAUCCUAGCUUUGUUUUGUAUUUGAGCUAUCCUUAAGCUAGGUUGAGGGAUUAUUUCUUAUAAAAAUCUGAGUGUUAAAGCCUUCAAGAGAUUUGAAUCUUGAAGAGAUUGUGUAAGAGCCCAUUGGAGCCGGAGUCCAAGUGUAAGAAGAUUGGAAGCUUGGUUGAAGCUUCAAGUUAGUGGAACCCUCACUCGGUUAGGAGGUUGAGGAGAGUGGACGUAGGUAAGGAAGUGUCGAACCAUUAUAAACCCGAGUUUGAAUUCUCUAACUCUAUCUCUUUAUUUUGCUUAUAUUGUGUUUGAAUUUGUUGUGAUUGAAAAGAUUUUAAAAACCUAAUUCACCCUCCCCCCUUUUGGGUUUUUUUUUCUUAAUUAAGCAUAACCUUUGUUUUCUAAUUUUCUUUUUAGGAAAAUCCAUGCGUGGUAUGUCCAAACUCUCCAAGUGGCAGUCUGCCUUCUUCUAAAAAAUUUGUUUCUAUUUCUUUAUUCGACUACCUUCCAUGUCUUCCUAAUGAGUGCUUGUGCUCAAUGGUCAAUCCCUGGUGGUUGCCUCCUUUUCCCAUAUAUACGUGUUGCAAAAUCAACAUCCCACUAUAUGUGGGUUGCCUCUAUGGCAAGUUCACAUUUCCCACAUGAAACCUAUGAGUUUCCACCAAAAAUUGCCAUGAAAAAGUCUUUAUAUGCAUCUCAUGCAAUAAAAAGUCAAGCCAAUACUCAUCUUAUCUCGAAAAAUAAGUAACCAAAAUCAAGAUCAUGCCUAAGUGAACUAUGCCAAAAGAAGUGUCCAAGUGACCUAUUAUGAAAAAAGUGCCUAAGUGACCUAAGGUGAAUGUGUGUAAGCUGGAAGGUGUCUAGGAUGUUUAGGACAAUGCCUAAGCCUAAAAUAGGGUUGCCAAGGGUCACAAUGGGGUUAGAUAAAUCUCUCAAUCAGAGUCUCCAAGGUGGCUCAUAAAAGAUAAGCUACACGAGUAAUGAUGGGCCACCAGGGAAUUAUUGUAAAGCACCAAACGAACACAUAAUAGGACAUGUGUUAGAAUGAAAAAAUGGAGGGUUUACAAGUGGUCUCAUGGAUGAGCUUGAUAAUUUAAAUGACUCACAUAAUGAACGUAUGUGAUGUUUCUCUCCAAUAACAAGCAAAACAUCACUAGCAAUAUGAUGAAUGUCUCCUAAAUCACUUGAAGUAGUCCUAGCAAAUCAAUUAGAAAAAUCACACAUAUUGCUCUAAUGUAAUAUUAUAUACAUCUGUCAAUGAAUGGGAGAACUAAUGACACAACCAUCAUGUUGAUAUCUCGAACCCUCUAAUCUCAUAUGUAGGUGGGAUCACACUUAGAAACUCAUAACACAGUAAUGACCAAUCUAAGUCAAAAUGUGUUGGUGAUCGGAGGCCCAUGAAUAUGAAGUUCUAGGAUGAUAAUGACAUCUUAUAAAGUAAUGAUCAUCUCCUUAAUAGAUAGGUGAAAUGUGUGUGUCUUAGGACACCAUCUCUCAACAAGACUUGUGAUCAAUCCCCAGUCUAGUGUAACAUGCCUAUUAUGACAUCCAUCGUAAAAUCUAGACUAGAUAAUAUAAGGACAAAUGUGAGGGUUCAUCUCCCUUUCCCACAUAAAUUUAAAAAAUUAUUAUUGACAAGUUAAGACCAAACUAAGUUGCAAAAUAUAAAUAAGUCCAUUAGAUAACAAAUUUAUGUUUUCUCAUUUUCUCAUUUUUAAAGAGAUAUUAUGUGCUUCCAUGUACAUACAUGCUAAAGUCAAUUAUACGAGACUUAUAUCCAUCUUGUAGAACCAAAUCGAACCUAUCUAAUAGAUCCAGAUUAGAAGUAUGUCCUCUAUACUCCAUAUUUAUAACACAUUUAUAAAGAUAAAUGCUAAAAAAAUGUUAAAGAUAUAAAUUUAAUGAACCAUACUUUAUGAUUUUAAUUCUCAAUUAUUGUUCAUAUUUAUAAGAGAAAAGUUAAAAAAAUUGAUAGAGUUUUCCCUCUAUCAUGGACAUUAUCCCAAAUAAAAAUAAAUUGAUUAUGCAAAUUACAUUAAUAUUUGUAACCAAAUGAUCAAUAACUAUCUUGUAUCAAUUUAGUAAAUAAAUUUAAGUAUAUCUUUUCAUUUAUGACUAACAAAUAACUCAUACUUGUCCAAUAAAAGCCACACCUAAUUUCUAAAAUUUUGUCUUCACCUCAAGUGAGUGUUACAUUGAGAAAGAAAAAAUAUGAAAGAAAAAAUGAACACCUUUUUCUUUUAAUAAAAAAAGGCCAUAACGAAACAUUAAAUCUCACUGUUACACCUAUCUUCAAUGGAAACAUGAGGAUGUGAAUGGUGGCGGUGAUAUUCUUUGCUUGAAGCUCAUAAACAAAUAUUCCUUACUAAGCCUAUGCCAUUUAGUAUUUCAAUAGUGGACCCCCCCCCCCCCCCCCCCCCCCUCCUUGCAUUUCAGAUUUAGCAAACUUAGAACCAAAUAACAAAGUGCAUUUGAACCCAUAAAGAAGUAAUGAGACUCUCCUAUAUUGGCAAUAGAAGAAAUUUUUGGAGGUAUAGGAGAUUCACGGAUGAAGAAGUUGGGCCCCAAUUGAGAUAAGACCCAAGAAAAGAUGGGGUAGAGAGGGAUGGUUGGAAAUUGUAAAGUAAGAUUUUCAAAAUGUAGUUGAUGACUAAGAUUUUGACAAUUUAAAAAAGGUUUAAAAAUGUAGUUAGCAAUCGGGGUUUUGUAACAUUUAAAAAAUAAAAUAAAAUCUCAGGCCACAUGGUAGCCCAUGUGAUUCAGAAGCUUGAGAAUUAUUUUAUAAGAAGACUUAAUUUGUGAUUUUUUUAUAACUAUAUUAUUUUUUUUCUUAACACACGAAAAAAAUUAUGAAAUAAGACAAUUUUCCUAAGAAAGCAUGUAAGUGACUCUUGGUUAUUUUAUUUAACUUCUUCUAGUUUGGAGAGGAUUAAUACCUUUGCUUUUACUCACUUGCUUGGAUAUGUACACGUUGUUCAUGUCACUUUUCAUUUAAUUUUCUGAUUAAGGGAAUUGGAACCGUACGUAACUGUCUUUAUUCCCUCUGAAACUUGGACUUGGAGUUGGACUUUCAAUCUCAUCAGUCGUGUUUCCAUAAAAAAGAAGAUGGAUUAACCAAUUUUCCUAUGCCUACUAAUCAUACACAAAACUCCACUUCCAAAUAAAAAGGAAUGGGAUAUCACUUGUUAAUAGUGGCUAAAGACUAUUAAUAACCAUGCAAAGAAAUGUCACAUUUUUUGUUCUACGCAAAUUUUAUUCAUCAACUACUAGAACCAUUUCAUACAAUAGUAGCUUUUCGAUCCUUUGAUAAAUGGACACUUGAUGUGAUAACACCAACUACACCUAUAUAUUCAAGCAAUCAUGCGUAUAUAAUAGUGGAUAUGGAUUACUUCUCUAAAUGGGCAAAAGUUUUGUCAUUCAAGGAAAGUGAACGAGGAAACACAAGUUUACUUUCAUCGGAACUAAUAUUAUAUAUUGAUAUGACUUCCCAUUAUUACUUACGAUGGAAUAUGCUUCCAUAAAAUGGCCUAGAUGAACAAACUAUCCAAGAAGUUUGGGAUCAAAUAAUAUAUAUAUAGUUCAUGUGUGAUUCUUUGGUUGACAACCUUGUUAAGGGGUGAGUGAAGCACUUUGGGCAUACCACAUACUACAUGCUAGACUUCCACCCAAGCUACCCUAUAUUCCUUAUGAACAAAGUAGAAGUUGUCAUCUCUCUUGAAUACCAAAUCCUUUCACCUAAUAAUGCUAUCUAAAAAGGUCUUAAAAAGGAUAAAAAUGCGCAUAUUUGAAUUUUUGAAUUAGGAGUGCUACUUAAAAAGAAGCUAGAUAUACAAUAAUAGAAUGUUAUCAAGCAUAUCUCUUCAAAGUUUUUGACCAAAAAAUAUAUGAUUUCUCAUUUUAGGUAGGAGACUUAGUACUCACUAUUCAAAAACCAAUUAUCAUUACUCAUAAAAACUAAUAGAAAGUUUGGGCCAAAGUAGGAUGGACCUUAUAUUAUGCAACAAUUAUGCCUAUAAAAUUGUUGCAAAAGAGGUUUUAGAAUCAAAUCAAUGAAUGAAAAAUUAUUAAAGCAUUACUAUGCUUGAAGGCUAGUCAUUUUCCCUUAAAGUGCAAUAUUAAGUUGCAUAGUACUAUGUGGAUCCGCAUUUUUCACAUGCGUUCCCACUCAUUGUCGAGACUCACUUUUUAGAAGUGAAAAAUUAGUUUUAUUAAAGUCGAAGUUGCCACUGGGGAUUUGAACCCUAACAAAAGGUUCAAUUUAAGGAUAAAAAUAUCGAUAAUCACAUAUAUAUAUAUUGGUACUUUGAUUUUAUGAAUAUAUUGAAGAAAUAUGGACAAAUAUUUUGACACAAAAUAUGUACAAAAUAAAAAUUAUAUAAAAAGUAAAAAUAAAUAUUUUAAAAUUAUUUUUUUAAAUAUAUAUAUAUAUAAUUUGACAUAUUUGAUAAUAAUAUAUAAGGGUCUCCAAAAAGCCCGUGGCCCGCUUUAGGCCCGGUCCGACCCGACAGGCUAAAGCCCGGCCCAAGCCCGCCGGGCCCAAGCUCGGCCCGAGCCCGUUUAUGGGUGGGCCGGGCCGCGAGCCCGUAGGCCUGCUCCUUUAAAAAAAAACUACAAAAAUAAAAAGUAUUAAAAAAAAUAUUCAUUUCAAAAUUUUAUUCAUUGAAUGUAUAAUUACAUUUGAAAAUGUGGGAAAAGUUUACAUCACUACAAAAUAAAUACAUCCCAACUAGGUUGGCACCUAUUUAUUUGUCAAUCAUCUGUAUUUUUCAACCACAAAAAAUAAAAAUAAAAAUAUAAUAUACAUUUAGUCAUUAUUUUCUGGCGGUGAUGGCGAACUAUCAUGCAUCCAUGAAGAUCUUGAUAAUUUUAAAGAUUCCAUAUCGGUAAGCAUCUUUGUUUCUCGAAUGGAAUCAUACAUCCUUUUAUCUGCUAUUUCCCAAUCUUUCACACAUAUCCCUGCUUUAAUAACAUCUGACGCUAAGUUGCAUCGUUUUUUACUAACUACUCUUCCACCUGCACUAAAAGCAGCUUCUGAUGCAACUGUACUCACAGGAACUGUUAGUACAUCACGAGCAAUUAUAGAAAGCACAGGAUAUUUGUGUUGAUGUGAUUUCCACCAUAUUAAAAUAUUAAAAUCUUCUUGAUCUUCAAAUGAAAUUAUAUCAGUAUUAAGAUAUUUAUCUAAAUCAGAUGUAUUAUUUGGAGAAUUAUUUGUUGUCUUUUUUCGACUUUUCAACAUUUCUAGAGCUCCUUUAUAAAAAGAUGAGGAGUUUGUAGAUGUAGGUGGUAAUUUAAUAGUAUUAAUAUCAUUACCAUAUUUUUCUUUAUAAUAGUUAUAUAAAUUAUAUAAUAAUGAAUUUAUUUCAUUUUUAAUUUCUUCAAUUUUUAUUUGGUCAUUAAAAUAAAUAAUUGUUAACCAUUCAUCCAAAGCUUCAAAUUUCAAUCUAGGGUCCACAAUUAAAGCAAUAUAAAAAAUUAAAGGUAUUUCUCCCCAAUAUUUUCUAAAUUUUUAUAUCAUUACAAAUAUUGUAUCAUUAAAUAUUUCAAAACUUAAAUAUUUUUGAAGUACAAUAAAAAUAUUAGUUAUUUGCGUAAUAACUCGAUUUGAAGUUGGAUAAUAUACACCACAAAAAAUGUUUGUUGAAGUAUCAAAAAUUUCAAAAAGAUCUCUUAAAACAUCCGCAAUAUGCCAAUCAUAAUCAUUUAAUGCAUAAAUAUCUGCUUCAUAAUCAUUGUUAAUUAAUUGUAUUUCAUAUAAUUCGACUACUUUUCUAUAUUUUGUAAUAUUUUCUAAAAGUUUAUAUGUGGAAUUCCAUCUAAUAGCCAUAUCCAAAUUUAUAUUUUUUCUUUUCAUAUUUAACAUUUUGCAACAAUCAAAAAAUAAUUCAUGUUUUGCUUGAAAACUAUUAAUACUAUAUGCAAUGCCUCUAAUUUUUUUCCAAUGUACUAUCAACAUUUUUUAAUCCAUCCUUUACAAUUAAAUUUAAAAUAUGUGCACAACAACGCACAUGAAAUAUUUUAGCAUGAUCUUCUUUUACUUGCCAAUAUCGUUUUAGUCUAUGUAUUGCUGCAUCAUUAUUAGCAGCAUUAUCUAAUGUUAUUGUCAAUAUUUUAUCACGAAUGCCUAAAUCUAUAAUUUCAUCAUUUAUUAAAGAUGCUAUAUUUUUACCACUAUGUGGAGUAUUUAUUAAUUUAAAUAAAAUUAUUCUUUUAUUUAAUUUCCAUUCAUUAUCAAUGUAGUGAACAAUUAUAUAUAAAAAACCAGUAUGAGUUAAAGAUGUCCAAAUGUCAGAUGUUAAACGAAUAUUUCCUUCAAAAUUUGCAAAAUUUUUUUUUAAAAUUUCUUUUUGUGUAUAAAUUUUUUUCAUAAUAUCUCUUUUAACUGUAUUUCCAGAUCAACCUUUAAAUUGAGGAUUAAUACCUCGUUGAAUUGUUCUUGCAAAAUCAUGAGUUUCCAUCAUGUUGAAAGGUUGUUCUGCUCUUAUUAUAUAAUCAAUCAUUUCUUCACAACAGUUAGAUUCAUCAUAAGAAAAUGUUUUUAAAUUUCCACUUUCAUUUUUACUUAAUUGCAUAUAAUUUCUAAUAUCUACAUUAUUUUUAGUUUUACAAUUUUCAUGAUGUCUUUUUAAAUGACUUGUAUCUGCAUUUGAGCCACCAGUAAGAAAUUUAUUACAAAUUUUACAUUUUGCUUUUAUUUUUUUUUUAUUAUUUUCUAAAAUUAUUUCUAUUCUAUCAAAAAAAUUCCAUAUAUUUAAAGUAAAUUUUUUGUUUGAUGAUAUUUCAUCACAUGGACUAGACGAAGAAGCACUUGUCAUAUUAUAAUUAUUGAUAAAAUAUUAUGCCAAAAAUAAUAAAGUAAUAAAUAUAAAAAAAAAUGUAACAAAAAAAAUAAAGUAGUAGGGGUGAAGUAUGUUACUCAAUUAGAGAACCUAUGCAGAAAUUCCUAGCAAAUUUGAACUCUUGGAGCCACCAAUGCUUGUUUUGCACCAUCAACAAUAUUGUAUAAUUUGAGGGAAAAAUAAAAGAAUUUAAAAUAUUGUAGAAUGUGAGAGAAAUAGAGAGAAUUUGAUGAAAAAAUGAAAAGGAAGAAAAUGUAUUUAUAGGAAGGUUAAAAAUAAUAAUAAUAAUAAUAAUAAUAAUAAUAAUAAUAAUAAUAAUAAUAAUAAUAAUAAUAAUUGGCCAUGUGACCGUUGGAGGCUUAGCUCCAACGGUCACAUGGGCUGGAGCUAGGCUCCAACAGUCACAUGACCGUUGGAGCCUUUAAUUUUUUUUUUUAAAAUAAUAUACUUUAUUUUUAUAUAUAUAUAACUAACUCAAUUAAUAAACAUAAAAAGAAUAUAGUUCAGUUGGUUAGAACCUUGAAGUUUAAACAUGAGGGGAGGGGUUUGAAUCCCUCCCUCUCCCUUAGGGGCUUUUUUAAAAGCCAUUUUGGCUUAUUUCAAAAAGCCUGUCGGCCCGACCCGCCCUGCAGCCCGCGGGCCUAGCAUUUUAGCAUGGCCUGGUCUGUUGACUAGUCAAAUGGCUCAUAGGCUCGGCCCGAACUGGGCCGCGGGCCUCUUAUUUACGGACCGGCCCGACCCGGCCCGCCCGUUGGAGACCCUUGAUAAUAUCUUCUAUAUUAAGUUACAUUAUAGUUUAUUUUACAAUAUUAUUAUGAUAAUAUGUCUAAUUUUAAAAUAUAUUUAAUAUUAAAAUUAUGAUCUAUUUUAAUUUAAAUGUAUUCAAUGAUAUCAAAUAAAUAAUAAUAUAUGUAUAAUUCUUUUAUUAUUUAUAUUUAUUAUUUUUAAUAAAUAUAUAGAUUAUAUAAAAAAGACCGGAUAUAUCUUUUCAAAUUUUGUAUCGCUCUCCAAGGAUAUUAGAUGUAUGGGAAUUUGUAUUGCUAUCUACGGAUACGUUGAUAUAUGGGUGAUUUAUCAGGAUAAUUAGAAAUUCUAAUUAUGUAAGCAGGUACGGAGUUCUGUGUCGGUGCGAUCUUGUCGACAACAGCUCCAAAUUGUGCAUCUUGCUCAUAGAGAGUAGCGGAAUGCACCAAUCGUAGGCUCAGAGUACCACUGAGUCGUCUGGCAGAGACCCAACUGAAGGUGCCUGUGUUGUUCCUGAUCUGAUCAGGCUUCAAACUACAAGGUGGAAUACUGGUUCCCCUAUAUCAGAAGCUGGAGAUACCCACCCCAUAUGCUCGUCUGGAUGUGCUCCUACCCUUUGAAGCCUUCUUCCGAGUCAAGUCCGAAUUGAUAAGGCUAGUGAGUUCCCAACCAACUGUACUCAGCAUGCUGCCAGGUGGAGACCCUCCAUAUUUGAUGGCUUCCUAAUAUUAAAAUGCUGACCACUGGUCUUCAUGUUCCACAGGCUUAAUUGUGUCCUUUGCUGAAAGAAUGGAUAGUGAUCCAUUUUAACACAUGAUUCACGCCGUCUUUGCCAUUCUUCAUGGUCUAGCCCUUUUAUAUAUAUGCUUCCUGAACUGUUGCUAUUAAUAAAAUGUGGUAUCUAUCCCGUACACCUUCCUGAUGGCCAGCGAAUGCAGAAGCUACAGAAACGGUUCCAUCUUUUGCUUCCGCCACUUUGGCAUCCUCCAUGAUGAGAUCGAAGGUGAAUAAUCAUAUUCUGGGGAUUUAUGUCCUGGAUAUUCUCAGUAAUGCCCAAUUUCCUGGUGCCGGCCUCAUUUCCAUGGGAACUGAUGGAUAACUUAAGGCUUCUACCAUCUGCGUGGUUCGCUUCUAACACAGGAAACUUCACGGCUAAAAGCAAGAUACCAAGAACAUCAAGGCUGUGACAAAAAUUAGUAUUUUUAACUUGUAGGAAUUUGAAAGGCAACCAACCAUCUAGCUCUGUUCUUAAAGCUCCCAUAGGAGGAUCAGAGGCUGGAUUGCUCAAGAUGAACUCAUCCAUUGUUGCACUUAAAAAGAAUUGGCAUGAAUUGUGGCCGCUCUAAUAGGUUCCCUAAACCAUCAUCCAAGUGGGCUUGCGGAAGGUAGCGAGUUUAAAACACCUAGGGCGAUGAACAGUGGACUGUGAUGCUCACAAAAGAGAAAAGGAAGAAUUCAAUAAUUCCUAAGAAUCCAUUUGCCUGUCAUCCAAAUUUUUAUAUUCUCUUCAGUCUGACGCGUUAUGCCAUAUAUUAAAAAUAGCGGCUUCUUCCAAGCCGAGACAGACUGUGCAAAGUUCGCAAGGCCAAUCAUCACCAUAAUCUGAAGUUGGCCUCCUCAAUCGCAGCUUGUAUCCGAAUGCUCACUUCACGGGAUGGAUUGUAAUGAAAACUAAUCUCAGUCCCAGCUAUGGCAGCAUCCUCACUUGACAGCAUUUUCUGCAUAUUCUAGAACAAAGCAAUAAACCCUCAAAGGCUCCUUCGGAUCAGAGUUAGAAGACUGUCCCUCAGGAACGUGAACACUAUGGUGGUUCUGAUAAGCAGUGAUAUUGCAUUAGAGCCUUUUGGAACAAGAGGAUCUUUUCAGGUGGAAACUGUAAACUGCUUCAUGUUGGGCUGCAACCUUUUCUUCAAGCAAUACUUUCUUUCUGUAUCACGACUUAUGUUGCUUCCGGAGCCAUCCCGUGUGGACUGCCCUUCAGUGAAAGAAUAUGUGUGUUGACAUGUUGGAUUGUAAUCUUUGUUCCACUCUAAUGGCUUUUGGUCCUCCUCUUUCUCUUUAUGACAGAGAACCAUUUAGUGAUCCAUCUCUAUAUUGUAGCAUUGCUGGUGCUUUGCAAUACUACACUCUCACCAAGCAUAACAUCUAUUUUUCCGUGACCAAAGUAUGUCGGUUUAUGCAUGCGCAAACUCUUAUUCAUUGGCAAGUUGUCAAGCGUAUCUCAUGAUUUCCCAAAGCCACAAGUUCUUAUGGUCUUUCUGUUCAAGCUUACAAUGAUCUAUCUUUUCUUGGUUAUACUGAUGUCGAUUGGGCUAGUUGCCCUGAUAACAAGCACAAUACUAGUGGGUACAACACUUUUCCUGGUCCUAAUCUCAUUUCAUGGGCAUUUUCAAAGCAGAAGGUUGUGUCUCACUCCAAUAACGAAUCUGAAUAUAGGGGACUCACUAAUUAAUGUUGUUGCCAAGGUCACUUGGAUUGAAUCUGUCUUACGUGAGUUGCGUGUUUCUCUACCCCAACCACCAAUUUUGUUGUGUGACAACAUUAGUGCUACACACUUGGACAAACCAUGUUGAAAUACACUAUCAUUUUAUCCAUGAAAGGCUUAUGCAUCACACACUCAAAAUUCAAUACACCUCUUCUAUAGACCAACUAGUCAAUGCUAUGACCAAAGCUCUUCCUUCAUCUCACUUGUACAAUCUUCAGUGCAAGCUGAUUGUUCUUCCCAAACCACUCAACUUGAGGGGAGAUGUUAAGCCAAUUUAAUAAAUUGAUUUCUUUUGGUUAAUUUGUUAGAAUCAUUUUUAUUAGAGGUUUGUUUGUACAAUUACAUCCAUUUAUCAGGAGAGUACACGUGUACAACUCCUCUUUUAAUCUCACCAUUGUAUAUAUAUGAUACACGACCUUACUCAGAAUUGCAUAACAUUUCCUCUGCUCAUUCCUUUUCUUCUUUGAAUUUUCCCUUACCUCACUGAUUUUGAUUUAUACCUGGUGUUUUCACCUUUGGUCUCUACCUUUCUAGCCAGUUUUCUAAUUAAUCCGUAUAUGGUAUACCUGUCAACUAAUGAGGAGAAAGAGAAAAGGGGAUUGCUGUUCCACCAGCUACAUAUAAUAAUUAAUUACAAUCAUGGUAAUGGAUCCUGAAAUCCAUCCUUUGUGGAUUUUGUACGGAAUAUUGUUGUUAUGUAUGUGGGCUCACUUAGAUGUAUAUUGCUAGCCUGUCUGGGAAAUGUGAUUGCAGGUCCAGAUUAUGAUGUUGAUAUUAGUGGGAUAAGCAAGAGAUGCAGUUAACACGUAUGUGAUGGACUUGAGUAACUUUUCCAUUUCAGUCCAUUUUUUAAGAUUAUGCUUAGUCUUAUUACAAGGAAAGACCAUAAGAAUCAUGAGUCAUUGGCAAGGUAAUAUCAUUCCCUCUUUACAGGCUUCUUCACCUUUUGGUUUUUUUAAUAUCCAUCAAGAUCUUUUAAUUGGAGGACAAUUACAAGUAUAUAUAUAUGUAUUAAAAGGGGAAAAUAUUAAAACAGGAAAUUUUAGGGAAAAUAUAAUAAUUAUUUCUUCCUUCUUUCCCAUAUAGAACUACACAAAAUAAAACUUUAAUAAUUUUUUCUUAUCUUUUUUAUUAUUAUUUUUUCUUAGAAACAUCCGUGGUCUCACAAGCUUGUAAUCCUAGAUUGUUAGGCUCCUUUAACAGUGCCCCAACAUCGUGGUCCAAUGACAAGCUUCCACGCCUUAAAAUCAGAAAAUGCCAUUAAACUUUAUCAGACAUUACAGUUCAAGACAAAGCUUUCAUUUGCUUAAUGUGAUAAUGAAAUUGUUAAUUUCAUUUCGUGGGCAUCUAAAUUUGGACGAGCAAGACCUCUGAAUUCCCUGUUUUUAUCACCAGCAGAGGAGAUAAAAUCUUAAUGGUGAGAAUCUCCACGUGAAAUUUAUGUGUACUGUCAACAUAUUUUUGUUUAUAUAGUCCAGUAGCUGCAGGAAGUCUAGAUUAUAUAGGUAGCAGUAGCACUAUUUAUAGCACUCGAUAUUCGCUGUAUGAAUACAUUAAACCUUGUUUUCAAUACGCAUCACAAGCAAGUACUAGAUACUACAAGGAGUGACAGUCGCAUCAACAUUUCUUGAUAAUAGCAGUGACUGAUUUAUACACAGAACAGUACUGUACACGUACCAGUCACCAGAGAUAGGAUCUUAUUCCUACAUACGACUCUUAUUGAUCGAAGUCACUCAGUUGGGGUAGCCUGGAGUUGGAGGUUUGUGUGGUGGCUUCUUCUUUGGAGGAGGCUUUAUCUUUGGAGGCAUCAUCUUUGGAGGCAUCUUGUGUGAGUCUUCUUCAGCAUUCUCUACAGGAGGAUGGCCAGGCUUAUGACCCUUAGGUGGUUUGCCAACUGGGAUUGGUGGCUUGUGUCCUGAGAGUGGCUCCUCUUCUUCGGGAGGUUUGCCAACUGACGUUGGUGGCCCGUGUCCUGGGGGUGGCUUGUGUUUUGGGGGUGGUUUCACUCCACCGGGAGGUUUACCAAUUGGUGUUGGUGGUUUGUGCUCAAUCGGUGGCCUCUCAACUGGGGGGCGCUUGGGGUAAUCAGCGAGUGAAGAAGUGGUGAGAACCACCACUCCAAGCAACAACACUAGCAAGUAUGUGGAAGACAUCUUUGAGUUUGGCUCAGAUGGUGUAGAACUAGAAUCCUGGGUGGCCUUUUAUAUUAGUUGGGCCCUAUGCCCGAACGACAAGUGUCAUGGUGACACAUAAAGUGAUGGGGUCGAUUUGGGCCUACCGGAUUUGAAAACUUGGACAAUUCGAGAAGCGUCUCCUGACUCCGGGUUGUAAAGUGAAAGAUUAGGUAUCGACCAUUGAAGUAUGAUCACAACUUUUGGCCUUUGGCUCUCUCUACUGCCGUAUAGCUUUUUUCCUUUGGAUAUUUUUCUUAGCUAGACACAAUUAUUGAGCAGUCUAAUCUCGAAAUGGGAUUAGUAUAGCUUUAAGCAAAUUUAUUAUAGUUAGUGGAGGACUUUUAAGAGUGCAGACGACAUUUAACACAUGCAUGCAGUAGUAUAGGGGACAUAACACUAUUCUUUUUCCAAAGAUUCACAUGAUUUUUAUAUUAUAGUAUUGGCACAUUGUAUGUAGCUGGUUUUGUGGUUAAAAUUCCAUAUGUAGACACUGGCGUUUCUCCAUUUCUCACAAUUGAUGUUUACCUCCACGAUUACUAGAUUAGAUAUACCAAACAAUAACACAUUGUAUAAUCUAUCCGCCCUUCAAAAUCUACUGUAUGAUGAAAUGUUUCAUGUGUGUGUGAAGUGUUAGAAAUGCACUAUAGGCAACAUCAUCUUCUUUUGUCUAGGCUUGGGCCUCAAAUUAUACUCCCAUGCCAUGAUAAAUUUUCAUGUGCAUUCUCUAAAGAAGAGUGUCUUGAAUGUGCCAAAUCAUUUUGAUUGAUUUUAUGAUGUUAAUUGCUCCGCAUAUGGAUGGGUAUGUGCUUUAUUUGCUUAUUCAAUCCACAAUUACCUUGAACUGAAGUCCUAUUGGAGCUCUAUUAUUUUAGCAACGUCCUGUCAAAUAGGCUGCUAACUUGGGGUGGUAUGGACCCAAUGAUCCAUCUUAAUCUUGGGUUGAUUUUGUCUGACUCUAUCUAUCUCAGAGAGAACCAGGAUCACCAGUGCUGGUCUGCUUAAAGAAGACUCAGUACUGGAUUAAUAUUGGUUUGGGUCAAUAGCUUAUAAUGCAUUGAAUGCAGAAUAAACAAGAUCAAUGAAACCCAAAACACACUGCCCACACAACUUCACUCUGGUGUCUGUUAUUCAUCAAUUCUAUUCCCACAUGAACUGGUUCAAGUUUAAGAAAAUGACAACGGAUCCACUGUAUUAACUUGGUUUUGCUUGGUUUUGAGCUAGUUGCCAAACCAGCCAUGAGUUUUACCUCUAAUGUCAAUGAACAAACCCCAAAUGAACAACUGCAACAGCUUAAAGAGAAGGAAUGGAGAUGAAAAUCCCUGUUUCUUCUCAUUCUGGGGACAAAUUAGAACAUAACUACAAAGGUUCUAUUAAUUGACUUACUCUACCAUGAAUUAUGGUUCUUUGGUUUUCCAAAUUUAAAUUGUACAUGAGAUUAUUUUUUUCCUUUAUAUAUAAACAUAUUAAGGUUUUCUUAUUUCGUGGGCAAAUGCGCUAAGGAUGAAAGUCAUUUCAUUUGGCUGCAACAGCAUCUUAUAAUCAACAUGCAUAAGCAGCAGUUUUAAUUGAUCGAUUGAACACCGACUCACAAGAAUAGAUAGAAUGGUACAAGACAGCUCUUAUUAAUUUAUACUCGUUACUCAUUUUAUGUAGCCCCAUUAAGAUGGCUGGCUGGACCACCGAGGUCUGGGGGUGGUGUUGCUUGUGUGAUGCAGCGGGCCGGGCAGACACUUCUCUAGUUGCUUCUAUUUGGAGUUAGAGGAUCAGUCUCUGCCAACCUUGAGGACUCUCUACCUCAGAGGGUCCAGGUGGUGGACUCUGGUGUCGGUAGCUUUGAACUCUCAGUAGACUAGUGUGUCUUAAUCAGUCACUGCCAGAGGCUGGCGUAGGCAGUGACGAUAAGGUGAGACAAAUUACCGAAUAGUCAAUAUCGACUGCACUUGACCAUUAUAGAUUUGUUCUGACAAAAGUGAGAAAAGGGAGAAAAUCGGAUGUUGACCUUUAUAGAAAAAGAUAAGAUUUACUGCAACACAGAGCACUGAUUUGUUACUUGGAAACCAAGUUAUGCUAUUAGCUAGCCUCCAUUAGCAGCAGGGUACCUUGCUGCCUGAUCCUAAUCUGAGUUCCCAAGGUUUCAAUCUUCGUUUGUUAACGCUUCAGGAUUUGGAUAUUUCAGCUUCGUUUCUCCAUUUAGCCAACGCUGCCUGGUUUGGAUUUCAAUCCUCAUCUGGAACAUUCUUUUUUCGGUCUGAUUCAGGAAGUGUUUGGUGAUAGUUGAUUAAAAUUAAACAGUACUAUCAUACAAAUAAAGCUGAUCUAAUUUUGGUGGGCAAUAUACCAACUCAUUUAUUCUUGAAAACACCAUGGGGAAUUGGAGGUCCAUCCGAAGUACUAUUUGAUGGGACUCACAAAAAGAACAGGUGCACAUUUAUGAGAUCCGUGGAAGAGAUAACUAUGACAGCUAUGCAUGUACAACAGAUUUAUGUCGAGUUCACCUCGUAGAUAUUUUGUUUUCAGUGUCGGUGGACCCCAAAAUGGAAAUCGGAAAUUAAGGUUAUAUUUAUUUUUUUAUUUAAUUUUAAAUAGAAUUUUAAUUUUUAAUAAUAUUAAGUAUUAAAUUAUUUUUUUAAGGGUAUUUUAUUUUUAUUAAGUAUUAAAAAGUAAAAAAAAUUAAUAUGUUGCUUUUUUAUUUUAAAAAAAUUAUAUAUUUUAAUUUUUUCUAUUUACUAAAAAGUUUAUAAUAAAUUAUAAAAAAAUAAAAAAAUAAAAAACUUAAAUUCUGAAAAUAAAUUAUUUUUAAUAAAAAAAUCCAAAAAAGCAAACACCACCUAAAUUUGAGAUGACUCAAAAUUUUAUAUUUUUUUUCACCUAAAUUAUAUUCAUAAAUUUAAAAUUAAAAAAUUAGGAAGUUGAAUUUUAUUUUGGAUAAUUGGAAACUACAAGAAAUCAAUAAAAAUAUUUGGAAAAAAAAGAAAAAGAAAAACUAUCUAUAUAUUCACCCCCUUCUAAGAAACAUAACUUUAGUUUUUAACUAUUUUUUAAAAUAAUUUUUGAAAAAUGUUAUAUAAUAUUUUAUAAAACAAAAAAUCUGUUUGACAAUUUGAUAUGUCUUUAACUUAUUUUUAAUAUUUAUAUAUAUAUAUUUUAAAAAUAAUUUUAUAUUUAGAACUUUAUCUUUAAUUAUUAUAUAUAUUUAUAUAAUUAUUUUUUUUAAAACAACUCUUAAAAAAUAAGUGAAAGUAAUUGAAAACAACUCAAAGAUAUUUGAUGAAAACACUCUAAUUUGUAUUUUUGAGAAUAAAAAAAUAAAUAAAUAAAUUUCUAGUUAUCAAAUGUAUUUUUUAAUUCUUUUAUUCUAAAAAAUAGAAAAUCGUUUUUGAAAAUAAUUAUUAAACAACAUUCUUAAAAAUUCACUCGUUACAAUCUAGAUUUAAUGCAAGAAUGAUUGAAGGAGUCCUCCAAUAGAACCCAAAGUUAUAAACAUGAACAAGAAGCCCUAGAAACACCAAAGAUCUCAUAUGGUAUAUAUAUGAGCUUGAUUGAGAACUGUUUUAAAUUCAGUUUUUUUUUUUUUUUUUUUUUUUUGUUUUCAAAGUCAAAACAAGUUUACUUUUAAUUUUUACUUCUUUUUUUUAAUUUUAUAAAUAACAGUUUUUUAAUAAUUUAUUUUGAAAACAUGAUUAUUUUUAAAACUUAUAAUGAAAAUAGGAAUUUUUUUUUUAAUAUCAUGGUUAUUUUCCCUUCUUUUAAGGAGGGCUAUUUUAAAAAUAAAUUUACAAAUAUGAAAAAUGAUUCAAACUAAAGCAGUACAAAUAAAAAACAUUUUUAAGAAAUAUUUAAAAAUAGAGAAAAUUAUUUGAGAACAUUUGAAGUCCUUAAAUAGACUUUUGUUUUAGAAAAGGCAAGAUAAUUAUUUUUGAAAAUUGUUUUCAUAAUGAUAUGCAAAAACCUACGUAAAAACCAUAAUUAUAAUCGGCCACAUAUCAAAUCUACUAAAUAUGAAAAGUAAGUACAUAAUUAUAUUUGACUUAGAUGCAAGGAGGAAAAUGUCGCGAUAUUAUCGCCGAAAUAUCGUGUGUCGAAGGGUAUCGACACGAUUUUUCUUGCAGAAAUAUCGGCCAGUCGAUUUUUCGGGAUAAAUCUCGAGAAAUCGGCAAUUUAUCGCGAUAUAUCGGCGAUUUUUCCUCGAUAUAUCUUCUGGUCAACGCGGGUCAACGGAGUCAACACGCUACAGUGAAAGUCAAAUGUGCUACAAUGUCCCCGCUACAAUCACCUCCCCAAACAAAUUGCCAAAUUGCUUCCGAGGGGAUUUGAACCAGCCUUCUUGCCAUUUGGGCUAACUCGCCCUUAUGAUAUAUAUUGCAUUAAACAUAUAUAUACUUAAAGUCCUUAUAUAAAGAAAAUGUUAAAAAAAUAUUUUAAAGAGCAAAUUAAUUAUAAUUAUUUUAUAAUUAAAAGCAAAAUUUUCUUUUAAUUAAUUACCAAAAAUAUAAAAAUUAUAUAAUUUUCUUCAUAAUGUUUUUAAUAUCAUUAAUAAUUAAUUAAAUAUUAAAAAAUUAUAUAUAUAUAUAUAUAUAUAUAUAUAUAUAUUAUAAUUUAUUUUAUAUUGUUUAAUACAAUUGAAUUAAAUGGAUCAUAUUUUAAUAUUAAUAUAUAUUUUAAAAUUAGACAUAUUGUAAUCAAAUAUCAUAAUAUUAUAUGUAAUUUAAUAAUAAAUGUACACUUAUAAAAUUCAUAUUUUUAUCGAUGCAUACAAUAUUAUUAUCAAAUAUGAUAAAUCAUGUUAUACAUAUAUCAAAAUUUUCAAUAAAAUAACUUUAAAAUGUCUAUUAUACUUCUAAUUAUAUUAUUAUGAGGUUUUCUUUACAUUUUCAUGAGUUUUAAACAAUUUUAAGCACCAAUAUUUUUUUCCAAAAUAUCCACCGAUAUAUCUCCGAUAUAUCCAAUAUAUCUCCGAUAUCUCCGAUAUAUCCGUAAAAUCGAAGUACCGAUAUAUCCGUGAUUACCGAUAUUUUCAUCAUUGCUUAGAUGCAACCUUCUUCCAAAUGACAUACUUUAGUCAAUACUUAUAUUUUUUCGUUUCACUUCUUUGAUACAACACCUCAUGGAUUUAUUGUUUAAUUUAUUUGUAAUUAUAAAACUAUUUUUCAUUUUUAAUAAGACUUGAAUUAAUUUAAUAAAUAUUAUAUAAUUUGAAUUUAUAAUUCUUUUUAUAAAAUCAAAGUAUAUUAAAAAAAAAACAAUUUAUCCGAAGAAAGUUUUUUAUUUUUUAUUUUUUAAAACCGAUUUUAAAAAUAACUAGCUAGACACCCUUAUUUUGAUAAAAUACGAAAUAAAAGUGUAAAAACAACAUGGCCAAAUAGGGGCUUAAAUUUUAUUUUUAAAACAUUUUUUUACACUAAAGUGCAUUUUAAAAACACCAUCAAAACCAACUACAAGUUAUGCUUCUUCCCGUAAUAGAAAUAUUUUAGGCCAAAAUAGAACCUCCCCAAAUAAAGACCCUAUACUAAACUCCUUUUCAUUUUAUUAAUACAAAAGUGGGGAAAAAAGGUCUAUGCUCACCUAAAAAACAUGAAUAUUGUGAAUUCACCAUUUCUAUAAGGAAGUUGAAAACUUCAAAAUUUUAUCAACAAAUUCUCUAAAAUCCUCAAAAUAUAUAGGGCCUGUUUCACAAAGUUUUUUAAAAUUUGUUUUUAUAAAUUGCUUUUAAAAUAUAGAAUAAAUAACAGUUUUUUAGAUUUUUUGAAAAAUAAGAGUGUUUGGUAAGAUGUUUUUUUUUUUUUUUUUUUUUUUAAGAAUUAAAUAAAAAAUAAAAAAAUUGUUUAGAUAAAAGAAUUUGUAUUGUUUUUAAAAACAAUGUCUUACUUUUAUGUUAUAAAAAUUUUAUUAAUUUAAUUUAUAAUAAUAUGAAAUGAAAUUCAAGUUAAGUCUUAUUAAAAAAUACAAAUUAAAUCUAUAAUUAUGCAUGAGUUAAAGAUAAAUAUAUAUUUUUUAAAACUAUAAAAUAAAUUUUCUAUUAUAGUGAAACAAAAAUUACUAUAAAAUAAAAAUAAUUUUAAUAUUCAUUUUUAAUACAAGUCAAAUAAGUACUUUAAUUAAUUUUUUUUAUCAUGAUUUCUUAUGUUUUUUUUUUUUUCUAGAAAUUAUUUUAAGUAAUAUAACUAAUUUUUUUUUUAAUGUUUUAUAAAAAUAAGGAUAUUUGGCAAGUUGUUUUUAUAAAAGGAUUUUAAAAAUAAAUGGAUUUUUUUUUUUUUUAAAAAAAGAACAAAAUGAUUUGUUUGAAUAAAUUGUUUUGAUUUUGUAAAAACAUUUUAAAUUCAAUUUAUAUAAUAUUAAUUAAUUAAAUUAAAUUGAAGUUUUAUUGAAAAUAAAAAUAAUUUUGUAAUUAAAAUUAGAUUAAAAAAUAUAUAGGUUUUAAUAAAUCGUAAAUAGUAAUAUUAUAAUAAAAUUAUAAAUUAUAUUUUUAACAUAAAAUAUACUAUUUAUUACAUAUUAAAAAAAAUAUUUUAUUAUAUUAAUAAUUUUAUGGUAUUAAUGAGUUUAUUAUUUAAGUUUUAAAUUAUUUUUAAAAAUUAAUAAAUUUGUUAACAAAUGCAAUGUACUAAAUGUGGUUUAAUUUGGAGUUAAUUUGUUUAGGGAAAAAAAUAAAAAAUAAAAAUCUUAUGUAAAAGAGAAAUAAUAGAGUGUGUGUGUUUUUUUUUAUUAUUUUUAAAAAUCAGUAAAAAGAACUUUUACUUAUUGCCUAAAAAUUAUUCUCUAUUUUAUUUUAUUUUUUAAAUCUAGAAAUAGAUAACAAUAAUAAAAAAAAUUAAAAAAGAAAAAUGUUUUUUAAAACUCAGACUUAUAAUUGCUUUUGUUUCUCAUUCGCACCCCUGGAUUCCUGGAUUCUAAACACAAAAUUAAGUUGAAUCGUCCAUCUAUCUUGUAAGCCAAGAAUUCACAUAGAAGAAAUAAUCGGAAUUUGAUUUGAUAUCAGAUUUAGAGUGGCUCACUACUCAUGCAUUGUCCCACAAUAGUAAUGCUUUGGGCCGAGAUAAACCCAUUUGUGGGCCCAAAUAAAACCCCUGGUUUGAAAACAUCGAUUUUACAGUGGCCCAAAAGAUUAUCUAUGAGGGGAAGAUAACUUGGAAGUCAAGCAAACACAUUUAUCGCUAACUUUUCUCUAAUUAUAAAAUUAUAACUUGGUCUUCUACACGUCUCACUUAAGAGGCGGAGCCACUUGGCACUACCUUUCCAUAUUGUAAAAGGAGAAGAAGCAGAAGGAGAAGAUUCUUAUGCCAUUCCACACACCAUGGCUAGUACUGCUAUGCUGCUUGGCCCGCCGGCUCUCCGCCAUCCUAAUUCUCCCGCCGGCACUGUCUUUGAAGAUGGGGUCAUUCUAACGGAUUCCCUGAUCGUCCGCACCAGUAAUCUGGAGCUUUCUGAAAAACCGCCACUGGAAUCCCUGGCGUAGUGCUCUGUCAGUGGGGAUAUUGCUAUGGAUUGUUUGGAUUCCCAAGCCCACAAUCUUCAUCUUCCCGGGAAACCGCCGAUGGGCUUAACGGAAAACAAGUCUCCGACCUUUUUGUCUUCCGGGAACCCGUGCUUGGACUUCUUCUUCCAUGUGGUUCCCGAUACGUCGUCUGAUGAUCUGAUCCGACGGUUUGAGUUGGCUUGGGAAUUCAAUCCGCUGACGACGUUAAAACUGAUAUGCAACUUGAGAGAGGUGAGAGGCACCGGAAAAUCUGACAAAGAGGGUUUCUACACGGCGGUUCUCUGGCUCCACGACCACCAUCCCAAAACCCUAGCCUGCAAUGCUAGGGUGUUGGCCAGCUUCGGUUAUUUCAAGGAUUUUCUCGAGAUUCUCUACCGGCUUCUGGAGGGCCCUAAAAUUCGAAGAAUCGAAAAGAAAGACUGGCUGGAUCGAAAAGGAAGGAAGAAAAAUUCCCGGAAAAGGAACUCAAUAUUCAAGCGAGAAAAUAGGCCUGGAGUUGAAUUUCCUGUAGAAGAGAAGGAUGUGGAGUAUAUGGUGGAAGAAUUUGUGGAUAAAGAAAAGGCUAGGGUACUGAGAAAGGAGAGAGAACUUGCUCUUGCCAAAAGAGCCCUGCACAAGUAUUCUACUGAUUCUAAUUAUCAGUUCUUACAUGAUCAGAUUUCAGAUUUAUUUGCUGAACUUCUGAAAUCUGAUAUUCAGUAUUUAAACUCCGGUGAGCUUUACAAGAUUAGUCUCGCAUCCAAAUGGUGUCCCACAAUUGAUUCUUCUUAUGAUAAAUCCACCUUGAUAUGUGAAAAUAUUGCUCGAAAGGUUUAUUCUCGCGAGGAAUAUAUAUCCAGAAUACCAAGGAAUUGAGGAGGCUCACUAUGUUAAUAGAGUCAGGGAUAGGUUGAGAAAACAAGUACUUGUUCCAUUACGUAAGGCCCUGGAGUUGCCAGAGGUUUUCAUGUGUUCGAACCAGUGGGGAUCACUUCCCUACAACCGUGUGGCUUCAGUGGCCAUGAAAUCAUACAAGAGCCUCUUCUCAAAACAUGAUACAGAGCGGUUUGGUGUGUAUCUUGAGAAAGUGCAAACUGGGAAGGCUAAGAUUGCAGCUGGUGCAUUACUUCCCCAUGAGAUUAUAGCUUCAUUGAAUGAGGAGGAUGGCGAGAAAGUUGCAGAGCUUCAGUGGGCGAGAAUGGUGGAAGAUUUAUCAAAGAAUGGGAGGCUCACAAAUUGCAGUGCGGUAUGUGACGUAUCAGGAAGUAUGAGUGGAACUCCAAUGAAGGUGUGUGUGGCUCUGGGGCUGUUAGUUUCAGAGCUCAGUGAAGAUCCAUGGAAAGGUAAUGUAAUUACUUUCAGUGCAAGUCCUGAGCUUCACAAGAUCCAAGGAGACAGCCUUGUAUCCAAGACUGAAUUUGUGAGGAUGAUGGAAUGGGGUGCGAACACUGAUUUUCAGAAAGUUUUUGACAGAAUCUUACAAGUAGCAGUGGAGGGAAAUCUGAGUGAAGAUCAAAUGAUAAAGAGGGUUUUCGUUUUCACUGAUAUGGAGUUUGAUGAAGCUUGUGGGAGGUAUAACUAUUGUGAAUAUGACUAUGAUAUGGAGGAAAUUGAUGAGAGUCAGAAGGCAUCUCAGAAGUGGGAGACAGAUUAUGAAGUGAUACAGCGGAAAUUCCAGGACAAAGGAUAUGGAAAAGUUCCGGAGAUAGUGUUUUGGAACCUUAGAAACUCAUCAGAGACUCCAGUGAUGGCCACAGAGAACGGGGUGGCCUUAGUAAGCGGGUUUUCGAAGAAUCUGUUAGACCUUGUUUUUGGAAGGAGGUGGAAUUCUGACCCCUCAGGAUGUGAUGGAAUUAGCCAUCUCUGGUGAAGAUUACAAGAAACUUGUUCUAUUUGAUUAAGAUAUCAAGAGAUUUAUCAAUAAUAAUAUGUUUUUUUUUUUCUAUGUGAAAUACAUGUAAUAUUAACUAUGGAGUUAUCAAAGUUCUGGAAAUUUAAUUAUUUCUUCUUUUCAAGUUUUGUUUGUCUUUGUUAGGAAUUCCCCUUGGGCGGACCCAGCUGGGGACUUGGAUUGAGGAAGUAAGGAGGCGAAAUUGUGUUCUUCUAUGGACAGAGAAAAAAGAUAAAAAUAAAAAAUAAAAAAGGAGGUUAUUUGCAUUUGGAUGUCAUGUGGUUUCAGGGUACAACUACAAGUUCGAAAUUGUACAUAAUGUGAAAAUUCCUGUGUGGAGAACAGCAUAAAUAUGUAUCUCAGUGUGUUUUGUUUGAGCUAAUUGGCAAAUUCGCUUUAAACAUGGUCACAUGGAUGCAUAUUUAUUUGUGAAAUGAUAGUAGUCGAUUACUUGGUCAGUAAGGUUUGUAUCUCUAACUCCAACAUCUUAUUGUAGUCUUUUAAAAUGUCAAAAGUUUAAUGCUAGCUUGAGAAAUUUUGGAAUGGAGACAUUCUAAACAAAGUUAAUAAUCCAUGAGACUUGGUAAAACCGAUCAGAUGAUGCUUACGUACAUGAAUGCCUUCUUUAAGCCGUAUCCUAUUUUCAUUGAAUGAGACGUGCCAUCUAGUUUUGUUCUUGUCUUGAUUGGAUCAUGAUCCCGGGAAUUGAUUACUGUUCUGAAUUUGCGAAUGUUCAAGGUAUUAGAGAAAGUUAAUAUUAUCGUUAAUUUACAUAUUAGUAUUUAUCUAGUUAUUAUAUAUUAGUUUGAAUUAUAAUAUAAUAUAGAAUUUGAAUCAAGUUUACUAUUAGUUUGAAUUACAAUAGGAAAUAAAGUUUGAAUUAUAGUAUAACUCAAAUAUAUUUGUAUAUAAAUAUCCAUCUUUAUCAAUGAGAAUAGUAAACCAUAUUUUUCUCUAUCUUCUUCUUUCUCUAUAUAUAUGGUAUCAAAGCCUCCAAAUCCUAAACCUAGUCUCAACUUAGAGCAAAUUUAGGGUGCAGGGUUUAGGCCCCGCCUCCCCCAACCCUUACCACAAAUGGUAGUGACCUUGUUAUGCCUAUGUAUUGUCAAUGCCUCAUUUUCUAUGGUCUUCAAUACAAUAUCUAGUUUCAAUGUCUCUUUCCUUACUAUCUCCAAUGCAAUAUAUUGAUUUCAAUAUCUCUUUACAACCAAGAGCUCCAAAUUUUCCUGGUUCAAAUCUACCAUAAUUUUUAUUCUCCUUUGCUUUUUACCAAUAUUAGUUCCCCUAAUUUAAUAUAUAUCUCUUUAUUACCUUCAACUCUACCUCUCUCUUUCUUUAAAAGCUUCCUCAAAGAUUUGAUUGCUUUCUUGCAUGUUUUGGGAAAACAAACAUGCUCAUAUUCUAUUACCUCUACUUGAGAUCUGCCUUAUACUCUACCUUCUUCUUUACCUCCUAUAUCAUCUACUACAUUAGCUUCAAAAACAUUAUUUAGUUUGAUGCUAAAUAAGGCUCCUAAUCCUACCCUUCCUUCAACUAACUUUCUUUUACAAGUCCCUCAAAGUUUUUUUUUUUUUUUUUUUGGAAAUUUGGCUUAGAAAGAUUUCAUUACUCUUACCUAAUCUUUCAACCAUCAAGUCGAAUCCACUUAUCUCUUGAAUCCAAGGAGACUACCCUCCACAAAAACAAGGAGAUUGACCCCCACAAUAACAAAGAGAUUGUCCUCCAUAGAAACAAAGAGAGCUUCCUUCAUGGAAGCCGAAUACAUCGCAAUCUAUUUUCUUUCUCUCAAGAUCAAAUCUCCAAUCGGAGCUCCAUCUUGUGGGGAUAUAUUAGAAAAAGUUAAUAUUAUCCUUAAUUUACAUAUUAGUAUUUAUCUAUAUUAUAUAUUGAAUUAGAAUAGAAUAUAGAAUUUGAAUUAAGUUUACUAUUAGUUUAAAUUACAAUAGGAAAUAGAGUUUGAAUUAUAGUAGAACUCAAAUAUAUUUAUAUAUAAAUAUCCAUCAUUAUCAAUGAGAAUAGUAUUCCAUAUUUUUCUCUUUCCCUGAGGCUUCAGAAUGUGAUCUUGAACAUUUGAUCUUUUGGAUUCUUCUUGUUUCGGUGGUUUAAUAUAAUGGAAUGUUUAAUUAUAGCCUACUUUAUCACCAUGGAUGUGCUCCUGCAGAUUUCUUGAGGGUGAUGGUUAUUUUGUCAUGUUUCUUGAAUGGUUUGCAUCAGCUGCCUGAGCUGUUGUUGCUGGUCACUUUUGCAACCAGGGAAAGAAUCAUGGCUUUGGAGAAGCCAGCUUCUGUUUUUGUUGCCCAGCUGUUAGUUCACUAAGAUUGGGGGUCCUAACAUGUAUGUAUAAUCAUAAGCAAGGAAAUUUUAUGUCUUACGCUAGAUAGGUACCAUGAUAUGAUGUUUGAUUGAUUUAUUAACUCUACCUGUUUCAAAAGGCAUCAACAUUAAUUUUACCCUUUUAACACAUUGGAUUGUUUGACCUUACGAGAUUUUCUAUUUCUGUACUAUUUGAACUGCAAUCGUUAUGGUCCUUAGGUCUCUAAACCUUCGUUUAAAAUAAAAGUAAGGAGCACACAUAGUAAAAGUUAAUUUUGGGUAACUUUUAAAACAAAGAGAAAAGUAAAAGUUGUUUUUGAGAAAAACAUAUAGAAAUUGAAAGAUUUUUUAUUUUGAGAAAAAAAAGUCAUAGAAAAGAAAUAAUAUCCCCAUAUAAGUAGAUAUGAUCUAUCCGAAGUGUAGCUACUCUCCUGGAUUUAUUCUAACAUUUUAAAAUUUUUCUCAAUGGGCAAAGGAAUAUCAAAUCAAGCUUGAGUAGGAUUAAUUUCUUAAUUUUUAAAAUAACUUAUAAUUAAAAUUUUUUGGUGUUUUCUUUUUUGGACAAUUUUUUAUGAAGACUCUGAAUCAUGCAAGAGAUAUGGUUAUUUUAAAAAAAAAAAUAAUUUAAAACUCAAAUACAUAAUCAAUGUCACAAAUUUAUAAACAAAAGGUUUUUAAAAAAUACUAUUAUUUCCCCUCUACACAUAAUUUUACUUUUCCGAUUUAUUUAUUUUUGUUGGAAAACAGUCUUCAAAUCAAGUAAAAUUAAUAUGUUAAAUUUGUUAAACAAAUAAAUUUUAAAAUACAAUUUGGAACUCAAAAAUCAAUUCAAGUAAUGCUAAAAUUCAAAAAAUCAAAUUUGGAAUAAAAUGACUUUGUAAAUUUUUUUACUAAACAAAUGAAUUUUAAAUCAAGUGAGAUUUAAUACAUUGGAUUUUUAUGAGAAUAGUAAUUUUAAAAAUUAAUUUGGAACUCAAAAAUAGACACAAUAAAUACCAAAAAUCAAUGAACCAAAAUUGGUUUGGAAUAACUCCAUAAUUUUUUAUUUAUUUAUAUAUUUAUUUUUUUGUGCACACGAAUUUCUUACUAAGCAUAUUGCUUCCAAAUUGAGAAAAAUUUACUAUUUAGAUUUUUUUAAUGAGUUUAAUGGUAUUUAAAAAUAAUUCAAAAAUUCGAAAAUUGACUAAUUUAAUAUUAUAAAUUCAUAAACCAAGACUAAUUCAAAAUGCAUUGGGGGCUAAGGGGGUUGAAAUUAAUGCUCCAUUUGGUUGUGGCCACCAAUUGGCAAUGGCCACCAAUCAACCAAUCAAGGUGGCUAAGGGGGUUGAAAAUAGGGACAAUGGGGUGGGUUUGGGACAGGACACUCAUAUCCCAUUCCCAUCCCAAUUACACAGUUAUUUCCCAUCCUUAUUCCAAACUUGUGUUGGGGCAAGUUGAUUUGUUCCCAUCUUUGUUAACGAAAUGACUAAUAACCUCAUCCUCUCCUUGUCUUAGAUGUACAUUUUCUCAAAUUUGGUCAGGUAUGAUUGAUUCAAGCCCUAACCUUAAUUGGUAAUGAGUGGAUACCACACCUAAUUGCAUUCUUCUUUCGUUGCAAAAUAAUGAGAUUAUAAUAAUCUAGCAAAUAAGAAAAAAUAGUAUGGAAGUUCAAAUUAACACCAUAACUAUCAAUAAUUUUAAGCUUAUAGAUGACUUAAAUGAUUGAAAACUAAUGCAAAAUACUAAAAAAAAAAAAAAUCAUCUAAAGAAUUCACAAGAGAAUAGAACGAACAAAACCAAAUAGGAACAUGGGUCAACAUUAGUUACAGAUUUUGAUCCCUUUCAAGGCCAAUCUUUGAACCAAGACUUCAUCAAAUCUACUACUUCAAAGGCUUUUGUGUUCUUCUUGAGUUGUACUCUGGAACAAAGACUUCGAGGUGAUGCUUUAGAUGAUUGCAUUACACAUAUUUAGGGUAGGGAGAUUGGAGAAGCUUGAAGAUGCCAACGAUGGGUACAAUUGAGUGGUCAAUAAGAACAAUGUGGCCUAUGACUAGUUUGAUGUCAUGGUAUAGGAGUUUUGGGCAUUGAGGUGAAAGCAAGAGCAACAUGGAAUUGAUUUCAAAGUCUUUCAAUUAGUGUAAAGGAGGAAGAAGAAGUGGUAUUGAUCCUAGAAAUAGUGUUUUAGGUGUUGCAUUAGAGGAAAAGAAAAAGAAAAAGAAGGAACCAUUGGAAUUAGUACGAGUGUGAAGAGAGAAGUGUAUACAUAAGGGGAAGUAAAAGCAAAGUUCUAAAAAUUUAUUUUUUUAUUGGUGGUGUAUGGUUGCAUGAUUAUCCCUAUAAAUAAUAGGAGUUUUUUGGUGUUCUACUAGUAGUUGAAGGAUAAUUUCAUAAGAUAAUAUUUAGAGCGGGGUGGGGUGAGUUGUGACAAAAUCCAUACCCGUCCCAAACAUUGGUUCAGGUUUUUAAAAUAUUUUCAAACUUAUCAUAUACCCAAUUUUAUAUUUCAUACUUGUCCUAAUAGAGACAGGUUAGUCAGGGUUACUUGAGUAGCCUACAAAACUAUCAUCCCUAGUUGAAAUGCUCUUUUUGGCAGUGGCAGCUAGAAGCUCGAUCGAUUGACCUACAAGACUAGUUGUCAUCAUUUUAAAAAGAGUUUUGGCUUUGGUUGUGAGUGCAAUUGAAUCUAAACUAACAUUUCCUUAAUGCAUCUACUUCAAUCCUAAACUUCUUACUUAAGCCUCAAUUGUUGUUAAGAUUUUGGAAAACCCAUUUCCUUAAAUUGUAAAUUUAAGAAAAAAAAAAUUAAAAGUGAGACAUUUCUUGAUUGAAUGUUGUUAAAGGUCCCUUGGAAUUAAGACUUGGUUGAAGCCUUGGAAGAUUAGCAGAACUCUCAACUUAUGUUUGAACCUUGAGGAGAGUGGACGUAGGCCAAAAUUUUGUCAAACCAUUAUACAAAUUGAGUUUGAAUUCUCAUUUCUUGAUUUCUUAUUUAUUUGCUUUUUCUUAUUAUUACUUGAAUUGUCAUUUGCAUUCAUUAAUGUUAAAAUUGGUUAUAAUUAGCCAACACUAAUUCUCUUUCCCCUUCCCUUAAUUUCUUGGGUGUAAACCUAGGUUGGAUUAACUAGAUUUUAUCAAAUCUAUUAAGAUGGUAAAAGAAUAAUUAUUCUUAACAUACAUAAGAUCAUCUUCAAUCAAAUGACUCAUUGGCUGAUAUGUUGAAUUUGCUUAUUACUUGCAACUCAAAAUUGUGUUCUAGUUGAUAUGUCAAGUCCUGAGUGUAUGGACAUUAAAUUUGUAGUACGUGAUGAGUAUUUAGAUGGUCCAAUUCCAAGAAAGUGAUUGAAAACUAGUUCAAGAAAGGUGCAAAAGGGAAUUGUUUUGGUAUUUUCGUUUUUAUUCUUGAAGGUGGCAGAGCUAAAAUUUGAGAAAUCAAGCAAAACAUACUGAAAUUACAUUGAAAGAAAGAAAAUGGGAGUUAAUGUCUUGCAGUACAUGAUAAGGACUUCAUGCAUGUAGUGUGACCCAUGUCUUGGACUGAUGCCACACUCACGGUUACACUUAUACCCUUAGUUCUCUCUUUACUACCUUAGCUAACCUAGAUCAGGUUAUGAGAUAGGCACCUCACCACACCAUUACUUGCCCAUUAAUUAGUGACAUUUUCAAGCAAUGAGGUAACAUGGUGACACCAAGAGGGUAUAUUCCUCACCCCCAACAAGCCUAGACCUGGUCUAAAAAAAAUGGAGAAAAAUGACGUGUUGUUAUGCAGAAAUAUAGCAACCAUGCCUUCCUCAUUACUUAGAUUCAGAAUGUGAAGGUGAAAUUGAGAAACAGAAACUCUUGAAACCAAAAUGAAAAUUGAUACUUUUACGAAGAAUUACAACAACAUUAGAGGAAGACUACAUUCUUCCUCUUUAUUCCUACAUUUCUACACUACUUCUACUCCACUCCAUAUUUCUACAUACAUCUUUAAUCAGUCUUCCCUCCUUUAUAUAGAGCCAUCUUCACACAAAUUCCGCAAGGUAGAAAAGAGGAAUGAAACUUGGAGCAAGGUUCGACUACUGGCUGUAGCUUGUCAAGGCUGAAAGUGAACUUUUUUUCUUGGCUUUUCUGGGCAUAGGUAGUAACUUGUAGGUUCCUUUUUGGAAUGAAAAUGGUACGGCUAGAACAUGUGGCACUCUCUUGUUGGAUGAUGUGUCAAGCAUGUGGCAGCCAUCUAGUGGAGAUUAUGUCAAUUUUGGGAUGGAGAGUUGGCAUCCAAUUGCAAAGAAAUAUGACAUCUACCAACAUGCAAUGUCAACCUAUGUAGAUCAUAUGAAGAUAGAGAGGAAAAAUAUAGAAAUGGAUAUAUAACUAGAACUAGCUUUUUAUUAAAUGAGACGGAGAGCCAACAAUGAAGGAAAAUCAAAAUUUUUGGCUCAUAUCAAAGAAUUCACAUUGUGUUACCCUAGGUUUUCUUAAAACUUACUUUUAUGAUAAUAAAAAAUCAUUAUUGUUUAAUCCUUUGUUUUAAACGCAUGUUUAGCAGGUUGUAAAAUGUAAAUAUCUUUCGAAAUUCAAAUAUGAAGAUAUGACAUCAUUUCAAGCAAUAUAGUCUCUAGGAAUUAAUGUAAAGCUAAAUUAAGGUGCAAUUAAGUUAGUUCAAUGCAUUAUUUUAAGAAACUUGACCUAUCAAAACCUUGUCUUACUUCAAAGCCUCUUUUUCUUUUCUUCCAACUAACAUUUUAAUAAGUGAUCGCAAAAGUACAAAAUUAGAUGAAAUCCAUUUCAAUGGUUAAAAUGAUCAAAUUCAAACUUUUUCUAAGUAUCUUUUAAAAGCAUCAAUAUUGAAAGACAAUUUUAUAUUUAGUCAAAGCUUGGACAGAGCCAAAAAGCACACAAAAAUUUAUAUUUUCUAGCUCUCUACCUUGGAUGGUCUCUUGAUCCUACUUGGAGAUGUGCAUAAAUAAAAGGAUUUGAAAAUGACAAUUGACUAAGUAUGUAGUCAAUCAAUUACUCAUUGAUUGACUAGUUGAUCAAUUAACUUUGCAACAUCAUAUGCAAUCCUAAUAGCUAGUCAUCUAAUCAACUAGGUAGUAAAUCAAUAGGCCAAAAAUAUGUUUAUAAUGACUAUUUUGUACAAAAACCACUUAUAUAGUUAAAUAUAAUGCAUUUCAUUUAUAAAUCUUCUAAUUCUUGAAUAACAAUCCUAUCAUCCUUUGAAAGUUUUUAUUACACCUUUUCUACAUUUGUUCUAAAACUUAUACAUCACCCUUAAUUGUACCAUGAGAACCUAGCAUUUUUUUUUUUUUUUUUGUAUUUCAUCAAAGUUAGCUCUUGUACUCAUUGUUGUAUUAUUUUUAUUGUAACUUAGAGAGCGAGUGUUUUCAAGUGAGUGAAAUUGACUUGUAAAUAUUGUAAAGAUUCAUUGAUAUGUAUCUCAAACUAGGUGUACAAGUUGAAACAUUUGCUAGUAGAUUUUCUCAAGAUUUAGAAUGAGCUUAAGGCUAUCGAAUUAGGUGGGGUUGCGCCAAACCAUAUCACAUCGUUGUUUGCACCUUUUUUUUCACUCUCUUUUACUUAGUUGCUCUAUAUAUAUUGUCUAGCAAUAUCCUAAAGGCUUGAUGGGCUAGGGAGCAUCCCUCUGAAUGAAAAAUUUUCAUUCAAUUCUUAGUUGUAUUACGCAUAUAUAAAAUGCCUCAUUGUUUUAAUGGUAUUCAGUCGUGGCACCACAGAUAUGGACAUCUAAAUUUUAAAAGUUUGAAACUUUUAGCUAAAGAAAAUAUGGUGCUUUGCCUUUUUGGAAAGCAUGUUGAUGAAAUCCAUGAGAAUUGUAUACUUGGAGAGCAACAUCGAGAUAACUUUUUUUUUUUCUUUUUUUAUAAUGCAUUGUUUGUCCAAAUUCCGUACAAAUUAGGCCACCACAUGUUCAUAAUUCUCCCUUCUUGAAUUUGAAAACUCGGACAAUUUGACAAUGCGACACCUAAGUCCGGUUUUUAAAUGCUAAAGUGAAAGGGCAGGUAUGGACCAUUGAAAUGUGAUAACAACUUUUGGCCUUUUCCUUUUCUCUGUAGCCAUGUUGUCUCUUUUUAAUUUCUUUUGCAUGAUUUUCUUACCUAAACAGAAUCAUAGACUUGUUUAAUCUCUAAGUGGGAUUUCAUCCACCUUAAGCUACUGUAUUAUAUCUCGGUGGAGGACAACCGACAUAGAGCACAUGCAAGUGGGUAUAUGGGACAUGAAAUAUCUUCUUAUAAAGCUUGUUUUGCAGUUAAAUUAAUUGGAUAAGUAGACACUGGCGUUUCUAAAUUUCCCACCUAAGAUAAUGACCUUAUCCUUGACUGCUAGAUACACAAACAAUUAUACCUUCAAAAUCUACUGUGAAGUGCUUCAUGUAUGUGUGAAGUAUUAGAAAUUUCUUUCUUGGCAACUUGUUUUUUUCUUUGCGGUCUACUGAUAGGUUUGACUAAAAUUAUAUUCCCUGUCCUGCUAAUUAAUUUUCACGUGCAUGCUCAAAAGAAGAGUAUGACCUUAGUGCACCAAAAUCACUUUCAAUAAUUUGUGAUAAGUUUUUUUGCAUGACAUUAACCUUAUUCAUUUAGAUAAUGUUUAGUUCUCAUAAAUAUUAAGAAAAUGAAAAUAAAUAUUAAGAAAAAUAUUCUUAUAUUUGAUUGUAUUAUGAAAAAUAUCAUAAAAAAUCAAAUAUAAUUAAAAUUAAUUAAUAAUUUAUAUAUUUUAAAAUUAUUUAAUUUUUAUAUUAAAGAUAUAAUAUAAAUGAAAUGAGUUUUAAGUAUUAUAUAAAAAUGAUUUAUUUAUUUAUUUAUAUAUAUAUAUAUAUAUAUAUUUAGUUUUUCUCUUUAUUUUAUUUUCCUUAUGUUUUCCUCACAUUUUCCGGAAUCAAAGAUAGGGAAAUCCACAAUUACCUUCAACUGAGUAGAUUCUAUUGUUUUAGCAAUGUUAGGCUGCUAACUUGUGGUGGUACGAACCAAAUGAUCCAUGUUAAUCUUGGCUUGAUUUAAUUUGGCUCUAUCUCAGAGAACUCAAGGAUCACGUCAACUCUGGUUUCUACUAUUCAGGUCCAUUCCCAGAUGAACUGGUUCAAAUUUGAGAAAAUGGUAACAGACCUUUAGUGAUAUUGGUUUGGAGCCAGUUGCCAAACCUGCCCUGAGCUUUACCACUAAUGUCAAGGGACAAAGCCAUUUGAACAAAAACAAUAGCUUCAAGAGACUGAAUCGUGGAUGAAAUCUGAUCCACAUUUCUUCUCAUUUUGGGAAAAAAUGAGGACUUAACCACAAAGAUUCUACUGCCUCAUAGUGCUUUUCCUGAUCUAAGGUUGGCUCGUUUCCCAAAUUGUGAGGUGCACGUGCCACUCUCACGCUCAGGAGUGUAUCCACGUGGUGGACAUAAGAUGGUGGCUUAAUAUCUGGUGUCGGUGGCUUUACUUUACUAGGAGAGUAGUGUGUCUUCAUCUCAUUCACUGCCAGAGGGUGGCGUAAGCAGUGACGCUAAGGUGGGGCACAGUCAAUAUCAUUUGCAUUUGACCAUUAUAAUUUUCUCCCGGCUUUAAAGUAACCUUAUCGUGAUAAUGGAUUACUAGCACUAGUUCAGAUGACAGUCAUGUUAAAUUCGGACCAUGUUUGUGUCACAUUAUCAGCAACCAUGUGCUUGUGGUUCAUGCUAUCUGCAACUAAACUUGAUAUAUAACCAGGUGAACUUCAAUCUAAAUUCUGGAAGUACUCAUGUGAUAGAUGGUGCCUGUCUGCAGUGAGUGUAUCUAUAAGAGGGAAGGCUUGGCAAAUGUUCAGUUUUCUGGGAAUUCAACAGGGAUCUAAAAUAGAUUGUUUUCUUUGCUGAUUUCAAUGGUUGAAAUUUGAGAAGAUUGUGUCCACAUAACACAACUAUUACUGGUCCUUCUGUUGCAAUUUAUCCUCUAAGGCUCUAACAUGUCUUCCAAUUCCCACUUCCCACUUCCCUGUUACUCCAGGAAAGCUGUUUCUGUCAUUGUGAAGAAGAAAAGAGACUGUACAUAUCGAUGCUUUUAAGUGGACUGGAGAAUUCAUAUCAGGUGGUCUGCAGCCAUACAUGCCACUUUGUGAAGGUUGGAACAGUCAAUCACUAGGCUAUAUUAGUGGGGCCCAGCCACUUCAAUCAAGGACAAGUCUUCAUACUUAAAGUCAAAUUCUGCCUUUAGUCUCAUUAUAAAUUGCUGUUUAAAUAUCAAGCAAACAUUUGUUUAAUGCGAUUAAGACAGCACUAACUCAAUACUUGUUCUAUUUUUGGAUGCAAAUGCUUGAUAGUUUCAUCAUUGGAGGGGAUAAAGGUGCAUUCAUGAUUAUGAAUACUUGUAGUUAUAUUUUCAUUCUCUUUUUUCUCAAUGGGACUUGUUGGCACAAUUUUGCUGUUCAGAAACCUACCUCUCCAUGGAAAAUCAGUUGUGAUUGAUAUUACUGGAUAUAUUCAAGAAAGCUAAAUGUAGAUAGCACAAAAUAUUAUCGACAUAAAUAGCAUUAACAGCGUACGUAUGUCUCAAUGCUCAUCAGCUAUAAGCAAGGGGCAAACACUUACUAUGAGCAACUUACGUCAAAAUUCCGGAAUAGGACAUAGAAGUGACAGGUCAGUAAAUAUAGAACACUGCAUAUGAGUCACAAGAAAGGAAAUUACGGGUACAUAGCAGCUCUUAUUUUACAUCCUACUCAUACUGAUCAAAGUCACUCAGUUGGGAUGGGUGGGAGUGGGAGGUUUGUGGGGUGGCUUGUGCGGAGGAGUUGGCAGCUUCUUUCCAGGACCUGGUUGCUUCUCUGCUGGAGUUGAAGGAGGCUUAAUCUUCCGAGGUGGCUUGUAUGAGUCUUCAGCAUUCUCAGCAGGAGGGUGACCAGGGUUGUGACCACAAUGUGGUGGCUUCUCUCCCUUAGGUGGUUUGCCAACUGGGGUUGGUGGCUUGUGUUCCGGAAGUGGCUUCUCUUUGUGUUCAGGAGGUGGCUUCUCCACUGGAGGCUUGUGUUCAGGAGGUGGCUUCUCCACCGGAGGCUUGUGUUCAGGAGGUGGCUUCUCCACCGGAGGCUUGUGUUCAGGAGGUGGCUUCUCCACCGGAGGCUUAUGCUCUGGUGGUGGCUUCUCCACCGGAGGCUUAUGCUCUGGUGGUGGCUUCUCCACCGGAGGCUUAUGCAAUGGUGGUGGCUUCUCCACCGGAGGCUUGUGUUCAGGAGGUGGCUUCUCUACCGGAGGCUUAUGCUCUGGUGGUGGCUUCUCCACCGGAGGCUUAUGCUCUGGUGGUGGCUUCUCCACCGGAGGCUUGUGUUCAGGAGGUGGCUUCUCCACCGGAGGCUUGUGUUCAGGAGGUGGCUUCUCCACCGGAGGCUUGUGCUCUGGUGGUGGCUUCUCCACCGGAGGCUUAUGCUCUGGUGGUGGCUUCUCCACCGGAGGCUUGUGUUCAGGAGGUGGCUUCUCCACCGGAGGCUUAUGCUCUGGUGGUGGCUUCUCCACCGGAGGCUUGUGUUCAGGAGGUGGCUUCUCCACCGGAGGCUUAUGCUCUGGUGGUGGCUUCUCCACAGGAGGCUUGUGUUCAGGAGGUGGCUUCUCCACCGGAGGCUUAUGCUCUGGUGGUGGCUUCUCGAAUGGGGGAUGCGUAGGGUAAUCAGCUAGUGAGGGGGCGGUGAGAACCACCAGGCCAAGCAACACUACUAGCAAGUAUGUAGGAGACAUCUUUGGGUUUGGGCUCAGAUGGUGCAAAACUAGGAGAAUUGGCUAGCCUUUUAUAGCGGAUCGUACCCAAUAAUGAAAUGACACGUGUCAUUAUGACCCAUGUGUCAUGUGGUCGAUUUGGGUCCUACAGUGUUGAAAACUUCGACAUCCACUUUUUUGGCCUUUUGCUUUCUCUACAGUCGCCUUGCUUUUUCCCUCUUUUCUUUUGUUUUCCUCCUGCCCCAUUCUAUCAACUAAUCACAAUUAUGUAGUUGUUUAAUUCUUAAAUGAGAUAUUAUCCGUCAAUCAUAUUAUCUUUUAUCAAGAGAGAACGGAGUGAAAAGUGGCAAUCCAAAGAAAGAAGAUCCAUAAUGCAGCUGUAAUUUUAUCGUUUACUUUUAUCUCUAGGACCACUGCAUUUUUGUUGAGAGGUGCAAUAAUACACGUCUUUAUCUGCCAUUCAAUGUUUACAGUAAAGAGAGGGCACAAAACUCUUCACUGCUCUGCAUGUGCCCCAAAAAUGCAAUUGGACAAAUUAUGAUUUGCAUGCUAAAAAGAGGCAAAUGAGGUUAAUUAGCACCAAAAUUAUUUUGUUUUCUGGACACCCCGGGGCCCUUUGGUUGGUUUGGGGGUCAGAAAAUGAACAUCAUAGGGGGUUUUUCCCUAAUGUGCAUUUGCAUUUGUAUCUGAUGGCUUUAACUCGCCUUGUUACUACAAAGAAAUUGUCACAGAUAGGAACUUAUUCCAGGCUGAGUAUCUCCGCAUGGACCCUAUAAAAGAAGACAAGUCAUAAUGAACAUCUAACCUUUGUUCAAUUUGAUUCAAUGCCCCUAUUGUGUCCAUCUCACAAAUCUGAAUUAUUAUAUCCAUUGAAUACAUAAAUUAAUGAAGAAAAUAUGAAACCCAAGAUACAUCUCUGCACAACCUCAACCCUGGUUGCUAUGUUUCACUUCUAUUCACAUGAGGAUAUUGAUUACGGAAUAAGGAAACCUAGCAAGGGUUUACUCGGCUCUGGUUUGAUGCUAAUUGCCAAACUUGCAACAAGCCCUGAGUUUGACACCUAAUCGAUGGGCGAAUUAAAAGUCUCCUCCAAACAUAUAUUCCACAGCUUGAAGCUCACAGAAGAUGCUAUACAGGCAGGGAAAAACCUUCAGAGUUAGCUACCAAAGAUAAUUAUCAAGGAGAUAUCACCAAGAGAAUUCCAUGGAGUCUGAAUCAAAGACAAAUUGCUCGCUCGUGGGGGUUCUUACUUAAUUUCUUUUGGGUAUAACUCACUGAGGGCACUGGCUUUGUUAUUUGCAUUUCGCAUUUAGAGUUCUGUUCUGGAAGGUUUGUUCUGGAAACAUAUAAAAGGAGCAUCAUUUUGUUCUAGGGUAACCCAUAGUUGUGAGUGGGUCCAUUUGCAUGCUACUUAGUUGAAAAGUUGGACAAUUUGCUCCGACGCCUACCUCCUGGAUUCCAUGCUCGGAUAAAGCAAGAAUAAUAAAAUAUUUAUAAUUUACAAAUGGGGGAAAGAAAAAAAUGUCAACAACAAACUAGGAAAAAAGAGUAGUAAAAUUUAUGCCACAUGCUAUUGAUAGAAGGGGCAUGUAUUAGAUCCAUCACCAUUUGGUAAGAUUUUAGUAUUAUAUUUUUCAAGGUUCAUUAUUUGAGGGUGUGUUCUUCAUCUCUGUUGCAUUGCUUCUUACUAGGCCCACUGAGGUGGGUUCUUCACCUUUUGUAUAUUCUCUGCACUAGAUCAAUGAGAAAGGGGGAAUUUUGGUGAAUUUGCAGCCGUUGGAUGAUUGAUUCUAGGCUCAGUCCACCAAUGAUGCUCUCUUCACUCUUUCUCAUCUAGUGUCAUUCACAACUAUGUUUUGAUUCAUAUUUGUACUAUCAAAGAUAUCUCAUUAUUCUAGCUCAUUAGGUAGAGUUCCUAAUCUUCCUCCUUUUUGGUCUAUGGACAGUAUUGGCUUCAUAUUAAGAUCAUGUUUCAAUAAUUGCACAUUAAUGAAUGGAUCAUGACCCACAUAAACAGAGUCAGGGUUGAGUCAGUGAACCCUAAAAUUUCACAAUUCUAAAUUUGGGUUCUUUAACAAUGCAGGGUCAAGGACGCGUGGUGAUGAAGGAAAGCUGGUAAGCUCAGUGUUACUUCAAUUCCUGCCAUGUAGGAUGGUGAGGAGAUAUUCACUAUGCAAUUAAUAAUAGACAAUAUUCACUAUGCAAUAAUAAAGCAUAAAUUAAGUUGAAUGAAAAGCAUUUUCUUUGCAAGGAGUUGAUUUUGGUUUCAUAGUUUGUUCAACUGCUAUUUUGGAUAGGAAAGUGUGAGGAGAAGAAAAUAAAAAAUAAAAAUAAAACAAAAAAUAAAAAAUAGAUUUUAUAAAUUCAUUUAAUUUAUUUUUUUUUUAUAAAAAUUAACUAAUUUAAAAUAUAUGUAAAUUUCUAAUUAAUUUAAUUACAUUUUUUUUUUCAGUUUUUCAUAAUAAACCAAAUAUUAGAAAAUUAUUUUUAUUAAGACACCCAAGAUGAGGUAAUAUGCAAUGAAAACAUGAAUUAUAUUAAAAUUCAAAACAAAUUAAGAGAAAUCGGAAAAUAUACAUAGAUAUCUAAACAAAGAAAUUUAAAGAGAAGGAACCACAAACUUUAUUUACAUAAUUUGAAAAUAAAAAACAUAAAACAUACUUAUAGUAAGGAGAAAUUGAAUAUCUUACAAUGGAAGAAGGGAGAAAAGCUUUGAAGAAAGCUUUUGCUUGGAAGCUUACAUGGUGAGAGGUAGAGAAAGGAGAGAGAGAGAAGAAAAUGAAAAAUGAGAAGUGGAGAAAAUUGGAAGUUUUGUGUGCUUACAACUGAGGAUAGAGCCUCCUUAAAUAGCAAAAAAUGGAAUAUUAAAUAGUACCAAUCAGGAGACAAAAUAUUGUUUGCUUUUGAAACCCGUGCAUGAAUAGUAAUCCCGUGAGUGAAUAGUGAAUAAUAAAAGUGAAUAGUAAAAGUCACUUUCUACUAUAGCACUUUAGACUUUUUCAUCGAGAAUCUUACUUUCGGCUGAGUGAUGAUAGCUGAUAGGUUGCUUUGGAUUGUGGAGUCAUAUGUUUGAUGUUUUCGGUGCUGAAACCGCUUAGUUGGAGAAUAAUCUCGUCAGUAGAGCAUCAUGAGAAGCUUGAAUGGAGAGAGCUUAAUGAUGCCAUAUGAUUGGAAGGAAUCCUAUUUUAAUUUCCUUAUUGGAGGGAGAAUACCCUCACAAUCAUCUUCAUUAUCUUGAAGGUAGUUUGAUAUAGAGUCAUCUGACUCAGCAUAAGAGUCCUCUUGGGAGAAGCUUGAACUGCUUUUGUCAAGGAUUUUCUGAAAUUCUUGAGGGGUUUUUGCUAUUGCUAACAUGGUUUGGAGUUGCUGUUUCUUAAGAAGAAACUGUGCAAUAUCAUAAGAUGAUGAAGCUUGUGUAGGAUGCUUUAGGAAAUAUUGCUUUAUUGCUUGUAGUGAGGUAUCAUUUUUCAAGGCAUCCCACCACUUAGACUUGAAAGUCCUUCCAAGGGUUGGAAAGGCUGCUGAUUCAUCUGCUAUAAUGAUAUAAUCCCACUGGACUAUCCAGGCAAGGCCAAAUUCACUAAAAAAGAAUAAUAAUUGGGGAAAACUGAAAGUUCUCUAGGGAUAACAAAAGAACUUUGGAAUAGCUCAAAGCCAUCCAAAAUGGGUUUUGGGAGAAUUUUAAUAGUUGGACCAAAAUAUGUCCACCAAUUGUGGAACCAAAAUGGAAAAGAGGGGAGUUGAUGCUUAGAUGGGAAAUAGAACAUCCCUGAAUGAUGGAAGUCCUUGUUCUGGAUCAGAAAAGCAUUGAACCAUACUCUUUGGUAGUCUCAAUAAUUGAAAAUUUUAGGUUUUGAAGGCUUAGAAAAUUCUCUUGAAAAAUUAGGAUUCCCACCCCACUGCUUAACUGUAAGGAUUUUAUAAAUAUGGUAAGUGGAGAAUGCCAAAUCCAAAUUGCUGAAUUUAUCAGCAUUGUGCUUGAUUUUAACAGAGCCGGUUUCCAUAAGGAUUGCUUCAUAAAAUUCUCUUGUUUUUAAAAGAUCACCAAAGGGAUAAUGAAAAUUUUCAUGAAAAGCUUUUGCUGCAAUAUCUCUAGGGUUUUUAGAGAAAAACUCUUUUUCAAUAACCAAAAGAGGUUGAUUUAAAUCUUUUUGCCAAUAUCUUGCUUUUGCUGAAAGAGGUGUGGGGUUGGCUACCACCACAAUUUGCUUAUUUGAAAAAGAAGAGCUUGAUGCUAAUUCAUUUUGAGAGGGAUUAGCUUUAGUAACCUGCUUAAAGGUCUGAGACACAGUAAUAGUUGGAUACUGAGUAGCCUUGACUGGUUUAGAAGGAUUCGAAGGAUCAUAGUACAAGGACAAAAUCUUAUUAGGCAUAUGGUCAGAAGAAUGAAGCCUUGCUUCUUCUUCUAGCUCAACUUGUUGGCUCCAAAGUAUUUUAUGGGGAGAAGGUUCUUUGCUGGUUUUAGAAGACUAGGAUUCUGGAAGUUUAGGAGCUUGGGUAUUCUUUUUAGGGGCCAUGGUUUCGUGAAUCCUGUAAAAUUCACAAGUUAAGAAAUCAGGGCUCGAAGAAUGUUCUCCUUUAAUAUACUCAAUUUGUAAAUUAAAAUUGCUUAAAAUAGCUUGAUAUAUAGCAAAAAUAUGCUUAGAAGUUAUAUUCUUAACAUCCUUUUGUAAAACUAAUUUUGCAAAUUUACAAUCAACUCUUAAUAAAAACUUUUGAUUCAAAAGAUCAUCUUGAAAUUUUGAAAUGCAUAAAACAACGCUUAAAGUCUCUUUUUUAAUGAUGUUAUGAAUGAGUUGGGUAGUAUUCCAGGUUCUUGAAGUAUACCUAACUAACAUCUCAAGGUUACCAACACUUUGCUUAAGAAUCCCACCAUAACCUAUGUCUGAGGUAUCGAUCCCAACAAACUCAAAGGUUUCUGGAUUGAUAGAGCCUAAACAUGGUAGGGUCUUGACUUUGGACUUAACAUCAAUAAUGAAAACAAUGGUGAAAACAGAAAACUGGUUAAAGUUUUCAUCCAUUAUAUUCUGGAAUUCUGAGGUGCAUUCUUAAGAUCAAAGGGCAUUAUGAACCAUUCAUAAUGUCCAAGAGAUACCACAAAGGUGGUCUUAUUUGGAAUAGGACACCUAAUCCAACUUAAUGUAUCAUUAAGAGGCAUGUAGUUGACGACUAGUCUAGGUGUUCCUUUUUCUGAUUCAACUUGUUCCUGAACAUAGAAGGUUGAACAACUCCAAAGGGACUUAGACUUCCUUAUCAACUUUUUAUCAAGAAGAUCCCAAAUCUCCUUAUCACAAUAGCUUAACAAACCCUUGUUCAUCUGGAUAGGUCUUGAUUUAGUGGGAAUAUUCUUGUCACUAAAGUCUAGUUCAUAAGGUAAUUCUACCUCAUGUUGUUUCCUAUGCCAAAAUGCAUUAGGAAUGUUAGAGCAAACUUCUUCAACAAUCAGAUUAAUUUCUUGCUCAUGACUUUCCUUAGCUUGAAUCACCUGAUCCCUUAAGGUGUUUAUAUUUUUCUUAUUAGGUGGUUGGCAAAUUCAAAAAUAAUUUCCUUAUCUAAGAGCUUUGUUCUUAUACUUUGGUCAUCUACCCACAUGGGAUAGAUGGAGCUUAAAAAGGGGAUUCCAAGGAGAGCUUUCUCCUUAAGAUCCUUAACUAGAAUGAAGGUUUGCUUGAUGCAAAUGCCUUGGUUAUUUAUGUGAGCAUCUGACAGCUUAUACUCAAUGUCAAGCCUUUUACCAUUAGCUCCAAAGAGAGAUUCUUUGGUUUUCUUACAAAACUUAAUAGGACCUAGACCUUCUUGUAGGCAAUUCAAAGCUGUUCCUGAAUCAAUCAAAGCAACAAUAUCAAUGACAAAUUUACUCUUAAUUACUAUAGUAAGGGAGACUUUCCACCUCUGGAAAAUAACCCUACUAACAGUAUUUAAGUAUCCAUCCGUCUUUUCAUCAUUAGCAUGUGAAGAUUCUAGAACCUCUUCAAGGUUUUCCUAGUUAUCAACAAGAUUUUCUAUAACAAUCCUAUUUAUUUGUUCUUGGAGAUCUGAAAAACCUAAGCUUGUGUAUUGUCUUAAAUCUUUAAUUUCCUUCUUAUACUGUCUUACUUCUUCUUGAAGAUCCUUAAUGGUUACGUCUUUGGUAGACUACUGGUUAAAUCUUCCUAAGAUUUCAUUUAAGUUAUAAGAAUUUACUGUCUUCUUAAUCUCUUGCUUAUCGACAAAUUUCUUAAAAACUUCAUAAAGAUCUUGUUUAGUUUUUUCAUCUUCAACUUUCCUUAAAACAUCUAGGACAAGUUCUUGAUCUUGGCUUAUGACAUUUAUAGUCUUAGGUUGGCAAUCACAAUUAUCCUUAAUGUAUUCUUCUUGGUCACUAGAAGUUUGGCUUGAGAUUUCCUCACCACUACUAUCUAGUUGGUUAAUACCAUUUUCAUUAUCUGAAUCAAUCCUUGAUUCAGACUCUGUGGAAUUUAACAUUACUUUACAAAGCAUAUCUUUUAAGUCUUCUGUGACAUUUAAGUUAUUAAUUUUCUGCUUAACCCUACAAUCUUUCUUAUAGUGGCCUAUCUUACCACACUUAAAACAAACUGGCUUAGAUUGUGAAGGAGCUUCUAGCUUUUUAUGGGCUUCUUUGUUCAUCAUUCUUUGGAUGUGCCUUUGUUUCUUAGUUUCAUUCAUCCUAUAGUUGCCAUGAGUUCCUCUCUUGUUGUGAUAGGACUUUUCCUUACUAGGCUUUGUACUUACUUGUUUCUUACGUUGCUUAGAGGGGGGCUUAGUUUCUUUUUGGUUGAAUCCAAACUAGCUACAAAAUGAACCAAACUCAUUCUUGUAGAUCCUUUGUUCAUUUUUCAUCUGUUGCUUAAGCUUAAAGUCAUUGCACAGUUUAAUUGCUUCUGAUGUGACAAUGCUUAUAAUUUCUCCAUAAGAAAGCUUAUCAUAAGGGAUUUGUCCAUUAAACUGUUCCCUUAUCUUAAUCCUAAUCCUCUCAGAGAAAAGUCUAGGUAGUCCUAAGAUGAAUUUUUCUUUCCAAAAAGACUGGUUAUAGUUUGAUCUUAGUAUGACUUUGGUUAGGAAAACUUCUCUAUACCAUCUAAAGUCAUGAAGCUUGGGACACUUAAGGUUGGUUAAGAGAUCUACAAUCUUAUCCUUAAUCUUUGCAGGAUCUCCAAUGAAGUGCUUUGAAAUUGAAUAGAUUAGAGUAGCCACUACAUCCUCUAUAUCUUGUCCAUCUUCAUCCUUAACCACUUCAUUUUCCUCAUUAAUCCUAUAGGCUUUUAGGAUACCAUUUCUAUCCUCAAAGGUGAGAUAAUUAUCCCACCAACCCUAAAGUUGACCUGUAAACCCAACAACAAUUGUUUGAGCUACAGCAUGGCCUGACAAUCUAUUGUUUAACUUAUAGGUUGUACUAACCAUGGUCAUUUCUUGAAGCUUAGUGAGUAUGUUGUACUCAAUCAUACCAUCUAUGUUCCAUUCAUAGAUAGUGUCACUAGUGUAGGAAGCUUGAGUAUGCUGGUUUCUUUCCUCAUACUACAUAUCAGGAAAAGUUGGUCUAGGGUAGUAAUUCCUAGUUCUUGGUUGUUGAUAAUCCUCAUAACUGUUUGGUUAGGAGGUUCCUUAAAAAUCUUAAUUAGUUCAUCAGCCUCUGCUUCAGAACUAAUUUCUCCUUUAACCAUAUUGAUUCUCUUGUGAGAUGGUUGAGGUGUCUCAGAGACAACAAGGCUAUCCUUAACCUUUUGGCUUAUCCUAUCAAUGAGGGCUUGAUCAAUAUGGAGAUUCUCUAGGAAUUUCUUAGAGAAUUCAAAAGGCUUAAAUAAAGACUUAUUAUCUUUCUUAACAAACGUAGUCUUAAUGUAGUCUUGUGUUUCAAUGAUAUCCUCAAACUUGUUGAGUUGAUCGCCUGUAGUCUUAAGAAACAUGUUAGUGUAGUUGUUUUGUUCCAUGAUUCUUCUAACGUCAACAACACUAUCAAUUCCUUUAUUCUUUGGCCUAGUCUUAAAAGGUGAAGCUUUGACUAUGGUUCAAUUAAUGUUCUUUUAUAUCUUAGCUUCUAGAGGGUGGAUGGAUUCUAUGAUAGUAUCGUCACUAGUUUUCCAUAUCUUAGUUUUUUUGGAUGUGUCAUUGACACGCUUACUAGGGUAAUCUAGAUAUUCCUCUUGUUUGAAGAGUUCAAACCAGAUCCAAUACUUAAUGUUCUUCUUUUCUUGUCUUAAGUAUGUGUAGAAUUCUUCUUGGUAGAGGGUUCUAAUGUCUUUAAGGACCUUGCUAAAGAACCAAACUCUCCUUUUCUUAUUGACUUCAGAAUAGAAGUCUUUCCUUAAGAGGUCCUUGUUGAUUCAAAGUCUUCGUUAAUUAGGCUUACAGUGUUAAUCAACUGAGAAUAAGUAGGAGACAUAUCAGGAGAUUCGUCCUGAUGUGAUUCUUGAGUAAACUCAUUUUCCUCCAUGUAAAAGGGUUUGGCCACGUUGGUGUGACUUCUAACACCUGUUAGCUUAAUAUUCUUAGGAUUUGCUGAACUAGAUCCUUCCUCUAUCCUAGUGGUUCUUAUUGGGAUAGAUGAACUUGAAGCUCUAGAGGGCUCAUAAUAUGAAAUUCUAAGGCUGCUAGAAUGAUGAAAAGAGUUGGAGAAAAUUAGAUCUCGUUCUCCAUCAGGAUAUUGAACAAUCUGUUCAAUUCUUUCAGAUCUUUGCUCUAUGGCUGGGACAACAUUAGCAAAAUGCCAAUUUUCUGGAAACUCAACCUCAUUCCACUUGAUUUUCAUGGGGACUAUGAAAUUAGACUUGUUUAUCAUAUCUAAGUGGAAGAUAGUGGUUUCACCCUUGGGACUGGUGCACAAUGCUCCAAAUCCAACGCUUAUGGUCAUGCUCUUAUAGGCAAAUCUGGUGAUGAUGGAAACAUGAUUGUUUCCUUGCUUGAACUUAAAGUCAUGGGUCUUAACAUGAAGGACAACUGAAUCUAAGAUGUUGACAUCUCUUAGUCUAACUGUGAAGUUAGGGAAACACUGGAAAUAAACAGGACCAUCAUUUAAUCCUGCUUGGGUAGCUCCAAUAAUAGAAUCUCGGUAAUCAAGAUGUCUAUUAUCUCUUAAACACAUGACAAUAAAGGUGUUUAGACCUAGUCUUGUCAAGGGCUUAGCUGCAACUUGAAUCAUGCCAAAGUGUAUGAAGUUGUAGUCUCGCUUAUGCUUAUCAAUGGACUUACUAUCCAAGAGUCUUAUGACUUGAUCGUCGUGUUCUAAACUUACUGACAUUUCAGGGGUUUUAAUGGUGUAAUCUGUAAAGAACUUAAAGGUUCCUUUCUUAUAAAUUUCUUGAUUAGGUACCUUGGGUAACUUCCAAUCAUCUAAAUCAUCUUGGAUCUUAGGAUAAUUGAUCUCUUCAUUGUUUACUCUUGAGAAUUUGUGGAUUUCCUAGACAUGGUUCUGAAAAUCAAACUCAUUUUAAGGUUUUAAUCUAGAGCCUAAUAGCAGAUUAACAGACCUAGUGAGUAAUCACCCCAACCCUUUUCCAACCUUAACAAACGCCUAUCUCCAGCUAACAAUGGGCUCAACUCGGCAAGGAUCGCACUCAGGCACACUACUAUCUUUCCUAGGAUAGAUCAAAACACCCAAAACAAACCCGACUUCCUUUUCCUAGGAUAUAUAUAGUAUUUUGGGUUUGAGUAGGAGUUCAUGUUUUGUAUGUAAUUGUAGUCUACGUUGGACUAGGUUGUUUGCUCCUAAUUGAAAUAGGAAUGGUUGGUGUCACAUCUCAUUCAUUUUCUCAUCUAUUUCCAUGUUUAGAUAACUCAAGUAAUCAUAGGAAUGAAAUUAAGAAUGAUUUGAGGGAAAUGAAAUCUCACUUGUAAGUGGGAUCUCAAUUCAUCAUUAAUAGAAGGUAUUUUGAUUACAUAGUGCAAGUUAUUUUUAAAAACACUUUUCAAAAAUUGAAAAACCAAAAACUCUCUUGGAUAAGUUGUUUUUAAAAAGAAUUUUUGUAUUUUUAUUUUGUAAAAAAAAAAAAUAGUAAUUCAAUUUAUAUAAUAUAAAUAGACUUUAAUUUUAUUAAAAAUAAAAAUAAUUUUUUAAUUACAAAUAAAUUAAAAAAUAAAUAUUUGUAAUAAAAUAUGAAUAGUAAUAUUAUAAUAAAAUCAUAAAUAAAUUAAAAAUAUUUUUAAAAACAAAUAAGUUUAAUUUUUUUGAGGUACAAAUGAGCCAAAUUUUUCAUUAGGUACACAACCAACAAUUUUUAUUGGAAACAUUCCUCAAAAAAGAAUUCGUUUCCCAUAUAGCAAAGAUAUUUAUUAUUUAGUAUCUAACCAUCCGUAGUAAUCAUAUCAAUUCUACUAAGUUAUUUAAUAAUUCAUUUAUAUAUAGUACUCAAUUAUGAAUUUUUUUAUUUGAUGUAUAAUUAAUUAAUCAAUGUUUUGAAUUUUGAAUUAUUCUUAAAAUUUAAAACAUUAAUUAUGUCUAUUACUUUUUAUAGUCAUUAUAUAUAUAUAUAUAUAUAUAUAUAGAGAGAGAGAGAGAGAGAGAGAGAGAGAGCUUAAAUUUAUCUUUAAAAAUUAUUAAAUUUAUUAAUAAAUUCAAUACAAAGACUCAUUUGAUUUGAAAUUCAUUUCUUUAGUGAAAAUUUUGAAACUAAAUAGUACUUUGUUUUACUUUGUUUUUAAAUCAUACUCACAAAUAAGUUUUUAUCAUUUAGCCAAAAAAUCUCAAAGAUGUUUCUAAUUUUAUUUAUUUAUUUAUUUGUAAAUGAAAAUAAAAAAUUAGUUUAAACUAAAUAUGCGGAUAUUAUUGUUAAUUUAUUUCAUUUUUUAUUUCCAUUGUUAUUUAACAUUGAAACGGAAACAAAUAAUCAUUCCAAUCUUACAUUCUUAUAUGCAUCUAAACACAAGAAUUGAAAUCACCAAAUUCAUAUUCAAGGCAAAAUAGAAAUGGAAAAAAAAUAUUCAUUUUCAUUCCUCAUUCUCAUGUGCUAAACAUGACAUUAGUUCUACUACCUAUUUCACCAUUCUUCUUGAUAAAUUUGGUAUAUGCAAUAUUGAUCUAAGUGUGAGGUGAAUAAGAAUGAUGAUGGGAUGGGCUUGGAAAUAAGGGCAAAGUUUCUAGGUGCUAUCUAGAGGGGCAACGCGACUUUUUCAAAUUUCGAAUAUUUGUUCUCAACAUAAAGCAAAACUUUACUCACACAAUAGAUAAGACUCUGUUUGUUUUCUUCAUCCACGACUAUAUAAUGUAUAGCUCUUACUCAAGGGAUGAGCUACUUACUAUUAAGGAUUGGGUAAGAUAUUGCCUAAUGGCCAAGAAGGCAUGUCAAAAAAUAAAUCUAAUCACCAUAAAAAAUAAUAGGGGAAAAUUAAUAUAUUAUGAAUGAUGACUUUACUAUUUCUCUAUAUACAUAAUUAUAUAUUUUGAAUUUUCUCACUAGGUAAUGAGAUUCUAAAUCAACUGAAACAUAAUUAAUAAUUUAUAUUUUUAAUGAAUCUUUUAAUUUUUAAAAAUAAUUUAAAAUUUUAAAAAACAAUUCAAUUAAUUACAUAUUAAAUCAAAACAUUUCAAAAUAUUGUGUUUGUAGAUGAGUACUAAAUGCUUGCAUAUAAUAAUAAUAAUAAAAAAAUUGACUCAUUUAGAUGUUAAAAAAGUUAAAUGUUUUUCAUUAUUCAUUUUAAGUAAAAUAUUAUUGACAUUAUUAUUAUAAAAUUAUUAUUAUUCAUUUUUAACAAAAAACAAAAUAAGUUAUUCUUUUACCAAGAUGUCAAUAUCUAUAUUUUUCUAACAUAUAUUAAAAUAGUAUACUUUUCUUUUAUUAAAAAUAAUAAUUAUUAUUAUAUUAUUAUUCAAGUUUUAUUAAAAAAAUUUAUCUUUUAAUUCAUUUGUAAUUACAAAAUAAUUUUAUUUUAUUAAGAAUUUAAUUUAAUUACGCUUUUUUUUUUUAUAAAAAAAACAGUUAUGCUUUUACCAAGAUGUUAAUAUUCAUAUUUUUCUAGCUAACAUAAAUAGAAUAGUACACUUUUUCAUAUAAAAAAAUAAUUUAUGAUUUUAUUAUAAUGUUACUAUUCACAUUUUACUAAAAAUAUUUAUUUAUUUUAUUUAUUUUUAAUUAUAAAAUAAUUUUAUUUUCAAGAAUUUAAUUUUAAAAAAAUAGAAAUCAUUUAUUCUUUUACCAAGAUGUUAAUAAACAUAUUUUUCUAACAUAUACUAAAAUAAAAAAGUUUACUUGUUCAUUAAAAAAUAUAAUUUAUGUUUUUAUUAUAAUACUACUAUCUAUGUUCUACUAAAAAUAUUUAUUUAUAAUUAAAAAAUAAUUUCAUUUUUAAUAAGACUUGAACUAAAUUAAAUUUAUAAUUUUUUUUUAAAAUAAAAUAGAAAAUUAUUUUUUAAAAACAACUUAUUGAAAGAAAUUUUUUAUUCUUUACUUUUAAGAACUGUUUUUAAAAGCAACCUAUAAACCCCUUUGGGUCUGUUUGGCUAUGUUUCAUGCAACUUGUUUUUAAAAAUUGUUUUUUAUUCUUUAAUUUAAUUUUUUUUAAGUUAAAGAAUAAAAAACAACUUUCUAGUGUUUUAUAAAAAUGAGAGCUUUUGACAAGUUGUUUUUAAAAACCAUUUUUAAAAAUAAAAAAUAAAAAACUUAUUUAGAUAAAUUGUUAUAUAUAUAUAUAUAUAUAUAUUUGUAAAAACAUUUUAAAUUCAAUUUAUAUAAUAUAAAUUUAAUUUAAUUUAAGUCUUAUUAAAAAAAAAUUGUUUGGAUAAGUUUUUUUUUUUAAAUAGUUUAUUAUUUUUGUUUUGUAAAAACAUUGCAAAUUCAAUUUAUAUAAUAUAAAUUAAUUUAAUUCAAGUCUUAUUAAAACCAAAAUAAUUUUAUAAUUACAAAUAAAUUUAAAAAUAAUUUUUUUAGUAAAACAUGAAUAAUAAAAUUAUAAAUUAUAUUAUUGUGGACCCUGCAUUUAUGCUCAUGCGCUUCCACUUGUUGGCGAACUCAUUUUUUAUUUGAAAAUGAUUUAUUUUUUUAGAAAAUGACUUAGAGUCGCCACUUAUUUUUGUUUUAUUUUUAAAGGGCAAGCAAAAUAAGAAAGAAAACCCUAAGUGUGACUCCUUAUUCGAAAAAGGUAGUCUGUGUAAAACCGGAUCAGGGUUCAGGGAUCAGGUUACUUAUUGGGAAGGUAUGACAAUGACCGUAGCACUCCUCUAAGUCCUUAAAAACGGGCCUCUACUAAAAAAAAUAAAGUAAUCAUGGCAAUCAGUAAGGAAAUCACUGGAUACCCAGAACAAUUAUGCACAUGUGAGAAUUAAAACAUGCAUAAGAAUGGACAAAGUGAGAGUGGGUGCGUACCUUGACAACGAACCACAAUGCGUUAUCAAGAAAUGGGGUUAGUGCACGAUCAAUGAACAUAAAACACGUCACACAUGUCACUAAGCAGAGUGAGAAAUCAUCAGAUAUUACAAUUCAAUCAAAUUUAUUUUUAGAAGAAACAUCUGUUGAUGUAGAGCCCCUACCAAAGCCUAAUUUAUUUUUGCAUGAAUCAAUUUCAUAAAUUCAAUCGCUUGGAAUUACAGAAUUAAAUUCAUGCUUAUUUUAAAACAUCUUUUUAAAAUCAUGGAAGAUGUGAAAAUGGUUUUCCAAAGAGAAAAUGACAACUGAUUUUAUUGAAAAUGGGAUUUUGGGGACCUAAACGUUAAAGAGGGAUUAGGAAUUGAAAAUUAAAUCAUUUGAAAAUUGAAUUUUUCAAAAAUCAGUUUUGAAAGCAUGCAUGCAAGUAUGGACUGUGAAAGUGGGCCUAGGGAGGGUGGCCAUGCAAAAUGAGGUCAUACACGUGGGCCUUGGGUACAAUUGGGACUACUUUGCUGGUGCCAGUGGUGCUUGCAGCUGUCAUCCAUGAUUUCUUCAUUGGGAUCAAUUUCCAUUCUUACUGCCAAACAUUCCAUAACAAUUGACCAAACUAGUAACCCUGACCUUGCAUGAAAAUGAACGUUACCUAGAAACUCACUGCCAGUGAGAUUCAUUGCUCUUUCAAAAGGUCUCAUUUUCUUUCUCAUCCAAUUGCUUUAAGGAGCAUUCUAGCGUCACGAUUGGUGACUGCGCAUCAUCUAGAGCCUUCUUUCUUCUCAGAAUCAGGUUUGCGUGCAGAGGCCUGUGCUUGUUCAAGGUUGACCUAAAUUCAUCUAGGUUUAGAACCGACCAGUUGAGCUUGGGGAGCAACGACAAGAAUAUCAGUCACUUGCGAAGAGAAAACUCGAGAUCUUUCAAGUAAUGCCUGACAUAGAUUCCUCCAACCUGUGGCCAAUAUCUCAUUCCUUGUUGGCCAGACGCCUAUUAGGGCGUAUCUCAAUCAAUAAUAUGAUUUUUCGUUUGUUCACAAUAAAGACCGGAAGCCAUGGUUGUGAUUUAUGCAGUACAGAAGAAGUUGCCAUGGCUGGUAUCCUUACAAAUUCUGGUGUUUCUGCUAUCUGUUCAAGUGCAAAACACAACAGCUUUAUCAAGUUUGUCCCUAACAACUGAUAUUGAGCCCUCUGGAGGAAACCUUGAUAAAUUCAUAAUCACUUUUGACUCAUGCAUGGGCUGCCCAUCAAAUUUUCCUAGCAACGAGACGACUGCUGUCAUCUACUGCAAAGAGAAUUUCUUCUCGCAAAGACAAGAGGAGUUUAAGAAUACACACUAUUCUGCCAUUUCAUUUCCUCUUUCUCCACAACCAACAUAAACCAUAGUGUCUACAUUAGAGUACUUAGAAAGAGCUUAACUGAUGACCGUUUUUCCACAACCAAAUGCCCCAGGUAUGGCACAAAUUUCACCGAAAACAGAAGGGAAAAGGGCAUCAAGAACACGCUGUCCUGUAAGUAGUGGGGUAUCAGGACUACUCUAGGGAAGUUAUUUCUGUCAUUUUGAAAAAGAAAAAUUAAAGAAUGUACACAUGCUUUCAAGUGGACUGGAGCAUUCUACAUAUCAGGUGGUCUGUAGCCACAUGUGCCACUUUGUGGAAGUUGGAACAGUCGAUCACUAGGCUAUUUAGUGUGGCCAAGCCACGUUAAUCAAGGACAAGUCUUCAUACUUAAAAGUCAAAUGGUGCCUUUAGUCUCAUUACACAUGGCUAUUUAAAGAUGAACUAAUCUUUAGUGUAAUGUGAUUAAGACAGUACUAACUGAUCAAUAUUUUUUCUAAUUUUGGAUGCAAAUGCUUGCUGGCUUCAUCAUUGGAUGGGAUAAAGGUGCAUUCAUGACUCUGAAUACUUGCAGUAAUACUUGCAGUAAUACUUCAUUCUCUUUUUUCUCGAUGAGACUUCUUGGCACAAUUUUGCUUCUCAGCAACCUACCUCUCCAUGGAAAAUGAGUUGCGAUUGAUGGUACUGGAUAUUUUCUAGGAAGCUAAAUAUAGAUAUAUAGCACUCAAUGUCAACGAUAUAUAUAGCAUUAACAGUAUAUGUCUCAAUGCUCAUCAGCUACAAGCAAGGGACAAACACUUACAAUGAAUAACUCACGUCAACAUUCCUAAACAGGACAUAGAAGUGACAGAUCUAUAUAUAGAACACUGCAUAUGAGUCACAAGAAAAGAUAAUACGGGUGCAUAGCAGCUCUUAUAUUACAUAUUACUCAUACCGUUCAAAUUCACUCAGUUGGGAUGGGUGGGAGAAGGAGGCCUCUGGGGUGGCUUGUGCGUGUGAGAAGUGGAAGAAAGUUGAAUGGAAUGAAACUGAAAAACAGGGUAGAAUAGAGGUUUCUUGAAUCUUCUGAAAUCUUUAUUUUUCUGAGAUUUAUUCUCUGUUUUUGUGAGUCGUGACUCUACAUAUAUACAUGUAUUUAAAGUUAGUUAUGCCUUAUAACUAAUUAUCUAACAGUACCAAAACUAAUCAUCUAGUUGCAUGUUUCUAAUUAAUGCUAUUUAGUUACAACUAUAUAUGGCUUAACAUCCUCUCUCAAACUCAAAAGUCUAGCUAGAACAGUGAGUUUGCUUCAUAGAUUGAGAAAUUGUUGAAUAGGUAAGGCUUUGGUAAGAGCAUUAGCAAUCUGGUCAUAAGAAGGAAUGUGUUGAACCACCAAAGUCUUAUUGAGCACCUUUUCCUGAACAAAAUGGCAAUCUAGUUCCACAUGCUUAACUCGAGAAUGAAAAUAGGAUUGGCAGCAAGAAAGGUGGCUGAAAGAUUGUCAUAGAACAAAACAAAAUAGGAGAAUAAGAAGAUGAGAUAGAAAACUCCUGAAGAAGAUGUUGAAUCCAUUGAAGUUCAAAAGCAACAUUUGCUAAGGCCCUAUACUCAGCUUCAUUGCUGGAACGAGACACAACUUUCUGCUUACUGGAGUUCCAGGAGACUAGAUUAGAGCUAAAAAAGAUGCAAUGACCACUUGUACUUCGACGAUCAUCAGGGCAACCAACCCAAUCAACAUCAGCAUAAGCAGUAAGUUGAAAAUCAGGAGAAGAAUAAAAGGAAAGACCAAAGGAAGUAGUGCCCUUAAGAUAAUGCAACAAUCGUUUAACAACUUGCCAAUGAAGAUCAGUUGGUUAUUGCAUGAAUUGGCAAAGUUUAUUGAUAGAGAAAGAGAUGUCAGGCCUUGUAAUGGUACAAUAUUGCAGGGCUUCAACAAUGUUGCGAUAUUGAGAAGGGUCAGCCAAGAGGGAACCUUUAGAGGCAGAUAAAGUGUGAGAGGUAGUCAUUGGUGUAUCAAUAGGUUUAAAAUAUGGAAGACCAGCACGAGUUAACAAGUCCUGAAUAUAUUUGGUUUGGGAAAGAUGAAGAGAAGAUCCUUGCCAACAUACUUCUACACCCAAGAAGUAAUUCAGAAUACCAAGGUCCUUGAGAGCAAACUGAAAGUGUAAAGACGAAACCAUUUGGUGGACUAGCACGGUAUUAAGACCACUAACAAUAAUGUCAUCAACAUAGAUGAGAAUAAUGAUCAUGUCAGUCCCUUUCCGAAGAGGAGCUUGCUUCAGACCCUACAAGGCUUUGCGAAGUUUACAGAAAAAACCGGGUUUAGAAUGAUCAACAAAGCCUGGAGGUUGAACCAUGUAAACCUCUUCUUCUAACUCACCAUUGAGAAAGGCAUUAUUAACAUCUAAUUGUUCCACUAACCAACCAUGAGAAAUAGCAAGAGAAAGAACAAUUCAUAUAGUAGUUGGUUUAACAACAAGGCAAAAGGUUUCAAAAUAAUCAAUACCAUAUGUUUGAUUAAAACCCUUUGCAACUAAGUAGGCUUUAAAACGAUCAAUUGAGCCAUUAGCUUUGAGUUUCAGCUUGUAUAUCCAUUUACAACUAAUAAUGCGUGUAUUAACAGGUUUAGGAACCAAUGUCCAUGUGGAAUUGGUGAGAAGAGCAUCAUACUCAGUCUUCAUAGCAGCUUGCCAAUUAGGAUGCAAUAUUGCUUCUUUGAAAGAGGAGGGUUCGACAACAGUAGUUUGGAUAGCAAGGCUAAAUAUUUUUUUGGGUUUAAAAAUACCAUUUUGGCUACGAGUAACAAUAGUUCGGUUUGGAAGUGAAAGAGGAUCAGUGGAGGAGGCUGGAACAAGGGAUUGUGGUAAAGUAGGAAAGGAAGGUGGAUGAGAUGGAACAAAAUCAGUAGGGACAAUAAUGGGAGAAGAAAAAUUAGGUGGAGAAUGAUGAGGAUUCCUUGAAGAUGGUGUAGGAAUAGAGAGAAUACCAGAAUCAAGAAGUGUUAAAGAAGAGUUGGAUGAUGAUACUGGUUGACAGGAUAAAGACUUUGUUAAAAAUGGAAAUCGAGUUUCAUCAAAUACAACAUGACGAGAAGCAUAUAUCCGAGAGGAAGCCAUAUCCAAACAGAGGAAUCCCUUGUGUUUAGCACUAUAACCCAAAAAACAGCAAACAACAAAUAUAUUUGCUAGCUUGUGAGAAGCAUAAGGGCGAAGAUAAGGAAAACACAAGCAUCCAAAACUUCAAAGAGAUGUAUAAUAAGGUAAACGAUUAUAAAGAACUCCAUAAGGAGAAUUUUGUGAAAGAACAGCAGAGGGAAGGCAAUUUAUGAGAAAAAUGGCAGUUUGAAAUGCAAAUGACCAAUAUUUGAGAGGGUAUACCAGCUUGUAUUAACAAAGAAAGACCAACUUCCACAACAUGACGAUUCUUUCUUUCAACUCUUCAAUUUUGCUAAGGAGUAUAAUGACAAGAGACUUGAUGAAGAAGACCAUUUGUAGCCAAAUAAUUCUGAAAAGCUGAAACUGAAACUCAUCAAAUUGAUUUUUAGUAUCAAAUUUUCUUCAGACUGAACACAUUGAUUUUUAGUAUCAAAUUUUCUUUCAACCAUGGCUUGAAAAUGUUGGAACAUAAGUAAAGCUUCAUCUUUAGUUUCCAAAAGGUACAACCAUGAGAAUAUGCUAAAAUCAUCAAUUAGCAAGAGGAAAUAUUGAGCAUUACCAUUGACAGAAACUAUAGGAGUUGCACCCCAAAGAUCAACAUGGAUGAGACCGAAUGGUUUUAUUGCUCUAGAAGUGGAUAUUUCAAAUGGAAAACGAUGGCUUUUAGCCAACUGACAAGACUCACAUACAGAGUUAUUAUUGUCAUGUUUCAAAGGUAUUUUAUAAAGAGAUAAGAUUUUGGAAACUACAUUAAUAGAGGGAUGACCAAGUCUAUUAUGCCAAAGCCUCAAAGAACCAACGGCUAAAGUACUACUAGUAGAGUAAAAUACUAGUGGAUGACCAACAACUCUUGGUGUAGCAAGAAGUUUAUAGAGACCCUUCUCAAUUUUUCCUUGAAGAAGAGCAAGUCUCGUUUCCUGAUCCUUUACCACAAAAUGAGAAGAACGAAAUUCAAUAAAGGUGCCAUUGUUUGAGUAAAAUCGUUGCACGCUAACUAAGUUGGUGGUAAUAGAAGGAACAUGUAAGACAUCAUUGAAAAACAAAGAACCACUUGAAGAGGCAAGAGAAAAUUUACCAAUAUUUGCAAUGGAUAAACCCUUACCAUCUCCAACAAUUACUUUGUCACCACUGGUAAAUGGAUUAUGGAUUGUUAAAUUGUUAAGAUCAGAUGUGAGAUGAUGGGUAGCCUUUGUAUCAAGAAACCAAUAAGUGUCUCCCAUUGUUGCAGAAGUUGUAGUCAUAGCCUCAGGAUUGUUAGAGGUGGAAUGUUUAGAAUCUUUUGGCUGAUAAUCAGAGUUAAACCGAUACCAGCAUUGUAAAGCGGUGUGUCCGAACUUACAACCGAGAGAAAUAAUCUUUACUUAUUCUCUAAAAACUGUUCUUUAUUCCACACAUUAUUUCUAAAAACUGUUUCUAGAUAACAAUGACAAAAUAGUAUUAGGAAUUUUUAAAAAUAAAAAUUGUUUUUAAAUUACAUGAUCUAUAUCAUUCACAUUUGACCAUUAUAGCUUUGUUCAGGAAAACACUUGAAAGUAACCUUAUCGUGAUAAGAGAUAUAAGUUGGCUGUAGUUUCAAACUGAAAACAGAGGAUGGCAAUAGAAAGCAAAGCAUUAGUUAUCUGCAAUCAGUGGUGAUCAUGCCCCAUGUCAAUUUCGGACCCAUAUCUUAAAACCGUAUAAUUUGCAUUUCAACAUUUCUGAUUUCUCAGAUGUUUCAUACUCCACAGAAGAACAUUGUUUGUGAAAGCAUGCAUUUAUGCUGGAUUUUGGAUGAUGUGGGAACUGGGGCAAGGAUCAUAUGGAAGAGUGGUCGAUUUUUUCUGUACUUUAACAUUUGAAAUAGGAGCAGCACGGGCAUUUGUGGGGCUUAAUUGAUUUUGAAGCCUGAAAUUGCGUUUCUGUCAUUUUGUAAAAAAUAUGGCAGAUUCCAUGCUCUCAUAUGUUUGGUCUGUGGCCAUGUAUAGAUGCCACUUAGUGACCAGUUUGUAACUGUCAAUCAUAGUGUUUUGACUCUGGCUCAACAACAUCAGCCAUUGACGGAUUUUCAUACAUGCAAAUCAAAUAGUCUUCUUCCUCCCUUAGGAAUUUCGGUUUAAAUGUUAUUAAGCAUACAUUUGGCUGACAAUUAUUAACCACUUCAUGAUAUGGUUUCUUACCCUUAAUCAAUGGUUUCUAAGUGAAUAUAUGCAGAAGGAAAUCUGAACUGUAGACAGCAGUAUUGAUAAUUAUCAAUAUUCUUUAUAUAAGAGAAUAAACAACGUCAUAGUGAUCGUCGCCUACAAGAAAGGUACAUUUCCCAACAAGAUGUAGUUGUGACUGGUACAUGGACGUAAUUAACUCGUAGAAAAGGAUAAGACCAGUGCACGGCAGCUCUUAUUUUACAUGCUAAUUAUGCUAACCAAAGUCACUCAGUUGGGAUGGGAGGGAGAUGGAGGUUUGUGCGGUGGCUUGUGGGGCGGAGUUGGUGGCUUCUUUUCAGGAGCUUGUGGCUUUUUCGGAGCUGAAGGAGGCUCAAUCUUAUGAGGCGGCUUGUACGAGUCUUCUUUACUCUCGACAGGAGGGUGGCCAGGGUUGUGACCAUAAUGUGGUGGCUUCUCUCCCUUAGGUGGCUUGCCAACUGGGGUUGGUGGCUUGUGUUCAGGAAGUGGUUUCUCUCCCUUGGGAGGUUUACCAAUUGGGGUUGGUGGCUUGUGUUCUGGGAGUGGUUUCUCUCCCUUGGGAGGUUUAGUGGGUGACUUGUGUUCUGGAGGUGGCUUCUCCACCGGAGGCUUGUGCUCCGGUGGUGGCUUCUUGGUUGGAGGGGGCUUGGGGUAAUCAGCAAGAGAUGGGGGGGUGAGAACCACCACUCCAAGGAACAACACUAGCAAGUAUGUGGGAGACAUUUCUGAGUUUGAGCUGAUCAGAUGAUGCAAAACUAGAAGAAUUACGUGACCUUUUAUAGCAAGUAGCUCCCAAUACCCACAUGACACGUGUUACUGUGACCAUAAAUAUUAUAGGGUCCAUUUGUGCCCUACCGGGUUGAAAACUUGGACGCUUGGCCGAGGACACACCGAACUAUGGAGGACUAUUGACGUGUGAUCACAGCUUUUGGAUUUUUCUUCCUGUGCAGCUGUCUAGCGGUUGGCAUUAUUUUUUUAAUCUUAAAUAAAGGCAUAGUUAUAGAGUACAUUUAUAUAUCUUCAGAUAGCCAUUAAUAUAUUUGAUGAAGAAAGACAAGUGCAUACAACAUGUAUACGGCUUGCUUCAAUCGAGUACAUUUAUGAUCAGUUUUCCAGUGCAAGUAAACCAGUUUUUUGUUCCACAACUAUUUUGGAAUCUUGUUUAUCAGUUUCUAUCAUUAUAAUGUCACAUAGGCUGCAAACUUGGGCACCCAAAGAUCUAGUUGGGCAAAUUUGUUUCAGAAUUUCAAUGGUGGAUUCAGUAAUUGUUAAAAGGUGUUUCUUCAUUAAGGAAAGAGUCCUGUAAAAAUAUUGUUAAAAGGUGUCAUAGAAACUAUAAUAAUUAAAUAACUUCUUUUCCCCGUGGGUGGUGUUUCUUCUGGGGAUACCCAAAAUGAGUUCAGAUUAAAAUUGGUUCGAGUCAAAGCUGUCUCUUUUGUCCAGAAAUCAACUAUUUUGCGCAUUGCAUGAAUCGAUAAAGAAAAAAUGAAAGCCAAAUCACACCUCCCCUGCAAAACCUAAACCCCGGUUGCUAACUUUCUAUGUUUCAGUCCUAUUCAUACAGGAAUAUUGGUUCAAGUUUGAGAAAAAUGGCAACUUACCUAGGGAUUACUUGGUUGUGGUUUGCGACGACUAUUUACGCAACCAACCAUGAGUUUGACUUUAACGUCAUGGGUUGAAGCCUCCUACAAUCGUGUAUGAUAGUUCAAAGCUCGUAGUAGAAAUUAUACAGGAAGGAAGAAACCUCCAAAGCUAGCUCCAAAAGAGAAUUAUCACAUCGAUAGCUCCAGAGAUUCCCAAGGGGACUGAAUCAAAGACAAGUUCCUCACUUUUUCUUCUUUUGAGGCCAAAUAUGAACCAAGGAUCACACGACCUCAUUCAACUUCAUAAGUUUGAUUUCAUGCAGUUGAACACUGGGUGAAGGCCAUGACAAGAAUUGAUUAAAAAAUUCUACCACUGUUUUAAGUAAUGGAAGAUUAUUAUCUCUGAUUGGCACCACAACAGCACAUGCUGCUAGAUCUUUCUAGACACUCCAUGCAAUGAAAGUACAAUGGAUCUUGUAACGAUAGAAACUAAGCCAUGCUACAGUACUAGAUGACGAGGUAAAACUAUUAGACAUGGGUGGCAGCCUAUAUGGGAGGGACACAAGUCUAAUUGAUUUGCAUUUCAGCGUUCUAGAUGGGUAUGUUUUGGAAGAUUUGUUCUGGAAAUACCGCACCAAGUAGGAUUCUUUUUUCUCUUGAGUGGGUCCACUUGCAUGCCAAUUAUCGAGUUGAAAAGUAGAGCACCUACCUCGUGCUCGUGGAACCGAAGGUCAGUGAAGUGGGGCUCCUUUUGGCCUCUUGUGUUUCUGUUCCAACCAAGGCGGCGGAGGGAAAAACAGCAAUAUGUCUCCGCUAAAUAUCAACGCAUGAUAGCGAAUGAGGGAGAAAAAAAGUAAUUGGCAUCUCAAUCUCACAAACUUGGUACAGUAGUGACAUUAAUAGUCUUCCACAUGGUUUUUAUUUUAUUUUAUUUUAUAUUUUAUAUUUUCCAUUUUUUUAUUUUUUUGUAUGUCAAGGCUAAUGAAUAAAAUGCGUUAGCUUGUUUUGUGAUUGGAACUGCAAAUGUCCAAAUUGGAGUUUCUCCAUUUCUCAGUUCGGAUGGUUAACUUUAUAAACAAGAUAUAGGAAACAUGUGAACGUCUUGAGGAACAAUUCGAAUUAUUGAUUAGAACUCCUAGGUUGAGUUCCAAGAUUUAAAUCAGACCCCUCUAGCAGCUUCAGGGGUACCUAGCAAUUAGAACAUAUUAAUGAAGAUUUAGGAUUUAGACUCCGGAAUACAAAUUAAUAUGUAUCUUAUGCUCUGACUAGCUUCCCUGCAUAUGCACAAAAUGGAGAUGACCCAAAAAAUAGCAGAAUCGCCUUAGUUUAUGUGGUUAAGGUGAUUCUCCGGUUAAUAUCCACAUUGGCUCAUUAUGCAAAUCAACUGAGCUAUUUUUUUUUUAAUGUCAAAUAGGAACUCCUAAUUAACCUAACCAUUGGCCUGUGUAAAUUGAUUUCACAUGCACAAUGUUGUAGUAGAAGUCCACAUUUUGAAUUUUAUUUUUGGAAAGGUAAGGAAAAUGAAGCAUUGUGUAAUUAUAAAAAUAACUUCAUUGGAAUUCACAAGGUUCACCCAAAAUGGAGCUACAUCCGUAUUCUAUCUUACAGUAGACUAUAUAGAUUGUACAAUAGUAAAUUGCAAAUACAAUUAAUAAGUCUUGUGUUUCCUUACUAAUAAUCCUUUGACAUAAACAUUGCAGCACUAAGGUCCUCUUGGGCAGACACCUUGCACCCAUGAGAGCACUAAGAGGAAGCAAGGCGGAGUCAUGGGUGCAAUGUCAUGACUUGUUGCACUAAGAGAGGCUUGGUGAUGGCAUAGUGCUGCAGUAGCAAGAAUGUUGCCUUGGCAGGGACACGAUCUAGGGACAGAUGCCAAGAAAGGCUUAGCACUCACAUGAGUUGCACAAAGAUGAAUGAAAUAGAACAUCAAAGAGACAUCUUGGCAAGCUCAAGAAAGACAUGUGGGUUGGUAAAUGAAUGGAUGCAAGAGGCAACAACAUGAGGAGUUUCAAAUGGAUAGGGAAUGAGUCAAAGACAUUUGAAAGCUACAAGUUGGAUUCUAAUUACGAUUGCAAUUUGAGUUUGAGUAGGAGUUUAUAUUAUGAUUGUAAUUGUAGUAUGAGUUGGACUAGGAUUGCUUAUCCCUAGUCAAAAUAGGAGUUGUUCAUGCCACACCCUAUGAAAAGAGUUUGAGUAGGGACUAGGAUUGCUUGCUCCUAGUCAAAUAUGGAGUAGGUGGUGCCACACCUAUAAAAAAAAAAGGGACAACAUGAGAGAGAGAGAGAAUGAAUUCACCAAAGAUAUUGUGGGAGUUUUGCUUUGUUACAUCUUGUAUUAUUAUUUAGAAUAGUAAUAAAAUACAAGUUGGGGCUAGAGCCCCAUAAUCUCGUGUGCCUUUGUGGGUUAUUCUUUAUUUGCCAUCUCGUGUGGAUUGGAUUAGAUUGAUGAGGCGAAAUAUUAUGUGGGAAAUUUAUGUUGGGACACUUACCAUAACCAGGUAAAAUCUACCAAGUCUUUUGUAAUAUCUUCUACAAAUAUUUUAGACCAGUUCUUCACAAAACAUCAUAAUAUGUUUUGUGUUUCUCUUGGAUUUUGAGUUGAAUUGUCUUAGAUCAAUUGAAUGCAUCUCAAUAUUAUUAUCUUGUUUGAAGGCUUGAUGAUUUUCCAUUUAACUUUACUUUCUUUAGGUUAUGCUUGAUUCCUUAAAAGUACUAAGGAAAACAAAAAAUAAAAAAAAAUAAAAAAUGCAGAGGGUUAGGACAUGUGUUAUCUAAUUGUCCUAUCCAAAGAUAUUAAGAAAGUCAUGUAGGAAAGUAAUUGAAAACUAGGUCAAGAAAGGAGCAAAAGGGAAUUGUUUUGGUAUUUUCUUUUUUAUUCUUGAAGGUGGCAGAGCUAAAAUUUGAGAAAUCAAGCAAAACAUACUGAAAUUACAUUGAAAGAAAGAAAAUGGUAGUUAAUGUCUUGCAGUACAUGAUAAGGACUUCAUGCAUGUAGUGUGACGACCCAUGUCUUGGACUGAUGCCACACUCACGGUUACACUUAUACCCUUGGUUCUCUCUUUACUACCUUGGCUAACCUAGAUCAGGCUAUGAGAUAGGCUCCUCACCACACCAUCACUUGCCCAGUAAUUAGUGACAUUUUCAAGCAAUGAGGUAACAUGGUGACACCAAGAGGGUUUAUCCCUCGCCCCAACAAGUCUAGACUCGGUCUCAAAAAAAUGGAGAAAAAUGAGGUGUCGUUAUGCAGAAAUACAACAACCAUGCCUUCCUUAUUACUUAGAUUCAGAAUGUGAAGGUGAAAUUGAGAAACAGAAACUCUUGAAACCAGAAUGAAAAUUGAUACUUUUACGAAGAAUUACAACAUUAGAGGAAGACUACAUUCUUCCUCUAUAUUCCUACGUUUCUACACUACUUCUACUCCACUCCAUAUUUCUACAUACAUCUUUAAUCAGUUUUCCCUCCUUUAUAUAGAGCCAUCUUCACACAAAUUCCGCAAGGUAGAAAAGAGGAAUGAAACUUGGAGCAAGGUUCGACUACUGGUUGUCGCUUGUCAAGGCUGGAAUUGAACUUUUUUUCUUGGCUUUUCUGGGCAUAGGUAGUAACUUGUGGUUCCUUUUUGGAAUGAAAAUGGUACAGCUAGAACAUGUGGCACUCUCUUGUUGGAUUAUGUGUCAAACAUGUGGCAGCCAUCUAGUGGAGAUUAUUUCAAUUUUGGGAUGGAGAGUUGGCAUCCAAUUGCAAAGAAAUAUGACAUCUACCAACAUGCAAUGUAAACCUAUAUAGAUCAUAUGGAGAUAGAGAGGAAACAUAUAGAAAUGGAUAUAUACCUAGAACUAGCUUUUUAUUAAAUGAGACGGAGAGCCAACAAUGAAGGAAAAUCAAAAUUUUUGGCUCAUAUCAAAGAAUUCACAUUGUGUUACCCUAGGUUUUCUUAAAGCUUGCACAAAGCCAAAAAGCACACAAAAAAUUAUAUUUUCUAGCUCUCUACCUUGGAUGGUCUCUUGAUCCUACUUGGAGAUGUGCAUAAAUAAAAGGAUUUGAAAAUGACAAUUGACUAAGUAUGUAGUCAAUCAAUUACUCAUUAAUUGACUAGUUGAUCAAUUAACUUUGCAACAUCAUAUGCAAUCCUAAUAGCUAGUCAUCUAAUCAACUAGGUAGUAAAUCAAUAGGCCAAAAAUAUGUUUAUAAUGACUAUUUUGUACAAAAACCACCUAUAUGGUUAAAUAUAAUGCAUUUCAUUUAUAAAUCUUCUAAUUCUUGAAUAACGAUCCUAUCAUCCUUUGAAAGUUUUUAUUACACCUUUUAUACUUUUGUUCUAAAACUUACACAUGUACAUCACCCUUAAUUGUACCAUGAGAACCUAGCUUUUUUUUUUUUUUUUUUUGUAAUUCAUCAAAGUUAGCUUUUGUAUUCAUUACUGUACUAUUUUUAUUGUAACUUAGAAAGCGAGUGUUUUCAAGUGAGUGAAAUUGACUUAUAAAUAUUGUAAAGAUUCAUUGAUGUGUAUCUUAAACUAAGUGUACAAGUUGAAACAUUUGCUAGUAGAUUUUCUCAAGAUUUAGAAUAGAGCUUGAGGCUAUUGAAAUAGGUGGGGUUGCACCAAACCACAUCACAUUGUUGUUUGCACCUUUUUUUCACUCUCUUUUACUUAGUUGCUCUAUAUUUGUUGUCUAGUAAUAUCCUAUAGGCUUGAUGGGUUAGGGAGCAUCCCUUUGUGAAAAAUUUUCAUUCAAUCCUUAGUUGUAUCACGCAUAUAUAAAAUGCCUCAUUGUUUUAAUGGUAUUCAGUCGUGGCAUCACAGAUAUGGGCAUCUAAAUUUUAAAAGUUUGAAACUUUUAUCUAAAGAAAAUAUGGUGCUUUGCCUUUUUGUAAAGCAUGUUGAUGAAAUCCAUGAGAAUUGUGUACUUGGGAAGCAACAUCGAGAUGACUUUUUUUUUUUUCAUUUUUUAUAAUGCGACACCUAAGUCCGGUUUCUAAAUGCUGAAGUGAAAGGGUAGGUAUGGACCAUUGAAAUCUGAUCACAACUUUUGGCCUUUUCCUUUCUCUGCAGCCAUGUUGUCUCUUUUUUCUUUUGCAUGAUUUUCUUACCUAAACAGAAUCAUAGACUUGUUUAAUCUCUAAAUGGUAUUUCAUCCAGCUUUAAGCUACUGUAUUAUAUCUUGGUGGAGGACUUUUAAGAGUGAAACCGACAUAGAGCACAUGCAAGUGGGUAUAUGGGACAUGAAAUUUCUUCUUAUAAAGACUGCAUGGUUUUUAUAUUAGAGUUGUUGAGGCGCAAUGUAUUUAGCUUGUUUUGCAGUUAAAUUAAUUGGAUAAGUAGACAUUGUCGUUUCUAAAUUUCCCACCUAAGAUAGUGACCUUAUCCUUGACUGCUUGAUGAGAUACACAAACAAUUAUACCUUCAAAAUCUACUGUGAAGUGCUUCAUGUAUGUGUGAAGUAUUAGAAAUUUCUUUCUUGGCAACUUGUUUUUUCUUUGCCCUCUACUGAUAGGUUUGACUCAAAUUAAAUUCCCUGUCAUGCUAAUUAAUUUUCACGUGCAUGCUCAAAAGGAUCACGUCAACUCUGGUUUCUACUAUUCAGGUCCAUUCCCAGAUAAACUGGUUCAAAUUUGAGAAAAUGGCAACAGCCCUUUAGUGAUGUUGGUUUGGAGCCAGUAGCCAAACCCGCCCUGAGCUUUACCACUAAUGUCAAGGGACAAAGCCAUUUGAACAAAAACAAUAGCUUCAAGAGACUGAAUCGUGGAUGAAAUCUGAUCCACAUUUCUUCUCAUUUUGGGAACAAAUGAGAACUUAACUACAAAGAUUCUACUGCCUCAUAGUGCUUUUCCUGAUCUAAGGUUGGUUCGUUUCCCAAAUUGUGAGGUACGUGCCAUUCUCACGCUCAGGAGUGUAUCCACGUGGUGGACAUAAGAUGGUGGCUUAAUAUCUGGUGUCGGUGGCUUUACUUUACUAGGAGAGUAGUGUGUCUUCAUCUCAUUCACUGCCGGAGGGUGGCGUAAGCAGUGACGCUAAGGUGGGGCACAGUCAAUAUCAUUUGCAUUUGACCAUUAUAGUUUUCUCCCGGCUUGAAAGUAACCUUAUCGUGAUAAAGGAUUACUAGCACUAGUUCAGAUGACAGUCAUGUUAAAUUCGGACCAUGUUUGUGUCACAUUAUCAGCAACCAUGUGUUUAUGGUUCAUGCUAUCUGCAACUAAACUUGAUAUAUAACCACGUGAACUUCAAUCUAAAUUCUGGAAGUACUCUUGUGAUAGAUGGUGCCUGUCUGCAGAGUCCAUCAAUUGAAAAAUGGAGUGAGUGUAUCUAUAAGAGGGAAGGCUUGGCAAAUGUUCAGUUUUCUGGGAACUCAACAAGGAUCUAAAAUAGAUUGUUUUCUUUGCUGAUUUCAAUGGUUGAAAUUUGAGAAGAUUGUGUCCACAUAACACAACUAUUACUGGUCCUUCUGUUGCAAUUUAUCCUCUAAGGCUCUAACAUGUCUUCCAAUUCCCACUUCCCUGUUACUCCAGGAAAGCUAUUUCUGUCAUUGUGAAGAAGAAAAGAGAAUGUACAUAUCGAUGGUUUUAAGUGACUGGGGCAUUCAUAUCAGGUGGUCUGCAGCCAUAUAUGCCACUUUGUGAAGGUUGGAACAGUCAAUCACCAGGCUAUAUUAGUGUGGCCCAGCCACUUCAAUCAAGGACAAGUCUUCAUACUUAAAGUCAAAUUCUGCCUUUAGUCUCAUUAUAAAUUGCUGUUUAAAUAUUAAGCAAACAUUUGUUUAAUGCGAUUAAGACAGUACUAACUCAAUACUUGUUCUAUUUUUGGAUGCAAAUGCUUGAUGGUUUCAUCAUUGGAUGGGAUAAAGGUGCAUUCAUGAUUAUGAAUACUUGUAGUUAUAUUUUCAUUCUCUUUUUUCUCAAUGAGACUUGUUGGCACAAUUUUGCUGUUCAGAAACCUACCUCUCCAUCGAAAAUCAGUUGUGAUUGAUAGUACUGGAUAUAUUCAAGAAAGCUAAAUAUAGAUAGCACCAAAUAUUAUCGAUAUAAAUAGCAUUAACAGCGUACGUAUGUCUCAAUGCUCAUCAGCUAUAAGCAACGGGCAAACACUUACUAUGAGCAACUUGCGUCAAAAUUCCAGAAUAGGACAUAGAAGUGACAGAUCUAUAUAUAUAUAGAACACUGCAUAUGAGUCACAAGAAAGGAAAUUACGGGUGCAUAGCAGCUCUUAUUUUACAUCCUACUCAUACUGAUCAAAGUCACUCAGUUGGGAUGGGUGGGAGUAGGAGGUUUGUGGGGUGGCUUGUGCGGAGGAGUUGGCAGCUUCUUUCCAGGACCUGGUUGCUUCUCUGCUGGAGUUGAAGGAGGCUUAAUCUUCCGAGGUGGCUUGUAUGAGUCUUCAGCAUUCUCAGCAGGAGGGUGACCAGGGUUGUGACCAUAAUGUGGUGGCUUCUCUCCCUUAGGUGGUUUGCCAACUGGGGUUGGUGGCUUGUAUGAGUCUUCAGCAUUCUCAGCAGGAGGGUGACCAGGGUUGCGACCAUAAUGUGGUGGCUUCUCUCCCUUAGGUGGUUUGCCAACUGGGGUUGGUGGCUUGUGUUCUGGGAGUGGCUUCUCCCCCUUGGGAGGUUUUUCCAAUGGGGUUGGUUUGUGUUCAGGAGGUGGCUUCUCCACUGGAGGCUUGUGUUCAGGAGGUGGCUUCUCCACCGGAGGCUUGUGUUCAGGAGGUGGCUUCUCCACCGGAGGCUUGUGUUCAGGAGGUGGCUUCUCGAAUGGGGGAUGCUCAGGGUAAUCAGCAAGUGAGGGGUUGGUGAGAACCACCAUGCCAAGCAACAGGACUAGCAAGUAUGUAGGAGACAUCUUUGGGUUUGGACUUAAGACAGUGGAAAACUGCGAGAAUUCUCUAGCCUUUUAUAGCGGGUCGACCCAGUACUCACAUGACACGUGUCAUUAUGACACAUGUGCCAUGGGGUCGAUUUGGGUCCUACAGUGUUGAAAAGUUGGGCAUUUGAGGUGUGAGCACAACUUUUGGCCUUUGCUUUCUCUACAGCCGCCAUGCUUUUCCCUUUUUUCCUUUUCCUUUUGUUUUCCUCCUGCCUCGUGUUCUCAACUAAACACAAUUAGGUUGUUUAAUUGUUAAAUGAGAUUUUUGUCUGUCAAUCAUAUUAUAUCCUAUCAAGAGAGAACAGAGUGUAAUGUAGUACACAUAACACGAGGCAGUAGUAAUUUUAUCAUUUAUUUUUAUAGCUUGGACCACCGCAUUUUUUCUUCUAAAAUAUUCUGUCUUGUUAAGAGACGCAAUAAUACACAAUUUUAUCUGCCAUUCAACAUUUACUGUAAAGUUCUUUUAUCUCUUUGUAGUUCUAGAAAAGUACAAAAUGGAACAUCAUGUAUAUGGUGCCUUCUGUCCUAAAAAAGAAACUGGACAAAUUAUGAACUGCAUGCUAAAAAGAGGCAAAGGAGCUUAAUUCGCAGCAUAAUUAUUUUGGUUUCUAGAGAGCCCGGGGCCUUUUGGUUGGUUUGGGGUCAGAAAAUGAACAUCAUAGGGAUUGUGCCCUUAACUGGCCUUGUUACUACAAAGAAAUUGCCAUAGAAAUUUAUUCCAGGCUGAGUAUCUCCGGAUAGACCCCAGAAAAGAAGAGUCAUAAUGAGAAUCAACCUUUGUUGAGUUUGAUUCCAUGCCUCCAUUGUGUUCAUUUCAUGAAUCUGAUUUGCAUUUAACAUUACAGUUUUGUUCUGGAAACAAUCAAAGGAGCAUCGUUUGCUUCUUGGGUGACCCAUAGUGGUGGGUGGGUCGAUUUGCUUAGUUGAAAAUUGGACAAUUGGCUCCAUCGCCUACCUCUUGGAUUCCAUGCUCGGAUAAAACGACAACAAAUAAAUAUUUAUAACUUACAACUGGGGAAAGGAAAAAAUAGUACUAAAUUCAUGGUACAUGAUAGUGAGAGAAGGGGGUGUUACACUCAGCUAAAGUUCUUUUCUAAAUAUUGCAUGGUGUUUAAUUUUAUGUGUCGGCGCGCGUGUGAAUGGAACCUGCAAAAGUCCAAAUUGGCGUUUCUCCAUUUUCCACAUAGGAUGGUGACGUUAAUAGACAAAGAUACAAUAUCUGUAGACAUUGCUUAAAAAUCGAUGUGAAGUAUUAGAAAUUACAGGCCACUGUACUGGGGGAGCGGCUGCCCCGCCAAAGGAAGAAUGUAGCAAUUUCUUCUGUUAGCCAGGCCUUAGGAUUUAUGCAUGGGAUGCCUAAUAACAAACAGAGAAAAUAUGCUUUUGGGGAAGGUAUCCAACAACAGACACCAUCAUUCAGAUGGUGGGAAGGUAUCCAACAGAUGCCAUCAUUCAGAUGGUAACAUAUAUAUACAUUUAUUAGUGAGUUUUUUUAAUACCUAUAAAAAAAAUAUACACUUUGAUAUUGUGGCUGAAUCCAUUACAUACUCAACUAACCUUGCUCAUUAGGGAUUUGACGUAACAAGGGCAACGUUGCAGUAAAAGCUCGAAACUUUAUGCAGGUGACAUUACAUUUGGUAAAGAAGAGGAAAAUAAGGAAAGCCAUCCAUAAAAGCAAAAUUCCUCAUGGGAUGAAAUUCACAAACUUCAUUUACGUUAGAGUCGCAUCCAGGCAAUUAAUUCCACAUUAGACCGCCUUUUGACAUGUGUACGGAUCUUUUUUCAAAAAUUAUUUAUAAAUAAUUGAUACUUACAAAAAUAAUUUAAGAUUUAUAAAGGAUAAAAAAAUAUUUUCAAAUCUAUGACAAUUUAUAAAAUAUUAAUAAAAAAUUAUCUCUUAAACUUAGUAUAGUUUUAUCGUAUUAAACUUUUAUUUUGAACAAAUAAUUUUAAUCUAAGUUUUAAAUUCUAAAAUUAUUUCCUUAAAAUAAAAUUUUAAAAUUCAACACUUCAAUUGAAAUUGUCUUUUAAAAAAAAUAUCUUCUUAUUUUAAUCCUUAUAAACUAUAGUUGAUUGAAAAUACUAUUGAAGUUCUCUCUUCAAAAAAAGUCUUAUUUUAAUCUUCAUAAAUUGCCCUUGAUUUGAAAAUAAACUUUGGGUUAUCAUAUUUUAAAUAAUAUAUAUAUAUAUAUAUAUAUAUAUAUAUAUAUAUAACAAAUACUCUAUUUUUUUUUUAAAUGAACUAAUUUUAAUUAUAUUUUAUUUUAUUUUUUUAUAUAUUUUUAAUGAUAAACCAAACAUAGAAAAUCAUUUUUCUAAAUAUUUUAAAAUUUCUAAGCAACCAAACAUAAUCUUCAAAAUAAAAGGAGAAUAAGGAGGGACAAGUGAGAAAUGGCGAUUAAAAAAAAGUGUACAAAAGCUCAAUUAAUUUUCUUCUAGUCUUUUAUAUAAAAAAGUAUUGGUAUGUAAAUUAAUAUUUGGAUUUUAAUAGUAUUUUAUUUGUCUUUCUCUAUCUCAUGUAAAAGAGAAUUUAAGAUAUUUCCUAAAGCAAAGCAUUAGUUAUCUGCAAUCAGUGGUGAUCAUGGUCCAUGUCAAUUUCGGACCCAUAUCUUAAAACCGUAUAAUUUGCGUUUCAACAUUACUGAUUUCUCAGAUGUUUCAUACUCCACAGAAGAGUAUUGUUAGUGAAAGCAUUUUGUAACUGUUACUCAUAGUGUUUUGACUCUGGCUCAACAACAUCAGCCAUUGACGGAUUUUCAUACAUGCAAAUCAAAUAGUCUUCUUCCUCCCUUAGGAAUUUCGGUUUAAAUGUUAUUAAGCAUACAUUUGGCUGACAAUUAUUAACCACUUCAUGAUAUGGUUUCUUACCCUUAAUCAAUGGUUUCUAAGUGAAUAUAUGCAGAAGGAAAUCUGAACUGUAGACAGCAGUAUUGAUAACUCUCAAUAUUCUUUAUAUAAGAGAAUAAACAACGUCAUAGUGAUCGUCGCCUACAAGAAAGGUACAUUUCCCAACAAGAUGUAGUGGUGACUGCUACAUGGACGCAAUUAACUCGUAGAAAAGGAUAAGACCAGUGCACGGCAGCUCUUAUUUUACAUGCUAAUUAUGCUAACCAAAGUCACUCAGUUGGGAUGGGAGGGAGAUGGAGGUUUGUGCGGUGGCUUGUGGGGCGGAGUUGGUGGCUUCUUUUCAGGAGCUUGUGGCUUUUUCGGAGCUGAAGGAGGCUCAAUCUUAUGAGGCGGCUUGUACGAGUCUUCUUUACUCUCGACAGGAGGGUGACCAGGGUUGUGACCAUAAUGUGGUGGCUUCUCUCCCUUAGGUGGCUUGCCAACUGGGGUUGGUGGCUUGUGUUCAGGAAGUUGUUUCUCUCCCUUGGGAGGUUUACCAAUUGGGGUUGGUGGCUUGUGUUCUAGGAGUGGUUUCUCUCCCUUGGGAGGUUUAGUGGGUGACUUGUGUUCUGGAGGUGGCUUCUCCACCGGAGACUUGUGUUCUGGAAUUGAUUAAAAAAAUUCUACCACUCUUUUAAGUAAUGGAAGAUUAUUAUCUCUGAUUGGCACCACAACAGCACAUGCUGCUAGAUCUUUCUAGACACUCCAUGCAAUGAAAGCACAAUGGAUCUUGUAACGAUAGAAACUAAGCCAUGCUACAGUACUAGAUGACGAGGUAAAACUAGUAGACAUGGGUGGUAGUUGAUUACUACUCAAAAAGUACUCUUUUAUAGUUUGAAACUAACUGUUUUAAACACUUUUGAGUAGUAGUUAAUAAAUUUUAACUCAAUUGGCACAUUAAGGAACCUAGCAAGGGUUACUAAUAAACUUUUGGCAAGUUUUGGUGUUUUUGGUAGUUAUUCGAUCAUUGAAACAAGCCAAGAAUGAGGGAGAAUUUUGUGAAGUCCAUGGCAAUGCAAGUUAAAGCUCAAAUACACGAAGAAUCCAAGCUUUGGAGCACUACAUAGCCCUUUGCCAAGCCAAUUAGAGAUGCAAGGAACAAAACCAAAGGAAGAAAUCCAACAACCAACAUUUUCGCAUGGUUGUGUGAAAUUUCGCACACCAUGCGAAACCACAAGAGGUAGCCAAAGAAUUUCACAUGGUAUGCGAAAUCUUCUCAUGCACCGACUCCGUUAGAUUUUUAUCUUCAGAUAUUUUGUGUAAUUUCCUAGUUUCUCCUUGUAACCAACCUAGAUAUUUUCUUUUAUAUCUUUUUUUAUAUUUUUUAGGUAACAUCAUAUAUAAGGGGAGAGACAUAAGGAGGAUAUGGAUGUUUUUCAUAGAACACUUGUAAAUUUUCAGUAGUAAGAAAUAUACAAAGCUUUUUGCUAUGCCUUACCUUCUCAUUUUGUUUUCACCUGUCUUUCUAGCCAAACAACCUCUAAGGAUGAUUUCUCAGGGGAUGAGUGGCUAGGUUUUACGUUUCUUGGAGUGAGGGAAGCUAGGUGAAGGACCUGAAUGCAAAGAUGAGAGUUUUCCUUGCUUUAAAUGAAAGUAGUUGUUAAACAUUAAUGGUUUUUAUUUUAAGGUUUAGCUUUAAAUCCCUUAAAAACACCUUGAAUGACCAAUACUUGGUAAGCUUUUCGGAUUCUAUGGAUGCUUAUUGCUAGAUCCAUGGAUGUCUAUUAGUUAUCAUUUACGAGCCUUUGGAAGGUGAUUCAAGGUGAGGGUCUUUAGUGUUUGAAGCCAUUAAUGGGAAGCAAUUACCAUUUUUUCAUGAAUCCUUUGGAUCAAAUCUUAAUUGCUAAAUAUAAAACCGAUUUGGGAAAUAACCAUCCUUUAUGUUAUUAUCCCCAACGCAAGGAGAAGAUCCGGAAUCUUCCCUUUUGUCUAAGGAACCCGAUCCUAGUGACCUAAAGCUCCAAGAGACCUUUUCUUUGUAGUUAACUUCAUUUAUUGUUUUUGCUUAACUUAAAAUCAAUCUUUGCAACCACAAUUCCAUUUUCUUUAAAAGCUAAUUUUUAUAAGGAAAAACACCAUUUUAUUUCCUUCACUAAGUCAACUGUACGAUGAAAACCCAUCCCUGUGGACGAUCCUAGAGCCAUUAUACUAUGUUAGCUAUGCUACCCUAGUGUGAGGUGAUUUAGGUUUUAUAAAUUUUGUUGAUAACACCCAUCUGAGCCAGAAUCAAAUGGCACAACUGAACCAGGGACGAAUCAAAUGGCGCCGCUAUCGAGGAUGGUGCCAAAGUACAUUGACAUGACUUUUGGUGAACACUUGUGAUCUUCAUCACAAGUUUGGUGAUUUUUCUAUUACUAAUUUUUUUCUUUGUUUUUAUUUUAGCUUAUCUUUUAUUUAGUUUUUAGCUAACCUUAACUUUUUCUUAGAAUUGUAUUUCUUCUAUUUUCUUUGUUUUUGUUUCAGUGAUCUUUAGUUGUGCAUGCCCUAUUGGAUAAGAAAUAUUGAGGGAAUACUUGUGAAGAUUGAAAAUCCUCGAGAAACUGAGUUGGAAGUGUGAUUGAACAUCAUGGAUGUUCCACCUGAAGACCAGAAUAGCCAACAUGGUUAAGAGGAUAAUUUCAAAGCAUACCGAUCCAUGAGGGACUGCAUGCAUCCACCUCGUAUGAGUGCACCGUCAUGCAUAGUGCCUCCCACUGAGCAACUAGUAAUCUGACCUCACAUUGUGCCACUCCUACCUACUUUCCAUGGGAUGGAGAGUGAGAAUCUCUACUCGCAUAUUAAGAAAUUCGAGGAGGUUUGUAAUACAUUCCAAGAAGGAGGAGCUUCAAUUGACUUGAUGAGGCUCAAGCUAUUUCCUUUCACUUUGAAGGAUAAGGCUAAGAUUUGGCUUAAUUCUUUAAGGCCAAGGAGUAUCCGAACUUGGACUAAUUUGCAAGCCGAUUUUCUUAAGAAGUUCUUCCUUACCCAUAGGACCAAUGGUUUGAAAAGGCAAAUUUCGAACUUCUCAGCUAAAGAGAAUGAGAAAUUCUAUGAGUGAUGGGAGAGGUACAUGGAAGCUAUUAAUGCUUGUCCUCACCAUGGCUUUGACACAUGGCUCUUAGUGAGUUAUUUUUACGAUGGUAUGUCUUCUUCAAUGAAGCAACUCCUAGAAACUAUGUGUGGAGGAUACUUCAUGAGUAAGAAUCCGAAGGAAGCCAUGGACUUUUUGAGUUAUGUGGCUGAAGUUUUAAGAGGAUGGGAUGAACCAAAUGCUAGAGAGGUGGAAAGAAUGAAGUCUCAACCUAAUGCUAAGGGUGGGAUGUAUGUUUUGAAUGAAGACAUUGACAUGAAAGCAAAGGUUGUAGCUAUGGCAAGGAGAUUGGAAGAGCUAGAAAUGAAGAAGGCACAAAAAGUGGAAGCCAUUUCUGAGACAUCAGUGCAAGCUAUGCCUUGUUCCAUUUGUCAACCUAAUGCUAAGGGUGGGAUGUAUGUUUUGAAUGAAGACAUUGACAUGAAAGCAAAGGUUGUAGCUAUGGCAAGGAGAUUGGAAGAGCUAGAAAUGAAGAAGGCACAAAAAGUGGAAGCCAUUUCUGAGACAUCAGUGCAAGCUAUGCCUUGUUCCAUUUGUCAAUCUUAUGAGUACCUAGUGGAGGAGUGUCCUACAAUUCCAGUAGUGAGAGAGAUGUCUGGUGAUCAAGCAAAUGUUAUUGAUCAAUUCAAGCCUAAUAAAAAUGCUUCAUAUGGCAACACCUACAAUUCAAAUUGGAUGAACCAUCCAAAUUUCUCUUGGAAACCAAAGCUACCUCAAUACACACAACCUGCUCAAGCACCUUAGCAAUCCUCGAAUCUUGAACAAGCUAUUGUGAACCUUAGUAAGGUUGUGGGAGAUUAAAAGUCCAUCAAUGCUCAACUGAAUCAGAGAAUUGACAGUGUAGAGAGUACAUUGAACAAAAGGAUGGAUGAGAUGCAAAAUGAUCUGUCUCAAAAGAUAGACAAUGUCCAAUAUGCAAUCUCAAGGCUUACCAACCUCAACACAGUGCAAGAGAAAGGAAAGUUUAUUUCUCAACCUCAUCAAAAUCCCAAGGGUAUCCAUGAAGUGGAGGCUCAAGAGAGAGAAUCUUCAAAGGUGAGGGAAGUCAAAGCAGUUAUCACCUUGAGGAGUGGUAAAGAGGUUGAUCAACCCACAUCCAAGCCAAAGCAUAAUGAAGAGAGUUUUGUAGAAAAAGAAAAGAGAGGAAAAUAAAGGAAAGAGAAUAGAGAAAAGUACAAAGAAAGAUGACCAUGAGUCUAGUGUGGAUGAAGAGCCCAAGAGGAUAGUGAUCAAGGAAAAUAUGAUGAAGAAACACAUGCCUCCACCUUUCCCCUAAGCUUUGCAUGACAAAAAAGGAACCAAUAAUACAUCGGAAAUUUUUGAAGUAUUGAGGCAAGUGAAGGUCAAUAUCCCUUUGCUAGAGAUGAUCAAACAAGUGCCGACAUAUGCAAAAUUCUUGAAGGACUUGUGCACUGUAAAGAGAGGGUUGAAUGUGAACAAGAAAGCUUUCUUGACCGAGCAAGUGAGUUCCAUCAUACAGUGCAAGUCUCCAGUGAAGUACAAAUAUCCGGGCUACCCUACCAUCUCAGUGAGUAUUGGAGGUACUUGUGUGGAAAAAGCUUUGUUGGACUUGGGAGCAAGUGUGAAUUUGCUACCCUACUCUGUCUAUAAGUAGUUGGGACUUGGAGAGUUGAAGUCAACAUCCAUCACCCUAUCUCUGGCAGAUAGAUCAGUGAAGAUUCCAAGAGAGAUGAUAGAAGAUGUCUUGGUUCAAGUUGACAAAUUCUACUAUCCAGUGGAUUUUGUUGUUCUUGAUACGGAUCCGAUUGUCAAAGGAACUAAUUAUGUUCCUAUCAUACGAAGACCCUUCCUAGCUACAUCAAAUGCAAUCAUCAAUUGUAGGAAUGGAGUCAUGAAACUCACGUUUGUCAACAUGACAUUAGAGCUCAACAUCUUCCAUUUGUACAAGAAGCAUAUCCAUUCAGAAGAAAAAGAAGGUCUAGAGGAAGUGUGCAUGAUUGACACUUUAGUGGAGGAGCAUUGUGAUCGACAAUGCAAGAAGAUUUAGUUGAGAGUUUUGGGGAUCUUGAUGAAGGGUUACUUGAACCCUCAGAUUUGCUUGCUACCCUACUCCAUUGGAGGAAGAGAGAAGAAAUUCUACCCUUAUUCAAUGAGGAGGAGACACAAAGAGCUGCUAAAGAUAAGCCCCCAAAGCUUAUUCUUAAGCCACUACCCACAGAGUUGAAGUAUGCAUACUUGGAAGAAGACAAGAAGUGCACUGUUGUUAUAUCUUUAGCUCUUACCAUUCAUCAGGAGGAUUGUCUACUUGAAGUCCUUAGAAGAAGUAAGAAGGUAAUAGGGUGGCAAAUUUCUGAUUUGAAAGGGAUCAGCCCUUUUGUCUGCACCCAUCAUAUUUACAUGGAGGAUGAAGCUAAGCCAAUUCAUCAACCUCAGAGAAGGUUGAACCCUCACAUGCAAGAAGUGGUGAGAGUUGAAGUUCUUAAGCUACUUUAGGCUGGUAUUAUUUACCCCAUAUCAGAUAGCCCAUGGGUGAGUCCUACUCAAGUUGUGCCAAAGAAGUCGGGGAUCACGGUGGUGCAAAAUGAUAAGGGAAAAGAUGUCUCUACAUGUCUCACUAUAGGUUGGAGGGUGCGUAUCAAUUACAGGAGGUUGAAUGUAGUGACAAGGAAUGACCAUUUCUCGUUGCCCUUUAUUGAUCAAGUGCUUGAGAGGGUCUCUGGGCAUCCUUUUUAUUGUUUCUUGGAUGGCUACUCGAGGUAAUUUAAGAUAGAAAUUGAUGUUGAAGACCAGGAGAAGACCAUUUUCACAUGCCCAUUUAGAACCUAUGCAUAUAGGAGAAUGUCUUUCGGCUUAUGCAAUGCACCCACAACUUUCCAAAGAUGCAUGUUAAGCAUUUUCAAUGAUAUGGUGGAGCAUAUUAUGGAAGUCUUUAUGGAUGAUAUCACCAUAUAUGGAAGUGCAUUUGAUGAAUGCUUGGUCAACUUAGAAGUUGUUCUGAACCGAUGCAUUGAGAAAGACUUAGUGCUUAAUUGGGAGAAGUGCCAUUUCAUGGUACACCAAGGGAUUGUCCUUGGGCACAUCAUCUCCAAGCAAAGCAUUGAAGUUGACAAAGCAAAGGUUGAACUCAUUGUUAAGUUGCCAUUCCCAACAAAUGUCAAAGGAGUAAGGCAAUUCCUUGGCCAUGCCGGGUUCUAUAGGAGGUUUAUCAAGGAUUUCUCUAAGCUUGCAAGGCCUCUUUGUGAAAUAUUGGUGAAGGAUGUUAAAUUCAUAUGGGAUGAUAGAUGCCAAAGGAGUUUUGAAGAAUUGAAGCUAUUUUUGACAACCUCACCAAUAGUGAGGGCUCCCAACUAGCAACUGCCCUUUGAGGUAAAGUGUGAUGUCAAUGACUUUGCUAUAGGAGCUGUUCUUGGGCAAAGAGAAGAUGGAAAACCUUAUGUGAUCUACUAUGCGAGCAAGACAUUGAAUGAGGUGCAAAGAAACUACAUAACCACCGAGAAAGAAUUGUUAGCUGUAGUUUUUGCCUUGGAUAAGUUUCGUGCUUACUUGGUGGGAUCCUUCAUCGUGGUUUUUAUUGAUCACUUUGCUUUGAAGUAUCUAUUGACUAAGCAAGAUGCUAAAGCAAAACUGAUUAGAUGGAUUUUCUUGCUUCAAGAGUUCAAUCUCCAGAUCAAAGACAAGAAAAAAAUGGAGAAUGUGGUAGUAGACCACAUUUCAAGGCUAGCUAUCGCACAUAAUUCCCAUGCUUUGCCCAUUAAUGACGAUUUUCUAGAGGGGUCUCUCAUGUUGGUGGAAGUUGUCCCUUGGUACGCUCACAUUGCUAACUACCUGGUCACAAGAGAAGUUCCAAGUGAGUGGAAAGCACAAGAUAAGAAGCACUUCUUUGCAAAAAUUCAUGCCUACUAUUGGGAAAAGCCAUUUCUAUUCAAGUAUUGUGCGGAUCAGAUAAUAAGGAAGUGAGUUCCUGAAGAAGAGCAACAGGGGAUCCUCAGUCAUUGCCAUAAAAAUGCAUGUGGAUGCCACUUUGCUUAUCAGAAGACAACCAUGAGGGUGCUGCAAUCGGGUUUCUGUUGGCCAUCACUUUUCAAAGAUGCCCACACCAUGUGCAAGAGUUGUGAUCGAUGCCAGAGGCUUGGGAAGUUAUCAUGUAGGAACAUGAUGCCUUUGAACCCCAUUUUAAUAGUUGAUCUUUUUUAUGUUUGGGGCAUUGACUUCAUGGGACUUUUCCCUAUAUCUUUUGGCUACUCUUACAUCUUGGUGGGAAUAGAUUAUGUUUCUAAGUGGGUUGAGGCAGUCCCAUGCAAACACAAUGACCAUAGAGUGGUUCUCAAGUUUCUUAAGGAGAACAUCUUCUCAAGAUUUGGGGUGCCCAAAGCCAUAAUUAGUGAUGGGGGUACUCAUUUUUGCAACAAGCCUUUUGAAACUCUCCUAGCCAAGUAUGGGGUGAAGCAUAAGGUAGCUACACCUUACCACCCUCAAACUAAUGGGCAAGUUGAGUUAGCAAACAAGGAGAUUAAAAACAUAUUGAUGAAGGUGGUGAACACAAACAGAAAAGAUUGGUCAGUCAAGCUCUUCGAUUCACUAUGGUCAUGUAGAACAGCUUACAAGACCAUUAUCGGGAUGUCUCUUUAUCACCUAGUCUAUGGAAAAAAUGCCAUCUCCUUGUGAAAUUGGAAUACAAAGCUUGGUGGUCAAUCAAGAAGCUCAACAUGGAUUUGAGCAGAGCUGGGUUGAAGAGGUUCUUAGACCACAAUGAGAUGGAGGAAUUGAGAAAUGAUGCCUACAUCAAUUCAAAAAUUGUAAAAGAAAAAUUGAAGAGGUGGCAUGAUCAGUUGAUUUCCCGCAAGAAUUUUCAAAAUGGAUAAAGAGUCUUGCUCUAUGACUCUAAACUCCACAUCUUUCCGAGCAAGCUGAAAUCAAGGUGGAUAGGUCCUUUUACCAUUCACCAAGUGCAUUCAAAUAGAGUAGUGGAACUACUCAACUCCAACAACAUCGGGAGCUUCAAAGUGAAUGACCAUUGUCUCAAGCCCUUUGUAGAGUCUUUUUUCUCGCGACAAGGAGGAAUUCAUCCUCCUUGAUCCACAUCAAGCUUGACAAGACCAGUUUUUUUUUAUGGACUUAGUCUUUCUAAAGACUAUCGAGUCCAUAACUUUUUAUUUUAUUUUUUAUUUGAGAGUUUUUCGGUAUUAUUACUUGUUUUGUUUUUUAUUUUUCGUUUUACUUUUAUUUGGUUUGAUUUAACUUAGAUUUUUUAUGAUCAAUUGCAGGGGGGAUUUCAAAUAGAGGAAAAACCAAGAUAAUUCGCACACCCUGCGAAAAUUUCGCAAGGCAUGCGAAAUUUAUGGCUCAUUUCGCAUGGGAUGCGAAAUUUCGCACACCCUACGAACCAAUUUCGCACACUUUGUGAAAAUAAACCAACCCUACGAAAUCAUUUCAAAUACUCUACGAAAUUUUCGCAGAGCAUGUAAAAAAUUUCGCAGACCAAACACCAUUUCGCAUACUAUGCGAAAAUGUAAGGGGUCUACAAAACCAUUUCGCACCUCCAAAGCCAUUUCGCACAUUGUGCAAAAAUGAAAAGUCGCCCUAUCAUCCAUUUUUAAACCCCUUGAGCCCUGAAAUCCCCAUUUCGCAAGCACCCCUGUCCUUGCGAAUCCCUCAUUUUCCUCUGCCACCUUGCGACCUUGUCCCUCUCCAUUUGAUAUCGUGCCCUGCGCACAUCUCAUUUCAAAGACUCGCACUCUGCGCCCUCUCAAAGCACGAACCCAAGGCUCACAUUCCAUUUCCGACAUGGCACAGACCCGAGGAGCCCUUCCCGCCCCUUCAUCGAGACGCACACCAAGGUAGAGAGCCUCUUUUGCUCAGAUGCCAAGUGAUUCUCCAUUUCAGGCCACGGAGGCCCUGCGGAUUCCACAUUCCAAGGGUAGAACAGCCACUGGUCCUUCCUCUUCUAUUCCUCAGCGUAGAUAUGAGACGAGGAGACCACCUACUACACAAAGGGCGACUACUUCGCGCCAUGAGAAUUCGGUACGACACCCUCCUGCCAAGAGGGCCAGGACUUCAGGCCCAGGCGAGUCAUCCAAAGCUUCACAGCCUGAGCCUCCUGCAGAUUCCGAGGUUCCUACUGACAUAUCAUCGGAGUCUAUUAUCAAACGCCCGAUGCUCACAGCACCGCCCAUUGAGGGCAACUCUGAUUGUAGAGCGAGACCUUUCCACUUGGAGCUAUAUUUUAAUUAAGAGGCCAUGCCACAGCAGCCUGAGCUCCAAGACUCUUAUGGCUUACUACAGAGGUACCAUCUUGAGGACCUUAUGACUCCUCGUGAGUUCUUUUAUCCCAGAGUAGCACUAGACUUUUACCAGUCCAUGACUACUCGUGGCGUCCCGAGUCCUACCGCGAUGCACUUCACCAUUAAUGGACGUCAUGGUAUCCUCGAGGCCAGACAUAUUGGAGAGGCUCUACAGAUUCCUUUCGAGCUAGAGGACCCAUCUGUUUUCUGCCAAUGGUCCCCAAUAUCUCAGAGGGACAUGGUCCAUAUUUUAUCCAGGGGGACAUCUACAUAUUCGAUCCUUCUACGGAAGGAGCUUCGACCUGGGAUACUCCUCGUAGAUGUGGUGCUACUUUCCAACCUCUUUCCCUUUUAGCAUUCGAUACAUAGGCGAGGAGCUAUUUUGGACGCUUUAUUCUGUAUAUCAGAGGGCUUCUACUUUGGCCCGCACCACUUGAUCAUGGUUUCCCUCAUCCAUUUUGAGGAGAAGGUCCAUAGAAAGAAGCUUCAGAGGGCGAACACCAUUCCAUUACUAUUCCCGAGGUUGCUCUACUAGAUCUUGGAGUACAUGGGCUUUCCUACUGAGCCUCGGCUUGUGUGCCGCCGCCUUUGUCAAGAGCGAUCCACUCUCGACAAAUGGAAUCAGUUGGCGGGCUAUUCUACACCUCCAGGAGCCCCUCCCAUGGUAGCACCUCUAGUGUCCCCACAGGCAGAGUAGGGCAAGCUCCCGGUAGAGACUGCACCCCUAGUGCCCACACCUGAGGCUACUUCUGCUGUUCCGCCUACGACUCCUACUGUUCCACCAGUUGGUCCUUUUACAUCUGAGUCUUCCAUCAACAUCUCGACUUCGGAGUUUCGCGCCCUUGUGCAUACCUUUCAGACACUCACCACCACACAUACUGCUCUCUUCUAGAAAAUGGCUGAGAUGCGUGCCCAUCAGGACCAGCAGACUACUAUACUCCGCCAAAUUCAACAGCACCUGGGACUUCUGCCUCUGCCUCAGCUUGACCUUCCCACAUCAUCAGAGCCUCUAGCUCCAGUUGAGGAUACUAUUCCACCUGAGGACACUACCACAGUAGAGGUUCAGAUUCCACCACCUCAGGAGGCCACCACAGCUACAUUAGAGGAUGCAUCAUCUCCACCUGAGGCUCCCACUACUUGAUCAUAGGACAUCUCUUUAUCUUAUUGUAUUUACAUAUUAUAUUACUGGAGAUUUGUCUUUGUUUUGAUACUUUAUAUUCUGGCAUUGAAUGUAUUGCCUAAUGAUAUCUCAAUUGUACUUUCUCAUAUUAAUAUAUAGACAUCAAUUUUUUUUAGUAUACUUAGGAUUUUUCUAUUUACUCUACUCAUUACUCUUUUGUUUUUUUUUUUUUACUCAUGUGGUUUCUCCUAUACGACUCAGACUCCAUUUCACUCAGGAGGUACCACUUCUUCCCUUUAUUUUCAAUUGCUCUUGAAACAUUGAGGGCAAUGUUGAUCUUGGUUGGAGGGAGAGUUGAGGAAGGAAGUGAUUACUACUCAAAAAGUGCUAUUUCAUAGCUUGUAAUUAACUCUUUUAAAACACUUUUGAGUAGUAGUUAUCACCUUUUAACCCAAUUAACAUAUUAAGGACCCUUGCAAUCAAUUCUAAUCAAAUUGUGUUAAGUUUUGGUAUUUUGAUAGCUUUUUUAUCACCAAAGCAAUCCGAGAUUGAGGAUAUUUAUUUGGAAUCCAUGGCAAAAGAUGUUUGGACAGGACGUCCGGACACACCAUCGGAGGGCGGCGGAACGUGGGCUGUGGCAGGCUGUCGGAAUGACGUAGCAAGGCUUGUGCACUUUAGCCAAUGAUCGGGAUAACAUAUCCGAAAUUCUGCUCCGCCGACAUUCCACCCGGAUGUCUCACAUCCGGAAUUCUGCUCCGCCGACAUUACACCCAGAUGUCUCACAUCCAAAAUUCUUCUCCGUCGACAUUCCAUCCGAAUAUUUCACAUCCGACGCUUGACGCCGGAUGGGAGAGGAGGGCGUUUCAACUUCCCCGGUCAGACAUAUCCGAAUCCUUUGAUAACGCUUACCCGGAGAGUUUCGCAGCCAUUUUGCACAGUGCCGCGGUGUUCUCUUGAAGCUUCCCGAUAUGUGCGACCGACAUUUUGAGAUAUUUUGCUUUAGAUAUUUGAUGUCUAAAUCCCCAAACUCUCCUUGUAACCCACCAAUUAUAGGAUUCCUUAGUUAUUAAGUUUGGAAAAAUGGUGAAUAACCCCUUAUAUAUAGUUUGCAAUUUUCAUAAAAAAGAUAUGUAGAAUCUCGGGAGCUUGUUCCCAGAGAGACGCAUCCUUUGUACAGUUUUGGAAGGAAGUAAAAUACAGAGCACUUGCUCUGCUUUUCAUAUAUAUUUUUGUUUUCUCGUUCUUUUUAUUUCUAGCCAAUCAAAGUCUGAGGAUUUUUCCUCAGAGGAUGAGAGGCUAGGCUCUUCGUCUCUUGGAGUGAAGAAAACUAGGUAAGUUUCCACAUGCAUAAAUUGAAAGUUUUGUUGUUUUAGUUUUUAAUGAAGAGAAAGUGUGACCCGUUAAUGGUUUUUAUCUUUUUAGUUAACUUAAAACGCCUUUAAAUCACCCGGGCCAACACUUGAUAAGGCAAGUGGUCUCCAUCCAUUGAGAUGCACUAGUUUAUCUCUUGCGAGCCUUUGGGAGGUGGUUUGAAGGUAGGAUUUUCUAGAAUAACCAACACUUGAUAAGCUUUUGGACUCUAAGGAGACAUCCAUUAGUUAUCUCUUGCGAGCUUUUGACGGGUAAUCCAAGGUUAAAGAUCACCUUGAAUGGCAAGUACUAGGUGAGAGGUAUGAGCCAUUGCAAGAUGCAUUAGUGAGAGGGAUUUAGUGUUUGAACCCAUUAAAGGGAAGCAUCUGUACCACACCGGUUCGGGAAAUAACUAUAUGUUAAAUCCCCAAUGAGAGGAAAAGAAACAAGUGACCGGAACUCCCUUUUUGUAUAAGGAACCUGAGCCUAGUGAUCUAAACUCCAAGAAACACUUUUCUUUGUAAGUAAAAUCAGUUACUAUUUUUGGUUAGUUUAAAACCAAACCUUUUUCAUUCAAACAUCUUUAUGUUUUCUUUUAAAGCUAACCUUGAAAUGAAAAGGCACCAAUUCAUAUUUGAAUUAAUAUCAAUUGUGAAGUGAAAACCCAUCCCAGUGAACGAUCCUAGAGCCACUAUGCUAUAGUAGCUUUGUCUUUGCUACCCUAGUUCAUGGUUUAAUAGGUUAUAAAUUUUGUUGAUUACUCCCACAAUCAAAGGAGCACCAGUUGGACAUGAAUCAACUGAGACACUAAUUGGGCACAAAUCAGGAAGUUUUGUUAAUAAUGCUAGGUUAAUUUGUUAAUUUAGUUACUUUCUGCUUAAUUUUAAAAGUUUUCACUUUACUUUCCAUAGUUAUUAAGGAAAAAUUCUCAAAAUGAAAUGGGAGAAAUUGAAUUCUUACAUUUUUACUUGAAUUUUAGAAUUUGUAUUAUGCUUAUUGAAGCUGAUGAAUUAUUGAAACUCCUAUUGAAUUCAACCUUAUUUCUUCCACUUUAAUCUUACCACACACGGUGCACAUUAGGUUCCGAUUAUAAGAGGUGCGUUCUUAGCCUAUUGGAGGUUGGUCAAUUUGUUAAAGUUUGAGAAAGAUCUAGGUUAGGGGAGAGAGAAUAGUCUGACAUACUAUAAUCGAAAACUAAUAAACUUAACACUUAGAUCUUUGUGGAAGAGUAAGGAUUGGACCUUUGGGAGUGGAAAUUCGUUUGAUGCUUAAAUUUGCAUAAUGCUUACACUUUAUAAAUUGUGAUUAGGCAAGAGAUUUGAUGACUCUUGUUCAAGGUUGGGUUUUGCCUCUUUGAUGUUCCAUGAGAGAGUAUAAUCCUCAUCAUGCCACUUGAAAUUUUUUUUGGAGUGAUUAACAUGAUUUUGUAAAUUACUUUACUGUCUAUUUUUUUUUUAUCUCUCCUUCAUUGCUAAUGGACUAGCAAUAUGUCAGUUGAGGGGAGUGAUUACUACUCAAAAAGUACUCUUUUAUAGCUUGAAACUAACUGUUUUGAACACUUUUGAGUAGUAGUUAAUACCUUUUAACUCAAUUGGCACAUUAAAGAACCUAGCAAGGGUUACUAAUUAGUUUUUGGCAAGUUUUGGUGUUUUUGGUAGCUAUUUGAUCAUUGAAACAAGCCAAGAAUGAGGGAGAAUUUUGUGAAGUCCAUGGCAAUGCAAGUUAAAGCUCAAAUACAUGAAGAAUCCAAGCUUUGGAGCACUUCAUAGCCCUUUCCAAAGCCAAUCAGAGAUGCAAGGAAGAAAACCAGAGGAAGAAAUCCAACAAUUAGCAUUUUCGCAUGGCUGUGCGAAAUUUCGCACACCAUGCGAAACCACAAGAGGCAGCCAAAGAAUUUUGCACACUAUGCGAAAUUUCGCAUGGUAUGCAAAAUCUUCUUGUGCACCAACUCCGUUAUAUUUUUAUCUCAAAUAUUUUGUGUAAUUUCCUAGUUUCUCCUUGUAACCAACCUAGAUAUUUUCUUUUAUAUAUUUUUUAGGUAACAUCAUCUAUAGGGGGAGAGACAUAAGGAGGAUAUGGAUGUUUUUCAUAGAACACUUGUAAAUUUCCGGUAGUAAGAAAUAUACAGAGCUUUUUGCUCUACCUUACCUUCUCAUUUUGUUUUCACUUGUCUUUCUAGCCAAACAACCUCUGAGGAUGAUUUCUUAGGGAAUGAGUGGCUAGGUUUUACGUUUCUUGGAGUGAGGGAAGCUAGGUGAAAGACCCGAAUGCUAAGGUGGGAGUUGUCCUUGCUUUAAAUGAAAGUAGUUGUUAAACAUUAAUGGUUUUUAUUUUAAGGUUUAGCUUUAAAUCCCUUAAAAACAUCUUGAAUGGUCAAUACUUGGUAGGCUUUUUGGAUUCUAUGGAUGCUUAUUGCUAGAUCCCUGGAUGUCUAUUAGUUAUCAUUUAUGAGCCAUUGGAAGGUGGUUCAAGAUGAGGGUCUUUAAUGUUUGAAGCCAUUAAUAGGAAACAAUUACCAUUCUUUCAUGAAUCCUUUGGAUCAAAUCUUAAUUGCUAAAUAUAAAACUAGUUCGGGAGAUAACCAUCCUUUAUGUUAUUAUGCCCAACGCGAGGAGAAGAUUCGGAAUCUUCCCCUUUGUCUAAGGAACCCGAUCCUAGUGACCUAAAGCUCUAAGAGACCUUUUCUUUAUAGUUAACUUCACUUAUUGUUUUUUCUUAACUUAAAAUCAAUCUUUGCAACCACAAUUCCAUUUUCUUUGAAAGCUAAUUUUCAUAAGGAAAAUCACCAUUUUAUUUUCUUCCCUAAGUCAACUGUACGAUGAAAACCCAUUCCCAUGGACGAUCCUAGAGCCACUAUACUAUGUUAGCUAUGCUACCCUAAUGUGAGGUGAUUUAGGUUUUAUAAAUUUUGUUGAUAACACCUGUUUGAGCCAGAAUCAAAUGGCGCAACUGAACCAGGGACGAAUCAACAACUUAUAUGGGAGGGACACAAGUUUAAUUGAUUUGCAUUUCAACGUUAUAUAUAGGUAUGUUUUGGAAGAUUUGUUCUGGAAAUACUGCACCAAGUACGAUUCUUUUUGUCUUGAGUGGGUCUACUUGCAUGCCAAUUAACGAGUGGAAAAGUAGGAGCACCUACCUCAUGCUCGCGGAACCGAAGGUCAGUGAAGUGGGGCUCCUUUUGGCCUCUUGUGUUUCUAUUCCAACCAAGGCGGCGUAAGGAAAAACAACAAUAUGUUUGUGCUAAAUAUCAACGCAUGAUAGAUGUUUUUGUUUUUUGGUAUGUCAAGGCUAAUGAAUGAAAUGCUUUAGCUUGUUUUGUGACUGGAACUGCAAAUGUCCAAAUUGGAGUAUCUCCAUUUCUCACUUCGGAUGGUUAACUUAUAAACAAGAUAUAGGAAACAUGUGAACAUCUUGAGGAACAAUUUGAAUUAUUCAUUAGAAGUCCUGGGUUGAGUUCCAAGAUUUAAAUUAGACCCCUCUAGCAGCUUCAGGGGUACCUAGCAACCUAUAGCAUAUUAAUGAAGAUUUAGGAUUUAGACUCUAGAAUACAAAUUAAUAUGUAUCUCAUGCUUUGACUAGCUUCCCUACAUAUGCACAAAAUGGAGAUGACCUAAAAAAAUAGCAGAAUCUAGCUUCCCUACAUAUGCACAAAAUGGAGAUGACCCAAAAAAUAGCAGAAUUUCCUUAGUUUCUGUGGUUAAGGUGAUUCUCCGCUUAAUAUCACAUUGACUCAUUAUGCAAAAUCAACUGAGCUAAUUUUGUUUAUUUAUUUAAUGUCAAAUAGGAACUCCUAAUUAACCUAACCCUUGGCCUGUGUAAAUUGAUUUCACAUGCCCAAUGUUGAAGUAGAAGUCCAUAUUUUGAAUUUUAUUUUUGUAAAGGUAAGGAAAAUGAAGCAUUGUGUAAUUAUAAAAAUAACUUCAUUGGAAUUCACAAGGUUCACCCAAAAUGGAGCUACAUCCGUAUUCUAUCCUGCAGUAGACUAUAUAGAUUGUACAAUAGUAAAUUGCAAAUACAAUUAAUAAGUCUUGUGCUUCCUUACUAAUAAUCCUUUGACAUGAACAUUGCAGCACUAAGGUCCUCUUGGGAAGACACCUUGCACCCAUGAGAGCACGAAGAGGAAGCAAGGCAGAGUCAUGGGUGCAAUGUCAUGACUUGUUGUUGCACCAAGAGAGGCUUGGUGAUGGCAUGGUGUUGCAGUAGCAAGAAUGUUGCCUUGGUAGGGACAUAAUCUAGGGAUAGAUGCCAAGAAAGGCUUAGCACUCACAUGAGUUGCACAAAGAUGAAUGUAAUAGAGCAUCAGAGAGACGUCUUGGCAAGUAAAUGAAUGGAUCCAAGAGGCAACAACAUGAGGAGUUUCAAAUGGAUAAGGAAUGAGUCAAAGACAUUUGAAAGCUACAAGUUGGAUUCUAAUUACGAUUGCAAUUUGAGUUUGAGUAGGAGUUUAGAUUCUGAUUGUAAUUGUAGUAUGAGUUGGACUAGGAUUGCUUAUCCCUAGUCAAAAUAGGAGUGGUUCGUGUCACACCCUAUGAAAAGAGUUUGAGUAGGGACUAGGAUUGCUUACUCCUAGUCAAAUAUGGAGUAGGUGGUGCCACACCUAUAAAAAAAAAGGGACAACAUGAGAGAGAGAGAGAGAGAGAGAGAGAGAGAGAGAGAGAGAGAGAGAGAGAGAAAGAGAUAAUGAAUUCACUAAAGAUAUUGUGGGAGUUUUUCUUUGUUACGUCUUGUAUUAUUACUUAGAAUAGGAAUAAAAUACAAGUUUGGGCUAGAGCCCCAUAAUUAAUCUCGUGUGCCUUUGUGGUUAUUCUUUAUUUGUCAUCUCGUGUGGAUUGGAUUACAUUGACUUAGAGGGCUUCUAAGCACCACCUUUGUGGGUUAUUAUUUAUUUUCCAUUUCUUGUGGAUUAGAUUAGGUUGACUUUGAGGGCUUUUAAGCACCACCUUUGUGGGUUAUUCUUUAUUUUCCAUAUCGUGGGGAUUGGAUUAGGUUGACGAUGAGAAAAAUUAUGUGGGAAAUUUGUGUUGGGACACUUAUCAUAACCAGGUAAAAUCUGCCAAGUCCUUUGUAAUAUCUUCAACAAAUAUUUCAGACUAGUUCUUCACCAUAAACAUCAUAUUGUGUUUUGUUUUUCUCCUGGAUUCUGAGUUGAAUUGUUUCAAGUCAAUUGAAUGCAUCUGAAUAUUAUUAGCUUGUUUGAAGGCCUGGUGAUUUUCCAUUUAACUUUACUUUCUUUAGGUUAUGCUCACUAUAAGAAAAAUGAGAAAUAAUGACGCUUUUUACGCGUUAAGAAAGGCAACAGAUGAUGCUUCUCUAAAGCGUCCUCUUCGGCUCUGUCAUUAUAUGUGUUAGCCAAUAAUGACGCUUCUAGGAAGUGCCAUCUUUGAAUAAUGUUAAUAACGACACUCGUAAAAAGUGUCAUCUUUAAACAUAUUCUGGUCAAAUAAUUUUUACAAAAUUAGUAAUCUUCAAGCCGUUUCUGAAUCAUAUCUGAGCCUAUUUCUGGGGACCAGAAAACCAUCUUUUUUCCAUUCGCCUGAGAGGUCUGAUUAGCAUUUCUGGAAUCAAUCUCUAAACCCAAGCUUCCCUCAUCUACCCAUUUAACCCUCAUGCCCUCCUGUUUGAACAACUUUCCCACUAUAUACACAAAUUUUUUACCUUCUGUUGUUGGUAUUCGACCUCUUCCCAUUCCCAGCACAGAAUCCACCAUUAGUGCCACUUUGUGAAUAAAAUCAUCGAACCAGAUCUUUCGGGCGGAAGAUGAGCUCCAGAGAAAUAAAAUUUUUGGGGUCUUCCCAGCAUGAAAGUCAUAGGUAGCAUUAAUGACAUCAAGAAAUGGGGCACUGUUGAGAAAAAACAUGUUCCCAUCAACCACCCAAGAAUUGUACCAGACUCCAAACACUUCUGGAUUACAUAUGCCUUUACUAAGAUAUAUUUCUUGAUCUCCAUAUCAGAAUCUUGGAGACUCUUCAUUUUAUGAGCUCUGACACUACUGUGAAAUUGGUCCACAUCAAUCACAGGAUGACCCCUUCUAGCAAGAUCAAGCAGGAAGUCUGAAUUCGGGCCCAUAAAAAUGUAGUUCUGAAUAUUGAAACUCUCAAAGUGGCACAACAAAUUCCUUAUGACUCUUUCAGAUGCUCCAAACAGGCUCACAAGUAUAAUGGUAUCCUGUUUUUGCACAGAGUAAAGAAAAUAUCCGAGUUCUUCAAAACUCCUUACAACUAUUCCAGGAUGUACUUCUUUGAAACAGAAAUCGUACCACUUUAGCUUAGUCAGAGGUUGAAUCUAAAAUAACAAAACCCAAACUGAAAUCAAAAUCGAAAUCAACCCUAAUAGAUUUCAGAAACAACAAAUUAAAAGAGUAAAGCACAAAAGGGGGAAAACACAUAUGAAGCAAUCUCCAUACAAGCCCUAACCUUAGAUAAACCCAAAAAAAAAAAUCAAAGCAGAGAGUUACCAUAGAGCAUCUCUGUUUCAAGCUUAGAAAAUGUUUAAUGCCAUUGAUAACUAGUUGGCUAGUGGUGGACUUCAAGCUUCUCUAUUUCGGUGUUAGUAGCUCUCAAUGGCUAUGGUGAGAACAAAGAAAUGAGAGGCUUAGGGUUUGGGAUGUGAGGUUAUUGAUGAUGAUGAGGAUAAAGUUAUGGGCUCUUGGAGGGGUUAGGGAAAUUGAAGAUGGCUGAGAGUAAAGGCUAGGGUUUUUGAGAUAGUUAAUAGCUUUUUAGGGUGUGACUGUCCAUAGAUAGAAGAUAAAUGAGGGUGUGAGAAUUUAUAGAUCUCUAGGUGAUAUGGCGGGUGUGAGAAUGAAAUUUUAGAGGGAAUUGUGUGUUUGGUAGAAAUUUCACACAUGCAUAUAUAAUGUUUCAGAACAUGGCACUUUAAAAAUACGACAAGGAAGAAAUUAUUUAUUGACGCUUAAAUAAAGCGCCAAGGUCUCCAACAUUUUUGCAAUCAAUGACGUUUGUAAAAGGUGCCAUUGAAUAGGAGUGCCAUUGCUUUCCCACAAAGCAUCAUUGUUAAUCAAGCCUUUAAAAAACGCCAAGAUAUGUUGCCACUUAGGUUAAAUAUUGACGCUUUUAAAAAACGCCAAGGAAAAAAACGUCAUUAUUCAUGUUUUUUGUAGUAGUGGCUUGAUUCCUAAAAAGUAAAGGAAAGCAAAAAGUAAAAAAAUAAAAAUGUGGAGAGUUAGGACAUGCGUUAUCUAAUUGUCCUAGUCCCAAAUAUAUUAAGAAAGUCAUGUAGGUUACUUGGAGUAACGAGUCAAGUAAAGCAAGCCUUCUAGUGUUUAAGACAUUAGAUAUUACCGAACUGAUUAUGUCAUUAAUGUAUUGCAUUUGUUGUUUCUAAUAUAUAGAAGAAGAUGAAAUUAUUGGAAUAAGUGGGAAAUAGGAAUAAAUCCAAGGUACCAAAAAGUCACUUUAUCUUAGAUGUUGUUGGAAACAUAAGUGAUUUCACAAUAACGACUAUGAGACAAUCAAGGAUUAAUAAGAUAGACUUUAUAUGAUAUACCUCCCAAUUAGAGCCUAAAAAUAUGGAUGAAGCACUUAGAGAUGAAUCUUCAAUUUUUGUACUAUAGGAAGAAUUAAAUCAAUUUGUUAGCUAUUCUUUGGAUAUUUGAUUCAUCACAAGCUACAAAUCACUUUUGAUGACCAAACACGAAACUAAGAGGAUUGGGCCCAAUUCGAUGCCUAUCAACAAUGAUUUGUAUUCCACCUCAUUAAUUAUUCAAAGUUGGGAAGCUAGGUCUAACCACUUUCUCUACCUGUUCACCCUUAGAGGAGCAGAAGAAAAUUCUAACUUUGGUGCCUAAUGCCUUUGACAAUCUUUCGACAAAGAGAGUUCACUAAUUACUUUGAUUAUUUCUCUGUUGGUCACUGGGGGACAAGACUUUUGUAAUGAAGUCAACUAGAACUUGCCCUUUGAGGGCCAUUCAUGGACGAUAUUACACCAUGAAUUCCCUUAGGUCAUGUUUGGUAUGUGAGAAUGAGGAGUGGAAUGGACAUCUUAUUCAUUUUUUCAUCUAUUCAAAUGUUGGGAUAACUCAAGUGACCAUGAGAAUGAAAUCAAGAAUGAUUCAAGGGAAAUGAAAUCUUACUUAUAAGUGUGAUUUCAAUUAAUCUCUAAUAGAAAUUAUUUUGAAUCAAUAGUGCAAGUUAUUUUUAAAAACAUUUUUCCAAAAUUAAAAAAAUCAAUUUUUUUUUUUUCGAUAAGUUGUUUUUAAAAGGAUUUUUUUUAUUUUGUAAAAAGAAAAUUGUAAUUCAAUUUAUAUAAUAUAAACUAAAUUUUAUUUUAUUCAAAAAGAAAUAAUUUUUUAAUUAUAAAUAAAUUAAAAAUAAAUACUUUUAAUAAAAUAUAAAUAGUAUUAUUAUAAUAAAAUCAUAAAUAAAUUUAAUUUUUUUUAUAAAUAUUAUAAAAAUAUGGAUAUUAACAUUGGAUAAUUGAUUUAUUUUGUUAAAAUAAAAAAUAAUAAUUUUUAAUAUUAUUUUAUGUUAAAUGAAUUUUAAAAUAAAGAAAGUUUAAUUAUUUUAAGGUAUAGAAGAGCCAAAUUUUGCAUUACAUACAUAACAAACAAUAUUUAUUAGAAACAUUUCUCAAGGAGAAUCUUAUUCCAUCUCACAAAGAUACUCGUUUAUUCGAUGUUUGACCAUCCGUAACAAUCAUGUCAAUUCUACUGAUUUAAUAAUUCCUUUACAUUUAUUACUCACUUAUGAACAUGGUAUUGUGAUUUAUUUAUUUAUUUGAUGUAUAAUUAAUUAAUCAAUUUUUUAAAUUUCAAAUUAUUUUUAAAAACUAUUCAUUAAGGAAUUUAAAGCAUUAAUUAUGUCUAUUAUUUUUUAUAGUCAUUAUAUAUAUAUUGAGUUUUAAUUUAUUUUUAAAAAUUAUUAAACUUAUUAAUAAAUUCAAUAUAAAGUCUCGUUUCAUUUGAAAUUCAUUUCUUUAGUGAAAAUUUUGAAAAAAAAAUUGUUAUUUAUUUUACUUUGUUUUAAAAAAAUUGUUUCUAGAGAACAAUAAUCAAAUAAUGGUAUGAAUUUUUAAAAACAAUUUUGUUUUUAAAUCAUAUGCCCAAAUAAUUUUUUUUUAUUUAGCAAAAAACUUUGUUGUAGUAUGUGGCUCAUAUUGAGGGAAAGACAUAUAUGGAGAAAAAUGUGCAAAUGUUGGAGUGGAGCGGAGUGGAAUGACGACAUUUGUCAUUCAAACUUGUAUUUUUAUUGUUAAGGGUGACCGAUAGGUUGGUACGGUUUAGGGGUAUUUUUGGAAUUUCAUUACCUGAGGGUUAGUAUAAAUACCAUUUUAUGUAACCCUAAUUUUACAUAUAAUGUAAGUUUUCUUCCUUGUUCUUGUGGACAUAGGCAAUCCGUCGAACCACGUUAAAUCUGUGUGUUUUUUUUUCUUUUUUCUUUUUCUCUAAUUUCUUCACCAGGAAUCGUUACACUAAGAUCAACAAACUCUCAAAGAUGAUUUUUAAAAUGAAAAAAAUAAUGUAUAGUGUGAGAAUUUUUUAUUUUUUAUUUUUUUAAAAUGAAAAUAAAAAAUUGCUUUAAGGUAAAAGUGUGGAUAUUAUUGUUAAUUUAUUUCAUUUUUCAUUUUCAUUUCCAUUGUUACCUACAAUUGAAAUGGAAACAACUAAUCAUUACAACCUUACAUUCUUAUAUGCAUCCAAAUACAAAAAUUGAAAUCACCAAAUUCAUAUUCAAGGCAAAAUAGGAAUGAAAACAAAUAUUCAUUCUCAUUCUUUAUUCCCACGUGUCAAACAUGACCUCAAAGUUAUAAACAUGAACAAGAAGUCCUUGAAACACCAAUGAUCUCUUCUGGUAUAUAUAUGAGCUUGAUUGACAACUGUUUUAAAUACAGUUUUUUUUUUUUUUGUUUUCAAAAUCAAAACAAAUUUAUUUUUAUUUUUUAUAAAUAGUAGUUUUUUAAUAUUUUUUUUAAACCUUAUUAUGAAAAUAGGAUGUUUUCUAAUAUCAUAUUUUAAUUAUUUUCAAUUAUUUUCCCUUCUUUUAAGGAGGGCUAUUUUAAAAAUAUGAAAAAUGAUACAAAAUAAAGCAUUACAAAUAAAAAUCAUUUUUAAGAAAUAUAUGAAAAUAAUUUGAGAACAUUUGAAGUUCCUUAAUUAAACUUUUGUUCUAGAAAAUGCAAGAAAACUGUUUUUGAAAAUUGUUUUCAUAAUGAUAUGCAUUGAUCGUUUAAAAUUUAAUUACAUGAUAAAAAGACCUAUGUAAAAACCAGAGUUAUAUAAUCAGUCAUAGAUCAAAUCUACUAAAUAUGAAAAGUAAGUACAUAGUUGUAUAUGACUUAGAUGGAGCCUUCUCCGAAUGACAUUCUUUAGUCGGUACUCAUAUUUUUUUGUUUCGUGUCUUCAACAUAACACCUCAUGAUCCUUAAUAAAUCACCUGAAAACUAUAUUAGCACCUUAUUGUUUAAUAUUUCUCUAAAUUUUUUUAUUAAGCAAAUAAAUUCCAAAUUUAAAAUGACAAAUAAAAUUUAUUAAUUUUUAAAAAUAAUUUAAAACUCAAAAACCAAUUUAAUUGAUAUUAAAAGUCAUGAAACUUAAUAAUAUUAGAAAGUCAUGUAUCCAAAUUUAUUUUAAAUGACUUGUUUAAUUUCUUGUUUAUAUAUAUUAUAUUUUUAUAAUUUUUUUUACUAUACAAAUAAAUUUUAAAUUAAACAAAACUUAAUGCGUUGAAUUCAUUAACGAGUCUAAUAAUUUUUAAAAGUUACUUAAAAUUUAAAUACUAAAUCAAUUAGUACCACAAAUUCAUGGAAAAAAAUUGAUUUAUUACUACUAUAUUGUUUCUCUAUUGCAUAGAACCAUUAUUUUUCAAUUUUUUCAUUUGGCAAAUGAACAUCAAAUUAAACAAGACUAAGUGUAUUAAAUUCAUUAAUGGGUCUAGUAAUUUUUUAAAAUAAUUUAAAAUUCAAAUAUUGAUACUCCAAAUUAAACAAGACUUAGGUGGUGUUUGUUUUUUGGUUGAAUAGAAAAAGGUAAAAUAUUUGACUUUUUCUAUUUAGUUAAAAGUAACUUGUUGACAUCGUCCAAUAUAAUUAAAGUAAACCUAUUGAGGGCAAGUUCACUUUAAUUAUGUUGGACGAUGUCAACAGGUUACUUUUAACUCAAUAGAAAAAAUCAAAUAUUUUGACUUUUUUUUUAACUCAAAUAAUAAAUCCAUUAAUACAAAAAAAUUAUGGAUAAUUUGAAACUUUCUUUCUUUUUUUUUUUUUUUUUGCUACACAUAGCUAUAUUUUUAUAAAUUUUAUCAUUAGAGAAAUGGAUUUCAAAUCAAGUGAAACUUUGUAUUGAAUUAAUGGAUUUAACAUUUUUUAAAAAUAAUUUGGAACUAAAAAAAAAAGAUUUAAUUACUAAGAAAAUCAUAGAUCAAAACUAAUAUAUUCUGAUCCAUGAUUUUAUUAUUUUUCCUAUACAUACAAUUAUAUUUUUAUAAUUUUCUCACUAGGUAAAGAUAUUAUAAAUUAAGUGACACAUAAUUAAUAAUUUAAAUUUUUGAAUGAAUCUUUUAAUUUUAGGAAUAAUUUGAAAUUUAAAAAGUUGAUCCAAUUAAUUGUAAAUUAACUUAAAAUAUUAUAAAAUAUUAUGUUCAUAAUUAAGUACUAAAUGUAUAUAUGUAAUGAAAACUUAACUAGUUACAUGUUACAAAAGCCAAAAUUUAUUCAUUCUUUAUUUUAAAUAAAAUAUUAUUAAUAAUUAUUUUUUUUAAAAUAAUAUUUAGUAAUUAUUGUUUUUAAAUUAUUAUUAUUAAUUUUUAAUAAAAAAAUUGCAAAGUUAUUAAUAUCAUUAUAUUUCUAACAUAAAUUUAAAUAGUAUAUUUUUUAAUAUAUAUAUAUAUAUAUAUAUAUAUAUAUAUAUAUAUAUAUAUAUAUAUAUAUAAUUUAUGAUUUCAUUAUAAUAUUUUUAUUCAUGAUUGACGAAAAAUUAUUUAUUGUUUAAUUUAUUUGAAUUGCAAAACUAUUUUUCAAAAUUCAAGCGAGAAAAUAGGCCUGGAUUUGAAUUUCCUGUAGAAGAGAAGGAUGUGGAGAAUAUGUUGGGAGUAUUUGUGGAUAAAGAAAAGGCCAGGGUACUGAGAAAGGAGAGAGAACUUGCUCUUGCCAAAAGAGCCCUGCACAGGUAUUCUACUGAUUCUAAUUAUCGGUUCUUACAUGAUCAGAUUUCAGAUUUAUUUGCUGAGCUUCUGAAAUCUGAUACAGUAUUUAAACUCCGGUGAGCUUUACAAGAUUAGUCUCGCAUCCAAUUCCAAAUGGUGUCCCACAAUUGAUUCUUCUUAUGAUAAAUCCACCUUGAUAUGUGAAAAUAUUGCUCGAAAGGUUUAUCCUCGCGAGGAAUAUCCAGAAUACUAAGGAAUUGAGGAGGCUCACUAUGUUUAUAGAGUCAGGGAUAGGUUGAGAAAACAAGUAGUUGUUCCAUUACAUAAGGCCCUGGAGUUGCCAGAGGUUUUCAUGUGUUCGAACAAGUGGGGAUCACUUCCCUACAACCCUGUGGCUUCAGUGGCCAUGAAAUCAUACAAGAGCCUCUUCUCAAACCAUGAUACAGAGCGGUUUGGUGAGUAUCUUGAGAAAGUGCAAACUGGGAAGGCUAAGAUUGCAGCUGGUGCAUUACUUCCCCAUGAGAUUAUAGCUUCAUUGAAUGAGGAGGAUGCCGAGAGAGUUGCCGAGCUUCAGUGGGCAAGAAUGCUGGAAGAUUGAUCAAAGAAAGGGAGGCUCACAAAUUGCAUUGCAGUAUGUGACGUAUCAGGAAGUAUGAGUGGAACUCCAAUUGAGGUGUGUGUGGCUCUGGGGCAGUUAGUUUCAGAGCUCAGUGAAGAUCCAUGGAAAUUAAGGUAAUGUAAUUACUUUCAGUGCAAAUCCUGAGCUUCACAAGAUCCAAGGAGACAGCCUUGUAUCCAAGACUGAAUUUGUGAGGAUGAUGGAAUGGGGUGCCAACACUGACUUUCAGAAAGUUUUGACAGAAUCUUACAAGUAGCAGUGGAGGGAAAUAUGAGUGAAGAUCAAAUGAUAAAGAGGGUUUUCGUUUUCAGUGAUAUGGAGUUCGAUGAAGCUUGUGGGAGGUAUAACUAUUGUGACUAUGACUAUGAUAUGGAGGAAAUUGACGAGAGUCAGAAGGCAUCUCAGAAGUGGGAGACAGAUUAUGAAGUGAUACAGAGGAAAUUCCAGGAGAAAGGAUACAGAAAAGUUCCAGAGAUAGUGUUUUGGAACCUUAGAAACUCAUCAGCGACUCCAGUGACGGCCACAGAGAACGGGGUGGCCUUAGUAAGCGGGUUUUCAAAGAAUCUGUUGACCUUGUUUUUGGAAGGAGGUGGAAUUCUGAUCCCUCAGGAUGUGAUGGAAUUCGCCAUCUCUGAUGAAGAUUACAAGAAACUUGUUCUAUUUGAUUAAGAUAUCAAGAGAUUUAUCAAUAAUAAUAUAUUUUUUUUCUAUGUGAAAUACAUAUAAUAUUAACUGUGGAGUUAUCAAAGUUCUGGAGGUUUAAUUAUUUCUUCUUUUCAAGUUUUGUUUAUUUAAGGUUUUCUUUGUCUUUGUUAGGAAUUCCCCUUGGGUGGACCCAGCUGGGGAGUUGGAUUGAGGAAGUAAGCAGGCGAACUUGUGUUCUUCUAUGGACAGAGAAAAAAAAUAAAAUAAAAAAAUAAAAAAGGAGGUUAUUUGCAUUUGGAUGUCGUGGUUUGAGGGUACAACUACAAGCUCGAAAUUGUACAUAAUGUGAAAACUCCUGUGUCCAUUGCUGAGAACAGCAUAAAUGAUGGUGAUUUUCAAGUUGUGCCUGGUAUUCUACAGGAUGAAACAAGAAAGGAUCCAGGUGGUAUAUUGAACAAUAUCCCAAUCAUGUUGGUGGCAUCUUUAUUUAGUUAAUGGUAUUCAUUUGGUGGAAGCUGGUUGUUUAUGAUGUUUUUAAUUUUUUUUAACAUGAAGUUCGAUCAAAUACGUAUCUUAGUAUGUUUUGUUUGAGCUAAUUGGCAAAUGCGCUUUAAACAUGGUCACAUGGAUGCAGUUUUAUUUGUGAAAUGAUAAUAGUCGAUUACUUGGUCAGUAAGGUUUAUAUCUCUAACUUCAACAUCUUAUUGUAGUCUUUUAAAAUGUCAAAAGUUUAAUGCUUGAGAAAUUUUGGAAUGGAGACAUUCUAAACAAAGUUAAUAAUCCACAAGACUUGGUAAAACCGAUCAGAUGAUGCUUACGUACAUCAAUGCCUUCUUUAAGCCAUAUCCUAUUUUCAUUGAACGGGAUGUGCCAUCUAGUUUGGUUCUUUAAGCCUCCAAAUCCUAAACCUAGUCUCAAUUUAGAGCAAAUUUAGGGUGCAGGGCCUGCAUGCCUCCCCCUCCCCCUUCCACAAAUAGUAGUGACCUUGCUAUGCCUAUGCAUUGUCAAUGCCUCAUUUUCUAUGGUCUCCAAUGUAAUAUCUUAGUUUCAAUGUCUCUUUCCUUACUAUCUCCAAUGCAAUAGAUUGAUUUCAAUACCUCUUUACAACUAAGACCUCCAAAUUUUCUUGGUUCAAACCUACCAGAAUUUUUCUUCUCCUUUGCUUUCUAUCAAUAUUAGUUCCCCUAAUUUAAUAUAUACUUCUUUAUUACCUUCAACUCUACCUCUCUUUCUUUCUCUAAAAGCUUCCUCAAAGAUUUAAUUGCUUUCUUGCAUGUUUUAAGAAAACAAACAUGCUCAUAUUACAUUACCUCUACUUGAGAUCUACCUUAUACUCUACCUUCUUUCUUUACCUCCUAUAUCAUCUACUACAUUAGCUUCAAAAAUAUUAUUUAGUUUGAUACUAAAUAAGGCUCCUAAUCCUACUCUUCCUUCAACAAACUUUCUUUUUACAAGUUCCUUAAACUUUAUUUUUUAUUUUUUAUUUUUUGGAAAUUCGGGUUAGAAAGAUUCCAUUACUCUUACCUAAUAUUUCAACCAUCAAGUUGAAUCCACUUAUUGCCUAAAUCCAAGGAGUCUGCCCUCCACAAAAACAAGGAAAUUGAUCCCACAAUAACAAGGAGAUUGCCUUCCACAGAAACAAAGAGAUCUCCCUUCACAGAAGCCGAAUACAUUGCAAUCUAUUUUCUUUCUUGUAAGAUCAAAUCUUCAAUCGAGCUCCAUCUUAUGGGGGCAUAUUAGAGAAAUUUAAUAUUAUCCUUAAUUUACAUAUUAAUAUUUAUCUAUUUAUUAUAUAUUGAAUUAAAAUAGAAUAUAGAAUUUGAAUCAUAGUAGAAGUUUACUAUAAGAUUGAAUUACAAUAGUUAAUAGAGUUUAAAUUAUAAUAACUCAAAUACAUUUAUAUAUAUUUGACCUUACGAGAUUUUCUAUUUAUGUAUUUGAACUACAAUCCUUAUGAUCCUUAGGUCUCUAUACCUUCGUGAUGGGCUCCUUGACAUUUCAUAGGUUGUGCUACACAUGCAUUUGAAAUUUAGAGUGCAUUUGACAGUGAUUCUGGGAAGUGUUUUUGGCAUUUCUAACACUUAAAAUUUUUUAUUUUUCAAGUAUUAGAAAUGCUACAAACACUUUUGAAAAUUACUGUCAAACACACUCUUAGGAGCGCAUAUAGUAGAAAACUAGAAAUUGUGGUUUUUUUAGGAUUUACUGUAAUGUCAUUAGGAGGGUAGUAAGUUGAAACUGAGUAUGAAUAAAUAUUUCUUUCUUUGGGAUGUUCUUCUGGUAGGUGCUGAUGAAACUGUUCUUUUUACUGCCAAUGUCACAUAUCAGCCAGAAAUUGAAAAUUUCAGUCAAGGUGUCCUCGGUUUUAGUGGUGAGGAAAGCUAGAAAUUUUAAGGUGAAGUUCUGUUAAAAACCUUAAGUAGCUGGGAUAUCAGGCCUGUUUUGCUUGAAAAAAAAAGUUGCAAGAUAACUCAUAUGCCAAACAGGUUCUGAUAUUGUGAAUCUAUCGGCAGACAUCAGUAAUCUCAUCUUCUGAGAUGGAUGUUGGGGGUGCAUGUGGUGGUGGAGGGGCAAGGUUUCAUUUGGUUUAUUUUGUUGAUGGAUAUUGUCUAGCCCCCUGCGCCAAGUUUGAGGGGUGGUGGGUUGUGAUGGCCCUACAAUUACUAUUAAUUUCUUCCUCUUUUACCGAUUAAAGUGUCCGAACAGUCGAAGUUACCCUUAUGCAUGUCAACUUGAUCACUUACCUCUUCAAUGGAGUUUAUGCUGGUUCAUUUAGGAACUGAUUUUUAUUGUUAUGCAUUCUAUGCUGAUGUUUAGGCCUCUCCAUCAUCACUAUAUACAAAAAUUCUAGGUUGAUACUAUAGGUUGAGAUUUAUUUUUUAAAUAAAAAAUAAUAAAAAUAAAAAUUAUGGUGAUGUUUAGUUGUUUUAUGGAAAAUUUUAACAAGUUAUUUUUGGGCAAGUUUUCAAACAAAAAGAAAAGUAAAAGUUGUUUUGACAAAAACAUAUAGAAAAAAAAAAUCAUAGAAAAGAAAUAAUUUCCCCAUAUUCUAACUUUUUUUAAUUUUUCUCAAUGGGCAAAGGAAUAUCAAAUCAAGUUUGAGUAGGAUUUCUUAAUUUUUAAAAUAACUUACAAUUAAAAAAUUUUGGUGUUUUCAUUUUUGGACAAUUUUUUAUUAAGCAAAUGGACUCUGAGUCAUGCAAGAGAUAUGGUUGAUUAAUGGGUCAAACAAUUUUUUUAAAAUAAUUUAAAACUCAAAUACAUAAUCAAUGUCACAAAAUUUAUAAACAAAAAUAGGUUUAGAGAAGAUCUACACAUAAUUUUACUUUUCUAAUUUUAUUUUAUUUUAUUUUUUUGUUGGAAAAUAGUCUUCAAAUCAUGUAAGAUUUAAUAGGUUAAAUUUGUUAACAAUAAAUUUUAAAUUAUAAAAUAUAAUCUGGAACUUAAAAAUCAAUUCAAGUAAUGCUAAAAAAAAUCAAAUUUGGUAUAGAAUGACUACGUAAAAUUUUUUACAAAACAAAUGAAUUUUAAAUCAAGUGAGAUUUAAUGCAUUAGAUUUUUAUCAAAUAUAGUAAUUUUAAAAUUUAAUUUGGAACUCAACAAUAGACACAAUAAAUACCAAAAAAUAAUGAACCAAAAUUGGUUUGGAAUAACUCCACAACCUCUUUUUUUUUUUUUUGGUGCACACGAAUUUUCUUACUAGGUAUAUUGCUUUCAAAUUGAGAAAGAUUUACUAUUUAGAUUUUUUUUUUUAAUGAGUUUAAUGGUAUUUUAAAAUAAUUCAAAAUUUCAAAAAUUGACUAAUUACUAUUAUAAAUUCAUAAACCAAGACUAAUUCAAAAUGCAUUGGGGGCUAAGGGGGUUGAAAAUAGGGACAAUGGGAUGGGUUUGGGACAUGACACUCAUAUCUCAUUUCCAUUCCAAUUACAUAGUUAUCUCCCAUCCUUAUCCCAAACUUGUGUUGGAGCAAGUUGAUUUGUUCCCAUCUUUGUUGAUGAAAUGACUAAUAACCUCAUCCCCUCCUUAUCUUAGAUGUACAUUUUGUCAAAUUUGAUCAGGUAUGAUUGAUCCAAGCCCUAACCCUAAUUGGUAAUGACUGGAUACUACACCUAAUUGCAUUCUUCUUUCGUCGCAAAAUAAUGAGAUUAUAAUAAUCUAGCAAAUAAGAAAAAAUAGUAUGGAAGUUCAAUUUAACACCAUAACUAUCAAUAAUUUUAAGCUUAUAGAUGACUUAAAUGAUUAAAAACUAAUGCAAAAUACCAAAAAAAAAAGUUCAUAUAAAGAAUUCACAAGAGAACAAAAUGAACAAAAACCAAAUAUGAACAUGGGUCAACAUUAGUUAUGGAUUUGGAUUCCUUUCAAGGCCAAUCUUUGAACCAAGACUUCAUCAAAUCUACUACUUCAAAGGCUUUUGUGUUCUUCUUGGGUUGUGCUCUCAAACAAAGACUUCAAGGUGAUGCUCUAGAUGAUUGCAUUACACAUAUUUAGGGUGGAGAGAUUGGAGAAGCUUGAAGAUGCCAACGAUGGGUACAAUUGAGUGGUCAAUAAGAACAAUGUAGCCUAUGACUAGUUUGAUGUCGUGGUACAAGAGUUUUAGGCAUUGAGGUUAAAGCAAGAGCAACAUGGAAUUGAUUUUGGAGUCUUUCAAUUAGUGUAAAGGAGGAAGAAGUGGUAUUGAUUCUAGAAAUAGGGUUUUAGGUGGUGCGUUAGAGGAUGAAGAAGAAGAAAAAGAAGGAUCUGUUGGAAUUAGUGUGAGUGUGAAGAGAGAAGUAUAUAAAUAAGGGGAAGUAAAAGCAAAGUUCUAAAAGCUAUAUUUUUUUUUAUUGUUGGUGUAUGGUUGCAUGAUUAUCCCUAUAAAUAAUAGGAGUUUUUUUGGUAUUCUACUAGUAGUUGAAGGAUAAUUUCAUAAAUUUAUAUUUAGAGUGGGGUGGGGUGAGUUGUGACAAAAUUCAUACCCGUCCUAAACCUUGGUUCAGAUUUUUAAAAUAUCCUCAAACUUAUCAUAUACCCAACUUUUAUAUUUCAUACUUGUCUUGAUAGAGGCAGGUUAGGCCGGGUUACUUGAGUAACCUACAUAAUUGUCAUCCCUAGUUGAAAUACACUUUUUUGGCAGUGGCCACCAACUGAGCUAGAAGCUUGAUCGAUUGACCUACAAGAUUAGUUCUCAUCAUUUUAAAAAAAGUUUUGGCCUUGGUUGUGAGUGCAAUUGAAUCUAAACUGGCAUUUCCUUAAUGCAUCUACUUCAAUCCUAAAUUUCUUACUUCCUAAGCCUCAAUUGUUGUUAGGAUUUUGGAAAGCCCAUUUCCUUAAAUUGUAAAUUUAAGAAAAAAUAAAAUAAAAGUGAGACAUUUCUUGAUUGAAUAUUGUUAAAGGUCCCUUGGCAUUAAGACUUGGUUGAAGCCUUGGAAGAUUAGUGGAACUCUCAACUUGUGUUUGAAUCUUGAGGAGAGUGGACGUAAGCCAAAAUUUUGUCAAACCAUUAAACAAAUUGAGUUUGAAUCCUCAUUUCUUGAUUUCUUAUUUAUUUGCUUUUUCUUAUUAUUACUUGAAUUGUCAUUUGCAUUCAUUAAUGUUAAAAUUGGUUAUAAUUAACCAACACUAAUUCUCUUUCCCCUUCCCUUUCUUGGGUGUAAACCUAGGUUGGAUUAACUAGAUUAAUUUAUAAAAUCUAUUAAGAUGGUAAAAGAAUAAUUAUUCUUAACACACAUAAGAUCAUCUUCAAUCAAAUGACUCAUUGGCUAAUAUGUUGAAUUUGCUUAUUACUUGCAACUCAAAAUUGUGUUCUAGUUGAUAUGUCAAGUCCCCAGUGUAUGGACAUUAAAUUUGUAGUACGUGAUGGUAAUUAGAUGGUCCAACUCCAAGAAAGUGAUUGAAAACUAGUUCAAGAAAGGUGCAAAAGGGAAUUGUUUUGGUAUUUUCGUUUUUAUUCUUGAAGGUGGCAGAGCUAAAAUUUGUGAAAUCAAGCAAAACAUACUGAAAUUACAUUGAAAGAAAGAAAAUGGGAGUUAAUGUCUUGCAGUAGAUGAUAAGGACUUCAUGCAUGUAGUAUGACCCAUGUCUUGGACUGAUGCCAACUCACGGUUACACUUAUACCCUUGGUUCUCUCUUUACUACCUUGGCUAACCUAGAUCAGGCUAUGAGAUAGGCUCCUCACCACACCAUUACUUGCCCAUUAAUUAGAGACAUUUUCAAGCACUGAGGUAACAUGGUGACACCAAGAGGGUUUAUUCCUCGCCCUCCUCGCCCUCAACAAGUCUAGACUUGGUCUCAAAAAAAUGGAGAAAAAUGAGGUGUCGUUAUGUAGAAAUACAACAACCAUGCCUUCCUCAUUACUUUGAUUCAGAAUGUGAAGGUGAAAUUGAGAAACAGAAACUCUUGAAACCAAAAUGAAAAUUGAUACUUUUACGAAGAAUUACAACAACAUUGGAGGAAGACUACAUUCUUCCUCUUUAUUCCUACAUUUCUACACUACUUCUACUCCACUCCAUAUUUCUACAUACAUCUUUAAUCAGUCUUCCCUCCUUUAUAUAGAGCCAUCUUCACACAAAUUCCGCAAGGUAGAAAAGAGGAAUGAAACUUGGAGCAAGGUUCGACUACUGGCUGUAGCUUGUCAAGGCUGGAAGUGAACCUUUUUUCUUGGCUUUUCUGGGCAUGGGUAGUAACUUGUGGGUUCCUUUUUGGGAUACAAAUGGCUAGAACAUGUGGCACUAUCUUGUUGGAUGAUGUGUCAAGCAUGUGGCAGCCAUCUAGUGGCGAUUAUGUCAAUUUUGGGAUGGAGAGUUGGCAUCCAAUUGCAAAGAAAUAUGACGUCUACCAACAGGCAAUGUAAACCUAUGUAGAUCAUAUGAAGAUAGAGAGGAAAAAUAUAGAAAUGGAUAUAUACCUAGAACUAGCUUUUUAUUAAAUGAAACGGAGAGCCAACAAUGAAGGAAAAUAAAUUUUUUUGGCUUAUAUCAAAGAGUUCACAUUGUGCUACCCUAGGUUUUCUUAAAACUUACUUUUAUGAUAACAAAAAAAAAAAAAAACAUUAUUGUUUAAUCCUUUGUUUUAAACGCAUGUUUAGCAAGUUAUAAAAUGUAAAAAUCUUUCUAAGUUCAAAUAUGAAGAUAUGACAUCAUUUCAAGCAAGAUAGUCUCUAGGAAUUAAUGUAAAGCUAAAUUAAGGUGAAAUUAAAUUAGUUCAAUGCAUUAAUUUAAGAAACUUGACCUAUCAAAAGUACAAAAUUAGAUGAAAUCCAUUUCAAUGGUUAAAAUGAUCAAAAUCAAACUUUUUCUAAGUAUUUUUUAAAAGUAUCAAUAUUGAAAGACAAUUUUAUAUUUAGUCAGAGUUUGGACAAAACCAAAAAGCACACAAAAUCCAAGCGACCAUCUCUAGCUUGGAUGGUCGCUUGAUCUCUAGCUUGUGUACUUGGAAAGCAACAUCGAGAUGAUAUAUAUAUAUAUAUAUAUUUUAUAUAAUAUUGUUUGUCCAAAUUCCCUAAAAAUUAGGCCACCACAUGUUCAUAAUUCUCCCUUCUUGAAUUUGAAAACUCGGACAAUUGGACAAUGCGACACCUAAGUCCGGUUUCUAAAUGCUAAAGUGAAAGGGUAGGUAUGGACCAUUGAAAUGUGAUCACAACUUUUCUCUGUAGCCAUGUUGUCUCUUUUUUCUUUUGCAUGAUUUUCUCACCUUAACAGAAUCAUAGACUUGUUUAAUCUCUAAAUGGGAUUAAUUUCAUCCAGCUUUAAGCUACUAUAUUAUAUCUAGGUGGAGGACUUUUAAGAGUGCAACCGACAUAGAGCACAUGCAAGUGGGUAUAUGGGACAUGAAAUUUCUUCUUAUAAAGAUUGCAUGAUUUUUAUAUUAGAGUUGUUGGGGCGCAAUGUAUGUAGCUUGUUUUGCAGUUAAAUUAAUUGGAUAAGUAGACAUUGGCGUUUCUAAAUCUACUGUGAAGUGCUUCAUGUACGUGUGAAGUAUUAGAAAUUUCUUUCUUGGCAACUUGUUUUUUCUUUGCGGUCUACUGAUAGGUUUGACUAAAAUUAUAUUCCCUGUCAUGCUAAUUAAUUUUCACGUGCAUGCUCAAAAGAAGAGUAUGACCUUAGUGCACCAAAAUCACUUUGAUUAAUUUGUGAUAGGUUUUUGUGCAUCAUGACAUUAGCCUUAUUCAUUUAGAUAAUGUUUAGUUUUUAGAAAGUAUUAAGAAAAGGAAAAUAAAUAUUAAGAAAAAUAUUCUUAUAUUUGAUUGUAUUAUGAAAAAUGUCAUAAAAAAAUCAAAUAUAAUUUAAAUUAAUUAAUAAUUUAUACAUUUUCAAAUUAUUUAAUCUUUAUAUUGAAGAUAUAAUAUAAAUGAAAUGAGUUUUAAGUAUUAUAUAAAAGUGAUUUAUUGAUCUUGCAUAUAUGUAUUUCUUUUUUUUUUCUUCUAUUUUUUUUCUUUAUUUUAUUUUCCUUAUGUUUUCCUCAACAUUUUCCGGAACCAAACAUAGCCUUAGGAAAUCCACAAUUACCUUCAACUGAGUAUAUUCGGUUGUUUUAGCAAUGUUAGGCUGCUAACUUGUGUUGGUACGAACCUGUUAAGCCUAAAGAUGUAAUUAGUUAGGAUAUUCUUUUCCCUCUAGUCUUGUAGCUCCACGUGUAUAGUUGGUUAGGACCUCAUUGUAUAUAAUGCCUGCCCUGUUAUUGUUGAAGACAACAGAGAUAAAUAAUAUUAACAUUUUUCCUCUCAUCUCUCUUUGUUUCCCUCUGUUUUCAUCUCCUCUCUCAUCUUGGUAUCAGAGCCUCCAUGGAUUCUUUCAAAGAAACCUCCGAAUCACCUUCUGCUAGCAUUGUUAAUGUGCAAAACCCAUUAUCUCAGUCAAACAACCUUCCUUCACCAGCAGCCACACCCUCUUUUUCUUUCUUGUCUAUGAAUCAACCUCUCACAGUGAAGCUGGAUAAUGGAAACUACCUCAUCUGGAAGAAUUAGCUUCUGAAUGUCAUCAUUGCGAACAGACUCGAUGAUUUCAUUUAUGGAACUCGACCCUGCCCUCCUUGAUUUCUCAAUCUGCAACAACAAACCCUCACUCCAGAGUACUCGGUCUAGCAGAGAUACAAUCGACUUCUAAUGAGUUGGCUGUACGCAUCCUUGUCCGAAGAUAUAAUGACUCAGAUUGUUGGGUAUUCAACAACUGUGGAGAUUUGGAACGUCCUUAAUCAGAUUUACUCUGCCUCUUCAAUGGCGUGGGUUACCGAGCUUCACACCAAGCUUCAAACGCUCAAGAAAGAUGGACUCUCAGUUGGUGAAUAUAUUCAAAGGCUCAAAUCCAUUUGCAAUAGUCUUGCAGCAAUAGGAGAACUAGUUUCUGAGAAAGACCAGCUUAUCUAUUUGUUCAAUGGAUUAUAUUGUGAGUAUAAUUCUUUUGUUACCUCCAUUCAAAAUCGAUCUGACCAACCAACUAUUGAGCAAAUCCAUAGCCUAUUGCUUAGCUAUGACUUUCGGCUUGAACAACAAAACUCUGUUUCUCUCCAUUAUGCCCAAGUCCGUAUGGCUCAUCUGAACAAGAAACCUUAUAAAUCAACUCCUCAACCUACAUUCAAUCAUAUUCACAUUCAACCUAGAUACUCUUCUCCACCUUUUAAGCCAACCACUAGUCAAUAUCAACCCAGGAUUUUGGGCAAACCACAACCACAACCAUGACAGCCUCAACCUCAAUGGAAACCACAUUUUUCAAUCCAGAAUCAAAAGCCUCAGUGCCAAAUUUGUGGUAAAUUUGGACACACUGCUCUUAUUUGCUUCCAUUGCACAAAUUUGAACUAUUCACCCCAACCUUCUCCUAAAUCUUUCAAUACUGUUCUCACCACAAAUUCCCAGCUCCCUAAUCCUCCAAAAUUUUCUUACCCUACAAUGGCUCAUCCUGCUGCUACGCAUAACACGAUUCCUGAUACAAAUUGGUACAUGGACUCAGGUGCUACACAUCACUUUACUCCGGACAUCAACAUGCUUGACACUGUGACACCAUUUAGUGGUUUAGAACAGGUGACAGUUGGGAAUGGUAAGCAACUCUGUAUCUCACAUCUUGGUACUGCAAAACUACCAUCCUCGUAUUCUCCUCUUGUUCUACAUCAGGUAUAUCACACUCCAAAAAUUUCAAAUAAUCUUAUUAGUGUUAGAAAAUUGUGUUCUGAUAAUAAAGUUUUUGUUGAAUUUUAUGCCACUCAUUUUCUUAUCAAAGAUCAAGUUUCGAAGAGAGUUCUCUUUCAAGGUCAACUUGAUAAUGGCUUAUACAAAGUUCAGUCGUCAUGCUCUCCUUCUACUAUUUCCUUUCAUCCUCAAGUUUUCAUAGCCAACAUCAAGGAUCAAAAUUUGUGGCACAAGAGACUAGGCCACCCAGCUUUAUCUGUUAUUAAUCAAAUCUUGGAUUCUUGUAACAUUGCUCGAACACAGAAAAUUGGUUUUAAUUUUUGUAGUUCUUGUCAAUUAGCAAAAAGCCACAGGCUUCCUUUUUCUCUGUCUCCAUCCAUUGCAGAAAAACCUUUUGAGUUAAUUCAUACAGACCUAUGGGGUCUUUCUCCUGUUCGCUCUAUUUCUGGUGCUCGUUAUUUUUUACUUUUCAUUGAUGAUCAUACUCGUUUUACUUGGUUUUAUUUGCUCAAAACAAAAGAUGAAGCAUAUCCUACUUUUCUCAAGUUUCAAGCUCUCAUUGAAAAUCAAUUUAAUACCAAGAUUAAGGUUGUCCAAUCUGAUUGGGGAGGUGAGUUUCGAUCUCUCUCCAUACUGUUUUCAAAUAUGGGCAUUGUCUAUCGUUUAUCAUGUCCAUACACCUCACAACAGAAUGAGUGGGUUGAGCGAAAAAAUCACCAUGCGGUUGAAAUGGGAUUGUCCUUUCUUGCUCGCUCGGGUAUGCCCUUAUCUUAUUGGCCUUAUGCCUUUCAAACUGCCACUUACCUUAUUAAUCGUCUCUCUACCCCUGUGCUGCACCAUCAAUCCCCUUACUUCGCACUCUAUCACAAAUUCCCAGCUUAUACUCAUCUUAAGGUCUUUGUUCCUCUUGUUUUCCAUAUUUACGCCCUUAUAAUACCCAUAAACUCCAAUACAGGUCACUGGAGUGUGCUUUUCUUGGUUGCAGUUCACACCACAAAGGUUAUCUAUGUCUUGACAUUCAUUCUAGCAGGGUGUAUAUUUCUCGCCAUGUGAUUUUUAAUGAAGAUUCUUUUACAUUCAAGAAUUUGAAAUCUUCUCUCUCUUAGUCUAUUUCUUCUUCCUCUUCUUUAUUAGUUCCUCUGUUCAUUUCCUUGCCUCCCCUCUCCCCAUAUCCUCCUAUUUCUCCAUCUAUAUCUCAUUCUUUUCUCUCUUCUUCUUCUACCUCUAGUACUUGUUCCCCUCUCGUUGCUCCUACCUCUCUUCCUCCCUCUUCACACUUUGUGUCCCAUCUAUUCCACCUCCUUCUCCACCUUCUUCGAGUGUGGACCUGCUUGUACCUUGUGUGAAUACAAAUUUACUUACUUUUUCUCGCACUCACAAUAUUCAUCCUAUGGUGACCAGAUCUAAGGGUUUGUAUCUAUAAACCUAAGUUGCUAUUGAGUGUCUCCAUAGGUUCUCUCACUAAGCCUACUUCCUUUCUUCAAGCUAUUAAAGAUCCUUCAUGGAAGCAAGCCAUGGAAUUGGAGUUUGCUGCCCUUCAACACAACAAGACCUGGCAUCUAGUUCAUUCACCUUCCUCAGGCAAAGUAAUUGGUUGUAAAUGGGUCUAUAAGAUAAAGCUUUAGCCUGAUGGCUAAUUGAGAGAUACAAGGCCCGCUUAGUAGCUUAGGGUUAUCAUCAAACUGAAGGUAUUGACUACUUCGAAACAUUCAGCCUGGUUGUCAAGCCUUCUACUACCGUAUUGUGCUCAGUCUUACUUUUUCCCAGAAUUGGUGUAUUAGACAGCUGGAUGUUCAUAAUGCCUUCUUACAUGGUGACUUAGCUGAAGACGUUUUCAUGGAACAACCACCUGGAUUUGUUGAUCCUCUCUAUCCUACUCAUGUCUGCAAGUUGGAUAAGUCUCUCUACGGUCUUAAUAGUCACCUCGGGCUUGGUAUACUAAGCUGAGUACUUCUCUACUACACUUGGGAUUUGUUACUUCUAAGAAUGACUCUUCCUUAUUUAUUUGUCAUUCGUCUCAUGGGUUACUUCUUGUUCUUGUCUAUGUGGAUGAUAUAAUCGUCACUGGGAGCCACUCUCCUCAAGUUACUCACCUUAUCCAAUAGUUGCAUCAUCAGUUUUCUUUAAAGGAUCUUGGUCAUUUACACUAUUUUCUGGGCUUGGAGGUUCAUCACACCCCUACUGGUAUUCACCUCAGCCAAGCAAAGUAUAUCACUGAUCUCCUUACCCGGGCGGCUAUGUUGGAUGCCAAGCCAUGUCCCACUCCUAUGUCCUCCAACACAUAUCUUUCUCUUCAUGAUGGAGUGGCUCUUGAAAAUGGUUCAGAUUAUUGAAGUUUUGUUGGUGCCCUUUAGUAUUGUACCAUGACACGCCCAGAUAUAGCUUUUGCAGUAAAUAAAGUGUGUCAAUUCAUGCACCAUCCCUCUGAUGUUCACUGGCAGGCUAUAAAACGUAUUCUCCAGUACUUAAAGGGCACAUCUCAUUUUGGUCUCUUCCUACAGCCUUCCUAUGACUUCAACAUCACUUGCUAUACAGAUGCCGACUGGGCUUCCUGCCUUGAUGACAAGUGUAGCACCAGUGGCUACUGCCUCUUUCUUGCCUCUAAUCUGGUUUCUUGGUCAUCUUCCAAACAAAAAGUGGUCUCCCGCUCCAGCGCCAAAUCAGAGUACCGAGGGGUAGCAAAUGGGGCUGCUGAAAUUGCUUGGACUGAAUCUCUUCUUUGUGAACUUUCCACCCACUCGACCUCCCCUCAUUGUCUGUGACAAUAUCAGUGCCACAUACUUAGCUGUCAAUCCUAUUUUGCAUGCCCGCACCAAAACAUGUGGAAAUCGACUAUCACUUUGUCUCGGAACGUGUUCUUCAACGCUCUCUCUCUCUCCAGUUUACACCUUCGGAUGAUCAACUUGCUGAUUGCAUGACCAAGCCUCUCUCCACCCAACGUUUCAUCACUCUACGCUCCAAGCUCACUGUUCUCACUAGACCAAUGAGCUUGAGGGGGGAUGUUAAGCCUAAAGAUGUAAUUAGUUAGGAUAUUCUUUUCCCUCUAGUCUUGUAGCUCCACGUGUACAGUUGGUUAGGACCUCAUUGUAUAUAAUGCCUGCCCUGUUAUUGUAGAAGACAACAGAGAUAAAUAAUAUUAACAUUUUUCCUCUCAUCUCUCUCUCUGUUUCCCUCUGUUUUCAUCUCCUCUCUCAUCUGAACCAAAUGAUCCAUGUUAACCUUGGCUUGGUUUGAUUUGGCUCUAUCUUAGAGAGCUCAAGGAUCACGUCAACUCUGGUUUCUACUAUUCAGGUCCAUUCCCAUAUGAACUGGUUCAAAUUUGAGAAAAUGGUAACAGACCUUUAGUGAUGUUGGUUUGGAGCCAGUUGCCAAACCCGCCCUGAGCUUUACCACUAAUGUCAAGGGAGAAAGCCUUUUGAACAAAAACAAUAGCUUCAAGAGACUGAAUCGUGGAUGAAAUCUGAUCCACAUUUCUUCUCAUUUUGGAAACAAAUGAGAACUUAACUAAGAAGAUUCUACGGCCUCAUAGUGCUUUUCCUGAUCUAAGGUUGGUUCGUUUCCCAAAUUGUGAGAUGCACGGGCCAGACUUCAGAACUCUCACGCUCAGGAGUGUAUCCACGUGGUGGACAUAAGAUGGUGGCUUAAGAUCUGGUGUCGGUGGCUUUACUUUACUAGGAGAGUAGUGUGUCUUCAUCUCAUUCACUGCCGGAGGGUGGCGUAAGCAGUGACGCUAAGGUGGGGCAUAGUCAAUAUCAUUUGCAUUUGACCAUUAUAGUUUUCUCCCGGCUUGAAAGUAACCUUAUCGUGAUAAAGGAUUACUAGCACUAGUUCAGAUGACAGUCAUGUUAAAUUCGGACCAUGUUUGUGUCACAUUAUCAGCAACCAUGUGUUUAUGGUUCAUGCUUUCUGCAACUGAAAUUGAAAUUGAUAUAUAACCAGGUGAACUUCAAUCUAAAUUCUGGAAGUACUCAUGUGAGCGAUGGUGCCCAUCUGCAGAGUCCAUCAAUUGAAAAAUGGAGUGAGUGUAUCUAUAAGAGGGAAGGCUUGGCAAAUGUCCAGUUUUCUGGGAAUUCAACAAGGAUCUAAAAUAGAUUGUUUUCUUUGCUGAUUUCAAUGGUUGAAAUUUGAGAAGAUUGUGUCCCACAUAACACAACUAUUACUGGUCCUUCUGUUGCAAUUUAUCCUCUAAGGCUCUAGCAUGUCUUCCAAUUCCCACUUCCCUGUUACUCCAGGAAAGCUAUUUCUGUCAUUGUGAAGAAGAAAAGAGAAUGUAGAUAUCGAUGCUUUUAAGUGACUGGAGCAUUCAUAUCAGGUGGUCUGCAGCCAUAUAUGCCACUUUGUGAAGAUUGGAACAGUCAAUCACUAGGCUAUAUAUUAGUGUGGCCCAGCCACUUUAAUCAAGGACAAUUCUUCAUACUUAAAAGUCAAAUUCUGCCUUUAGUCUCAUUAUAAAUUGCUGUUUAAAUAUUAAGCAAACAUUUGUUUAAUGCGAUUAAGACAGUACUAACUCAAUACUUGUUCUAUUUUUGGAUGGAAAUGCUUGAUGGUUUCAUCAUUGGAUGGGAUAAAGGUGCAUUCAUGAUUAUGAAUACUUGUAGUUAUAUUUUCAUUCUCUUUUUUCUCAAUGAGACUUGUUGGCACAAUUUUUCUGUUCAGAAACCUACCUCUCCAUGGAAAAUAAGUUGUGAUUGAUAGUACUGGAUAUAUUCAAGAAAGCUAAAUAUAGAUAGCACAAAAUAUUAUCGACAUAAAUAGCAUUAACAGCGUACGUAUGUCUCAGUGCUCAUCAGCCAUAAGCAUGGGGCAAACACUUACGAUGAGCAACUUACGUCAAAAUUCCAGAAUAGGACAUAGAAGUGACAGAUCUAUAUAUAUAGAACACUGCAUAAGAGUCACAAGAAAGGAAAUUACGGGUGCAUAGCAGCUCUUAUUUCACAUACUACUCAUACUGAUCAAAGUCACUCAGUUGGGAUGGGUGGGAGUAGGAGGUUUGUGGGGUGGCUUGUGCGGAGGAGUUGGCAGCUUCUUUCCAGGACCUGGUGGCUUCUCUCCCUUAGGUGGUUUGCCAACUGGGGUUGGUGGCUUGUAUGAGUCUUCAGCAUUCUCUGCAGGAGGGUGACCAGGGUUGUGACCAUAAUGUGGUGGCUUCUCUCCCUUAGGUGGUUUGCCAACUGGGGUUGGUGGCUUGUGUUCUGGGAGUGGCUUCUCCCCCUUGGGAGGUUUUUCCAAUGGGGUUGGUUUGUGUUCAGGAGGUGGCUUCUCCACUGGAGGCUUGUGUUCAGGAGGUGGCUUCUCCACCGGAGGCUUGUGUUCAGGAGGUGGCUUCUCCACCGGAGGCUUAUGCUCUGGUGGUGGCUUCUCCACCGGAGGCUUAUGCUCUGGUGGUGGCUUCUCGAAUGGGGGAUGCUUAGGGUAAUCAGCAAGUGAGGGGGCGGUGAGAACCACCAGGCCAAGCAAGACCACUAGCAAGUAUGUAGGAGACAUCUUUGGGUUUAGACUCAGAUGGUGCAAAACUAGGAGAAUUGUCUUUUAUAGCGGAUCGCACCCAAUAAUGAAAUGACACGUGUCUUUAUGACCCAUGUGUAAUGGGGUCGAUUUGGGUCCUACAGUGUUGAAAACUUCGACAUCCACUUUUGGCCUUUUGCUUUCUCUACAGCCGCCUUGCUUUUUCCCUCUUUCCUUUUGUUUUCCUCCUGCCCCAUUCUAUCAACUAAACACAAUUAUGUAGUUGUUUAAUUCUUAAAUGAGAUAUUAUCCGUCAAUCGUAUCAUAUUUUAUCAACAGAGAACGGAGUGCAAUGUGGCAAUCCAAAGAAAGAAGAUCCAUAAUGCAGCUGUAAUUUUAUCGUUUACUUUUAUCUCUUGGACCACUGCAUUUUUGUUAAGAGGUGCAAUAAUACACGUCUUUAUCUGCCAUUCAAUGUUUACAGUAAAGAGAGGGCACAAAACUCUUCACUGCUCUGCAUGUGUCCCAAAAAUGCAAUUGGACAAAUUAUGAUUUGCAUGCUAAAAAGAGGCAAAUGAGGUUAAUUCGCACCAUAAUUAUUUUGUUUUCUGGACCCCGGGGCCCUUUGGUUGGUUUGGGGGUCAGAAAAUGAACAUCAUAGGGGGUUUUUCCCUUAUGUGCAUUUGUAUCUGAUGGCUUUAACUCGCCUUGUUACUACAAAGAAAUUGUCACAUAUAGGAACUUAUUCCAGGCUGAGUAUCUCCGCAUAGACCCUAUAAAAGAAGACAAGUCAUAAUGAACAUCUAACCUUUGUUCAAUUUGAUUCAAUGCCCCAUUGUGUCCACCUCACAAAUCUGAAUUAUUAUAUCCAUUGAAUACAUAAAUUAAUGAAGAAAAUAUGAAACCCAAGAUACAUCUCUGCACAACCUCAACCCUGGUUGCUAUGUUUCCCUUCUAUUCACAUGAGGAUAUUGAUUACGGAAUAGGGAAACCUAGCAAGGGUUUACUCGGCUCUGGUUUGAUGCUAAUUGCCAAACUUGCAACAAGCCCUGAGUUUGAAGCUCACAGAAGAUGUUAUACAGGCAGGGAAAAACCUUCAGAGUUCGCUGCCAAAGAUAAUUAUUAAGGAGAUAUCACCAAGAGAAUUCCAAGGAGUCUGAAUCAAAGACAAAUUGGUCGUUCGUGGAGGUUCUUACUUUCUUUUGGGUAUAACUCACUGAGGGCACUGUCUUUUUUAUUUUCAUUUCACAUUUAGAGUUCUGUUCUGGAAACAUAUAAAAGGAGCAUCAGUUUGUUCUUGGGUAACCCAUAGUCGUGAGUGGGUCCAUUUGCAUGCUACUUAGUUGAAAAGUUGGACCAUUUGCUCCGACGCCUACCUCCUGGAUUCCAUGCUCGGAUAAAACAAGAAUAAAAAAAUAUUUAUAAUUUACAAAUGGGGGAAAGAAAAAAAUGUCAACAACAAACUAGGAAAAAAGAGUAGUAAAAUUCAUGUCACAUGCUAGUGAGAGAAGGGGUUGUUACACUCACUCGAAGUUCUUUUCAAAAUAUCGCAUGGUAUUUUAUUUUAUGUGUGAGCGCAGUUGUGAAUGGAACGUGCAAAAGUCCAAAUUGGUGACCUUUAAUAAAUAUUUAAAACAAAAAACGAAAAAAAGGAGGGAAAAGGGAUCAGAAAAGAUAAAACAAUGUGUACAAAAGCUCAAUUAGUUUGCAAAUUACUGUUUGGAUUUUGAUAGUAUUUUAUUUGAUGUAAAAGAGAAUUUAAGAUAUUUCCGAAACAAAAGCAUUAGUUUGCUCCAUGUCAAUUUCGGCAUUUCUCAUAUGUUUCACACAUACACAGAAGAGCAUCGUUUUUUAAAGCAUGCAUUUAUGUUGGAUUAAUUUGGAUUUUGUGGGAACUGGGGCAAGGAUCACAUGGAAGAGAGGUUGACUUUUUUCAGUACUUCAAUGGUUGAGACAGGUGAAGGCCUGAUUGAUACUGAAGCCUGAAAUUGCGACUCCGUCAUUUGUCAAAACAUAUGACAGCUUCCAUGCUCUCGUUUGGUUGCAUUGUUCUGUGGUCAUGCAUACAUGCCACUUAGUGAUCAGUCUGUAACUGUCAAUCAUUGGGCUUUGACUGAACAACAUCAGCCAUGUAUAAAUACUUGCAAAUCAAACGGUCUUCUUCCUCCCAUAAGGAAUUUCGGUUUAAUUAUGAAGCAUGCAUUUGGCUGACCAUCAUAAACCACUUCUUUAAAUUGAUGAAUGAUAGUUUUUCAUUCAUUCUUUCAUUCGUUCAUAUACAGAGUAUAUAUAGAGGGUAAUCAUCAUUCUAAGAAUGGGAAAGAAUGAUACAAGGAAAUAAUGAUAUAAAGAAAUAACAACUAAUAUUCUAAUAUCUCAACUUUCCUAAUAUCUAAACAUUCCUAAUAUCUCAACACUAAAUGAUAUAAAGAAAGAAUGAUAUAAGGAAAGCAUUCCUAAUAUCUCAACACUCCUCCUCAAGUUGGUGCAUAGAUGUCAAACAUGUCCAACUUGUCUAAAAAUUUUGAGAACAGUUGACUUGAGACAUCUUUGGUGAGGAUAUCGGUCAAUUGAUCUUCUGAUCGAAUCUUAGGCAAUUCCACAAUCUUAUCAUCCAACUUUUCCUUAAUGAAAAAUCUAUCCAUCUCGACAUGCUUUGUACGAUCAUGUUGUACUAGAUUAUGAGCAAUGUCACAUGCUGCUUUAUUGUCACAAAACAAUCGGAUUGGUUGCCUAGAUAGGUAACCUAAAUCCUAUAAGAGGAGUCUUAGCCAUAAUGCCUCACAAAGUCCUAAAGUCAUACCUCUAAAUUCCGCUUCUGCACUUGAACGAGCGACGACAUUUUGCUUCUUACUUUUCCAUGUCACAAGAUUACCACCUACAAAGGUAAAGUAACCAGAUGUAGAUCGCCUAUCAUCCACUGCACCGACCCAAACAGCAUUAUACUUCUAUACUCUGAUGAUCAACAUUUUUAGCGAACAAAAUUCCCUUCCUAGGAGCAUUCUUCAAAUACCUCAAAAUACGCAUGACUACAUUCAUAUGUUGCUCUCCAGGAUUAUGCAUGUAUUGACUCACUACACUCAAUGUAUAAGCAAGAUCUAGUCUUGUAUGAGCUAAGUACAUUAAUCUCCCCACAAGUCUCUGGUAUCUUCCCUUAUCGAUUGAUACUUGAUUAGGCUCAACACACAAUUUCAGACCUUCUUCUAUUGGUGUAUUAAUAGGUUGACAUCCCGACAUUCCAGUUUCCUGUAGAAGAUCUAAGGCAUACUUUCUUUGAGACAGAAAAAUUCCUUCACUUGAUCGAGAAACUUCAAUCCCAAGAAAGUAUUUCAGACGACCAAGAUCUUUCAUUUCAAAUUCUCUAGAUAGAUACUUUUGCAAAGCUUUUCUUUCUUCAGGAUCAUUUCCUGUAACUACAUGUCAUCCACAUAUAUCAUAAGUGUCGUAAUCUUACCAUGUUGCUUUUUCAAGAACAAAGUGUGAUUUGAAUUACUUUGAUGAUAGCCAAAAGCUCUCAUUGAUUUUGUGAACCUUCCAAACCAUGCUCUCGGGGAUUGCUUCAACCCAUACAAUGACUUCUUCAAUUCGCACACCUUCUGACAUUGCUUUUCUGACACCAUGCAUCCUGGUGGAAGAUCCAUAUAUACUUCUUCAGAUAAAUCGCCAUGCAGAAAGACAUUUUUUACAUCGAACUAUUGUAAUGGCCAAUCUAGGUUUGCAGCUAAAGACAAUAAUACUCGAACUGUGUUGAUCUUAGCUACAGGUGCAAAUGUCUCUGUGUAGUCAAUUCCAUAAGUUUGAAUGUACCCACUAGUCUUGCUUUAAAUCGUUCAAUACUACCAUCUGCCUUGUACUUCACAGUAUAGAUCCAACGACACCCAACUAGCUUCUUUCCUGGUGGACAUUCUACGAGUUCCCAUGUUUCAUUUUUCUGCAAUGAUUUCAUCUCUUCAUUCAUGGUUGCUUUCCACUUUGGAUCAGCUAAAGCUUCCUGCACACUAUUAGGAAUAGCUACAGUAGAUAAUUGAUUUACAAAUGACUUAUUUGAUUCAGACAAACCAUGGUGUGGACCCGCAUUUUUCACGUGCGCCUCUACUCGAUCGGCGAGACUCGCUUUCUAUUUGUGAAAAAUUAAUUUUAGAAAAGUUGGAGUCGCCACCUAUUUUAUUUUUAUUUUGAAGGGAAAAUAAAACAAGAAAGAAAAACCCUAAAAAGUGACUCCAUAGUUUUGGAAAAAGCAUGUCUUUGGGAAACCUGAGUCUAGGUCCGGGGAUCAUGUUACUUAUUGGGAAGGUACCUCUAGGAGGUAGCACCCCUCUAAGCCUUAUGAAGGUCUCUACUAACUAAAUUAAGGGAAGUGUGGCAAUAAAUCGAUUGAUCAUAGAUACCUAAGUAGACUAGGUGAUUUUAAAGUGUGGCAUGUCAAACACAAUCAAAUUGCAAUAAAGGAGAGUUAGGGCGCGUACCUGAACCGCUUCUCAAGCGCUAUCAUAAAACAUCAAUGGUUAAUUUAAAUAAUAUAUCAUCCAGCAUGUAUUUUAUUAGAAAUAAUCAAACAAUGAAACAUGUAUAUCAGAACACUCAAGCAUUAUUAGACAUAAGCAUUAUUUCACUAUUCACAGAAUUCAGAAAGUAGGUGAUAGAGGACAUACCUGGAUAGCAUAGAUAAUUUGUAAUGUGCUUCCUCAAGUUGUAAGGGGUUAGAUAACAAAUAAUAAAAUAUAGAAAUCCUAGCAUGCUCGUUAUCUAAUUAGCAUAGCAAAAGUGAUCACAGUAUACAGAAUCAUCAAUUAUCACAUACAUCUUGUAUAUAAUUCCUAAAAAAAAUAGAUAGACAUGAUUUCAACAAGUGUCAAAUGUGGCAACAAAAAUAAAUUUUGAAAAGAUUUUCUUAUGUAGGGGUUUCACCAAUUCCCCAAAUUAAUAUACACGAAUUUAGCUUAGAAUUAUCCCAUUUAUUUGGGACUACAAGCUUUGAUUCGUGUUUUUGUUCAAAACCAAAAAUUUUUGUUGAAAAUCAAGAAGGAUGCGAACCGAACAAGAUAUGGUUGCAUAUUAUUUUUAAAUAAAUAAAUAAAUAAAUAAAGGAGAUUUUGAUCCUGAGGACUUUAAUGAGUUUUUUUUUUUAAAAUAGAUUUUUAAAAUGAUUUUUUUGAGAAAAGUAUUUUAUUUUAAAAUAAAAGGGAUUAAUUUGGGAAAAAAAUAAAAUAUAAGAAAUAAAAUACCAAACAAAACAAAAAUGAAACCUCAAAGUAAAAUUUUUUUAGUAAUUAACAAAAAUGAUAAUGGUGAUGGUAGAGGGCAAUCUUCAUGAUUUUCCAAUGGCCUCAGAAAGAAAAUCAAAUUAAAUGAAGGAUCACUAACAGGCAAGACAUUCUAAAUUAGACAAACUAACAAAGUAUCAAUUCAUGAACUAACCGCUAGGAUUUUGAAAGCAUAUAAGCUAAGAUAAGGGUGAUCAGGAACUAAUAUUAAUGAUUUUGAAAUAAAAACUAAAAAAAAGGAUCAAUUCGGGUAAGGAACUAAAAUUAUAAAAGUACCUAAACUAAUUAUGACGAGUUUGACUAAAUUAAACUAAAAACAUGAACUUUCAAACAUAGAAUUAAUUUUACUAAUGAACCAAAGCAAACUAAAAAUAUGUACUUUCAAGCAUAGAAUUAAUUUUAUUGAUGAACUAAACUAUAACAAAUAUCUAAACUAAAUAUAAUGAAUCAAAUUAAAUUAAAGCAACUUAAAAACGCAAACUUUCAAACAUAGAAUCAAUUUUAUCAAUGAAUUAAAACUAUAAAUGUAUUUGAACUAAAUAGAUGAAUCAAACUAAAUCAGAGCAAAAUUAAAAAAAAAAAAGAACUUUCUAACAUGAAAUCAAUUUUAUCAACAAAUAAAUGAAUGAAUAACAAGUAAUUAAAAGAAUAGCUACUACAUGAAUAACUGAAUGAAUAAAAUUCAAAUGUUUUCAAUCUGAAGCAAUCAAUCAAAAUUAAAUAGGGAUCAAAUCAAAAUAAUCGAAAUCGGAAAAACAAUAUGCAAUCUUUCUAAAGGUUUAACCAGACAAUUGAAUUAAAAUUAUGAAUAGAAUAAAUUAAUAAACCAAAUCGAAACCUAAAUUGUACCUAAAAAGAUUAAUUAAUUAAACUAAGAAAUCAAAAUCAAUAACAAAACUAAACUAAGGAGUAAAUUAAGACAAGACUAAUUAAAUUAAACUCACAAACACGUUUUAACUAUCAUAUGGAUUAAAACAAAAUUAGCAUGGACUUAUGAAUUACGAACAAAAAUAAUCAAAACUAUUUUAAAAAACUCACCUCUAUUAUAAGAAAAAAUCUGCCUUUGAUGCGUUGAGGUGGCUCCCCUCUCUGUGUGGAUCUCUCUGCUCCCCAGAAAAAAAAUGUCUCUUCCUCCGUUCUCUUUUGUUUCAGCAAAAUAAUAUAUCCCCUGCUGUGGAUCUCUCUACUCCCAGAAAAUAAUAUAUUCUCUCCGUGUCCUAAAGUGGACCUAGGGUGCCUAAGUGGACCUAGGGUGCCUAAAUGGGCCUAGGGUGCCUAAAUGGGCCAAGUGUAUCUAAAUAGGCUUAGGGUGCCUAAGUGGGCCUAAGUCUAAGUGAGCCUAAGUCUAAAUCAAGACUACCAAGGAUCAUAAUAAGGGGUUAGGCAAUCCCUUAACCAAAGUCUCCAAGGUGGCUAAAAAAAAGUAAGUAGUAUGAGUAGCUAUGGGUCACCAAGGAACUACUGUGGAGCAUUGAAAACGAAUUUAAAGACAUGUGCCAAAGGGACAAAAUUGAGGGUCUACAGAUGGUUAGACACAUAGUUGCUCAUGGGAUAUUUGACUUUGGUAAACAAUUCAGAUUCAUAUGUGGGUUUAGGAAUACCUUUAUUAUGACGGUGUGGUAAUCGUUUCAUGAAUGGAUCAGGUUGCAAAUUAAGAACACCCUCAGCAAACAACGAUUGGUUUGGUAUUUCAGUGAAGACAUCUUCGAACCCAAAUUGUUGACCACUCAUAUCCAACUCACCCGCUUCCUGGUUCACUAGUUCAGAUUGUCCAAAUUCAUCAUUCUCAUAGAUAUGAUAAUCAUAAUCGAGAGUCUGAAUUUCCUUAUGGUACUCCCCCUGAAGUUCAGACUUAGAUGAAAAAUACAUCGAAUAUUCAUGAAACAGCNNNNNNNNNNNNNNNNNNNNNNNNNNNNNNNNNNNNNNNNNNNNNNNNNNNNNNNNNNNNNNNNNNNNNNNNNNNNNNNNNNNNNNNNNNNNNNNNNNNNNNNNNNNNNNNNNNNNNNNNNNNNNNNNNNNNNNNNNNNNNNNNNNNNNNNNNNNNNNNNNNNNNNNNNNNNNNNNNNNNNNNNNNNNNNNNNNNNNNNNNNNNNNNNNNNNNNNNNNNNNNNNNNNNNNNNNNNNNNNNNNNNNNNNNNNNNNNNNNNNNNNNNNNNNNNNNNNNNNNNNNNNNNNNNNNNNNNNNNNNNNNNNNNNNNNNNNNNNNNNNNNNNNNNNNNNNNNNNNNNNNNNNNNNNNNNNNNNNNNNNNNNNNNNNNNNNNNNNNNNNNNNNNNNNNNNNNNNNNNNNNNNNNNNNNNNNNNNNNNNNNNNNNNNNNNNNNNNNNNNNNNNNNNNNNNNNNNNNNNNNNNNNNNNNNNNNNNNNNNNNNNNNNNNNNNNNNNNNNNNNNNNNNNNNNNNNNNNNNNNNNNNNNNNNNNNNNNNNNNNNNNNNNNNNNNNNNNNNNNNNNNNNNNNNNNNNNNNNNNNNNNNNNNNNNNNNNNNNNNNNNNNNNNNNNNNNNNNNNNNNNNNNNNNNNNNNNNNNNNNNNNNNNNNNNNNNNNNNNNNNNNNNNNNNNNNNNNNNNNNNNNNNNNNNNNNNNNNNNNNNNNNNNNNNNNNNNNNNNNNNNNNNNNNNNNNNNNNNNNNNNNNNNNNNNNNNNNNNNNNNNNNNNNNNNNNNNNNNNNNNNNNNNNNNNNNNNNNNNNNNNNNNNNNNNNNNNNNNNNNNNNNNNNNNNNNNNNNNNNNNNNNNNNNNNNNNNNNNNNNNNNNNNNNNNNNNNNNNNNNNNNNNNNNNNNNNNNNNNNNNNNNNNNNNNNNNNNNNNNNNNNNNNNNNNNNNNNNNNNNNNNNNNNNNNNNNNNNNNNNNNNNNNNNNNNNNNNNNNNNNNNNNNNNNNNNNNNNNNNNNNNNNNNNNNNNNNNNNNNNNNNNNNNNNNNNNNNNNNNNNNNNNNNNNNNNNNNNNNNNNNNNNNNNNNNNNNNNNNNNNNNNNNNNNNNNNNNNNNNNNNNNNNNNNNNNNNNNNNNNNNNNNNNNNNNNNNNNNNNNNNNNNNNNNNNNNNNNNNNNNNNNNNNNNNNNNNNNNNNNNNNNNNNNNNNNNNNNNNNNNNNNNNNNNNNNNNNNNNNNNNNNNNNNNNNNNNNNNNNNNNNNNNNNNNNNNNNNNNNNNNNNNNNNNNNNNNNNNNNNNNNNNNNNNNNNNNNNNNNNNNNNNNNNNNNNNNNNNNNNNNNNNNNNNNNNNNNNNNNNNNNNNNNNNNNNNNNNNNNNNNNNNNNNNNNNNNNNNNNNNNNNNNNNNNNNNNNNNNNNNNNNNNNNNNNNNNNNNNNNNNNNNNNNNNNNNNNNNNNNNNNNNNNNNNNNNNNNNNNNNNNNNNNNNNNNNNNNNNNNNNNNNNNNNNNNNNNNNNNNNNNNNNNNNNNNNNNNNAACCAAAGGAAGCAUGUUCCAGACGUCGAUGCCACAACCAAAUUUCAGACUUUUUCUUCUCCUCCUUAGAUCCAUCUGCCAUCAAGGCUUGUUGCAACUUAUUUGAAUCCUUUGAUUGCAAGUCCAAGUAUAGAGUUUCCCCCGCUUAAUACGACAACCAAUCGUCUGUCUUGUUUGAAUGUCCUUAAUCACACAAAAUUCAGGCCAAAAAAUGACAAUACAAGAUAAGGCUGCAGUGAUUUGAGAAACUAACAAAAGAUUGUAAUCUAAAGAUGGAACAACUAAAACAGAAUCCAAAUUCAAAGUAUCAGUAAGAGUUAAGGAUCCUUCCCCAAUGACUGGGGUUGUGUUACCAUUGGCUGUGGAAACAAUUUUUUGUGAGGAAGGUCUAAGGGGUGAAACCUGUCUAGAAUCAAAAGUCAUAUGAUCUGUAGCACCAGAAUCAAUUAUCCAUGCACUAUUAAUAACAGGUGUAAAAGUAUUUAAAAACUUACCACAAUGAUCUGUAGCGGCUACUAAUGCAGAGACUUUCUCAACAACAUUAGUCUUUGUUUUUAUUUCGGUAACAGUUGCAAUCAAGGUUUUCUUGGAAUUCUUCUUCCGUUGAUCACGAUUAUUAUCAUUAAUAACAAAGUGUUGAUAGCCUAAACAUGAUCUAAAGGUCCAUGGUGCAAACCCUCGGUUCCUCAUUGUUUUCCUGGUCAUACCAAGAGUUGUUGCUUUGAAAUUGUGGGAUAUCCAGACUGGUGGGAUCAGUUUUAUUGCAGUGAGUGCAUUUGAAUGUUGACUUAUCAAUAUUAGGGCUUGUCUUCGGAUGGUUGAUUGCUGUUGGACUACCAUAGCGACAAAAUAUCCAGGAUUUCAAUUCCAGGGCUCUGAUACCAUCUUCAAAUUGAUGAAUGAUAGUUUUUCAUUCAUUCUUUCAUGUACAGAGUAUAUAUAGAGGGUAAUCACCAUUCUAAGAAUGGGAAAGAAUGAUACGAGGAAAUAAUGAUAUAAGGAAAUAAUAACUAAUAUCCUAAUAUCUCAACUUUCCUAAUAUCUCAAUAUUCCUAAUAUCUCAACUUUCCUAAUAUCUAAACAUUCAUAAUAUCUCAACACUAAAUGAUACAAGGAAAGAAUGAUAUAAGGAAAACAUUCCUAAUAUCUCAACACCACUUCAUGAUAUAUAUAGUUUCUUACCCUUAAUCAAUGGUUUCUAAGUGAAUUUAUAUAGAAAGAAAUCCAAACUGUAGACAGCAGUAUUGGUAACACUCAAUAUUCUGUAUAUAAUAGAAUAAAUAGCGUCACAGUGAUCGUCGCCUACAAGCAAGGUACAAAUACCACAAAGAGUGACCCACAUAGACAUUCCCCAACAAGAUGUAGUAGUGACUGACACAUAGCCACAAUUAACACGUAGAAAAGGAUAAGACCGGUGCACAGUAGCUCUUAUUUUACAUACUACUUAUGCCAACCAAAGUCACUCAGUUGGGAUGGGAGGGAGAUGGAGGUUUGUGCGGUGGCUUGUGGGGCGGAGUUGAUGGCUUCUUUCCAGGAGCUUCUGGCUUUUUCAUCGGAGCUGAAGGAGGCUCAAUCUUAUGAGGCGGCUUGUACGAGUCUUCUUUGCUCUCGAAAGGAGGGUGGCCAGGGUUGUGACCAUAAUGUGGUGGUUUCUCUCCCUUGGGAGGUUUACCAAUUGGGGUUGGUGGCUUGUGUUCUGGGAGUGGUUUCUCUCCCUUGGGAGGUUUAGUGGGUGACUUGUGUUCUGGAGGUGGCUUCUCCACCGAAGGCUUGUGCUCCGGUGGUGGCUUUUUGGUUGGAGGGGGCUUGGGGUAAUCAGCAAGAGAUGGGGUGGUGAGAACCACCAGUCCAAGGAACAACACUAGCAAGUAUGUGGGAGACAUUUUUGAGUUUGGGCUGAUCAGAUGAUGCAAAACUAAAGCAUUACGUGACCUUUUAUAGCAAGUAGCUCCCAAUACCUACUUGACACGUGUUACUGUGACCCAUAAAUAUUAUGGGGUCUAUUUGUGCCCUACCGGGUUGAAAACUUGGACAAUUGGGCAAGGACCCGCCUGACUAUGGAGGACUACUGAGGUGUGAUCACAGCUUUAGGAUUUUUCUUCCUCUGCAGCCGUCUUGCCGUUGGCAUGAUUUUCUUAAUCUCAAAUAAAGGCAUAGUUAUAGAGUUGUUUAAUCUCUAAAUGGGAUUUUAUAUAUCUUCAGAUAGCCAUUAAUACAUUUGAUGAAGAAAGAAAGACAAGUGCAUACAACAUGUAUACGACUAGCUUUCAUGGAGUUCAUUUAUGAUCAGUUUUCCUGUACAUGUAAACCAAGAUCAUAUAUGUUUUUGUUCCACAACAAUUUUGGAAUCUUGUUUAUCCGUUUUUAUCAUUAUAAUGUCACAUAGGCUGCCAACUUGGGCGCUAAAUUAAAGAUCCAGUUGGGCAAGUUCGUUUCAGAAUUUCAAUGGUGGAUUCAGGAAUUGUUUUAUAAGAUAUGCAAAAUAGUAGAGGGAUGAAUAGUGUUUCAUUAAGAAAAGAGCCCUGUAAAAAUAUUGUUUAAAGGUGCCAUAGAAACUAUAAUCAAUAAAUAACUUUUUUUCCCCAUGGGUGGUGUUUCUUGUGGGGAUCAGUGACUGGUUUGAGUCAACGCCGUGUCUCUUUAGUCCAGAAAUCAACUAUUUUAUGCAUUGAAUACAUCAACAAAGAAAAUAUGAAAGCCAAAUGACACCUCCCCCGCAAAAACUAAACCCUGGUUGCUAACUUUCUAUGUUUCAGUUCCAUUCACACAAGAAUAUUAGUUCAAGUUUGAGAAAAAUGGCGACUUACCUAGUGAUAACUCGGUCUUGGUUUGCGAUUUGACUUUAACGUCAUGGGUUGAAGCCUCCUACAAUCAUCGUGUAUGCUAGUUCAAAGCUCGUGGAAGAAGUUAUACAGGGAGGGAGAAACCUCCACAGCAAGCUCCAAAAGAGAAUUAUCACAUUGAAAGCUCCAGUUGAACACUGGGUGAAAGCCAUAACAAGAUUGGUUUUCUAUCGCUCUUUUAAGUAAUGGAAGAUUAUUAUCUCUGCUUGUCACUACAACCGUGCAUGCUGCUAGAUCUUUCUAGACACUUCAAACAGUGAAACCAAGUAUGAUUCUUUUUCUCUUGAGUGGGUCCACUUGCAUGCCAAUGAACGAGUUGAAAAGUUGGACAAUUGGCCACAGCGCGCACUUACCUUCUGGAACCGAAGGUCAGUGAAGUGGGGUUCCUUUUGGCCCCUUGUGUUUCUGUUCCAACCUACUCCAGGAACCGAAGUUCAGUGAAGUGGGGCUACUUUUGGCCUCUUGUGUUUCUGUUCCAACCAAACAAAAAUGGGAGGGAAAAAUAGCAUUAUGCUUGUGCUAAAGAUCAACGCAUGAUAGCUGAAUAAGGGAGAAAAAGGCAUUGCUAUCUCAAUUUCAUAAACUUGAUAAGUAGUGACAUUAAUAGUCUUCCUCAUAGAUGGAUACAUGGUUUUAUUUUAUUUAUUUAUUUUUAUUUUUUUGUUUUAUGUCAAUGCUAAUGAAUGAAGUGCAUUAGCUUGUUUUGUGACUAGAACUACAAAUGUCCAAAUUGGAGCUUCUCCAAUAUAUUUCUCAGUGAGUUAUUGAUUAGAACUCUUGGAUUGAGUUCCAAGAUUUGAAUCAGACCCCUCUAGCAGCUUCAGGGGUACGUAGCAACCUAUAGCAUAUUAAUGAAGACUUAGGAUUUAGACUUAGGAAUACAAAUUAAUAUGUACCUCAUGCUCUGACUAGCUUCCCUGCGUAUGCACAAAAUGGAGAUGACUCCCAAAAAAAUAGCAGAAUCGCCUUAGUAUGUUUUUGUGGUUAAGAUGAUUCUCCACUUUAUAUAUCCACAUUGGUUCAUUAUGCAAAUUAAUCAACUAAGCUAUUUUUAUUUUUUCUUAAAUGUGAAAUAGGAGCUCCAAAUUAACCUAACCAUUGGCCUGAUUGAAUUGAUUUCACUUGCAUAAUGUUAUAGUAGAAGUCCGUAAUUUGAAUUUUAUUUUUGCAAAAGGUAACGUAAAUGAAGCAUUGUAAUUAAAUUUAUUUGUAAUUACAAACUAAUUUUAUUUUAUUAAGAAUUAAUUUAAUUACUCAUUUAAAAUAAAAAUCAGUUAUACUUUUACCAAGAUGAUAAUAUUCAUAUUUUUCUAGUUAACAUAUAUAAAAUAGUACACUUUUUCAUAUAAAAAAAUAAUUUAUGAUUUAUUAUAAUGUUACUAUUCACAUUUUACUAAAUUGAUGGUACAUGAUAGUGAGAGAAGGGGGUGUCACACUCAGCUAAAGUUCUUUUCAAAAUAUUGCAUGGUGUUUAAUUUUAUGUGUCGGCGCGCGUGUGAAUGGAACCUGCAAAAGUCCAAAUUGGCGUUUCUCCAUUUUCCACAUAGGAUGGUGACGUUAAUAGACAAAGAUACAAUAUCUGUAGACAUUGCUUAAAAAUCGAUGUGAAGUAUUAGAAAUUACAGGGCACUGUACUGGGGGAGCGGCUGCCCCGCCAAAGGAGGAAGAAUGUAGCAAUUUCUUCUGUUAGCCAGGCCUUAGGAUUUAUGCAUGGGAUGCCUAAUAACAAACAGAGAAAAUAUACUUUUGGGGAAGGUAUCCAACAACAGACACCAUCAUUCAGAUGGUGGGAAGGUAUCCAACAGAUGCCAUCAUUCAGAUGGUAACAUAUAUAUACAUUUAUUAGUGAGUUUUUUUAAUACCUAUAAAAAAAAAUAUACACUUUGAUAUUGUGGCUGAAUCCAUUACAUACUCAACUAACCUUGCUCAUUAGGGAUUUGACUUAACAAGGGCAACGUUGCAGUACAAGCUCAAAACUUUAUGCAGGUGACAUUACAUUUGGUAAAGAAGAGGAAAAUAACGAAAGCCAUCCAUAAAAGCAAAAUUCCACAUGGGAUGAAAUUCACAAGCUUCAUUUACGAUAGAGUCGCAUCCAGGCAAUUAAUUCCACAUUAGACCGCCUGUUGACAUGUGUACCAAUCUUUUUUCAAAAAAUAUUUAUAAAUAAUUGAUACUCACAAAAAUAAUUUAAUAUUUAUAAAGGAUAAAAAAAUAUUUUCAAAUCUAUAACAAUUUAUAAAAUAUUAAUAAAAAAUUAUCUCUUAAACUUAGUAUAGUUUUAUCAGAUUAAACUUUUAUUUUGAACAAAUAAUUUUAAUCUAAGUUUUAAAUUCUAAAAUUAUUUCCUUAAAAUAAAAUUUUAAAAUUCAACACUUCAAUUGAAAUUGUCUUUUUAAAAAAUAUCUUCUUAUUUUAAUCCUUAUAAACUAUAGUUGAUUGAAAAUACUAUUGAAGUUCUCUCUUAAAAAAAAGUCUUAUUUUAAUCUUCAUAAAUUGCCCUUGAUUUGAAAAUAAAUUUUCAGUUAUCAUAUUUUAAAUAAUAUCUAUAUUUAAAAUACUCUAUUUAAAAAAAAAUGAACUAAUUUUAAUUAUAUUAUAUUUUAUUUUUUUAUAUAUUUUUAAUGAUAAACCAAACAUAGAAAAUCAUUUUUCUAAAUAUUUUAAAAUUUCUAAGCAACCAAACAUAAUCUUCAAAAUAAAAGGAAAAUAAGGAGGGACAUUUGAGAAAUGGCGAUUAAAAAAAAGUGUACAAAAGCUCAAUUAAUUUUCUUCUAGUCUUUUAUAUAAAAAAGUAAAGGAAUUGAAAAGUAUUGAUAUGUAAAUUAAUAUUUGGAUUUUAAUAGUAUUUUAUUUGUCUUUCUCUAUCUCAUGUAAAAGAGAAUUUAAGAUAUUUCCUAAAGCAAAGCAUUAGUUAUCUGCAAUCAGUGGUGAUCAUGCCCCAUGUCAAUUUCGGACCCAUAUCUUAAAACUGUAUAAUUUGCAUUCAAACAUUACUGAUUUCUCAGAUGUUUCAUACUCCACAGAAGAGCAUUGUUUGUGAAAGCAUGCAUUUAUGUUGGAUUUUGGAUGAUGUGGGAACUGGGGCAAGGAUCAUAUGGAAGAGUGGUCGAUUUUGUUCUGUACUUUAACAUUUGAAAUAGGAGAAGCUCGGGCAUUUGUGGGGCUUAAUUGAUUUUGAAGCCUGAAAUUGCGUUUCUGUCAUUUUGUAAAAAAUAUGGCAGAUUCCAUGCUCUCAUAUGUUUGGUCUGUGGCCAUGUAUAGAUGCCCCUUAGUGACCAGUUUGUAACUGUCAAUCAUAGUGUUUUGACUCUGGCUCAACAACAUCAGCCAUUGACGGAUUUUCAUACUUGCAAAUCAAAUAGUCUUCUUCCUCCCUUAGGAAUUUCGGUUUAAAUGUUAUUAAGCAUACAUUUGGCUGACAAUUAUUAACCACUUCAUGAUAUGGUUUCUUACCCUUAAUCAAUGGUUUCUAAGUGAAUAUAUGCAGAAGGAAAUCUGAACUGUAGACAGCAGUAUUGAUAACUCUCAAUAUUCUUUAUAUAAGAGAAUAAACAACGUCAUAGUGAUCGUCGCCUACAAGAAAGGUACAUUUCCCAACAAGAUGUAGUUGUGACUGGUACAUGGACGCAAUUAACUCGUACAAAAGAAUAAGACCAGUGCACGGCAGCUCUUAUUUUACAUGCUAAUUAUGCUAACCAAAGUCACUCAGUUGGGAUGGGAGGGAGAUGGAGGUUUGUGCGGUGGCUUGUGGGGCGGAGUUGGUGGCUUCUUUUCAGGAGCUUGUGGCUUUUUCGGAGCUGAAGGAGGCUCAAUCUUAUGAGGCGGCUUGUACGAGUCUUCUUUACUCUCGACAGGAGGGUGGCCAGGGUUGUGACCAUAAUGUGGUGGCUUCUCUCCCUUAGGUGGCUUGCCAACUGGGGUUGGUGGCUUGUGUUCAGGAAGUGGUUUCUCUCCCUUGGGAGGUUUACCAAUUGGGGUUGGUGGCUUGUGUUCUGGGAGUGGUUUCUCUCCCUUGGGAGGUUUAGUGGGUGACUUGUGUUCUGGAGGUGGCUUCUCCACCGGAGGCUUGUGCUCCGGUGGUGGCUUCUCCACCGGAGGCUUGUGCUCCGGUGGUGGCUUCUUGAUUGGAGGGGGCUUGGGGUAAUCAGCAAGAGAUGGGAUGGUGAGAACCACCACUCCAAGGAACAACACUAGCAAGUAUGUGGGAGACAUUUCUGAGUUUGAGCUGAUCAGAUGAUGCAAAACUAGAAGAAUUACGGGACCUUUUAUAGCAAGUAUCUCCCAAUACCCACAUGACACGUGUUACUAUGACCAUAAAUAUUAUAGGGUCCAUUUGUGCCCUACCGGGUUGAAAACUUGGACGCUUGGCCGAGGACACACCUGACUAUGGAGGACUAUUGACGUGUGAUCACAGCUUUUGGAUUUUUCUUCCUGUGCAGCUGUCUAGCGGUUGGCAUUAUUUUCUUAAUCUUAAAUAAAGGCAUAGUUAUAGAGUUGUUUAAUCUCUAAAUGGGAUUUUAUAUAUCUUCAGAUAGCCAUUAAUAUAUUUGAUGAAGAAAGACAAGUGCAUACAACAUGUAUACGGCUUGCUUCAAUCGAGUACAUUUAUGAUCAGUUUUCCUGUGCAAGUAAACCAGUUUUUUGUUCCACAACUAUUUUGGAAUCUUGUUUAUCAGUUUCUAUCAUUAUAAUGUCACAUAGGCUGCAAACUUGGGCACCCAAAGAUCUAGGUGGGCAAAUUUGUUUCAGACUUUCAAUGGUGGAUUCAGUAAUUGUUAAAAGGUGUUUCUUCAUUAAGGAAAGAGUCCGGUAAAAAUAUUGUUAAAAGGUGUCAUAGAAACUAUAAUAAAUAAAUAACUUCUUUUCCCCAUGGGUGGUGUUUCUUCUGGGGAUCAGUGACUGGUUAGGGUCACCCAAAAUGAGUCCAGAUUAAAAUUGGUUCGAGUCAAAGCAGUCUCUUUUGUCCAGAAAUCAACUAUUUUGCGCAUUGAAUGAAUCGAUAAAGAAAAAAUGAAAGCCAAAUCACACCUCCCCUGCAAAACCUAAACCCCGGUUGCUAACUUUCUAUGUUUCAGUCCUAUUCAUAUAGGAAUAUUGGUUCAAGUUUGAGAAAAAUGGCAACUUACCUAGGGUUUACUUGGUUUUGGUUUGCGACUAUUUACGCAACCAACCAUGAGUUUGACUUUAACGUCAUGGGUUGAAGCCUCCUACAAUCAUGUAUGAUAGUUCAAAGCUCGUGGAAGAAAUUAUACAGGAAGGAAGAAACCUCCAAAGCUAGCUCCAAAAGAGAAUUAUCACAUCGAUAGCUCCAGAGAUUCCCAAGGGAACUGAAUCAAAGACAAGUUCCUCACUUUUUCUUCUUUUGAGGCCAAAUAUGAACCAAGGAUCACACGACCUCAUUCAACUUCAUAAGUUUGAUUUCAUGCAGUUGAACACUGGGUGAAGGCCAUGACAAGAAUUGAUUAAAAAAUUCUACCACUCUUUUAAGUAAUGGAAGAUUAUUAUCUCUGAUUGGCACCACAACAGCACAUGCUGCUAGAUCUUUCUAGACACUCCAUGCAAUGAAAGCACAAUGGAUCUUGUAAUGAUAGAAACUAAGCCAUGCUACAGUACUAGAUGAGGGGGUAAAACUAGUAGACAUCUUUCUAGACACUCCAUGCAAUGAAAGCACAAUGGAUCUUGUAAUGAUAGAAACUAAGCCAUGCUACAGUACUAGAUGAGGUGGUAAAACUAGUAGACAUGGCUGGCAGUUGAUUACUACUCAAAAAGUACUCUUUUAUAGCUUGAAACUAACUGUUUUAAACACUUUUGAGUAGUAGUUAAUACCUUUUAACUUAAUUGGCACAUUAAGGAACCUAGCAAGGGUUACUAAUCAACAUUUGGCAAGUUUUGAUGUUUUUGGUAGCUAUUUGAUCAUUGAAACAAGCCAAGAAUGAGGGGGAAUUUUGUGAAGUCCAUGGCAAUGCAAGUUAAAGCUCAAAUACAUGAAGAAUCCAAGCUUUGGAGCACUUCAUAGCCCUUUGCCAAGCCAAUCAAAGAUGCAAGGAAGAAAACCAAAGGAAGAAAUCCAACAAUCAGCAUUUUGGCAUGGCUAUGUGAAAUUUCGCACACCAUGCGAAACCACAAGAGGCAGCCAAAGAAUUUCGCAUGGUAUGCGAAAUCUUCUUGUGCACUGACUCUGUUAGAUUUUUAUCUUCAGAUAUUUUGUGUAAUUUCCUAGUUUCUCCUUGUAACCAACUUAGAUAUUUUCUUUUAUAUCUUUUUUUAUAUUUUUUAGGUAACAUCAUAUAUAAGAGGAGAGACAUAAGGAGGAUAUGGAUGUUUUUCAUAGAACACUUGUAAAUUUUUGGUAGUAAGAAAUAUACAAAGCUUUUUGCUCUGCCUUACCUUCUCAAGGGAUGAGUGGCUAGGUUUUCUUGGAGUGAGGGAAGCUAGGUGAAGGACCUGAAUGCAAAGGUGGGAGUUUUCCUUACUUUAAAUGAAAGUAGUUGUUAAACAUUAAUGGUUUUUAUUUUAAGGUUUAGCUUUAAAUCCCUGAAAAACACCUUGAAUGGCCAAUACUUGGUAAGCUUUUUAGAUUCUAUGGAUGCUUAUUGCUAGAUCCAUGGAUGUCUAUUAGUUAUCAUUUACGAGCCAUUGGAAGGUGAUUCAAGGUGAGGGUCUUUAGUGUUUGAAGCCAUUAAUGGGAAGCAAUUACCAUUUUUUCAUGAAUCCUUUGGAUCAAAUCUUAAUUGCUAAAUAUAAAACCGGUUUCGAGAGAUAACCACCAUCCUUUAUGUUAUUAUCCCCAACGCGAGGAGAAGAUCCGAAAUCUUCCUUUUUAUCUAAGGAACCCGAUCCUAGUGACCUAAAGCUCCAAGAUACCUUUUCUUUGUAGUUAACUUCAUUUAUUGUUUUUGCUUAACUUAAAAUCAAUCUUUGCAACCACAAUUCCAUUUUCUUUAAAAGCUAAUUUUUAUAAGGAAAAACACCAUUUUAUUUCCUUCACUAAGUCAACUGUACGAUGAAAACCCAUCCCUGUGGACGAUCCUAGAGCCACUAUACUAUGUUAGCUAUGCUACCCUAGUGUGAGGUGAUUUAGGUUUUAUAAAUUUUUUUGAUAACACCCAUCUGAGCCAGAAUCAAAUGGCACGACUGAACCAGGGACGAAUCAAAUGACGCCGCUACCAAGGAUGGUGCCAAAGUACAUUGACAUGACUUUUGGUGAACACUUGUGAUCUUCACCACAAGUUUGGUGAUUUUUCUUUUACUAAUUUUUUUUAUUUUAGCUUAUCUUUUAUUUAGUUUUUAGUUAACCUUAAAUUUUUCCUAGAAUUGUAUUUCUUUUGUUUUCUUUGUUUUUGUUUCAGUGAUCUUUAGUUGUGCAUGCCCUAUUGGAUAAGAGAUAUUGAGGGAAUACUUGUGAAGAUUGAAACUCCUCGAGAAACUGAGUUAGAAGUGUGCUUGAACAUCAUGGAUGUUCCACCUGAAGACCAGAAUAGCCAACAUGGUUAAGAGGAUAAUUUCAACACAUACCGAUCCAUGAGGAACCGCAUACAUCCACCUUGUAUGAGUGCACCGUCAGGCAUAAUGCCUCCCACUGAGCAGCUAGUAAUCUGACCUCACAUUGUGCCACUCCUACCUACUUUCCAUGGGAUGGAGAGUGAGAAUCCCUACUCGCAUAUUAAGGAAUUCGAGGAGGUUUGUAAUACAUUCCAAGAAGGAGGAGCUUCAAUUGACUUGAUGAGGCUCAAGCUAUUUCCUUUCACUUUGAAGGAUAAGGCCAAGAUUUGGCUUAAUUCUUUAAGGCCAAGAAGUAUCCAAACUUGGAUUGAUUUGUAAGCCGAGUUUCUUAAGAAGUUCUUCCCUACCCAUAGGACCAAUGGUUUGAAAAGGCAAAAUUUGAACUUCUCAGUUAAAGAGAAUGAGAAAUUCUAUGAGUGUUGGGAGAGCUACAUGGAAGCUAUUAACGUUUGUCCUCACCAUGGCUUUGACACAUGGCUCUUAGUGAGCUAUUUUUACAAUGGUAUGUCUUCUUCAAUGAAGCAACUCCUAGAAACUAUGUGUGGAGGAGACUUCAUGAGUAAGAAUCCGGAGGAAGCCAUGGACUUUUUGAGUUAUGUGGCUGAAGUUUCAAGAGGAUGGGAUGAACCAAAUGCUAGAGAGGUGGGAAGAAUGAAGUCUCAACCUAAUGCUAAGGGUGAGAUGUAUGUUUUGAAUGAAGACAUUGACAUGAAAGCAAAGGUUGCAGCUAUGGCAAGGAGAUUGGAAGAGCUAGAAAUGAAGAACAUACAAAAAGUGCAAGCCAUUUCUGAGACAUCAAUGAAAGCUAUGCCUUGUUCCAUUUGUCAAUCUUAUAAGCACCUAGUGGAGGAGUGUCCUACAAUUCCAGCAGUGAGAGAGAUGUUUGGUGAUCAAGCAAAUGUUAUUGAUCAAUUCAAGCCUAAUAACAAUGCUUCAUAUGGCAACACCUACAAUUCAAAUUGGAGGAACCAUUCAAAUUUCUCUUGGAAACGAAAGCCACCUCAAUACACACAACCUACUCAAGCACCUUAGCAAUCCUCGAAUCUUGAACAAGCUAUUGUGAACCUUAGCAAGGUUGUGGGAGACUUUGUGGGAGAUCAGAAGUCCAUCAAUGCUCAACUGAAUCGGAGAAUUGACAGUGUGGAGAGUACAUUGAACAAAAGGAUGGAUGAGAUGUAAAAUGAUCUGUCUCAAAAGAUAGACAAUGUCCAAUACGUAAUCUCAAGGCUUACCAACCUCAACACAGUGUAAGAGAAAGGAAAGUUUCCUUCUCAACCUCAUCAAAAUCCUAAGGGUAUCCAUGAAGUAGAGGCUCAAGAGGGAGAAUCUUCAAAGGUGAGGGAAGUCAAAGUAGUUAUCACCUUGAAGAGUGGUAAAGAGGUUGAUCAACCCACAUCCAAGCCAAAGCAUAAUGAAGAGAGUGUAGCAGAAAAAGAAAAGAGAGGAAAAUAAAGGAAUUAGAAUAGAGAAAAAUACAAAGAAAGAUGACCAUGAGUCUAGUGUGGAUGAAGAGCCCGAGAGGAUGGUGAUCAAGGAAGAUAUGAUGAAGAAACACAUGCCUCCACCUUUCCCCUAAGCUUUGCAUGACAAAAAAAGAACCAAUAAUACAUCAGAAAAUUUUGAAGUAUUGAGGCAAGUGAAGGUCAAUAUCCCUUUGCUAGACAUGAUCAAACAAGUGUCGACAUAUGAAAAAUUCUUGAAGGACUUGUGCACUGUAAAGAGAGGGUUGAAUGUGAACAAGAAAGCUUUAUUGACCGAGCAAGUGAGUUCCAUCAUACAGUGCAAGUCCUAGUGAAGUACAAAGAUCCGGGUUGCCGUACCAUCUCAGUGAGUAUUGGAAGGACUUGUGUGGAGAAAGCUUUGUUGGACUUGGGAGCAAGUGUGAAUUUGCUAUCCUACUCUGUCUAUAAGCAGUUGGGAUUUGGAGAGUUGAAGCCAAUAUCCAUCACUCUAUCUCUAGCGGAUAGAUCAAUGAAGAUUCCAAGAGGGAUGAUCGAAGAUGUCCUGGUUCAAGUUAACAAAUUCUACUAUCCAGUAGAUUUUGUUGUUCUUGAUAUGGAUCCGGUUGUCAAAUGAACUAAUUAUGUUCCUAUCAUACUUGGAAGACCCUUCCUAGCUACAUCAAAUGCAAUCAUCAAUUGUAGGAAUGGAGUCAUGCAACUCACAUUUGUCAACAUGACAUUAGAGCUCAACAUCUUCCAUUUGUACAAGAAGCAUAUCCAUCAGGAGGAAAAAGAAGGUCUAGAGGAAGUGUGAAUGAUUGACACUUUAGUGGAAGAGCAUUGUGAUCGAGAAUGCAAAAAGAUUUAGUUGAGAAUUUUGGGGAUCUUGAUGAAAGGUUACUUGAACCCUCAGAUUUGCUUGCUACCCUACUCCAUUGGAAGAGAAGAGAAGAAAUUCUACCCUUAUUCAAUGAGGAGGAGACGCAAAGAGCUGCAAAGGAGAAACCCCCAAAACUUAUUCUUAAGCCACUACCCACAGAGUUGAAGUAUGUAUACUUGGAAGAAGACAAGAAGUGCCCUAUUGUUAUAUCUUCAACUCUUACCAUUCAUCAGGAGGAUUGUCUACUUGAAGUCCUUAGAAGAUGUAAGAAGACAAUAAGGUGGCUAAUUUCUUAUUUGAAAGGGAUCAGCCCUUUAGUCUGCACCCAUCAUAUUUACAUGGAGGAUGAAGCUAAGCUAAUUCAUCAACCUCAGAGAAGGUUGAACCCUCACAUGCAAGAGGUGGUUCGAGCUGAAGUUCUGAAGCUACUUCAGACCAGUAUUAUUUACCCCAUAUCAAAUAGCCCAUGGGUGAGUCCUACUCAAGUUGCGCCAAAGAAGUCUGGGAUCAUGGUGGUGCAAAAUGAUAAGGGAGAAGAUGUCUCUACACGCCUCACUACAGGUUGGAGGGUGUGUAUCAAUUACAGGAGGUUGAAUGCAGUGAUAAGAAAGGACCAUUUCUCAUUGCCCUUUAUUGAUCAGGUGCUUGAGAGGGUCUCUGGGCUUUUUUUUUUAUUGUUUCUUGGAUGGCUACUCCGGGUACUUUCAGAUAGAAAUUGAUGUUGAAAACCAAGAUAAGACCAUUUUCACAUGCCCAUUUGGAACCUAUGCAUAAAGGAGAAUGCCUUUCGGCUUAUGCAAUGCACCCGCAACUUUCCAAAGAUGCAUGUUAAGCAUUUUCAGUGAUAUGGUGGAGCGUAUUAUGGAAGUCUUUAUGGAUGAUAUCACCAUUUAUGGAAGUGCAUUUGAUGAAUGCUUGGUCAACUUAGAAGCUGUUCUGAACCGAUACAUUGAGAAAGACUUAGUGCUUAACUGGGAGAAGUGCCAUUUCAUGGUACACCAAGGGAUUGUCCUUGGGCACAUUAUCUCCAAGCAAGGCAUUGAAGUUGACAAAGCAAAGGUUGAACUCAUUGUUAAGUUGCCAUCCUCAACAAAUGUCAAAGGAGUAAGGCAAUUCUUUGGCCAUGUCGGGUUCUAUAGGAGGUUUAUCAAGGAUUUCUCUAAGCUUGCAAGGCCUCUUUGUGAAAUAUUGGUGAAUGAUGUUAAAUUCAUAUGGGAUGAUGGAUUUGAAAGGAGUUUUGAAGAAUUGAAGCUAUUUUUGACAACCGUACCAAUAGUGAGGGCUCCCAACUGGCAACUGCCCUUUGAAGUAAUGUGUGAUGUCAAUGAUUUUGCUAUAGGAUUUUUUCUUGGGCAAAGAGAAAAUGGAAAACCUUAUGUGAUCUACUAUGCGAGGAAGGCAUUGAAUGAGGCACAAAGAAACUACACAACCACCGAGAAAGAAUUGUUAGCUGUAGUUUUUGCCUUGGAUAAGUUUCGCGCUUACUUGGUGGGGUCCUUCAUCAUGGUUUUUACUGAUCACUUUGCUUUGAAGUAUCUGUUGACUAAGCAAGAUGCUAAAGCAAGGCUGAUUAGAUGGAUUCUCUUACUUCAAGAGUUCAAUCUCCAUAUCAAAGAUAAGAAAGGAGUGGAGAAUGUGGUAGCAGACCACAUUUCAAGGCUAGCUAUCGCACAUAAUUCCCAUGCUUUGCCCAUUAAUGACGAUUUUCUAGAGGGGUCUCUCAUGUUGGUGGAAGUUGUCCCUUGGUACGCUCACAUUGCUAACUACCUGGUCACGGGAAAAGUUCCAAGUGAGUGGAAAGCACAAGAUAAGAAGCACUUCUUUGCAAAAAUUCAUGCCUACUAUUGGGAAGAGCCAUUUCUAUUCAAGUAUUGUAUGGAUCAGAUAAUAAGGAAGUGCGUUCCUGAAGAAGAGCAACAGGGGAUCCUUAGUCAUUACCAUGAAAAUGCAUGUGGAGGCCACUUUGCUUAUCAAAAGACAGCCAUGAGGGUGUUGCAAUCGGGUUUCUGUUGGCCAUCACUUUUCAAAGAUGCCCACACCAUGUGCAAGAGUUGUGAUCGAUGCCAGAGGCUUGGGAAGUUGACACGCAGGAACAUGAUGCCUUUGAACCCCACUUUAAUAGUUGAUAUUUUUUAUGUUUGGGGCACUAACUUCAUGGGACCUUUCCCUAUGUCUUUUGGCUACUCUUACAUCUUGGUAGGAGUAGAUUAUGUUUCUAAGUGGGUUGAGGCAGUCCCAUGCAAACACAAUGACCAUAGAGUGGUUCUCAAGUUUCUUAAAGAGAAUAUCUUCUCAAGAUUUGGGGUGCCCAAAGCCAUAAUUAGUGAUGGGGGUACUCAUUUUUGCAACAAGCCUUUUGAAACUCUCCUAGCCAAGUAUGGGGUGAAGCAUAAGGUAGCUACACCUUACCACCCUCAAACUCAUGGACAAGUUGAGUUAGCAAACAGGGAGAUUAAAAACAUAUUGAUGAAGGUGGUGAACACAAACAGAAAAGAUUGGUCAGUCAAGCUUCUUAAUUCACUAUGGGCAUAUAGAACAACUUACAAGACCAUUCUCGGGAUGUCUCCUUAUCGCCUAGUUUAUGGCAAAGCAUGCCAUCUCCCUGUGGAAUUGGAAUACAAAGCUUGGUGGGCAAUCAAGAAGCUCAACAUGGAUUUGAGCAGAGCUGGGUUGAAGAGGUUCUUAGACCUUAAUGAGAUGGAGAAAUUGAGAAAUGAUGCCUACAUCAAUUCAAAAAUUGCAAAAGAAAAAUUGAAGAGGUGGCAUGAUCAGUUGAUUUCCCGCAAGGAUUUUCAAAAUGGACAAAGAGUCUUACUUUAUGACUCUAAACUCCACAUCUUUCCGGGCAAGCUGAAAUCAAGGUGGAUAGGUCAUUUUACCAUUCACCAAGUGCAUUCAAAUGGAGUAGUGGAACUACUCAACUCCAACAAUAUCGAGAACUUCAAAGUGAAUGGCCACCGUCUCAAGCCCUUUGUGGAGUCUUUUUCUCACAACAAGGAGAAAUUCAUCCUCCUUGAUCCACAUCAAGCUUAACAAGACCAAUUUUCUUGAUGGACUUAGUCUUUCUAAAGACUAUCGAGUCCAUAACUUUUUGUUUUAUUUUUUAUUUGAGAUUUUUUCGGUAUUGUUACUUGUUUUGUUUUUUAUUUUUCGUUUUAAUUUUAUUUGGUUUGAUUUAACUUAGGUUUUUGAUGAUCAAUUACAGGGGGGAUUUCAAAUAGAGGAAAAACCAAGAUAAUUCGCACACCCUACGAAAAUUUCGCAAGGCAUGCGAAAUUUAUGGCUUAUUUUGCAUGGGGUGAAAAUUUUCGUACAUCUUACGAACCAAUUUCGAACACUUUGCGAAAAUAAACCAACCCUGCGAAAUCAUUUCGAUUACUCUACGAAAUUUUCGUAGAGCAUGCGAAAAAUUUAGCACACCAAACACCAUUUCGCAUACUAUGCAAAAACCUAAGGGGUCUGCGAAACCAUUUCGCACCUCCAAAUCCAUUUCGCACAUUGUGCGAAAACCAAGAGGCGCUGUGCGAAAAUGAAAAGUCGCCCUGUCAUCCCUUUUUAAACCCCUCGAGCCCUAAAAUCUCCAUUUCGCAAGCACCCCUGUCCUUGCGAAUCCCUCAUUUUCCUCUACUACCUUGCAACCUCGUCCCUUUCCAUUUGAUAUUGUGCCCCGCGCACAUCUCAUUUCAGAGACUCGCACUCCGCGCCCCCUCAAAGCAUGGACUCGAGACCCACCUUCCAUUUCCGACGUGGCACGGACCCAAGGAGCCCUUUCUGCCCCUUCACUAAGACACACACCAAGGCAGAAAGCCUCCUUUGCUCAAGUGCCUAGUGAUUCUCCAUCUUAGGCCUCAGAGGCCUCGGAGGCCCCGUGGAUUCCACCUUCCGAGGGUAGAGCAGCCAUUGGUCCUUCCUCUUCUACUCCUUAGCGUAGAUACGAGACGAGGAGACCACCUACUACACAAGGGGCGACUACUUCGAGCCUUGAGAAUUCAGUACGAUGCCUUCCUGCCAAGAGGGUCAAGACUUCAGGUCCAAGUGAGUCAUCCAGAGCUUCAUAGCCUAAGCCUCCUGUAGAUUCCAAGGUUCCUACUGACAUAUCACCGGAGUCUAUUAUCAGAAGCCCGAUGCUCAUAGCACCGCCCAUUGAGGGCAACUCAGAUUAUAGAGCGAGAUCUUUCCACUUGGAGCUAUAUUUUGAUCAGGAGGCCAUACGACAGCAGCCUGAGCUCCGAGACUCUUAUGGCUUACUGCAGAGGUACCAUCUUGAGGAACUUAUGACUCCUCGUGAGUUUUUUUAUCCCAGAGUAGCACUAAACUUUUACCAGUCCAUGACUACUCGUGGCGUCCCGAGUCCUACCACGAUUCACUUCACCAUUGAUAGACGUCAUGGUAUCCUCAAGGCCAGACAUAUUACAGAGGCUCUACAAAUUCCUUUCGAGCUAGAGGAUCCAUCUGUUUUUCGCUAAUGGUCCCCAGUAUCUCAGAGGGACAUGGUCCGUAUUUUAUCUAGGGGAACAUCUACAGAUUCGAUCUUUCUACGGAAGGAGCUUCGACCUGGGAUGCUCCUCUUAGAUGUGGUGCUAUGCUCCAACCUCUUUCCCUUACAACAUUCGGUACAUAGGUGAUGAGCUAUUUUGGACGCUUUAUUCCGUAUAUCAGAGGGCUUCUACUUUGGCCCGCACCACUUGAUCAUGGUCUCCCUCAUCCACUUUGAGGAGAAGGUUCAUAGGAAGAAGCUUCAGAGGGUGGACACCAUUCCAUUACUAUUCCUGAGGUUACUUUGCCAGGUCUUGGAGUACAUGGGCUUUCCUACUGAGCCUCGGCUCGAGCUUUGCCGCCUUUGUCGAGAGUGAUCCACUCUCGACAAAUGGAAUUAGUUGGCGGGCUAUUCUGCACCUCCAGGAGCCCCUCCCAUGGUAGCACCUCCAAUGUCCCCACAGGCAAAGUAGGGCGAGCUCCCGGCAAAGACUGUACCACCAAUGCCCACACUUGAGGCUAUUUCUGCUGCUCUGCCUAUGACUCCUACUGUUCCACCAGUUGGUCCUUUUACAUCCGAGCCUUCCAUCACCAUCUCGGCUUCGGAGUUUCGCGCCCUUGUGCAUACCUUUCAGACACUCACCACCACACAUACUCCUCUCUUCUAGCAAAUGGUUGAGAUGUGUGCCCAUCAGGACCGGAAGACUACUAUACUCUGCCAAAUUCAGCAGCACCUAAGACUUUUGCCUCAACCUCAACCUAACCAUCCCAUAUCAUCAGAGCCUCUAGCUCCAACUGAGGAUACUAUUCCACCUGAGAACACUACCACAGUAGAGGUCCGGUUUCCACCACCUUAAGAGGCCACCACAGCUACAUCAGAGGAUGUGUCAUCUCCACUUGAGGCUCCCACUACUUGAUCAUAGGACAUAUCUUUAUCUUAUUGUAUUUACAUAUUAUAUUACUAGAGAUUUGUCCUUGUUUUGAUACUUUAUAUUCUGGGAUUGGAUGUAUUGCCUGAUGAUAUCUCAAUUGUACUUUCUCAUAUUAAUAUAUAGACAUCAAUUUUUUUUAGUAUACUUAGCAUUUUUCUAUUUCCUCUACUCAUUACUCUUUUGUUUUUUUUUACUCAUGUGGUUUCUCUUAUACAACUCAGACUCCAUUUCACUCAGGAGGUACCACUUCCUCCCUUUAUUUUCAAUUGCUCUUGAAAUAUUGAGUGCAAUGUUGAUCUUGGUUGGGGGGAGAGUUGAGGAAGGAAGUUUUGUUAAUAAUGCUAGGUUAAUUUGUUAAUUUAGUUACUUUCUGCUUAAUUUUAAAAGUUUUCACUCUACUUUCCAUGGUUAUUAAGGAAAAAUUCUCAAAAUGAAAUGGGAGAAAUCGAAUUCUUGCAUUUUUACUUGAAUCUUAGAAUUUGUAUCAUGCUUAUUAAAGUUGAUGAAUUAUUGAAACUCCUAUUGAAUUCAACCUUAUUUUUUCCACUUUAAUCUUACCACACACGGUGCACAUUAGGUUCCAGUUAUAAGAUAAAAAACUAUCUCACCCCCUAAACUUAGAAAAAUUUACACUUGGUACCUUUGACAUCGUUUUAAUAGUGUUGGGACACCUUAUAAAAGGCCAAUGAGCCUUUAAAAAAAAAAAAAAAAAAAAAAAGAGAAAGAACAAAGUAUUGCACUUGCCUUGAAACCUGAGCAAGAUCCGAGGGGUAUACAGUGAAAGUCUUUAAAACCUGGUGCCCUAAGCCUUGAUUGGUUGGGAGUCACCGACCUCAAUGCUCGUUAUAAGGGUGAAUAGGUGGAGUUUAACAUAUUGUAGGUGCUUGGGUAUUGAAUUUCAAUCUCAAAAGUCCGGGAAAAAAUCUAAGGAGUUAGUGGUCAAAAGAUCCUUAAAGCUUGAUGCCCUAAACCUUGAUUGGUUGAGAGUCAUUGAUGGAUCCCCGCUACAUGGACAUUUUAGAAAACAAUACCUUUAGCAUUGCACGCCUACAAUGAAAAAAAAAUGUGAAAUAAAAGAGGUGCGUUCUUAGCCUAUUGGAGGUUGGUCAGUUUGCUAAAGUUUGAGAAAUCUAGGUUGGGGGGAGAGAAUAGUCCGACAUACUAUAAUAAAAAACUAAUAACCUUAACACUUAGAUUUUUGUGGAAGAGUAAGGAUUGGACCUUUAGGGGUGGAAAUUCUUUUGAUGCUUAAAUUUGCAUAAUGCCUACUCUUUAUAAAUUAUGAUUAGGCAAGAGAUUUGAUGACUCUUGUUCAAAGUUGGGUUUUUCCUCUUUGAUGUUCCAUGAGAGAGUAUAAUCCUCAUCAUGCCACUUGAAAUCUUUUUGGAGUGAUUAACAUGAUUUUGUAAAUUAUUUUACUGUCUAUUUUUCUUUAUCUCUCUUUUAUUGCUAAUGGACUAGCAAUAUGUCAGUUGGGGGGAGUGAUUACUACUCAAAAAGUACUCUUUUAUAGCUUGAAACUAACUGUUUUAAACACUUUUGAGUAGGUGUUAAUACAUUUUAACUCAAUUGGCACAUUAAGGAACCUAACAAGGGUUACUAAUAAGUUUUUGGCAAGUUUUGGUGUUUUUGGUAGCUAUUUGAUCAUUGAAACAAGCCAAGAAUGAGGGAGAAUUUUGUGAAGUCCAUAGCAAUGCAAGUUAAAGCUCAAAUACAUGAAGAAUCCAAGCUUUGAAGCACUUCAUAGCCCUUUGCGAAGCCAAUCAGAGAUGCAAGGAAGAAAACCAGAGGAAAAAAUCCAACAACCAGCAUUUUCGCAUGGCUGUGCGAAAUUUUGCACACCAUGCGAAACCACAAGAAGUAGCCAAAGAAUUUUGCACACCAUGCGAAAUUUCGCAUGGUAUACGAAAUCUUCCUAUGCACCAACUCCGUUAUAUUUUUAUCUUCAGAUAUUUUGUGUAAUUUCCUAGUUUCUCCUUGUAACCAACCUAGAUAUUUUCUUUUAUAUCUUUUUUUUAUAUUUUUUAGGUAACAUCAUAUAUAGGGGGAGAGACAUAAGGAGGAUAUGGAUGUUUUUCAUAAAACACUUUUAAUUUUCUGGUAGUAAGAAAUAUACAAAGUUUUUUGCUCUGCCUUACCUUCUCAUUUUGUUUUCACCUAUCUUUCUAGCCAAACAACCUCUGAGAAUGAUUUCUCAGGGGAUGAGUAGUUAGGUUUUACGUUUCUUGGAGUGAGAGAAGCUAGGUGAAAGACCCAAAUGCUAAGGUGGGAGUUGUCCUUGCUUUAAAUGAAAGUAGUUGUUAAAUAUUAAUGGUUUUUAUUUUAAGGUUUAGCUUUAAAUCCCUUAAAAACACCUUGAAUGGCCAAUACUUGGUAAGCUUUUCGGAUUCUAUGGAUGCUUAUUGCUAGAUCCAUGGAUGUCAUUAGUUAUCAUUUAUGAGCCAUUGGAAGGUGGUUCAAGAUGAGAGUCUUUAGUGUUUGAAGCCAUUAAUGGGAAACAAUUACCAUUUUUUCAUGAAUCCUUUGGAUAAAAUCUUAAUUGCUAAAUAUAAAACUGGUUCGGGAGAUAACCAUCCUUUAUGUUAUUAUGCCCAAUGCAAGGAGAAGAUUUCGAAUCUUCUCAUUUGUCUAAGGAACCCGAUCCUAGUGACCUAAAGCUCCUAGAGACCUUUUCUUUGUAGUUAACUUCAUUUAUUGUUUUUGCUUAACUUAAAAUCAAUCUUUGCAACCACAAUUCCAUUUUCUUUAAAAGCUAAUUUUUAUAAGGAAAAGCACCAUUUUAUUUCCUUCACUAAGUCAACUGUAUGAUGAAAACCCAUCCCUGUGGACGAUCUUAGAGCCACUAUACUAUGUUAUCUAUGCUAUCCUAGUGUGAGGUGAUUUAGGUUUUAUAAAUUUUGUUGAUAACACCCGUCUGAGCCAGAAUCAAAUGGAACCACUGAACCAGGGACAAAUCAACAGCCUAUAUGGGAGGGACACAAGUUUAAUUGAUUUGCAUUUCAGCGUUAUAGAUAAGUAUGUUUUGGAAGAUUUGUUCUGGAAAUACUGCACCAAGUACGAUUCUUUUUCUCUUGAGUGAGUCCAUUUGCAUGCCAAUUAACGAGUUGAAAAGUAGGAGCACCUACCUCGUGCUCAUGGAACCGAAUGUCAGUGAAGUGGGGCUCCUUUUAGCCUCUUGUGUUUCUGUUCCAACCAAGGCGGCGUAGGGAAAAACAACAAUAUGUCUGUGCUAAAUAUCAACGCAUGAUAGAUGUUUUUUUUUUUUUUUUUGGUAUGUCAAGGCUAACGAAUGAAAUGCAUUAGCUUGUUUUGUGACUAUAACUGCAAAUGUCCAAAUUGGAGUAUCUCCAUUUCUCACUUCGGAUGGUUAACUUUAUAAACAAGAUAUAGGAAACAUGUGAACAUCUUGAGGAACAAUUCAAAUUAUUCAUUAGAAGUCCUGGGUUAAGUUCCAAGAUUUAAAUCAGACCCUUCUAGCAGCUUCAAGGGUACUUAGCAACCUAUAACAUAUUAAUGAAGAUUUAGGAUUUAGACUCCGGAAUACAAAUAAAUAUGUAUCUCAUGCUUUGACUAGCUUCCCUACAUAUGCAUAAAAUGGAGAUGACCCAAAAAAAAUAGCAGAAUCUAGCUUCCCUACAUAUGCACAAAAUGGAGAUGACCCAAAAAAUAGCAUAAUCGCCUUAGUUUCUGUGGUUAAGGUGAUUCUCCGCUUAAUAUCCACAUUGACUCAUUAUGCAAAAUCAACUGAGCUAAUUUUAUUUAUUUAUUUAAUGUCAAAUAGGAACUCCUAAUUAACUGAUUACUGUCGAAAAGUGCUAUUUUGUAGACCUAAUUAUAAGGGUUUUAAGCACCUUUGAGUAGUAAUCAUAUUCAUUUAACCUAAUUAAUUCAUUAAGCUCCUUAGUAAUUAGUUCUAACCAUUUUUAGUGGCAAGUUUACAUGUUUUUCAUCAGCUUAUGAACCAAUUCAAGCAUGCCAAUUGAUGGAGGAGCUACUUGGGCGAGUUAAGCAAGGAUUUUGGACGUUUACAGGCUUGAAUUUCAAGUGGAAACACGAGCACAAGCAAUGGGAACACCAUUUCGCAAGGGGAGGCAAUUCACCUUGCCAAAUGACCAAUUUCGCAAGGGGAUUUUCCUCAUGGUGCAAAAUUUGGUCAUUUCGCACCAUGAAGAAACCACCUUGCAAAAUUUCGCAAGGUGGAUUUAGGCACCUUGCGAAAUGCCAAAUUUCACAAGGUGGCUUUUCACCUUGCGAAAUUUGGACCUUUCAUCUUCCCCCCUUGCGAAAUGCCUUUGAAAUCCCCUGUUUUGAGACGCUGUUGAUGAUAUUCCACUGCCGGUUCUCCAAGAUAUUUUGCUUGACUUUUAGCUUUAUAAAUACCUAUUUUACCCUUGUAAUCAACCAAUGAAAAGGUUGCUUUUGUAAUAGCUCUUGUAAUUUAGCUUUUUAUUGUCUUUAAAUAGAGGUGAAGAGCCUCAGACACGAUCAUCUUGUAACCUGUAACUUUAUAAGUUAUAAGAGCACUUUUGUUCAUACGCUUCUUUUCUCUUUUCUUUCUCAUUUUCUUAGUAGCCAAACAUCCUUGGAGGAUGAAAUCCCCAAGGAUGAGAGGCUAAAACCUUUUAGUUUCUUGAAGUAAUGGAUGCCAUGUGAAGCUCCCGUGUCAGGAUGGAGAUUUCCAAGCCAUAAAUGUAAGUAGCUGAGCGUCAUAAAUGUUUUCAUUCAAAGUAAAGCUUUUAAUCCCUCUGACUUGCUUUGAAUGGCCAAUACUUGAUAACCUUUUGGUCUCAAUGGAUUCUUAUUGUUAGAUCCACUGACGUUCAUUAGUUAUCUCCUACGAGCCAUUGUAUUGCAAGUCGAGGAGAUGACCUAUACCAAUAAAAGAGCAUUUAUGAGGUUCAACUACCCUUUUUGUAAGUUUUCAAGGACUAAAACUCAGUUGUUAAACUCAUACCGGUUCGAGAAGUAAGCAUCACCUUAGUUGCUUCCCCAACUCGAGGUGAAAAGUCCCAAAAUCUCCAUUUUUACACAGUGAGUUAAGCAUGGCUAUCCAAAGCUUUAAGAAACUUCUUUUUCCAUCUUUUAACCUAUUUUCAUGUUAGUUUAGUUUACAACACCUUCAUCUUUUUAUGUUUUCAUCUUAACCUAAUUUUUAUUAAGAAAAGUUCACUCCAUCCUCCGAACUUCACCAGUUAAAGUAAAAACCCUUCCCAGUGUUCGAUCCUAGAGCCACUAUGCUAUAGUAGCUUUGCUACUUUAGUGUAAGGACCUUAGGUAUAAAUUUUGUUGAUACCCUUACAUGCCAAGCUACCAAGAGUCGGGUUAUCAUUAACCUAACCAUUGGCCUGUGUAAAUUGAUUUCACAUGCACAAUGUUGUAGUAGAAGUCCAUAUUUUGAAUUUUAUUUUUGUAAAGGUAAGGAAAAUGAAGCAUUGUGUAAUUAUAAAAAUAACUUCAUUGGAAUUCACAAGGUUCACCCAAAAUGGAGCUACAUCUGUAUUCUAUCCUACAGUAGACUAUAUAGAUUGUACAAUAGUAAAUUGCAAAUACAAUUAAUAAGUCUUGUGCUUCCUUACUAAUAAUCCUUUGACAUGAACAUUGCAGCACUAAGGUCCUCUUGGGAAGACACCUUGCACCCAUGAGAGCACUAAGAGGAAGCAAGGCAGAGUCAUGGGUGCAAUGUCAUGACUUGUUGUUGCACCAAGAGAGGCUUGGUGAUGCCAUGGUGUUGCAGUAGCAAGAAUGUUGCCUUGGCAGGGACACGAUCUAGGGAUAGAUGCCAAGAAAGGCUUAGCACUCACAUGAGUUGCACAAAGAUGAAUGUAAUAGAGCAUCAGAGAGACGUCUUGGCAAGUAAAUGAAUGGAUCCAAGAGACAACAACAUGAGGAGUUUCAAAUGGAUAAGGAAUGACUCAAAGACAUUUGAAAGCUACAAGUUGGAUUCUAAUUACGAUUGCAAUUUGAGUUUGAGUAGGAGUUUAGAUUUUGAUUGUAAUUGUAGUAUGAGUUGGACUAGGAUUGCUUAUCCUUAGUCAAUAUAGGAGCGGUUCGUGUCACCCUAUGAAAAGAGUUUGAGUAGGGACUAGGAUUGCUUACUCCUAGUCAAAUAUGGAGUAGGUGGUGCCACACCUAUAAAAAAAAGGGACAACAUGAGAGAGAGAGAGAGAGAGAAAGAGAGAGUGAAUUCACUAAAGAUAUUGUGGGAGUUUUGCUUUGUUACGUCUUGUAUUAUUACUUAGAAUAGGAAUAAAAUACAAGUUGGGGCUAGAGCCCCAUAAUUAAUCUCGUGUGCCUUUGUGGUUAUUCUUUAUUUGUCAUCUCGUGUGGAUUGGAUUAGGUUGACUUAGAGGGCUUCUAAGCACCACCUUUGUGGGUUAUUAUUUAUUUUCCAUCUCUUGUGGAUUAGAUUAGGUUGACUUAGAGGGCUUCUGAGCACCACCUUUGUGGGUUAUUAUUUAUUUUCCAUCUAUUGUGGAUUAGAUUAGGUUGACUUAGAGGGCUUUUAAGCACCACAUUUGUGGGUUAUUCUUUAUUUUCCAUAUCGUGUGGGUUGGAUUAGGUUGACAAGGAGAAAAAUUAUGUGGGAAAUUUGUGUUGGGACACUUACCAUAACCAAGUAAAAUCUACCAAGUCCUUUGUAAUAUCUUCAACAAAUAUUUUAGACUAGUUCUUUCAGUUAGUGUAAAGGAGGAAGAAGUGGUAUUGAUUCUAGAAAUAGGGUGUGUGUAUUUGAACUACAAUCCUUAUGAUCCUUAGGUCUCUAAACCUUCGUGAUGGGCUCCCUGACAUUUCAUAGGUUGUGCUACACAUGCGUUUGAAAUUUAGAGUGCGUUUGACAGUGAUUCCGGGAAGUGUUUUUGGCCUUUCUUACACUUGAAAAUUUUUAUUUUUCAAGUAUUAGAAAUGCUACAAACACUUUUGAAAAUUACUGUCAAACACACUCUUAGGAGCGCACAUAUAUAGUAGAAAACUAGAAAUUGUGGUUUUUUUAGGAUUUACUGUAAUGUCAUUAGGAGGGUAGUAAGUUGAAAUUGAGUAUGAACAAAUAUUUCUUUCUUUGGGAUGUUCUUCUAGUAGGUGCUGAUGAAACUGUUCUUUCUACUGCCAAUGUCACAUAUCAGCCAGAAAUUGAAAAUUUCAGUCAAGGUGUCCUCUGUUUUAGUGGUGAGGAAAGCUAGAAAUUUUAAGGUGAAGUUUUGUUAAAAACCUUAAGUAGCUGGGAUAUCAGGCCUGUUUUGCUUGAAAAAAAAAGUUGCAAGAUAACUCAUAUGCCAAACAGGUUCUGAUAUUGUGAAUCUAUCGGCAGACAUCAGUAAUCUCAUCUUCUGAGAUGGAUGUUGGGGGUGCAUGUGGUGGUGGAGGGGCAAGGUUUCAUUUGGUUUAUUUUGUUGAUGGAUAUUGUCUAGCCACCUGCGCCAAGUUUGAGGGGUGGUGGGUUGUGAUGACCCUACAAUUACUAUUAAUUUCUUCAUCUUUUACCGAUUAAAGUGUCCGAACAGUCGAAGUUACCCUUAUGCAUGUCAACUUGAUCACUUACCUCUUCAAUGGAGUUUAUGCUGGUUCAUUUAGGAACUGAUUUUUAUUGUUAUGUAUUAUAUGCUGAUGUUUAGGUCUCUCCAUCAUCACUAUAUACAAAAAUUCUAGGUUGAUACUAUAGGUUGAGAUUUAUUUUUUAAAUAAAAAAUAAUAAAAAUAAAAAUUAUGGUGAUGUUUAGUUGUUUUAUGGAAAAUUUUAACAAGUAAAAGUUAUUUUUGGGCAAGUUUUCAAACAAAAAGAAAAGUAAAAGUUGUUUUGACAAAAACAUAUAGAAAAAAAAAUCAUAGAAAAUAAAUAAUUUCCCCAUAUUCUAACUUUUUUGAAUUUUUCUCAAUGGGCAAAGGAAUAUCAAAUCAAGUUUGAGUAGGAUUUCUUAAUUUUUAAAAUAACUUACAAUUAAAAAAUUUUGGUGUUUUCAUUUUUGGACAAUUUUUUAUUAAGCAAAUGGACUCUGAGUCAUGCAAGAGAUAUGGUUCAUUAACCGGUCGAACAAUUUUUUUAAAUUAAUUUAAAAGUCAAAUACAUAAUCAAUUUCACAAAAUUUAUAAACAAAAAUAGGUUUAGAGAAGAUCUACACAUAAUUUUACUUUUCUAAUUUUAUUUUAUUUUAUUUUUUGUUGGAAAAUAGUCUUCAAAUCAUGUAAGAUUUAAUAGGUUAAAUUUGUUAACAAUAAAUUUUAAAUUAUAAAAUAUAAUCUGGAACUCAAAAAUCAAUUCAAGUAAUGCUAAAAAAAAAUCAAAUUUGGUAUAGAAUGACUUUGUAAAUUUUUUUACAAAACAAAUGAAUUUUAAAUCAAGUGAGAUUUAAUGCAUUAGAUUUUUAUCAAAUAUAGUAAUUUUAAAAAUAAAUUUGGAACUCAACAAUAGACACAAUAAAUACCAAAAAAUAAUGAACCAAAAUUGGUUUGGAAUAACUCCACAACCUUUUUUUUUUUUUUUUGGUGCACACGAAUUUUCUUACUAGGUAUAUUGCUUUCAAAUUGAGAAAGAUUUACCAUUUAGAUUUUUUUUUAAUGAGUUUAAUGGUAUUUUAAAAUAAUUCAAAAUUUAAAAAAUUGACUAAUUAAUAUUAUAAAUUGAUAAACCAAGACUAUUUCAAAAUGCAUUGGGGGCUAAGGGGGUUGAAAAUAGGGACAAUGGGAUGGGUUUGGGACAUGACACUCAUAUCUCAUUUCCAUUCCAAUUACACAGUUAUCUCCCAUCCUUAUCCCAAACUUGUGUUGGAGCAAGUUGAUUUGUUCCCAUCUUUGUUGACGAAAUGACUAAUAACCUCAUCCCCUCCUUAUCUUAGAUGUACAUUUUGUCAAAUUUGAUCAGGUAUGAUUGAUCCAAGCCCUAACCCUAAUUGGUAAUGAGUGAAUACUACACCUAAUUGCAUUCUUCUUUCAUUGCAAAAUAAUGAGAUUAUAAUAAUCUAGCAAAUAAGAAAAAAUAGUAUGGAAGUUCAAAUUAACACCAUAACUAUCAAUAAUUUUAAGCUUAUAGAUGACUUAAAUGAUUAAAAACUAAUGCAAAAUCCUAAAAAAAAUAAAAAUCAUAUAAAGAAUUCACAAGAGAACAGAAUGAACAAAAACCAAAUAUGAACAUGGGUCAACAUUAGUUAUGGAUUUGGAUUCCUUUCAAGGCCAAUCUUUGAACCAAGACUUCAUCAAAUCAACUACUUCAAAGGCUUUUGUGUUCUUCUUGGGUUGUGCUCUCAAACAAAGACUUCGAGGUGAUGUUCUAGAUGAUUGAAUUACACAUAUUUAGGGUGGAGAGAUUGGAGAAGCUUGAAGAUGCCAACGAUGGGUACAAUUGAGUGGUCAAUAAGAACAAUGUAGCCUAUGACUAGUUUGAUGUCAUGGUACAAGAGUUUUAGGCAUUGAGGUUAAAGCAAGAGCAACAUGGAAUUGAUUUCGGAGUCUUUCAGUUAGUGUAAAGGAGGAAGAAGUGGUGUUGAUUCUAGAAAUAGGGUUUUAAGUGGUGCGUGAUUACUACUCAAAAAGUGCUAUUUGAUAGCCUUUAAUUAAUCCUUUUUAACACUUUUGAGUAGUAGUUUAGGCCUUUUAACUCAAUUGGCAUGUUAAGGAUCCUUUAAAGCAAUUUUGAUCACUUUGUGCAAGUUUUGGUGUUUUUGUUAGUAUUUUGAUCACCAAAGCAAGUCAAGAAUGAGGAGAACUAUGAGGAAUCAUGGGCAAAGCUUAGAAUUCAAUUGCCAAGAGUGAAUCCGGAUUGCAAGGAGAAAAAGCAAAGAGAAUCUGUCAUGAAGCCUAUUCUUGAUGACAGUCGUAGCAGCCACUUUUGGAGCACUUUCUGAAGUCCAAAUGAUGCAAGCUAUAUACCAUUUCAAAGAUCAGGAAGUCAACAAUCCAAUGCUUCAAACGGUGCGCGAUUCGGAGUUGAAACGAAGAAGUUGCAGCCAUUACAAGCCAGUCACUCUAAAGUGUUGCGGAAUCAGCCUUUUGUUGCGAGAAUUUCGCAGCACUUUUGUACAGUAAGGUGUUUCUCCUUCUGACGAUGCACGAACCAUGCCGCGAGAGGGAAGCUAGGAACUUCAAGAUGGAAGCCAACUUUGCAGCCUGGUGAAGAUAGCUUGGUCUUGCGAAAUAAUUUCGCAGCCCUCUUGGGUGUCUGCGAAAUUUCGCAGGCACCACUUUUUUCCUGCGAAAUGGCUCCGGAAGCCUCCCGAAGCUUGCUACCGACAUUGGGAGAUAUUUUCCAUUAGAUUUUUGUUGUCUAAAUUCCAAAAUACUCCUUGUAAACCACCAAUUACAUGAUUCCUUAGUUUUUAAGUUAGUAAAAAGACCAAAUAUCUAUGUAAUAAUUAGUUUUAUAUUAGUUUGCUAUAAAUACCUCUCGGGAGCAUGUUCUCAGAGAGGAGUUCCUUCUGUAACCAUUUUGGUAAGCAAGUAAAGUCUUUUCUUUCUACUGCCUUACCUUCUCACUUUGUAUUUUCAUUUUAUUUCUAAGUUAUGAAUUCUCUGAGGAGCUUUCCCCAGAGAAUGAGUAACUAAACCUCCAAUUCCUUGGAGCUAAGGUUGCCGGGGAAGGUUCCAAGUGCAAGAAUGCAAAGCUCUGUGGUUUUAGCUAGUAAUGAAGAGGAAGUGAAAUCCUUUAGUGAUUUCAAUGUUUUUAGUUAACUUAAAACACCUUGGAGUCACCUGGGCCAACACUUGGUAAGGCAAGUGAUUUCCAACCGUGGAAAUGCACUAGUUUACCCCUUGCGAGCCUCUGGUAGGUGACUUCAAGGUAGGAUUUUCUGGAAUUACCAACACUUGGUAAGCUUUUGGACUCCUAGGAGACAUCCAUUAGUUAUCUCUUGCGAGUUUGUGAAGGGGAAUCCAAGGUUAAAGAUCACCUUGAAUGGUAAGUGCUCGUGAGAGGCAUGAACCAUUGCAAGUUGUAUCAGUGAGAGAAUUAAAGUGAAAUCUAAUUGAAGGAGUCUCUGUACAUCACCGGUUAGAGAAUUGACUAUAAGUUGAAUCUCUAAUGCGAGGAAAUGAACCAUCUGACCGGAGCUAUGUCUUUUGCAUGAGGAACCACCCCAGUGAACCUAAAUCUCCAAGGAAUGCUUUUCUUCCUAAAUUAUUCCAAACUUCUGUUAAGUUAGUUAGUUUAAGUCUAAACCUUUACCAAUCAAACUUUGUGUUUUAUUUCUUAAGCUAACCGUGAAAUGAAACAAAACCAAUUCACUUGGAAUUGGUAUCCUUGAUUGCUUGCAAAUCAUUCCCAGUGAACGAUCCUUAGAGCCACUAUACUAUAGUAGCUUUGUAUUUGCUACCCUAGUGUAUGGUGUUAUAGGUAUAAAUUUUGUUGAUCACUUCCUCAAUCAAGGAACACCAGCUGAACACAAAUCAGCUGAGACACCAAUUGGGCAUGAGUCAAAUGGCGCCGUUGCCGGGGAAUGAGUGUCAAGAUCAUUGUGAUACCAUUUUUGAGCACUUGUGAUUUUCAUCACAAGUUGGUAAAGUUUCUUUCACUUUACUAAUUUUCAUUCUCUCUUUGUUUAUUUACAAUCUAAGUUUAUCUUUUUAAAAUUUAGUCUAGUUUAAUUUUGCUAUUGUAGCCUUGUUUCUCUUGUUGUCCUCUGUUCUUGUUGUCCUCUGUUUUCAUUUUAGUUGCAGCUGAAUACUAGUUGUGUAUGCCAAAGUGGAUACGAGACAUUGGAGGUAGGCUUAUUAAGUGUGAUACACCUCAGAGAGGAGAAUUGGAAGUAAUCUUGAAUAUCAUGGAGGCUGCACCUGAAGAUCAGCAUAGUCACCAAGGUCGUCAAGACAAUCUCAAUGAAUUCAGAUCAAUGAGGGACCGUAUGCAUCCACCUCGUAUGAGUGCACCAUCAUGUAUAGUGCCCCCUACAGAGCAACUAGUGAUCAGACCAUAUCUUGUUCCACUUCUACCAACUUUCCAUGGGAUGGAAAGUGAGAAUCCGUAUGCACACAUCAAGGAAUUUGAAGAUGUUUGUAAUACAUUCCAAGAGGGAGGAGCUUCAAUUGAUUUGAUGAGGCUUAAGUUAUUUCCUUUUAAUUUAAAGGAUAAGGCCAAAAUUUGGCUUAAUUCUUUAAGGCCAAGGAGUAUCCGCUCUUGGACUGAUUUACAAGCUGAAUUCCUCAAGAAAUUUUUUCCUACUCAUAGAACAAAUGGCUUGAAAAGGCAAAUUUCAAACUUCUCAGCUAAAGAGAAUGAGAAAUUCUAUGAGUGUUGGGAAAGAUACAUGGAAGCUAUAAAUGCUUGUCCUCACCAUGGCUUUGAUACUUGGCUACUGGUGAGUUAUUUUUAUGAUGGUAUGUCCUCCUCAAUGAAGCAACUCCUCGAGAAAAUGUGUGGAGAAGAUUUCAUGAGCAAAAAUCCAGAGGAAGCUAUGGAUUUCUUGAGCUAUGUAGCUGAUGUUUCAAGGGGAUGGGAUGAACCAACUAAAGGAGAAGUGGGAAAGAUGAAGUCUCAGUUGAAUGCUUACAAUGCAAAGGCUGGGAUGUAUACUUUAAAAGAGGAUGAUGACAUGAAAGCAAAGUUGGCAGCUAUGACAAGAAGAUUGGAGGAGCUGGAGCUGAAAAGAAUGCAUGAAGUGCAAGCUGUUGCUGAAGCACCAGUGCAAGUGAAGUUGUGUCCCAAUUGUCAAUCGUUUGAACAUUUGGUAGAGGAAUGCCCUGCAAUUUCAGCUGAAAGGGAAAUGUAUAGAGAUCAAGCAAAUGUUGUUGGACAAUUCAGGCCCAAUAACAAUGCUCCUUAUGGAAAUACCUACAAUUCAAGUUGGAGGAAUCAUCCAAAUUUUUCAUGGAAGGCCAGAGCAACUCAAUACCAACAGCCGGAUCCACCAUCUCAACAAUCUUCAAGUAUUGAACAAAUAAUAGCUAAUCUCAGCAAGGUAGUGGGAGAUUUUGUGGGAAAGCAAGAAGCCACCAAUGCUCGAGUGGAUCAAAGAAUGGACAGAGUGGAUCAAAGAAUGGACAGAAUGGAGAGUAUGUUGAACAAAAGAAUGGAUGGAAUGCAAAAUGAUAUGAAUCAAAAAUUUGAUAACAUCCAAUAUUCAAUUUCAAGGCUUACAAAUUUGAAUACACUGCAAGAAAAGGGAAGAUUUCCUUCUCAACCUAACCAAAAUCCCAAAGGUGUCCAUGAAGUGGAAAGCCAUGAGGGAGAAUCAUCACAGGUGAAAGAUGUGAAAGCUUUGAUCACUCUAAGGAGUGGUAAGAAAAUUGAGCAGCCAACACCCAAGCCACAUGUUGAGAAAGAAGAAGAGAUGAAGAAAGGGAAGGAAAUGGAAGAUAAAGGCAGUGAGAUCAGUGAAGAAAAGAAGGACUCUGAUGCAACAAUGAAAGUAAUUCCAGAGAAGGAGCUUCUGAAGGAAGAAAUGCUGAAGAAAUCAACUUUUCCACCUUUUCCUCAAGCAUUACAGGGGAAAAAGGGGGUUAGAAAUGCAGCUGAAAUCCUAGAAGUAUUGAGGCAAGUGAAAGUUAAUAUUCCACUGCUGGAUAUGAUCAAACAAGUUCCAACGUAUGCAAAAUUCCUAAAGGACUUGUGUACUAUCAAAAGAGGGUUGACUGUAAACAAGAAAGCCUUCUUGACUGAGCAAGUAAGUGCAAUCUUACAGUGUAAGUCUCCUUUGAAGUACAAAGACCCUGGAAGUCCUACCAUUUCAGUCAUGAUUGGAGGAAAGGUAGUGGAGAAAGCCUUGCUAGACUUGGGAGCAAGUGUGAAUUUGCUUCCAUAUUCUGUCUACAAGCAACUGGGACUUGGAGAGUUGAAGCCAACAGCAAUCACUUUGUCUCUGGCAGAUAGAUCAGUGAAAAUUCCAAGAGGGGUAAUUGAGGAUGUAUUGGUUCAAGUAGAUAAUUUCUACUAUCCUGUAGAUUUUGUUGUUCUUGAUACAGAUCCUACUGUAAAGGAAGCUAAUUUAGUUCCUAUCAUCCUUGGAAGGCCAUUUCUUGCAACUUCAAAUGCAAUCAUCAACUGUAGAAAUGGGCUUAUGCAACUCACUUUUGGUAACAUGACACUGGAUCUAAAUAUUUUCUAUAUGUCUAAAAAGCAAAUCACUCCAGAAGAAGAAGAGGGUCCAGAAGAGCUAUGUAUUAUUGAUACUUUGGUGGAGGAGCACUGCAAUCAACAUAUGCAAGAUAAGUUGAAUGAAAGUUUUGUGGAUAUUGAGGAAGGUUUUUCUGAAUCUCCUAAUGGGCUUGCUACUCUACAAAGUUGGAGAAAGAUAGAAGGAAUUCUACCUUUGUUCAAUGAAGAAGAGGAGGCAGCUGUUGAAAAAGAAAUUCCAAAACUCAAUCUGAAGCCUUUACCUAUGGAGCUGAAAUAUACAUAUCUUGAAGAAAAUAAUCAAUGUCCUGUCGUAAUAUCUUCAUCUCAAACCAAGUCUCAAGUGAAGGAUGCAAGCUUCAAAUGGGAUCCGGGCAAACUGAAUCAGGAAGGGCAAAAAGUUUUGAUGUAUGACACAAGACUCCAUAUCUUUCCUGGGAAGCUCAAGUCAAGGUGGAUUGGUCCAUUUGUUAUUCACCGAGUAUAUUCCAAUGGAGUGGUGGACUUAUUGAAUUCCAAUGGCAAGGACAGCUUUAGAGUCAAUGGAUAUCGUCUUAAGCCGUUCAUGGAGUCAUUCAAAUCAGAAAAGGAGGCAAUCAACCUCCUUGAACCUCAAAAAGCCUAAGUGAAAUGGGUUUGCUGGACGUGGUUUUACCACAGUCCAAAAAUUUUUGUAAAUUUUGUAAAUUUUCAAGUUGUUUCCAUGCUUUUAAUCUUAGUUUUUGAUUUUAAAUCAUGUUUUUAGGUGUGUUUUAAUCGUUUUAUAUGAUCCCAGGCGGAAGAAAUUUCAAGGGGAUUGAAAAGAAAAAAAUCGGGUCGAAAUUGGAGCCGAAACAGAGCAAAAACAGGGGAAAAACAGAGCUCUGCGAAAUUUCGCAGGGUGAAGGAAACUUCUGCGAAAUUGGCAUUUUGCUGCCAAACCAUUCCGCAGCACUGUAGAAGCCUCUGCGAGUGUAUUUCGCAAUUGCGAAAGUGGAUUUGGCACACGAGUGCCACUUCGCAGCACAGUGACAUCAAUUUCGCAGCUGCGAAACUCACUGCGAAGUUGCUGCGAAAAUGGCAAGUUGCUGCGAAAUUGGCGUUUUGUUGCGAAACGUAAUCUGACCCCUGGGCUUCCGUUUUUCCUAUUUAUACCUGUCAAAAGUGCUGCGAAAAAGGUUUCAAAAAUUAGAGCACCAUUCUCGCAGCCCUUUCAUCUUCUUCGCCAAGCCACGCCGUCCGUUUCUCCGGUCGUCUUCUCCGUUUAGCAGCGCCGGCCAAAGAUCGAUAGCCCAAAAAUGGCACGAACGCGAGGGGCAAAGUCUUCAUCCCCUUCGAACCGCAAAAGGAGUCUGCGAAAGGAGCCAAGUUCAGGCUCUGUUCCAGAACCUGCUCCAAAGCCUUCGCCGUCGAGACCACAACCUUCUCCAGUGAAGCCGGCGCCACCAAAGCCGCCGGCAAGGCGAUAUUUAACCAGGUCAGGUGGUCAGCCAUUGAAGAAGAAAGCCAGAGUUGAGAGCUCUGAACCAAUCGAUUUGACUGAGCAAUCCCCUGAGAAAUCACCAAAUCCUUCACCGGUACAAAUUCCAGUGCCAUCACCGGUUCCCUCGCCAAUUCCCUCACCAGAAGCAACUCCAAUUCCAUCGCCGGUACCAUCUCCGGCACCCCAAGAAAAAGCUCAGGAGCCUCAAGCGCCAAUUCCAGAGCCCCAAAUUGCAGCUGAAGCACCUCUGGAAGAAGUGAUCCGAAGGCCAAUGCUGCCUCAGCCCCCAAUCGAAGGAAACCUGGAUUGCCGAACUCGGGCAUUCCAUUCUGAGCUUUGCUUCGAUUUAACAGCAUUCAGAGUGAGGCCAGAGCUUGCCCAAUCCUUCCAACUGCUGAGGAGAUAUCAUAUGGAGCAUCUGCUAGCUCCAAGGGAUUUUUUCUAUCCCCGGGUAGUCACGGAUUUCUACCAAACCAUGACAACCAAAGAAGUAAGAAAUCCAACUCUGAUUCAUUUCAUAAUUGAUGGAAGGCAUGGUAUUUUGGGAGCAAGACAUAUUGCUGAAGCCCUGCAAAUUCCUUUUGAGCCAACUCAAUUCGACAAUUUUAAAGCUUGGACAAAUCCUACUGAGUUAGAGAUGGUUAGCACACUAACCAGAGGAGCUGCAAAUCGAUCGCAUUUGUUGAGGGGGGAGCUACCUCCAGUUAUGUUUUUGAUUGAUGCCUUUUUGAGGCAUAAUAUCUAUCCCCUGCAGCAUUGGACCCAAAGAAGGGGAAUUCUCCUAGAAGCCUUGUACAAAAUGUCUGAAGGAUUCUUCUUUGGGCCUCAUCAUCUGAUCAUGGCAGCCCUUCUAUACUUUGAGGAGAAGGUUCACAAGAAGAAGCUUCAAAGAGCAGAUUGCAUUCCACUCCUCUUCCCAAGGCUGCUAUGCCAAGUUUUGGAGCAUCUCGGAUACCCCUCUGAGCCUCAGCAGGAAAGAAAGAGAAUAUGCCGUGAGCCUUUUACCCUUGAUAAAUGGAAUAAUAUGACGGCCUACAAAAUUGAUCAGCCUGGGCAGCCUCAGCCAGCAGCAAGGAGAGUCUCCCCAAGACAUAUACCUGAAGGUAUAACACUUGCUACUCCUGCCAUCCCUCGAGCUCCACCAGCUGCACCUGCUCCAUCACAGCCAUCCACAUCAGCUGAGCCGAGGAUGGCCAUCCCUAUAUCCGAAUAUCGAGAGCUGUGCCGUGCAUUGGAGACUCUUACAGCUUCUCAGAGCAAUCUUGCUCAGGAGUUGGCAGCCAUUAAAGCAUGCCAGGAGCAGAUGUUAGCCUCUCAGACUCAACAAGCUGCCAUCCUAAGGCAGCUUCAAGUCCAUUUCGAUCUGCCACAAGCUGUAGAGCCCUCUAUUCCUACUCCACCAGAGCCACACUCUCAGCCUUCAGAGUCUCAUCCUCCAGAACCCGAAGCACCAGCUGAUCCACCUACUGAGGAGGCAGAUCCUUCUGCCUAGCACCAUCACCCCCCUCAUCAGACAUUAUAUAUAUAUUUGCUGUUUAUGUUUUUAUGCAUGUUUGUUUUGUUUUAGUUGAAAAGAAAUCCCAGUAUUUUGGUACUAUAUAUGGGAUUCCUUGUGUUACUUGUCUUUAGUAUUGUAAUCACAUGAACUCAAAGUAAUACAAGUUGACUAUUUCUUGUUAAAAGUUAGCAUUAAAGUUUCCUUAUUUCCUUUUCUCACAUAUUCUAUUCUUUUUGAAACAUGUGGUUUUCCCCAAUCAAUAUUCGAAUUUGAUAUCAGCAUGGAGGUACCACUUCCUCCCUUUUAUUACAGUCACUCAAAUCACAUUGAGGACAAUGCUCAGUUCGGUUGGGGGGUAUGAGGAAGGAAGUAUUCUAAACCUUUUUGGUAUUGCAAUUAUAUUGGUUAAUUAGUUGUAGAUUUUACUUUUUACUAGUGUUACUCUAUUCUCCAUGAAUUUUGAGGAAAAAUUUUCAAAUUAAACCAAGAGAAAUUGAACUGUUGUUUUUCACUUGACUUAGAGUAUGGAUUAUGCUUACUAAAGUGGUUCAAUUGUUGAAACUUCUACUGAAAUUGAAUUGAGUUCUUCCACUUUAAGCUAUCCACACACUGUGCACAUUAGUUUCCGAUUAUAAGAUGAAAAGCUAUUUCCCUCUUGACUUAGUAUAUUUUUGGGACUUGGUAUAUUUGACCUCAUUUGAUAAAAAUUGAAACACCCUGCAAAAGGCCAAUGAGCCUUUGAAAUAAAGAAAGUUGUUUGCUUGCCUUGAAACCCGAGCAAGGUCUGAGGGGUAUAUGGUGAAAAUCUUUAAAGCCUGGUGCCCUAAGCCUUAAUUGGUUGGGAGUCACCGACCUCAAUGCUCGUUACAAGGGUGAAUAGGUAGAGUUAGCAUAUGGUAGAUGCUUGGGUAUUAGAAAUUCAUUCUUAAAAGUCCGGGGAAAAAUCCGAGGAGUUAGUGGUUGAAAGAUCCUUAAAACUUGGUGCCCUAAACCUUAAUUGGUUGGGAGUCAUCGAUGGACCCCCAUUACAUGGACAAGUCAGAAAGAGUACCCCAUAAAGCUACCUUAAAAAAAAAAAAAAAAAAAAAAAAAAAAAAAAAGAUGAAAGUGUGUUCUUUUCUUAUUGAUUUUGGUCAGUUUGCUAAAGUGUUGAAAAGAGAUAGGUUGGGGGGUGAGAUUAGUAGCAUAUUAUUCUCGGAACCUAAGGAACCAAUACACAUAGAUUUUUGUGGAAGAUUGAAGUUUAGUUCUUAGAAAAUGAAAUGAUUUUAAAACUUCAGUUUGCAUAAUGCACUCCCUUGAUUGACAGUGUUUAGCAUAGGUGUUAUGACUCUUGUUGAGAUUUGGGUUUGUAUUUCUUUAAUGAUUCAUGUGAGAAAUAGAUCAUCAUGCCACUUGAGAAUUAUUUUCCUUUUAGCAUGAUGUUGUAAAUUUUAGAUUAGUUUGCUAUUUAUUUUUUAUUUUCUCUCCUAUAUUGCUAAGGGACUAGCAAUAUGUCGGUUGGGGGGAGUGAUUACUACUCAAAAAGUGCUAUUUGAUAGCCUUUAAUUAAUCCUUUUUAACACUUUUGAGUAGUAGUUUAGGCCUUUUAACUCAAUUGGCAUGUUAAGGAUCCUUUAAAGCAAUUUUGAUCACUUUGUGCAAGUUUUGGUGUUUUUGUUAGUAUUUUGAUCACCAAAGCAAGUCAAGAAUGAGGAGAACUAUGAGGAAUCAUGGGCAAAGCUUAGAAUUCAAUUGCCAAGAGUGAAUCCGGAUUGCAAGGAGAAAAAGCAAAGAGAAUCUGUCAUGAAGCCUAUUCUUGAUGACAGUCGUAGCAGCCACUUUUGGAGCACUUUCUGAAGUCCAAAUGAUGCAAGCUAUAUACCAUUUCAAAGCUCAGGAAGUCAACAAUCCAAUGCUUCAAACGGUGCGCGAUUCGGAGUUGAAACGAAGAAGUUGCAGCCAUUACAAGCCAGUCACUCUAAAGUGUUGCGGAAUCAGCCUUUUGUUGCGAGAAUUUCGCAGCACUUUUGUACAGUAAGGUGUUUCUCCUUCUGACGAUGCACGAACCAUGCCGCGAGAGGGAAGCUAGGAACUUCAAGAUGGAAGCCAACUUUGCAGCCUGGUGAAGAUAGCUUGGUCUUGCGAAAUAAUUUCGCAGCCCUCUUGGGUGUCUGCGAAAUUUCGCAGGCACCACUUUUUUCCUGCGAAAUGGCUCCGGAAGCCUCCCGAAGCUUGCUACCGACAUUGGGAGAUAUUUUCCAUUAGAUUUUUGUUGUCUAAAUUCCAAAAUACUCCUUGUAAACCACCAAUUACAUGAUUCCUUAGUUUUUAAGUUAGUAAAAAGACCAAAUAUCUAUGUAAUAAUUAGUUUUAUAUUAGUUUGCUAUAAAUACCUCUCGGGAGCAUGUUCUCAGAGAGGAGUUCCUUCUGUAACCAUUUUGGUAAGCAAGUAAAGUCUUUUCUUUCUACUGCCUUACCUUCUCACUUUGUAUUUUCAUUUUAUUUCUAAGUUAUGAAUUCUCUGAGGAGCUUUCCCCAGAGAAUGAGUAACUAAACCUCCAAUUCCUUGGAGCUAAGGUUGCCGGGGAAGGUUCCAAGUGCAAGAAUGCAAAGCUCUGUGGUUUUAGCUAGUAAUGAAGAGGAAGUGAAAUCCUUUAGUGAUUUCAAUGUUUUUAGUUAACUUAAAACACCUUGGAGUCACCUGGGCCAACACUUGGUAAGGCAAGUGAUUUCCAACCGUGGAAAUGCACUAGUUUACCCCUUGCGAGCCUCUGGUAGGUGACUUCAAGGUAGGAUUUUCUGGAAUUACCAACACUUGGUAAGCUUUUGGACUCCUAGGAGACAUCCAUUAGUUAUCUCUUGCGAGUUUGUGAAGGGGAAUCCAAGGUUAAAGAUCACCUUGAAUGGUAAGUGCUCGUGAGAGGCAUGAACCAUUGCAAGUUGUAUCAGUGAGAGAAUUAAAGUGAAAUCUAAUUGAAGGAGUCUCUGUACAUCACCGGUUAGAGAAUUGACUAUAAGUUGAAUCUCUAAUGCGAGGAAAUGAACCAUCUGACCGGAGCUAUGUCUUUUGCAUGAGGAACCACCCCAGUGAACCUAAAUCUCCAAGGAAUGCUUUUCUUCCUAAAUUAUUCCAAACUUCUGUUAAGUUAGUUAGUUUAAGUCUAAACCUUUACCAAUCAAACUUUGUGUUUUAUUCCUUAAGCUAACCGUGAAAUGAAACAAAACCAAUUCACUUGGAAUUGGUAUCCUUGAUUGCUUGCAAAUCAUUCCCAGUGAACGAUCCUUAGAGCCACUAUACUAUAGUAGCUUUGUAUUUGCUACCCUAGUGUAUGGUGUUAUAGGUAUAAAUUUUGUUGAUCACUUCCUCAAUCAAGGAACACCAGCUGAACACAAAUCAGCUGAGACACCAAUUGGGCAUGAGUCAGUGCGUUAGAGGAUCAAGAAGAAGAAAAAGAAGGAACUGUUGGAAUUAGUAUGAGUGUGAAGAGAAAAGUAUAUAAAUAAGGGGAAGUAAAAGCAAAGUUCAAAAAGCUAUAUUUUUUUAUUGUUGGUGUAUGGUUGCAUGAUUAUCCCUAUAAAUAAUAGGAGUUUUUUGGUAUUCUACUAGUAGUUGAAGCAUAAUUUCAUAAAUUAAUAUUUAGAGCGGGGUGGGGUGAGUUGUGACAAAAUUCAUACCCGUCCCAAACCUUGGUUCAGAUUUUUAAAAUAUUCUCAAACUUAUCAUAUACCCAACUUUUAUAUUUCAUACUUGUCCUAAUAGAGGCACGUUAGGCCGGGUUACUUGAGUAACCUACAUAAUUGUCAUCCCUAGUUGAAAUACACUUUUUGGCAGUGGCCACCAACUGAGCUAGAAGCUUGAUUGAUUGACCUACAAGAUUAGUUCUCAUCAUUUUAAAAAAAGUUCUGGCUUUGGUUGUGAGUGCAAUUGAAUCUAAACUGGCAUUUGCUUAAUGCAUCUACUUCAAUCCUAAACUUCUUACUUCUUAAGCCUCAAUUGUUGUUAGGAUUUUGGAAAACCCAUUUCCUUAAAUUGUAAAUUUAAGAUAAAAUAAAAUAAAAGUGAGACAUUUCUUGAUUGAAUAUUGUUAAAGGUCCCUUGGCAUUAAGACUUGGUUGAAGCCUUGGAAGAUUAGUGGAACUCUCAACAUGUGUUUGAAUCUUGAGGAGAGUGGAUGUAAGCCAAAAUUUUGUCAAACCAUUAUACAAAUUGAGUUUGAAUCCUCAUUUCUUGAUUUCUUAUUUAUUUGCUUUUUCUUAUUAUUACUUGAAUUGUCAUUUGCAUUCAUUAAUGUUAAAAUUGGUUAUAAUUAACCAACACUAAUUCUCUUUCCCCUUCCCUUUCUUGGGUGUAAACCUAGGUUGGAUUAACUAGAUAAAUCUAUUAAGAUGGUAAAAGAAUAAUUAUUCUUAACAUACAUAAGAUCAUCUUCAAUCAAAUGACUCAUUGGCUAAUAUGUUGAAUUUGCUUAUUACUUGCAACUCAAAAUUGUGUUCUAGUUGUGUCAAGUCCCCAGUGUAUGGACAUUAAAUUUGUAGUACGUGAUGAGUAAUUAGAUGGUCCAACUCCAAGAAAGUGAUUGAAAAGUAGUUCAAGAAAGGUGCAAAAGGGAAUUGUUUUGGUAUUUUCGUUUUUAUUCUUGAAGGUGGCAGAGCUAAAAUUUGAGAAAUCAAGCAAAACAUACUGAAAUUACAUUGAAAGAAAGAAGAUGGGAGUUAAUGUCUUGCAGUACAUGAUAAGGACUUCAUGCAUGUAGUGUGACCCAUGUCUUGGACUGAUGCCAACUCACGGUUACACUUAUACCCUUGGUUCUCUCUUUACUACCUUGGCUAACCUAGAUCAGGCUAUGAGAUAGGCUCCUCACCACACCAUUACUUGCCCAUUAAUUAGAGACAUUUUCAAGCAAUGAGGUAACAUGGUGACACCAAGAGGGUCUAUUCCUCGCCCGGAACAAGUCUAGACUUGGUCUCAAAAAAAUGGAGAAAAAUGAGGUGUCGUUAUGUAGAAAUACAACAACCAUGCCUUCCUCAUUACUUAGAUUCAGAAUGUGAAGGUGAAAUUGAGAAACAGAAACUCUUGAAACCAAAAUGAAAAUUGAUACUUUUACGAAGAAUUACAACAACAUUAGAGGAAGACUACAUUCUUCCUCUUUAUUCCUACAUUUCUACACUACUUCUACUCCACUCCAUAUUUCUACAUACAUCUUUAAUCAGUCUUCCCUCCUUUAUAUAGAGCCAUCUUCACACAAAUUUCGCAAGGUAGAAAAGAGGAAUGAAACUUGGAGCAAGGUUCGACUACUGGUUGUAGCUUGUCAAGGCUGGAAGUGAACUUUUCUUGGCUUUCUGGGCAUGGGUAGUAACUUGUGGGUUCCUGUUUGGCAUAAAAAUGGCUAGAACAUGUGGCACUAUCUUGUUGGAUGAUGUGUCAAGCAUGUGGCAGCCAUCUAGUGGCGAUUAUGUCAAUUUUGGGAUGGAGAGUUGGCAUCCAAUUGCAAAGAAAUAUGACGUCUACCAACAUGCAAUGUAAACCUAUGUAGAUCAUAUGAAGAUAGAGAGGAAAAAUAUAGAAAUGGAUAUAUACCUAGAACUAGCUUUUUAUUAAAUGAAACGGAGAGACAACAAUGAAGGAAAAUAAAAUUUUUUGGCUUAUAUCAAAGAGUUCACAUUGUGUUACCCUAGGUUUUCUUAAAACUUACUUUUAUGAUAACAAAAAAGAAAAAACCAUUAUUGUUUAAUCCUUUGUUUUAAACGCAUGUAAGGUGUAAUUAAGUUAGUUCAAUGCAUUAAUUUAAGAAACUUGACCUAUCAAAAGUACAAAAUUAGAUGAAAUCCAUUUCAAUGGUUAAAAUGAUCAAAAUCAAACUUUUUCUAAGUAUUUUUUAAAAGCAUCAAUAGUGAAAGACAAUUUUAUAUUUAGUCGGAGUUUGGACAAAACUGAAAAACACACAAAAUCCAAGCGACCAUCUCUAGCUUGGAUGGUCGCUUGAUCCCACCUAGAGAUGUGCAUGAGUAAAAGGAUUUGAAAAUGGAAAUUGACUAUGUAGUCGAUCAAUUAACUUUGCAACAUCAUAUGCAAUCCUAAUUGCUAGUCAUCUAAUCAAUUAGGUAGUCAAUCAACAGGCCAAAAAUAUGUUUAUAAUGACUAUUUUGUACAAAAACCACCUGUAUAGUUAAAUAUAAUGCAUUUCAUUUAUAAAUCUUCUAAUUCUUGAAUAACGAUCCUAUCAUCCUUUGAAAGUUUUUAUUACACUUUUUUUACUUUUGUUCUAAAACUUACACAUCACCCUUAAUUGUACCAUGAGAACCUAGCUAUUUUUUAUUUUUUUUUUUGUAAUUCAUCAAAGUUAGCUUUUGUAUUCAUUGUUGUAUUAUUUUUAGUAUAACUUAGAAAGCUAGUGUUUUCAAGUGAGUAAAAUUAACUUGUAAAUAUUGUAAAGAUUCAUCGACAUGUAUCUUAAACUAAGUGUACAAGUUAAAACAUUUGCUAGUAGAUUUUCUCAAAAUUUAGAAUAGAGCUUGAGACUAUUGAAAUAGGUGGGGUUGCACCAAACCACAUCACAUCGUUGUUUGCACCUUUUUUCACUCUCUUUUACUUAGUUGCUCUAUAUUUGUUGUCUAGUAAUAUCCUAUAGGCUUGAUGGGUUAGGGAGCAUCCCUUUGUGAAAAAAUUUUAUUCAAUCCUUAGUUGUAUCACGCAUAUAUAAAAUGCCUCAUUGUUUUAAUGGUAUUCAGUCGUGGCAUCACAGAUAUGGGCAUCUAAAUUUUAAAAGUUUGAAACUUUUAUCUAAAGAAAAUAUGGUGCUUUGCCUUUUUGUAAAGCAUGUUGAUGAAAUCCAUGAGAAUUGUGUACUUGGGAAGCAACACCGAGAUGACUUUUUUUUUUUUUUUAUAAUAUUGUUUGUCCAAAUUCCCUACAAAUUAGGCCACCAGAUGUUCAUAAUUCUCCCUUCUUGAAUUUGAAAACUCGGACAAUUGGACAAUGCGACACCUAAGUCCGGUUUCUAAAUGCUAAAGUGAAAGGGUAGGUAUGGACCAUUGAAAUGUGAUCACAACUUUUCUCUGUAGCCAUGUUGUCUCUUUUUUCUUUUGCAUGAUUUUCUUACCUUAACAGAAUCAUAGACUUGUUUAGUCUCUAAAUGGGAUUAAUUUCAUCCAGCUUUAAGCUACUAUAUUAUAUCUAGGUGGAGGACUUUUAAGAGUGCAACCGACAUAGAGCACAUGGAAGUGGGUAUAUGGGACAUGAAAUUUCUUCUUAUAAAGAUUGCAUGAUUUUUAUAUUAGAGUUGUUGAGGCGCUAUGUAUUUAGCUUGUUUUGCAGUUAAAUUAAUUGGAUAAGUAGACAUUGGCGUUUCUAAAUCUACUGUGAAGUGCUUCAUGUACGUGUGAAGUAUUAGAAAUUUCUUUCUUGGCAACUUGUUUUUCUUUGCGGUCUACUGAUAGGUUUGACUAAAAUUAUAUUCCCUGUCAUGCUAAUUAAUUUUCACGUGCAUGCUCAAAAGAAAAGUAUGACCUUAGUGCACCAAAAUCACUUUGAUUAAUUUGUGAUAGGUUUUUGUGCAUCAUGACAUUAGCCUUAUUCAUUUAGAUAAUGUUUAGUUUUUAGAAAGUAUUAAGAAAAGGAAAAUAAAUAUUAAGAAAAAUAUUCUUAUAUUUGAUUGUAUUAUGAAAAAUAUCAUAAAAAAAUCAAAUAUAAUUUAAAUUAAUUAAUAAUUUAUACAUUUUCAAAUUAUUUAAUCUUUAUAUUGAAGAUAUAAUAUAAAUGAAAUGAGUUUUAAGUAUUAUAUAAAAGUGAUUUAUUGAUCUUACAUAUAUAUAUUUCUUUUUUUUUUCCUUCUAUUUUUUCUCUUUAUUUUAUUUUCCUUAUGUUUUCCUCAACAUUUUCCGGAACCAAACAUAGCCUUAGGAAAUCCACAAUUACCUUCAACUGAGUAGAUUCUGUUGUUUUAGCAAUGUUAGGCUGCUAACUUGUGUUGGUACGAACCUAUUAAGCCUAAAGAUGUAAUUAGUUAGGAUAUUCUUUUCCCUCUAGUCUUGUAGCUCCACGUGUACAGUUGGUUAGGACCUCAUUGUAUAUAAUGCUUGCCCUGUUAUUGUAGAAGACAACAAAGAUAAAUAAUAUUAACAUUUUUCCUCUCAUCUCUCUCUGUUUCCCUCUGUUUUCAUCUCCUCUCUCAUCUUGGUAUCAGAGCCUCCAUGGCUUCUUUCAAAGAAACCUCCGAAUCACCUUCUGCUAGCAUUGUUAAUGUGCAAAACCCAUUAUCUCAAUCAAACAACCUUCCUUCACCAGUAGCCACACCCUCUUUUUCUUUCUCGUCUAUGAAUCAACCUCUCACAGUGAAGCUGGAUAAUGGGAACUACCUCAUAUGGAAGAAUUAGCUUCUAAAUGUCAUCAUUGCUAACGGACUCGAUGAUUUCAUUGACGGAUCUCGACCCUGCCCUCCUCGAUUUCUCGAUCUGCAACAACAAACCCUCAAUCCAGAGUACUCAGCUUGGCAGAGAUACAAUCGACUUCUGAUGAGUUGGCUGUACGCAUCCUUGUCCAAAGAUAUAAUGGCUCAGAUUGUUGGGUAUUCAACAGCUAUGGAGAUUUGGAAUGCCCUUAAUCAGAUUUACUCUGCCUCUUCUAUGGCGCGGUUUACUGAGCUUCGCACCAAGCUUCAAACGCUCAAGAAAGAUGGACUCUCAGUUGGUGAAUAUAUUCAAAGGCUCAAAUCCAUUUGCAAUAGUCUUGCAGCAAUAGGAGAACCAGUUUCUGAGAAAGACCAUCUUAUCUAUUUGUUCAAUGGAUUAGAUUGUGAGUAUUAUUCUUUUGUUACCUCCAUUCAAAAUCGAUCUGACCAACCAACUAUUGACAAAAUCCAUAGCCUAUUGCUUAGCUAUGACUUCCGGCUUGAACAACAAAACUCUGUUUCUCUCCAUUCUGCCCAAGUCCAUAUGGCUCAUCUGAACAAGAAACCUUAUAAAUCAACUCCUCAACCUACAUUCAAUCAUAUUCACAUUCAACCUAGAUACUCUUCUCCACCUUUUAAGCCAACCACUAGUCAAUAUCAACCCAACAUUUUGGGCAAACCACAACCACAACCAUGACAGCCUCAACCUCAAUGGAAACCACAUUUUUCAAUCUAAAAUCAAAAGCCUCAGCGCCAAAUUUGUGGUAAAUUUGGACACACUGCUCUUAUUUGCUUCCAUCACACAAAUUUGAACUAUUCACCCCAACCUUCUCCUAAAUCUUUCAAUACUGUUCUCACCACAAAUUCCCAGCUCCCUAAUCCUCCAAAAUUUUCUUACCCUACAAUGGCUCAUCCUGCUGCUACGCAUAACACGGUUCCCGAUACAAAUUGGUACAUGGACUCAGGUGCUACACAUCACUUUACUCUGGACAUCAACGUGCUUGACACUGUGACACCAUUUAGUGGUUCAGAACAGGUGACAGUUGGGAAUGGUAAGCAACUCUGUAUCUCACAUCUUGGUACUGCAAAACUACCAUCUUCGUAUUCUCCUCCUGUUCUACAUCAGGUAUAUCACACUCCAAAAAUUUCAAAUAAUCUUAUUAGUGUUAAAAAAUUGUGUUCUGAUAAUAAAGUUUUUGUUGAAUUUUAUGCCACUCAUUUUCUUGUCAAGGAUCAGGUUUCGAAGAGAGUUCUCCUUUAGGGUCAACUUGAUAAUGGCUUAUACAAAGUUCAGUCGUCAUGCUCUCCUUCUGCUGUUUCCUUUCCUCCUCAAGUUUUCAUAGCCAACAUCAAGUAUCCAAAUCUGUGGCACAAGAGACUAGGCCACCCAGCUUUAUCUGUUGUUAAUCAAAUCUUGGAUUCUUGUAACAUUGCUCGAACACAGAAAAUUUGUUUUAAUUUUUUAAAUUCUUGUCAAUUAGCAAAGAGCCACAGGCUUCCUUUUUCUCUGUCUCCAUCCAUUGCAGAAAAACCUUUUGAGUUAAUUCAUACAGACCUAUGGGGUCUUUCGCUCGUUCGCUCUAUUUCUGGUGCUCUUUAUUUUUUACUUUUCAUUGAUGAUCAUACUCGUUUUACUUGGUUUUAUUUGCUCAAAACAAAAGAUGAAGCAUAUCCUACUUUUCUCAAGUUUCAAGCUCUCAUUGAAAAUCAAUUUAAUACCAAGAUUAAGGCUGUCCAAUCUGAUUGGGGAGGUGAGUUUCGAUCUCUCUCCAUACCGUUUUCAAAUAUGGGCAUUGUCUAUUGUUUAUCGUGUCCAUACACCUCACAACAGAAUGGGCGAGUUGAGCGAAAAAAUCGCCAUGCGAUUGUCCUUUCUUGCUUGCUCUAUGCCCUUAUCUUAUUGGCCUUAUGCCUUUCAAACUGCCACUUACCUUAUUAAUCGUCUCUCUACCCCUGUGCUGCAUCAUCAAUCCUCUUACUUCGCACUCUAUCACAAACUCCCAACUUAUACUCAUCUUAAGGUCUUUGGUUCCUCUUGUUUUCCGUAUUUGCACCCUUAUAAUACCCAUAAACUCCAAUACAGGUCACUAGAGUGUGCUUUUCUUGGUUACAGUUCACACCACAAAGGUUAUCUAUGUCUUGACAUUCAUUCUAGCAGGGUGUAUAUUUCUCGCCAUGUGAUUUUUAAUGAAGAUUCUUUUCCAUUCAAGAAUUUGAAAUCUUCUCUCUCUCAGUCUAUUUCUUCUUCCUCUUCUUUAUAAGUUCCUCUGUUCAUUCUCUUGCCUCCCCUUUCCCCAUCUCCUCUUAUUUCUUCAUCUAUACCUCAUUCUUUUCCCUCUUCUUCUUCUACCUCUAGUACUUGUUCCCCUCUCGUUGCUCCUACCUCUCUUCCUUCCUCUUCACACUCUGUGUCUCCAUCUAUUCCACCUCCUUCUCCACCUUCUCCGAGUGUGGACCUGCUUGCACCUUGUGUGAAUACAAAUUUACAUACUUCUUCUCGCACUCACAAUAUUCAUCCUAUGGUGACUAGAUCUAAGGUUUGUAUCUAUAAACCUAAGUUGUUGUUGAGUGUCUCCAUAGGUUCUCUCACUAAGCCUACUUCCUUUCUUCAAGCUAUUAAAGAUCCUUCAUGGAAGCAAUCCAUGGAAUUCGAGUUUGCUACCCUUCAACACAACAAGACCUGGCAUUUGGUUCCUUCACCUUCCUCAGGCGAAGUAAUCGGUUGUAAAUGGGUCUAUAAGCUAAAGCUUCAGCCUGAUGGCUAAAUUGAGAGAUACAGCCUGCUUAGUAGCUAAGGGUAUCAUCAAAUUGAAGUAUGGACUACUUCGAAACAUUCAGCCUGAUNNNNNNNNNNNNNNNNNNNNNNNNNNNNNNNNNNNNNNNNNNNNNNNNNNNNNNNNNNNNNNNNNNNNNNNNNNNNNNNNNNNNNNNNNNNNNNNNNNNNAGCUUCAGCCUGAUGGCUAAAUUGAGAGAUACAAGGCCUGCUUAGUAGCUAAGGGUUAUCAUCAAAUUGAAGGUAUUGACUACUUCGAAACAUUCAGCCUGAUUGUCAAGCUUUCUACUAUCUGUAUUGUGCUCAGUCUUACUUUUUCCCAGAAUUGGUGUAUUAGACAGCUGGAUGUUCAUAAUGCCUUCUUACAUGGUGACUUAGCUAAAGACGUUUUCAUGGAACAACUGCCUGGAUUUGUUGAUCCUCUCUAUCCUACUCAUGUCUGCAAGUUGGAUAAGUCUCUCUACUGUCUUAAAUAGUCACCUCGGGCUUGGUAUACUAAGCUGAGUACUUCUCGCUACACUUGGGAUUUGUUACUUCUAAGAAUGACUCUUCCUUAUUUAUUUGUCAUUCGUCUCAUGGGUUACUUCUUGUUCUUGUCUAUGUGGAUGAUAUAAUCGUCAUUGGGAGCCACUCUCCUCAGGUUACUCACCUUAUCCAACAGUUGCAUCAUUAGCUUUCUUUAAAGGAUCUUGGUCCUUUACAUUAUUUUCUGGGCUUGGAGGUUCAUCACACCCCUACUGGUAUUCACCUCAGCCAAGCAAAGUAUAUCACUGAUCUCCUUACCCGGGCGGCUAUGUUGGAUGCCAAGCCAUGUCCCACUCCUAUGUCCUCCAACACAUAUCUCUCUUUUCAUGAUGGAGUGGCUCUUGAAAAUGGUUCAGAUUAUCGAAGUUUUGUUGGUGCCCUUUAGUAUUGUACCAUGACACGCCCAGAUAUAGCUUUUGCAAUAAAUAAAGUGUGUCAAUUCAUGCACCAUCCCUCUAAUGUUCACUGGCAGGCUAUAAAACGUAUUCUCCGGUACUUAAAGGGCACAUCUCAUUUUGGUCUCUUCCUACAGCCUUCCUAUGACUUCAACAUCACUUGCUAUACAAAUGCCGACUGGGCUUCCUGUCCUGAUGACAAGUGUAGCACCAGUGGCUACUGCCUCUUUCUUGCCUCUAAUCUGGUUUCUUGGUCAUCUUCCAAACAAAAAGUGGUCUCCCGCUCCAGCGCCGAAUCAGAGUACCGAGGGGUAGCAAAUGGGGCUGCUGAAAUUGCUUGGACUGAAUCUCUUCUUUGUGAACUUUCCAUUACUCCCCCUCCCCUCAUUCUCUGUGACAAUAUCAGUGCCACGUACUUAGCUGCCAAUCCUAUUUUGCAUGCCCGCACCAAACAUGUGGAAAUCGACUAUCACUUUGUCACGGAACGUGUUCUUCAAUGCUCUCUUUUUGUCCAGUUUACACCUUCUGAUGAUCAACUUGCUGAUUGCAUGACCAAGCCUCUCUCCACCCAACGUUUCAUCACUCUACGCUCCAAGCUCACUGUUCUCACUAGACCAAUGAGCUUGAGGGGGGAUGUUAAGCCUAAAGAUGUAAUUAGUUAGGAUAUUCUUUUCCCUCUAGUCUUGUAGCUCCACGUGUACAGUUGGUUAGGACCUCAUUGUAUAUAAUGCCUGCCCUGUUAUUGUAGAAGACAACAGAGAUAAAUAAUAUUAACAUUUUUCCUCUCAUCUCUCUCUCUGUUUCCCUCUGUUUUCAUCUCCUCUCUCAUCUGAACCAAAUGAUCCAUGUUAACCUUGGCUUGGUUUGAUUUGGCUCUAUCUUAGAGAGCUCAAGGAUCACGUCAACUCUGGUUUCUACUAUUCAGGUCCAUUCCCAUAUGAACUGGUUCAAAUUUGAGAAAAUGGUAACAGACCUUUAGUGAUGUUGGUUUGGAGCCAGUUGCCAAACCCGCCCUGAGCUUUACCACUAAUGUCAAGGGAGAAAGCCAUUUGAACAAAAACAAUAGCUUCAAGGGACUGAAUCGUGGAUGAAAUCUGAUCCACAUUUCUUCUCAUUUUGGAAACAAAUGAGAACUUAACUAAGAAGAUUCUACGGCCUCAUAGUGCUUUUCCUGAUCUAAGGUUGGUUCGUUUCCCAAACUGUGAGAUGCACGUGCCAGACUUCAGAACUCUCACGCUCAGGAGUGUAUCCACGUGGUGGACAUAAGAUGGUGGCUUAAGAUCUGGUGUCGGUGGCUUUACUUUACUAGGAGAGUAGUGUGUCUUCAUCUCAUUCACUGCCGGAGGGUGGCGUAAGCAGUGACGCUAAGGUGGGGCACAGUCAAUAUCAUUUGCAUUUGACCAUUAUAGUUUUCUCCCGGCUUUAAAGUAACCUUAUCGUGAUAAAGGAUUACUAGCACUAGUUCAGAUGAUAGUCAUGUUAAAUUCGGACCAUGUUUGUGUCACAUUAUCAGCAACCAUGUGUUUAUGGUUCAUGCUUUCUGCAACUAAAAUUGAUAUAUAACCAGGUGAACUUCAAUCUAAAUUCUGAAAGUACUCAUGUGAUAGAUGGUGCCCGUCUGCAGAGUCCAUCAAUUGAAAAAUGGAGUGAGUGUAUCUAUAAGAGGGAAGGCUUGGAAAAUGUUCAGUUUUCUGGGAAUUCAACAAGGAUCUAAAAUAGAUUGUUUUCUUUGCUGAUUUCAAUGGUUGAAAUUUGAGAAGAUUGUGUCCACAUAACACAACUAUUACUGGUCCUUCUGUUGCAAUUUAUCCUCUAAAGCUCUAGCAUGUCUUCCAAUUCCCACUUCCCUGUUACUCCAGGAAAGCUAUUUCUGUCAUUGUGAAGAAGAAAAGAGAAUGUACAUAUCGAUGCUUUUAAGUGACUGGAGCAUUUAUAUCAGGUGGUCUGCAGCCAUAUAUGCCACUUUGUGAAGAUUGGAACAGUCAAUCACUAGGCUAUAUAUUAGUGUGGCCCAGCCACUUUAAUCAAGGACAAGUCUUCAUACUUAAAGUCAAAUUCUGCCUUUAGUCUCAUUAUAAAUUUCUGUUUAAAUAUUAAGCAAACAUUUGUUUAAUGCGAUUAAGACAGUACUAACUCAAUACCUGUUCUAUUUUUGGAUGCAAAUGCUUGAUGGUUUCAUCAUUGGAUGGGAUAAAGGUGCAUUCAUGAUUAGGAAUACUAGUAGUUAUAUUUUAAUUCUCUUUUUUCUCAAUGAGACUUGUUGGCACAAUUUUGCUGUUGAGAAACCUACCUCUCCAUGGAAAAUAAGUUGUGAUUGAUAGUACUGGAUAUAUUCAAGAAAUCUAAAUAUAGAUAGCACAAAAUAUUAUCGACAUAAAUAGCAUUAACAGCGUACGUAUGUCUCAGUGCUCAUCAGCUAUAAGCAUGGGGCAAACACUUACUAUGAGCAACUUACGUCAAAAUUCCAGAAUAGGACAUAGAAGUGACAGAUAUAGAACAUUGCAUAUGAGUCACAAGAAAGGAAAUUACGGGUGCAUAGCAGCUCUUAUUUUACAUACUACUACUCAUACUGAUCAAAGUCACUCAGUUGGGAUGGGUGGGAGUAGGAGGUUUGUGGGGUGGCUUGUGCGGAGGAGUUGGCAGCUUCUUUCCAGGACCUGGUUGCUUCUCUGCUGGAGUUGAAGGAGGCUUAAUCUUCCGAGGUGGCUUGUAUGAGUCUUCAGCAUUCUCAGCUGGAGGGUGACCAGGGUUGUGACCAUAAUGUGGUGGCUUCUCUCCCUUAGGUGGUUUGCCAACUGGGGUUGGUGGCUUGUAUGAGUCUUCAGCAUUCUCAGCAGGAGGGUGACCAGGGUUGUGACCAUAAUGUGGUGGCUUCUCUCCCUUAGGUGGUUUGCCAACUGGGGUUGGUGGCUUGUGUUCUGGGAGUGGCUUCUCCCCCUUGGGAGGUUUUUCCAAUGGGGUUGGUUUGUGUUCAGGAGGUGGCUUCUCCACUGGAGGCUUGUGUUCAGGAGGUGGCUUCUCCACCGGAGGCUUGUGUUCAGGUGGUGGCUUCUCCACCGGAGGCUUAUGCUCUGGUGGUGGCUUCUCGAAUGGGGGAUGCUUAGGAUAAUCAGCAAGUGAGGGGGCGGUGAGAACCACCAGGCCAAGCAACACCACUAGCAAAUAUGUAGGAGACAUCUUUGGGUUUGGGCUCAGAUGGUGCAAAACUAGGAGAAUUGGCUAGCCUUUUAUAGCGGAUCGUACCCAAUAAUGAAAUGACACGUGUCAUUAUGACCCAUGUGUAAUGGGGUCGAUUUGGGUCCUACAGUGUUGAAAACUUCGACAUCCACUUUUGGCCUUUUGCUUUCUCUACAGCCGCCUUGCUUUUUCCCUCUUUCCUUUUGUUUUCCUCCUGCCCCAUUCUAUCAACUAAACACAAUUAUGUAGUUGUUUAAUUCUUAAAUGAGAUAUUAUCCGUCAAUCGUAUUAUAUUUUAUCAAGAGAGAACGGAGUGCAAUGUGGCUGUAAUUUUAUCGUUUAGUUUUAUCUCUUGGACCACUGCAUUUUUGUUAAGAGGUGCAAUAAUACACGUCUUUAUCUGCCAUUCAAUAUUUACAGUAAAGAGAGGGCACAAAACUCUUCACUUCGCACCAUAAUUAUUUUGUUUUCUGGACACCCCGGGGCCCUUUGGUUGGUUUGGGGGUCAGAAAGUGAACAUCAUAGGGGGUUUUUCCCUUAUGUGCAUUUGUAUCUGAUGGCUUUAACUCGCCUUGUUACUACAAAGAAACUGUCACAGAUAGGAACUUAUUCCAGGCUGAGUAUCUCCUCAUAGACCCUAUAAAAGAAGACAAGUCAUAAUGAACAUCUAACCUUUGUUCAAUUUGAUUCAAUGCCCCCAUUGUGUCCAUCUCACAAAUCUGAAUUAUUAUAUCCAUUGAAUACAUAAAUUAAUGAAGAAAAUAUGAAACCCAAGAUACAUCUCUGCACAACCUCAACCCUGGUUGCUAUGUUUCCCUUCUAUUCACAUGAUUUGAUGCUAAUUGCCAAACUUGCAACAAGCCCUGAGUUUGACACCUAGUAUCGAUGGGCGAAUUUAAAGUCUCCUCCAAACAUAUAUUCCACAGCUUGAAGCUCACAGAAGAUGUUACAGGCAGGGAAAAACCUUCAGAGUUCGCUACCAAAGAUAAUUAUUAAGGAGAUAUCACAAAGAGAAUUCCAAGGGGUCUGAAUCAAAGACAAAUUGGUCGUUCGUGGGGGUUCUUACUUUCUUUUGGGUAUAACUCACUGAGGGCACUGUCUUUGUUAUUUGCAUUUCACAUUUAGAGUUCUGUUCUGGAAACAUAUAAAAGGAGCAUCAUUUUGUUCUUGGGUAACCCAUAGUCGUGAGUGGGUCCAUUUGCAUGCUACUUAGUUGAAAAGUUGGACCAUUUGCUCCGACGCCUACCUCCCGGAUUCCAUGCUCGGAUAAAACAAGAAUAAAAAAAAUAUUUAUAAUUUACAAAUGGGGGAAAGAAAAAAAUGUCAACAACAAACCAGGAAAAAAGAGUAGUAAAAUUCAUGUCACAUGCUAGUGAGAGAAGGGGUUGUUACACUCACUCGAAGUUCUUUCCAAAAUAUCGCAUGGUAUUUUAUUUUAUGUGUCAGCGCAGUUGUGAAUGGAACGUGCAAAAGUCCAAAUUGGCGUUUUUCCUUUUCCCGUGUAGGAUGGCGACCUUUAAUAAAUAUUUAAAACAAAAAACGAAAAAAAGGAGGGAAAAGGGAUCAGAAAAGAUAAAACAAUGUGUACAAGAGCUCAAUUAGUUUGCAAAUUACUGUUUGGAUUUUGAUAGUAUUUUAUUUGUCCAUCUAUAUUUGAUGGAAAAGAGAAUUUAAGAUAUUUCUGAAACAAAAGCAUUAGUGUAAAACUAAAUUAAGGUAUAAUUAAGUUAGUUCAAUGCAUUAAUUUAAGAAACUUGAUCUAUCCAAAGUACAAAAUUAGAUGAAAUCCAUUUCAAUGGUUAAAAUGAUCAAAAUCAAACUUUUUCUAAGUAUUUUUUAAAAGCAUCAAUAUUAAAAGACAAUUUUAUAUUUAGUCGGAGUUUGGACAAAACCAAAAAGCACACAAAAUCCAAGCGACCAUCUCUAGCUUGGAUAGUCACUUGAUCCCACCUAGAGAUGUGCAUGAGUAAAAGGAUUUGAAAAUGGAAAUUGACUAAAUAUUUAGUUGAUCAAUUAAAUUUGCAAUGUCAUAUGCAAUCCUAAUAGCUAGUCAUCUAAUCAAUUAGGUAGUCAAUCAAGUGUUUGUAAUGACUAUUUUGUACAAAAAACCACAUGUAUAGUUAAAUAUAAUGCAUUUCAUUUAUAAAUCUUCUAAUUCUUGAAUAACGAUCCUAUCAUCCUUUGAAAAUUUUUAUUACACCUUUUUUACUUUUGUUCUAAAACUUACAUAUCACCCUUAAUUGUACCAUGAGAACCUAGCUAUUUUUUUUUUUUUUGUAAUUCAUCAAAGUUAGCUUUUGUAUUCAUUGUUGUAUUAUUUUUAGUAUAACUUAGAAAGCUAGUGUUUUCAAGUGAGUAAAAUUAACUUGUAAAUAUUGUAAAGAUUCAUUGAUAUGUAUCUUAAACUAAGUGUACAAAUUAAAACAUUUGCUAGUAGAUUUUCUCAAAAUUUAGAAUAGAGCUUGAGGCUAUUGAAAUAGGUGGGGUUACACCAAACCACAUCACAUCGUUGUUUGCACCUUUUUUCACUCUCUUUUACUUAGUUUCUCUAUAUUUGUUGUCUAGUAAUAUCCUAUAGGCUUGAUGGGUUAGGGAGCAUCCCUUUGUGAAAAAAUUUCAUUCAAUUCUUAGUUGUAUUACGCAUAUAUAAAAUGCCUCAUUGUUUUAAUGGUAUUCAGUCGUGGCAUCACAGAUAUGGGCAUCUAAAUUUUAAAAGUUUGAAACUUUUGUAAAGCAUGUUGAUAAAAUCCAUGAGAGUUGUGUACUUGGGAAGCAACAUCGAGGUGACUUUAUUUUUUUUUCCUUUUAUAAUGCCACACCUAAGUCCGGUUUCUAAAUGCUAAAGUGAAAGGGUAGGUAUGGACCAUUGAAAUGUGAUCACAACUUUUGGCCUUUUCCUUUCUCUGCAGCCAUGUUGUCUCUUUUUUCUUUUGCAUGAUUUUCUUACCAAAACAGAAUCAUAGACUUGUUUAGUCUCUAAGCUACUAUAUUAUAUCUCGGUGGACUUUUAAGAGUGCAACCGACAUAGAGCACAUGCAAGUGGGCAUAUGGGACAUGAAAUUUCUUCUUACAAAGAUUGCAUGAUUUUUAUAUUAGAGUUGUUCACGUGCAAUGUAUUUAGCUUGUUUUGCAGUUAAAUUAAUUGGAUAAGUAAACAUUGGCAUUUCUAAAUCGACUGUGAAGUGCUUCAUGUACGUGUAAAGUAUUAGAAAUUUCUUUCUUGGCAACUUGUUUUUUCCUUGCCAUCUACUGGUAGGUUUGACUAAAAUUAUAUUCCCUGUCAUGCUAAUUAAUUUUCAUGUGCAUGCUCAAAAGAAGAGUAUGACCUUAGUGCACCAAAAUCACUUUGAUUAAUUUGUGAUAGGUUUUUUUGCAUCAUUUAGAUAAUGUUUAGUUCUAAGAAAAAUUUAUAUAAAAAUGGUUUAUUUAUCUUACAUAUAUAUAUAUAUAUAUAUAUUUUUUUUUUUUUCAUUUUUUUUUCUUCUAUUUUAUUUAUUUAUUUUAUUUUCCUUAUGUUUUCCUCACAUUUUCCGGAACUAAACAUAGUCUUACGAAAUCAACAAUUGCCUUCAACUGAGUAGAUUCUGUUGUUUUAGCAAUGUUAGGCUGCUAACUUGUGGUGGUACGAACCAAAUGACCCAUGUUAAUCUUGGCUUGGUUUGAUUUGGCUCUAUCUCAGAGAGCUAAAGGAUCACGUCAACUCUGGUUUCUACUAUUCAGGUCCAUUCCCAGAUGAACUGGUUCAAAUUUGAGAAAAUGGUAACAGACCUUUAGUGAUGUUGGUUUGGAGCCAGUUGCCAAACCCGCCCUGAGCUUUACCACUAAUGUCAAGGGAGAAAGCCAUUUGAACAAAAACAAUAGCUUCAAGAGACUGAAUCGUGGAUGAAAUCUGAUCCACAUUUCUUCUCAUUUUGGGAAAAAAUGAGAACUUAACUACAAAGAUUCUACUGCCUCAUUCAUAGUGCUUUUCCUGAUCCAAGGUUGGUUCGUUUCCCAAAUUGUGAGGUGCACGUGCCACUCUCACGCUCAGGAGUGUAUCCACGUGGUGGACAUCAGAUGGUGGCUUAAUAUCUGGUGUCGGUGGCUUUACUUUACUAGGAGAGUAGUGUGUCUUCAUCUCAUUCACUGCCGGAGGGUGGCGUAAGCAGUGACGCUAAGGUGGGGCACAGUCAAUAUCAUUUGCAUUUGACCAUUAUAGUUUUCUCCCGGCUUGAAAGUAACCUUAUCGUGAUAAAGGAUUACUAGCACUAGUUCAGAUGACCGUCAUGUUAAUUCGGACCAUGUUUGUGUCACAUUAUCAGCAACCAUGUGUUUAUGGUUCAUGCUAUCUGCAACUAAACUUGAUAUAUAACCAGGUGAACUUCAAUCAAAAUUCUGGAAGUACUCUUGUGAUAGAUGGUGCCUGUCUGCAGAGUCCAUCAAUUGAAAAAUGGAGUGAGUGUAUCUAUAAGAGGGAAGGCUUGGCAAAUGUUCAGUUUUCUGGGAAUUCAACAAGGAUCUAAAAUAGAUUGUUUUCUUUGCCGACUUCAAUGGUUGAAAUUUGAGAAGAUUGUGUCCACAUAUCACAACUAUUACUGGUCCUUCUGUUGCAAUUUAUCCUGUAAGGCUCUAACAUGUCUUCCAAUUCCCACUUCCCUGUUACUCCAGGAAAGCUAUUUCUGUCAUUGUGAAGAAGAAAAGAGAAUGUACAUAUCGAUGCUUUUAAGUGACUGGAGCAUUCAUAUCAGGUGGUCUGCAGCCAUAUAUGCCACUUUGUGAAGGUUGGAACAGUCAAUCACUAGGCUAUAUAUUGGUGUGGCCCAGCCACUUCAAUCAAGGACAAGUCUUCAUACUUAAAGUCAAAUUCUGCCUUUAGUCUCAUUAUAAAUUGCUGUUUAAAUAUUAAGCAAACUUUUGUUUAAUGCGAUUAAGACAGUACUAACUCAAUACUUGUUCUAUUUUUGGAUGCAAAUGCUUGAUGGUUUCAUCAUUGGAUGGGAUAAAGGUGCAUUCAUGAUUAUGAAUACUUGUAGUUAUAUUUUCAUUCUCUUUUUUCUCAAUGAGACUUGUUGGCACAAUGUUGCUGUUCAGAAACCUACCUCUCCAUGGAAAAUAAGUUGCGAUUGAUAGUACUGGAUAUGUUCAAGAAAGCUAAAUAUAGAUAGCACAAAAUAUUAUCGAUAUAAAUAGCAUUAACAGCGUACGUAUGUCUCAAUGCUCAUCAGCUAUAAGCAUGGGACAAACACUUACUAUGAGCAACUUACGUCAAAAUUCCAGAAUAGGACAUAGAAGUGACAGAUCUAUAUAUAUAGAACACUGCAUAUGAGUCACAAGAAAGGAAAUUACGGGUGCAUAGCAGCUCUUAUUUUACAUACUACUACUCAUACUGAUCAAAGUCACUCAGUUGGGAUGGGUGGGAGUAGGAGGUUUGUGGGGUGGCUUGUGCGGAGGAGUUGGCAGCUUCUUUCCAGGACCUGGUUGCUUCUCUGCUGGAGUUGAAGGAGGCUUAAUCUUCCGAGGUGGCUUGUAUGAGUCUUCAGCAUUCUCAGCUGGAGGGUGACCAGGGUUGUGACCAUAAUGUGGUGGCUUCUCUCCCUUAGGUGGUUUGCCAACUGGGGUUGGUGGCUUGUAUGAGUCUUCAGCAUUCUCAGCAGGAGGGUGACCAGGGUUGUGACCAUAAUGUGGUGGCUUCUCUCCCUUAGGUGGUUUGCCAACUGGGGUUGGUGGCUUGUGUUCUGGGAGUGGCUUCUCCCCCUUGGGAGGUUUUUCCAAUGGGGUUGGUUUGUGUUCAGGAGGUGGCUUCUCCACUGGAGGCUUGUGUUCAGGAGGUGGCUUCUCCACCGGUGGCUUGUGUUCAGGAGGUGGCUUCUCCACCGGAGGCUUAUGCUCUGGUGGUGGCUUCUCCACCGGAGGCUUAUGCUCUGGUGGUGGCUUCUUGAAUGGGGGAUGCUGAGGGUAAUCAGCAAGUGAGGGGGCGGUGAGAACCACCAGGCCAAGCAACACCACUAGCAAAUAUGUAGGAGACAUCUUUGGGUUUGGGCUCAGAUGGUGCAAAACUAGGAGAAUUGGCUAGCCUUUUAUAGCGGAUCGUACUCAAUAAUGAAAUGACACGUGUCAUUAUGACCCAUGUGUAAUGGGGUCGAUUUGGGUCCUACAGUGUUGAAAACUUCGACAUCCAGUUUUGGCCUUUUGCUUUCUCUACAGCCGCCUUGCUUUUUCCCUCUUUCCUUUUGUUUUCCUCCUGCCCCAUUCUAUCAACUAAACACAAUUAUGUAGUUGUUUAAUUCUUAAAUGAGAUAUUAUCGGUCAAUCGUAUUAUAUUUUAUCAAGAGAGAACGGAGUGCAAUGCAGCUGUAAUUUUAUCGUUUACUUUUAUCUCUUGGACCACUGCAUUUUUGUUAAGAGGUGCAAUAAUACACGUCUUUAUCUGCCAUUCAAUGUUUACAGUAAAGAGAGGGCACAAAACUCUUCACUGCUCUGCAUGUGUCCCAAAAAUGCGAUUGGACAAAUUAUGAUUUGCAUGCUAAAAAGAGGCAAAUGAGGUUAAUUCGCACCAUAAUUAUUUGGUUUUCUGGACACCAUAAAAAGAUGUUAUACAGGCAGGGAAAAACCUUCAGAGUUAGCUACCAAAGAUAAUUAUCAAGCAGAUAUCACCAAGAGAAUUCCAUAGAGUCUGAAUCAAAGACAGAUUGCUCGCUCGUGGGGGUUCUUACUUUCUUUUGGGUAUAACUCACUGAGGUCACUGUCUUUUUUAUUUGCAUUUCACAGUUAGAGUUCUGCUCUGGAAGGUUUGUUCUGGAAACAUAUAAAAGGAGCAUCAUUUUGUUCUUGGGUAACCCAUAGUCGUGAGUGGGUCCAUUUGCAUGCUACUUAGUUGAAAAGUUGGACAAUUUGCUCCGACGCCUACCUCCUGGAUUCCAUGCUCGGUAAAACAAGAAUAAAAAAAAAUAUAUAAUUUACAAAUGGGGGAAAGAAAAAAUGUCGGAAAAAAUAGUAAAAUUCAUGUCACAUGCUAGUGAGAGAAGGGGUUGUUACACUCACUCGAAGUUCUUUUCAAAAUAUCGAAUGGUAUUUUACUUUAUGUGUCAGCGCAGUUGUGAAUGGAACGUGCAAAAGUCCAAAUUGGCGUUUUUAUUUUUCCCAUGUAGGAUGGUGACCUUUAAUAAAUAUUUAAAACAAAAGACGAAAAAAAAAAGGAGGGAAAAGGGAUCACAAAAGAUAAAAUAAUGUUUACAAAAGCUCAAUUAGUUUGCAAAUUACUGUUUGGAUUUUGAUAGUAUUUUAUUUGUCGUUCUAUAUUUGAUGUAAAAGAGAAUUUAAGAUAUUUCCGAAGCAAAAGCAUUAGUUUGCUCUGUGAUGUCCCACAUCGAAUAGGGGAGAAAGUUUCUGGCGCUAUAUAUGUAGAGGCUCCUCUUAACCAAGUAGAUGCGUUUUAAAACCAUGAGGGCCCCCUUAGGUCCAAAGCGGACAAUAUCUACAUGAUUGGGUGUAAGUCAUUACAAAUGGUAUCAGAGCCGAUCCCCGACCCCGGUGUGGGGGUUUGUUUGGCCCUGUAAGGGGUGUUUGUCUGUUUGACCCCACAAUCCCAUGGGACACAACGAGGACGUUGUGUCUGCAUGGGGGGGCGUUUGUGAUGUCCCACAUCGGAUAGGGGAGAAAGUUCCUAGUGCUAUAUAUGUAGAUGUUUCUCUUAACCAAGUAGAUGCAUUUUAAAAUUGUGAGGGCCUCUUUGGGCCCAAAGCGGACAAUAUCUACAUGGUUGAGUGUAAGUCAUUACAUGCUCCAUGUCAAUUUCAGCAUUUCUCAUAUGUUUCACACAUACACAGAAGAGCAUCGUUUUUUAAAGCAUGCAUUUAUGUUGGAUUAAUUUGGAUUUUGUGGGAACUGGGGCAAGGAUCACAUGGAAGAGAGGUUGACUUUUUUCAGUACUUCAAUGGUUGAAAUAUGUGAAGGCUUGAUUGAUACUAAAGCUUGAAAUUGCGACUCUGUCAUUUGUAAAAAAAUAUGACAGCUUCCAUGCUCUCGUUUGGUUGCAUUGUCCGGUCGAGAGGUGCAAAAAGCAUUCUCUCUCUUCUAAUAGUCUUUUCGUUUAAAUCAAGGGAUUUGCCUUCCCGGUCGAGGUCCAAUAGAGGGUAACGGUCACCUACUAAACAUUAAAUGCUCCAACAACUAGUGAACUGAUCGACCCCAGCUCGACUAGUUGAGGUUACUUUUUGGUUUUCUUGUCUCCCGAGGUUAGAAACCUAUAAAUAGAGAGCUUCACUUCAUUUAUGAGUAAGAGAACACCUAAAUUUAUUUGUUUACCUACUUGUUUUUGCCAUAAAAGCUCUCAUUUCUUUUCUUGGUGUAUUAAAUCUCCAUUUGCAUAUCCUUUAGUGCACCUUUGUGAUUCAUUCUAGCCUUGAGUUGUAUUUAAGCCUUUGUUGAGCUAGGUUGAGAGUUUCAUACUUGUUUAUUGAGUGUUAAAGCCUUCAAGUGAGUUAAAACUUGAAGAGAUUGUGUAAGAGCCCAUUGGAGUCGGAAUCCAAGUGUAAAGGUGAUUAAAAGCUUGGUUGAAGCUUCAAGUUAGUGGAACUCUCACUCGGUUAUGAGCUUGAGAAGAGUGGACAUAGACAAGGCAGUGUCGAACCACUAUAAAAUCUGAGUUUGAUUUCUCUAACCUUAUCUCUUUAUAUUUGCUUCUCUUGUGCUUAAAUUUUUUGUGUUUAAAAAGAAUUUUUAAAAACUCAAUUCACCCCCUUCUUGGGAGUUUUUCUCUUUUAAGAUCAGCUUUUAUUUUCUCAAUUGGUAUCAGAACUAUGCCUCUUGUUUAAGACUUAAUCGUCUAAGAGGAAAUGGCUAAUCCAUCAAGUUCAUCUCACAUUGAAAGUUUUGCAACCAAUAGACUUCUUUUUUUUUUUUUGCGGGAACUGAUUAUCCCUAUUGGAAAACUAAAAUGACUUGGUUUUUACAAUCAAUUGAUUUAGAUGUAUGAGAUGCCAUUGAAGAUGACCUAACUUUUCCUUCAAAACUAGUUGAUGGAGUCAUGGUUCCAAAACCUAAGCAAGAAUGGGAUGAGCGUGAUUGAAGAAAUUUUCAAUUAAAUGCUAAAGUCGUUUAUACUUUGCAAUGCUCUAUGGACAGAAAUGAAUAUAAUAGAAUAUGUCAAUGCAAAUCGGUUAAAGAAAUUUGGAGAUUGCUUGAAAUAACUCAUAAAGGAACAAAUCAAGUUAAAGAGUCAAAAAUCAAUUUACUUGUUCAUAGAUAUGAAUUGUUUUUUAUGAAAGAUAAUGAAACUAUUGUUAAGAUGAUCACUAGGUUCACCAACAUUGUUAAUGGUCUUAAAGCCUUGGGAAAGACCUACAAGGAAUCCGAAAACGUGAUGAAGAUCUUGAGGUCACUUCCAUCAAAGUGGCAUACCAAGGUCACCGCAAUUUAAGAAGCAAAAGACUUGAUCAAGCUACCUUUGGAGGAGUUCAUAGGGUCAUUGAUGACAUAUGAAAUCAAUUUGGCAAAGAAGUAACAAAAAGGUGAAGACAAAAAGAAGAAGAACAUAACUCUCAAAGCUACAACUAAGGAAGAAGAAGUUGAAGAAGAAAAACAAAUUGAAGAAGAUGAAGAUUUAGCCCUCAUCACAAGAAAGUUCAACAAAUUCAUGAGGGGUGAAAGGUUUAGAAGAAGAAGGUUCACUUCUAGAAGAGACUUUUCUAAAAAGGAAUCUUCAUCUAAUGGUGACAAAAAGAGAUGGGAAGAGAAAAGAGACUUGGUGUGUUUCAAGUGCAAGAAACCGGGACACAUUAAAUAUGAUUGUCCUCUCUACAAAAGUGAAGUCAAGAGGAAAAAGAAUAAGGCAAUGAUGGCCACUUAGAGUGAAAGUGAAGAUGAAUCAUCCGAAGAAGAAAAUGAGAAAGAAGUGGCAAACAUGUGUUUCAUGGCAAUAGAUGAACUUGAUGAGGUAAAAUCUAACCUUAGUGAUUAAGAUAUACAUGAUGCAUUUGAAGAAUUGUAUGAGGAUUUUUAAAAACUUAGUUUGAAAAAUAUUUCUCUUAAAAAGAAAGUUCAACAACUUGACAAAGAACUUAGAGAAGUAAAAGAAAAAUUUUCAAAUGUUAAAGUUUCUAAAACUCAUCUUGAAAAAGAAAAUGAGAUUCUAAGAAAGAAAAAUGAAUAGUUGAACUCCUCUCUUUCAAUCUUUUCUUCUAGACAAAAAUCUUUUGAAAUGAUUCUAACUAGCUAAAAAUGUGUUUUUGACAAACAAGGGUUAAGAUUUAAAUCUUCAAAAAAUCAAAAGUAUUUUAAAAACUAUUUUGUAAAGGAAUCCACAAGUGCAAGUCCUUCCACUACUUGCAACUUUUGUGGAAGAGAAUGGCACAUUAGUAGUACGCCCUUUAAGAAAUGGUUCUCAAAAGAAUUUAAAUGCAAAAACUAAAAAAGAUUUGGAUUGAGAAAUCCAAGGUCACUAACCCUCAAGGACCCAAAAAGAUAUAGGUACCUAAAUCAACUUGAGUUUUAUGUUGUAAGGUUCAAAGAAUGAUAAGUGGUUCUUAGAUAAUGGUUGCUCAAGACACAUGACCGGAGAUGAAUCCAAGUUUGCUUUUCUUAAAAAGAAAAAUGGAGGAUAUGUUACCUUUGGAGACAAUGCAAAAGAAAGGAUGAUUGGUCAAGGCAACAUUGGUAAUGGCACAUCCUCUCUCAUUGAAAGUGUUUUAUUAGUAGAUGGUUUCAAACAUAACCUUUUAAGCAUUAGUCAAUUUUGCGACAAAGGUUUUUAAGUGAUUUUUUAAGCAUCUCAUUGCAUCAUCAAGGAUAUUCAAAAUGAUAAAACCAUUUUCAUGGGCCAUAGAUGUGAUAAUGUUUAUGCUAUAAAUAUUUCAAAAUAUGAUGGCCAUGAUAGAUGUUUUUCAAGCAUGCAUGAUCAAAGUUGGUUGUGCCAUAGGAGAUUGAGACAUGCUAACAUAGACCUCAUUUCCCAACUCAACAAAGAUGAACUUGUUAGAGGCCUUCCCAAAAUAAUUUUUUAAAAAGAUAAAGUUUGUGAAGCUUGUCAAGUGGGAAAGUAAAUCAAAAACUCUUUUAAAAACAAAAACUUCAUUUCCACAUCUAGGCCACUUGAGUUGUUGCAUAUGGAUUUAUUUGGUCCCUCUAGGACACCAAGUCUUAGAGGAAAUUCUUAUGCAUAUGCUAUUGUGGACGACUUCUCUAGAUACACAUGAGUCUUGUUUUUUAGUCAAAAGAAUAAAGUUUUUUAUGAGUUUUCAAAGUUUUGCAAUAAGAUUCAAAAUGAAAAAGGUUUUUCAAUUACUUAUAUAAGAAGUGAUCAUGGGAGAGAAUUCGAAAAUAUUGAUUUUGAAGAGUAUUGCAAUGAGCAUGGAAUUGACCACAAUUUUUUGGCUCUUAGAACUCCUCAACAAAAUGGGGUAGUUGAAAGGAAAAAUAGAACUCUUCAAAAAAUGACAAGAACCAUACUAAAUGAAAACAACUUACCAAAAUAUUUUUAGGCCAAAACGGUUAACACUUCUUGUUAUGUUUUAAAUAGAGUAUUAUUGAGGCUCAUACUUAAGAAAACUCCCUAUGAGCUUUGGAAAAACAAAAAACCCAACAUUAGUUAUUCCAAAGUCUUUGGAUGCAAUAUUUUAUAAUAAACACCAAAGACAAUCUUGGAAAAUUUGAUGCAAAAUUGGAUGUUGGAAUUUUCCUUGGUUACUCAACUUCAAGUAAAGCUUUUCGAGUUUUAACAAAAGAACCAUGGUUGUAGAGGAGUCCAUCCAUGUUAUUUUUUAUGAAUCUCCAAGAAAGAGAGAGGAUUGAUGAUGAUUUAGGUUUGAAGACCUCUAUAGGAAGAUUGCAAAUCGAAGAUAGAAGACAACAAGAAGAAAAUGGAGAGAAUCCAAAGAAAGAAGGAUCACCAUUGGCACUACCCCCUCAUCAACAAGCGCAAGGUGAAUCAAGUCAAGAGCUUCCUAAAGAAUGGAAGUUUGUCAUCAAUCACCCACAAGAUCAAAUUAUAGGCAAUCCAUCUAGUGGGGUAAGAACUAGAUCCUCUCUUAGAAAUAUUUGCAAUAAUCUAGCUUUUAUCUCUCAAAUUGAGCCUAAAAAUAUAAAUGAUGUUUUAGAUGAUGAAAAUUGGAUAAUUGCAAUGCAAGAAGAGUUAAAUCCAUUUGAAAGAAGUGGAGUAUGGGAAUUAGUACCAAGACCUUCAAAUCAAAGUGUUAUUGGAACUAGAUGGAUCUUUAGAAAUAAAAUGGAUGAAAAUAGCAUAAUUGUUAGAAAUAAAGCAAGAUUGGUAGCCCAAGGUUUUAAUCAAGAAGAAAUGAUAGAUUAUGAAGAAACCUUUGCCCCCGUAGCUAGGUUGGAAGCCAUUAGGAUGCUACUUGCCUUUGCAUGUUUUAAAGACUUUGUUUUAUAUCAAAUGGAUGUGAAAAGUGCUUUUUUAAAUGGUUUUAUAAAUGAAGAAGUAUAUGUUGAACAACCACCCGGUUUUCAAAGUUUCAACUUUCCUAACCAUGUUUUUAAACUUAAAAAGACACUUUAUGGUUUGAAACAAGCACCUAGAUCAUGGUAUGAAAAAUUGAGUAAAUUUCUUUUGAAAAAAAUGUUUUAAAAUGGGAAAAAUUGACACAACUCUUUUUAUAAAAACCAAAGAAAAUGAUAUGCUCUUAGUUCAAAUAUAUAUUGAUGAUAUCAUUUUUGGUGCUACUAAUGUCUCUCUUUAUGAAGAAUUUUCUAAGUGCAUGCAUAGUGAGUUUGAAAUGAGCAUGAUAGGAGAACUCAACUUCUUCCUUGGACUUCAAAUCAAGCAACUAAAGGAAUGAACCUUCAUCAAUCAAGCAAAGUAUAUAAGAGAUCUUCUCAAAAGGUUCAACAUGGAAGAAGCCAAAACAAUGAAGACUCUAAUGAGCUCAUCCAUUAAGCUUGAUAAGGAUGAGAAAGGUAAAUCCAUUGACUCUAUUAUGUAUAGAGGCAUGAUAGGUUCUUUGCUCUAUUUGACCACUAGUAGACCUUACAUUAUGUAUAGUGUGUGUUUGUGUACUAGAUUUCAAUCUUGUCUUAAAAAAUCUCACUUAAGUGUCGUGAAAAGAAUCCUCAAAUAUUUGAAAGGGACAAUGGACAUAGGCUUAUGGUAUCCUAAGAGUGAUAACUUUGAAUUAAUUGGUUUUUUGGAUGCUGAUUUUGUCAGUUGUAGGGUUGAAAAAUAAAACACUAGUGGCACUUUUCAUUUCUUAAGACACUUACUUGUCUCAUGGCAUAAUAAGAAGCAAAAUUUGGUAGCUUUGUCAACAGCAGAAGCUAAAUACAUAGCAACUGGUUUAUGUUGUGCACAAAUCCUUUGGAUGAAAUAAACACUUAGUGAUUUUGAUUUAUCUUUUGAGCAUAUUCCUAUUAAAUGUGAUAAUAGUAGUGCCAUAAGUAUAUCAAAAAAUCUCGUGCAACACUCUAGGACUAAGCAUAUAGAGAUUAGACAUAAUUUUCUUAGAUAUCAUACACAAAAGGAUGAUAUAACACUUGAAUUUGUAAGCAUAAAAGACCAACUUGCCGAUAUCUUUACAAAACCUCUAAGAACAUUUUGUUGAUAUUAGAGGACAAUUAGGAGUGAUUUCUUUAUGAUCUAAUGUGAUGAAUUCUUGAUGAAUAUACUUUUUGAUUGCAUGAAUUUCAUGUCAUAUAUGCAUCAUAUAGAAAUAUACUUAGAUAAUGGUCAAAUUUCGACCAAAAAUCAAAAUUCCCAUGGCAUUAGGCAUAAAAAUUUUGGAAUUUCAACUGAAAAUGGUAGGAGGAGGAUCACAAAAUGAGAAAGUAUGCAAAAAUUGAAAAAUCAAAACGUUGACCAAGCGGUCAAUCGGACUAGACCGAUCGACUAGUUUGUCGAGAUUUAGGAUUUUUAAGAGACUCCAACGCUUCAAUUUUUGCACCGUUCUCCUCUAUUUCUUCACGGUUUCUCUGAUUUUGUCUUUUAGAGACUAAUUUGAGUGCGUUUUGGAUCAAUUGAAGCAUUUUGGAUUGGAUUUUAGGAAGAUUGAAAGUUAAGGUUUCGGAUUUGGGUCGCCUUCUCUUCCUCUCGCGUGUCACAAUCAGCUUUAGCAUUGUUCUCUUUCCAUUUUCACACACCUAGGGUUUCAGUUGUGAGCAUCUCUCUCUCUUUACCAACCACUACUCCCUUGCUUCUUCCAUAUGGCUCCUAGGCGAGAGUCCGCUACUUCUAGGGCACAAGGCAAGCACCCAACUGAGUCGUCUCAGUCAAAGGCACGUCGAAAAGUGAGAUUUGACAUUGCCUUGUUCAGUUCCAUGGAGGACUACCAACUAUACAAGCAACACUUUGCUUAGAGACGAGUAGUUCCCAAGAGAAAUAUUAAUUUUCCUCAACUUCAGCAUUUCGAAUUUAAGGGUCUAUUUACUAGGAUGGUUGGUUGUCUAUUGUCACAAUUUCGGAGCCGGUUUUCCUGACCUUAGUGCGAGUUUUUUACUCGAGGGCGACUUAUGGCAUGGGUGGCAUGAUCAUUUCUACUGUUGGAGGAGUUGAGAUCUGUCUGGACCCAGAGAGCAUCUGCCAUAUUUUCGAUAUUGCUCUGGUUGGACUCAAAGUAUACAAGUCCAAAAUGUGGCCCAUUGUGCCAGGAUUUGAGCUUAGAGAGGUCAUUCAGAGGAUUUGUGAACUUCCAGACGCCCAGGAGAUGGGCAAACCAUUGCCACACAGUUUGACGGUCAUCAACAGGGUGCUACACCAUAUAUUGUGCUCUAUCUUUCUACCACGAAGUGGACAUUGAGAUGAGGUCUCUUAUUAUGAGGCAUUCCUUAUUGACUCCAUUCUAACGGAGAGACGAAUUCAUCUACUAUGUCAUCAUUCACUAAGCCUCCUCACAGUGACAUACCACCUCAUCAGGCACCUCUUGCUCCUGACCAUGCUCCAUUGAUGGAUUUAUUUACUCAUAUUAGCUCUCUAGGCACUCGCAUGAAGGAGUUUGUUGUAGUUAGUGAUACAUGGUUCUACUCCAUAGAGGAUCGCAUGGAUCAGUAUCAGACUGGCUUCACGUCACAGUUUGAGUAUCUCCAAUAGAGGAUUGAGCAUAUUGAGGAUCACUUGAGCAUGAGAAGAUGAUGGCUUUUCUAUGCUCUGUGUUUCCACCUCCACCUCGUCAACCUUGAUUUCUUAGAGACCCAUUGUUUUCAUUUUGUAAUGUUGCCAAAAGGGGGAGAUAUUUAGGAUCUAGGACUCUAUAGGAGACUUACAUGCAUAUCAUUUUCAUAUCAUUGUUUGGAUCGUACAUAUUGGAUAGUGAUACUUUUUACUUAUAUAUGAUAUGCCUAUAUGUUUCAUGUCUUACAUUGUUUCUUAUUGCAAAUUAUCUCUAACAUGUCUUGAUUAUCUUUUUUUUAACUUCAUAAAUUUUGAUUGUUAACCCAUGAUUGGUUUGAGGGGAAGAUUCUUCUUCUCCUAGAUAACCAAGGUUUGUCAUCAUAAAAAAAUUGGAGAUUGUUAGCCCAAGGGUUCUCCUAAUCAUGUUUUGAUGAUAACAAACCAUGCUUAAGUUACUAAUUGGUUUGAAUUAUAAAGAAUUUCAAGUGUUAAUUUGAAAAUUCAUCAAAGAACCUAAUGGAUGCAAGAUCAAGAUUUUUGGAAGACCUUUAAUCAUAAGAAACAUAUGUAAGAUGAAUGCAUGGGUGCACUUAAGAUUUGCAUAUCAUUUCAUGCAUAUUUGGAAAACACGGUUUAUGCUUUAAAGUUACAUUUCCAUCAAAAUUUGAGAUCCAUCAAAUGAACCUUAGGAAAAAUGUUUUAAAAUUGGCAUAUAAUUUUACCUAAAGACCUUGCCUAAGUGUUAGAAGCAAAAGGACAAAAAAAAUAUAGGUUUUCUGGUCAAAAAUGGUGAACCAGUCAAGGCAUUGUCUAAAUCAGCUCAAUCGGCCAAGGUACCGGUCGAUCGGUUUCCCUUUCCCUGUCGAGAUCUAGUCAAGAGGUACAAAAAUCACAAUCUCUGUCUCUUUCUCUCUUUGUCUAUCUUCCAGUAGUCUUUCCUUCCCGGUCGAGGGAUUUGCCUUCCCGAUUGAGGUCCGAUUGAGAGUAAUAGUCACUUGCCAAAUAUUAAAUGCUCCAACAGUUAGUGAACUGGUCGACCCCCACCUUGCCCAGUUGAGGUUACUUUUUGGUUUUCUUGGCUCCCGAUGUUAGAAACCUAUAAAUAGAGAGUUCCACUUCAUUUAUGAGCAAGAGAACACUUGCAUUUAUUUGUUUACCUACUUGUUCUUGCCUUAAAAGCUCUCAUUUCUUUUCUUGGUGCAUUAAAUCUCCAUUUUGAUAUCCUUUAGUGCACCUUUGUGAUUCAUCUUAGCCUUGAGUUGUAUUUGAGCCCUUUUUUUAGCUAGGUUGAGAGUUUCAUACUUGUUAAUUGAGUGUUAAAGCCUUCAAGUGAGUUGAAACUUGUAGAGAUUAUGUGAGAGUCGAUUGGAGCCGAAAUCCAAGUGUAAAGGUGAUUAGAAGCUUGGUUGAAGCUUCAAGUUAGUGGAAUCCUCACUCAAUUAGGAGCUUGAGGAGAGUGGACGUAGCCAAGGAAGUGUCGAACCACUAUAAAAUUUGAGUUUGAUUUCUCUAACAUUGUCUCUUUAUAUUUGUUUAUCUUGUGCUUAAAUUUAUUGUGUUUAAAAAGAAUUUUUAAAUACCCAAUUCACCCCCCUCUUGGGUGUUUUUCUCUUUUAAAAUUAGCCUUUAUUUUCUCACAAACUAUUGUAGUAUAGUGGUUUUUAGGUGUCAUCCAUUAGGAUGAAUUGUUCUCGGUAAUUAAGGCGUGAAUGAGAGGAGAAUUAAUGAUUGUGAUUAAGUAAAAUUGAUUUGAAAAUUCAUGGUGAAAAAUCAAUUUAACAAUGGUUUCUAAUUGAGAAAAACAAUGAAAUGUGAAAUAAAAUAAAAUUAAUAGGAAAUGAAAUUCUCGAAGUUAGAAUUUUCUAAAAAACAAAUUCCAUGGUGAAUGGAUGUUGAGAUCUAAUUUUCAUCAAGUUAGAUUGAAAACCGAAAUUUUCAUAUAAACUGAUUUUUUAUUUAGUUUUAGGUCUAGAUUUAAUUUCCCUUAAAAUUAGGUUAUUUAAUCCAAGAAAUCAAUUCAAAUCAUAUAUUCAAUUCAUCUUAAAUUAUCUUCCAAUUAUUCACACAAUGCAACUAUUCAAUCUCAUCAAAUCUAGCUUUUAAGAAUUUAAUGAAUCUACCUAGUUUGCAUUGUAAUAGUCAUCCAUGACAAUUUGAAGAGAAAAAUAAUUCAAUUAAUCAAUCACUUGGAUCAAAUUACCUUUGCAAUUAAAGUUCAUUUCUCUAAUUCACCACAGAUUUUGUCUCUAGAUCCUCCUUUCUCAAAGAAAAAUGAGAUUUAGCCACACAUGAUUGGAGAUUUGGUCUCAUAAGGCAUGUUUAGCUAGUGAUAAAAUGAGAGAAAAUAAAGAAAAAUAGAGAAUUCGAUUAAGAAAGAAAAUCUAAAAAAUUCUACAAUUAGAAAUGUCCAAAAAGCUUUUUCAUGAGAAAAUCAAGUUUCUAUUUAUAGGCCAAGGUCAAGUGGACACUUGACAUCAUCUAAGAGGUCUUCCGGAAGCUUCUUCAUCAAGAAAUCUGGAGUUUAAUAAUAAAAUGGUCAUUUCACAAGAGCUCAAACAAUUUCGCAUGAUUAUGUGAAAUAAAAAAUGCAACAACAGCAAUUUACAUCUUCUUGGAGCAUUUCGCAUGACUGUGUGAAAUUUUCACAUGAUCAUGUGGAAUCGACUUGACAACUCUCAUUUAGCCUACAACAUAAUUCCACCUUUUGGUCCAUUUUUCAUAGUCAUGCGAAAUGGAAAUAUUUGAUUUUUAAGUUUUCUUUUGUCAUUUCUUUCAUUUCCUUCUCUUGAUUCCACUUCAACUACCUCCGAAUCCUGGUCCAAACCAAUUGCAUUACUUCUUUCAUUAUGCAUUUGGAUCAUCAUCAACAUUAUUUGUUCUCUUCAAUUUGAUUCAUCUCUUUUGUCACCAAUUUAUCAAAAUCAUACCUUGAAAUGACUCCAAAACUUCAUAAAACUUGUUAGUAACUCUUGCAAGGGCAACAACAUAUUAAUUAAGUGUUUUAGGCAUAGUUACUACUCAAAAGAUGCGAAACUCAUGAUAAUUAUUAUAUAAAAUAUGCUCUUUUUGAGUAGUAAUCAACUUUCUUGCAUAAGCAGACCUUUUAGGGUGGAGUACUAAAGACCAAUAUGCUUGUCCUUGUUGUAAUAAAGAAACUUGCUCUUAUUGAUUGCACCAUGGGAGAAAAUUUUGCUACAUGAGUUAUCAUCAAUUUCUUCCCACCAAUCAUAGAUUUAGACGUGACAAGAGGCCUCUUAAUGGCAAGGAGGAACUGACACUCACACUUAUACAAUUAUCGGGCAUUGAUGUGUUGCAACAAUUAGAAUAACUUACACCAAUUAUGUUGGGGAAGUCACAAAAGGCAAACAUGAAAACUAAAAGGAAAAAAGAAAAAUGUUACAUAUCACCACAACUGGAAAGAAAAAAGUAUUUACUUUCAUUUGCCAUAUUGGAAAGCACUUAUUUUACAUCAUAAUAAUUUAGACAUAAUGCAUAUUGAGAAAAAUGUGUGACAAUAUAAUUGAGACAUUGUUCAGUAUUGACGAAGAAACAAGGACAACCUAAAUAGUCAUCUCGAUUUACAAGCUCUAACUAUUAGAAAUGAGAUUCACCCAAUAGAAAGCAGGACCAAAUUUAUUUUGCUUGCAACAUGCUACUCACUCACCCCAAAUGAGAUUAAGGAAUUUUGCAAGUUUUUGAAAUCAAUAAAGGUCCCCAAUGGCUAUUCUUUCAAUAUCUCUCGUUAUGUGCAACUCAAUGAAAGGAAGAUAUAUGAGCUCAAAUUGUAUGAUUGUCAUGUCCUAAUGCAACAACUUCUCUCACUUGUAGUUCGUGGAGUUCUACAUAAGAAUGUUUGUGGAGUUAUCAUAGAAUUGCGUAAUUUUUUCAAGCAAUUGUGCUCAAAGGUGUUAGAAACAAAUCACUUACACCAACUUGAGAACAAUAUUAUUGUCAUACUAUGUAAAAUGGAGCAAAUAUUUCUUCCAUCAUUCUUUGAUAUUAUGGUGCAUUUACUUGUGCAUCUAGUAAGGCAAAGGUUGCAAGACUUGUGCAAUAUUGUUGGAUGUACCUAAUUGAACGAUAUUGUUAUAAUUUCAUAUGAAUCAUUUAAUUUUAUUUUAUAUUAUGUUCAGUUCAUUAACAUGUACAUUGGUCUACAUAUGGAUGAUGAUAGGUACCUAAGCACUUUAAAGUCAUAUGUGCGUAAUAGAACUUUUCUAGAAGGUUCUAUUGUAGAAAGGUACCUUGCAAAAGAAUGUACAACAUUUUAUUCUAGGUACUUGAAUGAUGUGGAAAUAAAGUAUAAUCACAAUGAUAGAAACUUUGUUGGUUUCAACACUAGAGGAGAUGAAAGGGGUUAUCUUUAAACAUAUUGGACAUGCAUUGGGAAAGCCCAUAUUUCAUUAACUUAGUUCAAAAGAGUGGUCACAAGCACAUUUAUAUGUGUUGACAAAUUGCGAAGAUGUCAUACCAUUCAUUGAGUAAAAAAUUUAUUUGAAUUUUAAUUAAAGCUCUAGUUUAUAUCCUUAAUCAAUGUUUUUUAAAUUCACAAGGAGCACAAGCAAACCAUCAAGGCUAGACCACAUAUACGUGUUUGAGACGUAGAUUUAAUUCAUAACAAGGAAUUUAUCAAGUGGUUUGAAAGACAUGUAAGUAUAUUCCUUAUUAUAAGGGAUUUAUUUCACAUUAUGUUUAUAUUGAAUCCAAACCUAUUAUUGAAUUGUAGGUUGAACAAUUACAUAAUGAAGGUCAUAUAUCUGAACACCUUCUCACAUUAUCAUGUGUUCCAAAUUCAUUAGUUACAUGCUUCAAAUGAUAUAUUGUCAAUGGAUUUAGAUCCCACAUUAAAGAACGUGAUAAAAAAGUUUUUAAAAAAAGACUCAGAAUAAUGGAAUUGUUGUAGUUGCAAAAACGUCAAGCUUUACAAGUGCAUGUGAUAUGAGUCCAAUUAUUAGUGAUGCUCUCUACUAUGGUGUUCUAACUAAAGUUGUUGAGUUACAUUAUCUUGGUGAAAAUAAGGUUGUUUUAUUCGAGUUUGAUUGGUGGGAUGUUACAAAUAUUGGAAAAUUGAUAAAAGAUGAUGAGUACAAUUACACAUUUGUUAACUUUGCAUGAAUUCUAACCACGAACGAACGAUUUGUACUUGCAUCUCCAGCAAAGUAAGUGUUCUAUGUGAAGAAUGCGAAUGAAUCAGAUUGGCAUACUAUCAUGGAGAUGCAACCUCAAGACCUCUAUAAGAUGAACGGGAUAGGAUCCAAUGGUGAUUUUGAACCAUUUCAACAAAGUGAACUACAUGAUCACUAAUAUAUCUCAGAUUUAGUUGAUGAAGAUAUAAUCAAGUGGAACAAAAGUGAUGUUUUAGGACUAAUCAUCCUAAAAAAUAUUGUAGUUUCUUAAAAAAAAAAUGAAAAUGAAGAAGAUAAUUGAACCUUUGUCAUACUUUAAAAAGCAACUAUGCAUUGUUCAUUUUGUAUGUUUUGGUUUUCUUCAUUUAAUUUCCUGAUUUUUGUGAUUCAAUGUCAUAUUAUUGAUCUUGAAAUAUUUUUCUAAUUUUUCAUUCUACGAUGGUUUCAACAAGGAUGACAUCAAGUCAAAAAAGGAAAUGUGGUCCCACACACAAUAUUGCAUUACAGGGAUUAAGGUCAGGGAAGAAGGUAAAAGUUGCAUUUAAUGAGUACAAUCAAUUGGUUAAACAGAAAAAUGGAAAACACUUAUCGAGCUACAUAGGGACACUUGUAUCUAACCAACACAAUGUACCUCUCCAAGCUAGUGAUUGGAAAAAUGUUCCAAAUGAUGCAAAAGAGAAAGUAUGGCCUUUGUUUUGGUAUGUUGUAUUUCUCACUAUAUGAUGUCAUUUCACUGUUAUUCUAUUUUGUGACUAACGUUUGAAUCAUAUGUAAGAAAAAUUUGAAGUAGAUAAAGACUGAAAAGAUUACAUGUUGGGUAUAGCCUCAAAUAAAUAUAGAAGCUAUAAAAAUAUGAUGAAUGCAAAAUACUAUGACCCUUGGCAUAAGGAUGCAUGAGGAGAGGUUAAUACAUAAAUCACCAUUUGUCUCUGAUGUUGAUUGGAAGUGGCUUGUCUCUGAUGCAUAAACCAAAUCCCCCACUGAAUGUUUGAUAUUUGAUAGCAGGAAAAACACACCCGCAGCUAUACACCUCCAUCAUUCAGAUAAUUAUAGUGGGGGAGAUGAUUCAUGGUUGCCCUUAUACCCUUUAUUUGCACCAUCUAUUGAGAUUCUUUAUCAUGGCCAGGUUUUACUGCAGCAAUAAGAUAUGGUGGCAACAAUUUUAUCUAUAGGUGCGGUUCCAGACCGCCUCCAUAGGUGCGGUUCCUGACUGCCUCCAUAGGUGCCUCUUCUUGUAAUGUUUGUUCUGGGAAUUACACUUGAAAGCCUUAUCGUGAUAAGGGAUUACAAACACUAGUUCAGAGGACAGCCAUGUUAAACUUCCACUAUGUUUGUGUCACAUUAUCAGCAGCCUAGUGUUUAUUGGUCAUGCUAUCUGCAACUAAUAUAACCCGGUGAACUUCAAUCUAAAUUCUGAAAGUACUCAUGUGACAGAUGGUGCCUUUCAGCAGAUAUCAUCAAUUUAAAAGUAGUGUGUGUGCCUAUAGGUGGGAAGGCCUUGGCAAAUGUUCAGUAUUCCGGUAAUUCAAGAAGGAUAUAUCUAAAAUAGAUUUUCUUCUUGCCCAUUUCAAUAGUUAAAAUUUGAGAAGAUUGUGUCCACAUCACACAAAUAUUAUUGGUCCUUCUGUUGCAAUUUACCUCUGAACAUGUCUUCCAAUUCCCACGGUCCUGUUACUCCAGGAAAACUAUUUCGGUCAUAUUGAAAAAAAAAAUAUUAAAGAAGGUACACAUGCUUUUAAGUGGACUGGGGCAUUCAUAUCAGGUGGUCUGUAUCCACAUAUGCCACUUCGUGAAAGGUGGAACAGCCUAAUCACUAGGCUAUUUAGUGUGGCCCAGCCACGUUAAUCAAGCACAAGUCUUCAUACUUAAAGUCAAAUGGUGUCUUUAGUCUCAUUACACAUCGCUAUUUGAAGAUUAACUCAUCACUAGUGUAAUGCGAUUAAGACAGUCCUAACUCAAUAUUUGUUCUAGUUUUGGAUGCAAAUGCUUGCUGGUUUCAUCAUUGGAUGGGAUAAAGGUGCAAUCAGGACUAUGAAUACGUGCAGUAAUACUUCAUUCUCUUUUUUCUCAAUGAGACUUCUUGGCACAAUUUUGCUGCUCAGCAACCUACCUUUCCAUGGAAAAUCAGUUGUGACUGAUAGUAAUGGAUAUAUUCUAGAAAGCUAAACAUAGAUAGCAUUCAAUAUUAUCGAUAUAACAUUAACAGCGUAUGUCUCAAUGCUCAUCAGCUACAAGCAAUGGACAAACACUUUGAGUAACUCACAGCAGUCAAAAUUCCUAAACAGGACAGACGUGACAGAUCUAUAUAUAGAACACUGCAUAUGAGUCACAGGAAAAGAUAAUACGGGUACAUAGAAGCUCUUAUUUUACAUAUUACUCAUACUGAUCAAAGUCGCUCAGUUGGGAUGGAUGGGAGAAGGAGGUUUGAGGGGUGGCUUGUGCGGGGAAGUUGGCAGCUUCUUUCCGGGAGCUGGUUGCUUCUUUGCUGGAGUUGAAGGAGGCUUAAUCUUCCGAGGUGGCUUGUAUGAGUCUUCAGCAUUCUCAGCAGGAGGGUGACCAGGGUUGUGACCAUAAUGUGGUGGCUUCUCUCCCUUAGGUGGUUUGCCAACUGGGGUUGGUGGCUUGUUUUCUGGGAGUGGCUUCUCUCCCUUGGGUGGUUUGCCAACUGGGGUUGGUGGCUUGUGUUCUGGGAGUGGCUUCUCCCCCUUGGGAGGUUUUUCGAAUGGGGUGGGUUUGUGUCCUGGUGGUGGCUUCUCUCCCUUGGGAGGUUUACCAAUUGGGGUCGGUGGCUUGUGUUCUGGGAGGGGCUUCUCUCCCUGGGGAGGUUUAGUGGGUGGCUUGUGUUCUGGAGGUGGCUUCUCCACCGGAGGCUUAUGCUCUGGUGGUGGCUUCUCGAAGGGGGGAUGCUCAGGGUAAUCACCAAGUGAGGGGGUGGUGAGAACCACCAUGCCAAGCAACAACACUAGCAAGUAUGUAGUAGACAUCUUUGGGUUUGGACUCAGACAGUGCAAAACUACGAGAAAUCGCUAGCCCUUUAUAGCGGCUCGGACCUAAUACUGACAUAAUAUAAAAUAAAUAUUAUAUUUUAUCAAGAGAGAACAGAGUGUAAUUUUAUCAUUAAUACCGAUCGAGGCCAAAGAAAGAAGACCCAUAAUCCAUUUCCCACAAGCAUACACAAUGCAGCUGUAAUUUUAUCAUUUACUUUUAUCCCUUGGACCACUGCAUUUUUGUUGAGAGACACAAUAACACAUUUUUAUCUGUCAUUCAACAUUUACAGUAAAGAGAGGGCACAAAACGCAAUUAGAUAAAUUAUGUUUUGCCUGCUAAAAAGAGGCAAAUAACUUUAUUUGCAACAUAAUUAUUUUGGUUUCUAGUGACCCCGGGGCCUUUCGGUUGGUUUGGGAUCGGAAAAUGAACAUCAUAGGGGGGGUUGUGCCCUUAUGGGCAUAUAUAUCUGAUAGCUUCAACUGGCCUUGUUCCUAGAAAGAAAUUGCCAAAGAUAUAAACUUAUUCCAGGCUGAAAGUAGAUGAGAGUCAUAAUGAACAUCAACCUUUGUUCAGUUUGAUUCAAUGCCCCCAUAGUGUUCAUUUCACAGAUCUGAAUGAUUAUAUCCGUUGAAUACAUAAAUUAAUGAAGACAAAUAUGAAACCCAAGAUACAUCUCUGCAUAACAACCCCAACCCUGGUUGCUAUGUUUCCCUUCUUCUAUUCACAUGAGGAUACUGGUUAUAAUUGUCAAACUUGCAACAAGCCCUUUGACACCUAACGUCAAUGGACGAAUUAAAAGUCUCCUUCAAACGUCUAUUUCACAGCAUGAAGCUUAUAAAGGAUGCUGACAACCUUCAGAGUUAGCGACAAAAGAUAAUUAUCAAGGAGAGAUAGUUCCAUGAGAAUUCCAAGGAGUCUGAAUCAAAGACAAAUUGCUCACUCAAGGGUUCUUAUUUUCUUUUAGGUACAAAUCUCUUGAGUGUUGUUAAAGAAACACGUCACUGUCAUUUUGAUUUGCAUUUAACAUUUCACUUUUGUUCUGGAAGGUUUGUUCCGGAAACAUAUCAAAUGAGCAUCAUUUUCUUCUUCGGUGACACAUGGUCGCGAGUACGUGGGUCCAUUUUCAUGCCACUUAGUUGAAAAGUUGGAAAGAAAAAACAUGCCAACAAGAAGAUAGUGAGAGAAGGGGCACUUCAAGCCUUUAACAUGAACAAACAGUAAAUAAAAGAUGUUUCUCCACUCAUAAAAGUGUGUUAGAUAGCAAUAUAACGAAUCACAUCCAAAAUCUUUACUAGGCUCAAACAUAAAGAAGACUCAUUUUUAAGAAAAGAUAAAAAUGGCAUUGUCUGAUAGUAUCCAAUACACGAGAUGGCACUUAAUUUGUACAAGAUCUGUCAAUGCUGACGCACAUUUUCUGAUUAAAAAAAAACUGAUCAGUCAAAAGCAAUGAAGAGAAGUGAUGACAAUGAAUGAUGCUUCCAAUAUUUUCACCCCUUAUAGUGUUCUUCAUGAUUCAGAUAUAUAAUUGGAAAUAGAACAACCCUAUGCCAUACAUUCGUCUAAGUAUGGUGUCUAAUUUUUUGUGUCAGCGGUUGCGAAUGGAGCGUGCAAAAGUCCAAAUUGGCGUCUCUCCAUUUCCACAUAGGAAGGUGACCUUUAUUGACAAAUACCCAAUAUUUGUAGACAUUCCUUAAAUAUCAUAACUUCUUGUUGAUUUGAAAAUCAUUUUUCAACUACCAUGUUUUAAUAAAUAUUUUUUAAAAUGUAUUUUUAUCAAAGUCCACCAUGAUGGAUAAUAUUCACCAUGCAAUAAUUAAUAAAGUACAAACUAAGCGAAAUGAAAAGCAUUUUCUUUGCUUUGAGUUGAUUUUGGUUGCAUUGAGUUGAUUUUGGUUUCAUGGUUUUUUCAACUCUUAUUUUGAUUGGAAGAUGUCAAGAAAAGAAAACAUAAAGAAAAAUUAAAAGGGAAAAAAGAAGAAAAAUAAAAAAAAAUAGAUUUAAAAGUUAAUAAAUUAUUUUUUAUAUUUAUUUUAAUUCAUUUCACUUAUUUUUCUUUUACUAUAUAAAAUUUAAAUAAUUUAAAUUUUAUAAUUAAUUUAAUUACAUUUCAUUUUCUUCUAUAUUUAAAUAUUGGAAAAAUAUUUUACUUAAUAUUUUUUUCUUUAAUUUCUUUGGCAUUUUGGGAACCAAACUUAGCCUUUAAAAUAAAAAACAAAAAAAAAAUGAAAAUAAGGAGGGAAAAGUGAGAAAAGAUAAAAACAAUAUGUAAAGGAUUUGAAAAGUAUUAGUUUGUAAUUACUAUUUGGAUUUCAAUAGUAUUUUAUUUGUCUUUCUAUAUUUCAUGUAAGAGAGAAUUUAAGAUAUUCCCCAAGGCAAAGCAUUAGUUACCUGCAAUCAGUGGUGAUAAGGCUCCAAGCCAAUUUUGGGCCCCAUAUCUUAAGACAGUACAAUUUCCAUUUCAACAUUUCUGAUUUCUCAGAUGUUUCACAUACCACAGAAGAACAUUGUUUGUGAAAAUAUGCAUUUAUGUUGGAUUUUGUAUGCUGUGGGGACUGGGGCAAGGAUCAUAUGGAAGAGUGGUUGACUUUUUCUGUACUUUAACGGUUGAAAUAGGAUAAGCACGGGCAUUUGUGAGGCUUAAUUGAUUUUGAAGCCUGAAAUUGCGUUUCUGUCAUUUUGUCAAAAAAAUGGCAGAUUCCAUACUCAUAUGUUUGGCCUGUGGCCAUGUACAGAUGCCAUUUAGUGACCAGUUUGUAACUGUCAAUCGUUGCGUUUUGACUCUGCCUCAACAACAUCUGCCAUUGACGGGUUUUCAUACUUGCAAAUCAAAUAGUCUUUCGUCCCAUCAGGAAUUUCGGUUUAAAUAUUAUUAAGCAUACGUUUGGCUGACAAUCAUUAUCCAGUUCAUGAUUUGGUUUCUUACCCUUAAUCAAUGGUUUCUAAGUGAAUAUAUGUAGAAGGAAAUCCGAAGUGUAGACAGUAGUAUCGAUAACUCUCAAUAUUCUCUAUAUAAUAGAAUAAACAGCGUCAUAGUGAUCGUCGCCUACAAGCAAGGUACAAAUACCAAAACGAGUGACUCACAUAGACAUCUCCCAACAAGAUGUAGUAGUGACUGACACAUGGACACAAUUAACUCGUAGAAAAGGAUAAGACCAUUGCACAGCAGCUCUUAUUUUACAUACUACUUAUGCUAACCAAAGUCAAUUAGUUGGGAUGGGUGGGAGAUGGAGGUUUGUGCGGUGGCUUGUGGGGCGGAGUUGAUGGCUUCUUUCCAGGAGCUUCUGGCUUUUUCAUCGGAGCUGAAGGAGGCUCAAUCUUAUGAGGCGGCUUGUAUGAGUCUUCUUUACUCUCGACAGGAGGGUGGCCAGGGUUGUGAUCAUAAUGUGGUGGCUUCUCUCCCUUAGGUGGCUUGCCAACUGGGGUUGGUGGCUUGUGUUCAGGAAGUGGUUUCUCUCCCAUGGGAGGUUUAGCAAUUGGGGUUGGUGGCUUGUGUUCUGGGAGUGGCUUCUCUCCCUUGGGAGGUUUAGUAGGUGACUUGUGUUCUGGAGGUGGCUUCUCCACCGGAGGCUUGUGCUCCGGUGGUGGCUUCUUGGUUGGAGGGGGCUUGGGGUAAUCAGCAAGAGAUGGGGUGGUGAGAACCACCAGUCCAAGGAACAACACUAGCAAGUAUGUGGGAGACAUUUUUGAGUUUGGGCUGAUCAGAUGAUGCAAAACUAAAGCAUUACGUGACCUUUUAUAGCAUGUAGCUCCCAAUACCCACUAAGUAUUGUGGGGUCCAUUUGUGCCCUACGGGGUUGAAAACUUAGACAAUUGGGCAAGGACCCACCUGACUAUGGAGGACUAGUGAGGUGUGAUCAUAGCUUUAGGAUUUUUCUUCCUCUGCAGCCGUCGUGCCGUUGGCAUGAUUUUCUUAAUCUUAAAUAAAGGCAUAGUUAUAGAGUUGUUUAAUCUCUAAAUGGGAUUUUAUAUAUAUCUUCAGAUAGCCAUUAAUAUAUUUGAUGAAGAAAGAAAGACAAGUGCAUACAACAUGUAUACGACUAGCUUUCAUGGAGUUCAUUUAUGAUCAGUUUUCCUGUACAUGUAAACCAGGAUCAUAUAUAUGUUUCUGUUCCACAACUAUUUUGGAAUCUUGUUUAUCAGUUUUUAUCAUUAUAAUGUCACAUAGGCUGCCAACUUGGGCGCUAAAAGAACCAGUUGGGCUAGUUCGUUUCAGAAUUUCAAUGUGGAUUCAGGAAUUGUUUUGUAAGAUAUGCGAAAUAGUAGAGGGAUGAAUAGUGUUUCAUUAAUAAAAGUGUCCUGUAAAUUAGAAGGUGUCAUAGAAACUAUAAUCAAUAAAUAACUUUUUUUCCCCACGGGUGGUGUUUCUUGUGGGGAUCAGUGACUGGUUUAGGUUCACCCAAAAUGAGUUCAGACUAAAAUUGGUUUGAGUCAAUGCCGUGUCUCUUUUUUCCAGAAAUCAACUAUUUUAUGCAUUGAAUAAAUCAUACAAAGAAAAUAUGAACGCCCGCAAAACCUAAACCCUGGUUGCUAACUUUCUAUGUUUCAGUUCUAUUCACGCAAGAAUAUUAGUUUAAGUUUGGGAAAAAUGGCAACUUACCUAGUGAUUACUUGGUUUUGGUUUGCGACUAUUUACGCAACCAACCAUGAGUUUGACUUUAACGUCAUGGGUUGAAGCCUCCUACAGGAAGGGAGAAAGCUCCACAGCUAGCUCCAAAAGAGAAUUAUCACAUUGAUAGCUCCAGAGAUUCCCAAGGGGACUGAAUCAAAGACAAGUUCCUCACUUUUUCUUCUUUUGAGGCCAAAUAUGAACCAAGGAUCACACAACCUCAUUCAACUUCAUAAGUUUGAUUUCAUGCAGUUGAACACUGGGUGAAGGCCAUGACAAGAAUUGAUUCAAAAAUUCUAUCACUCUUUUAAGUAAUGGAAGAUUAUUAUCUCUGAUUGGCAUCACAACAGCACAUGCUCCUAGAUCUUUCUAGACACUCCAUGCAAUGAAAGCACAAUGGAUCUUGUAACGAUAGAAACUAAGCCAUGCUACAGUACUAGAUGAUGAGGUAAAACUAGUAGACACGGGUGGCAGCCUAUAUGGGAGGGACACAAGUCUAAUUGAUUUGCAUUUCAGCAUUAUAGAUAGGUAUGUUUUGGAAGAUUUGUUCUGGAAAUACCGCACCAAGUAGGAUUCUUUUUCUCUUUAGUGGGUCCACUUGCAUGCCAAUUAACGAGUUGAAAAGUAUGAGCACCUACCUCGUGCUCGUGGAACCGAAGGUCAGUGAAGUGGGGCUCCUUUUGGCCUCGUGUAAACUUGAUUCAGAAGUGAAGUUAAUAGUCUUCCAUUCAGAUGGAUACAUGGGAAUUUUUCUCUUUUAUUUAUUUAUUUAUUUUUUUUUUGUGUGUGUAUGUCAAAGGAUAAUGAAUGAAGCGCGUUAGCUUGUUUUCUGACUGGAACCGCAGAUGUCCAAAUUGGAGUUCCUUCAUUUCUUACUUAGGAUUGUUACAUGUAUAAACAAGGUAUAAGAAAUAUGCCAACGUGUCUUGAGGAGUUAUUGAUUAGAAAUAACAAGUCACCCGACUGUAGAGUUCCAAGAUUUGAAUCUUCAGACCCUAUAGCAGCCUCUGGGGUACGUGGCAUCCUAUAGCAUAUUAAUGAAGGCUUUUUCGAUUUAGACUUCACAAUACCAAUUAAUAUGUAUGCACAAAAUGGAGAUGACCCCAAAAAAAACAGAAUCGCCAUAGUUUAUGAGGUUAAGGUGAUUCUCCACUUAAUAUCUACAUUAGCUAAUUAUGUAAAUCAAAUGAACUUCUAUUUUUCCUUUUUUUUUUUGGUUUAUGUCAAAUAGUAGCCCAUAAUUAACCCAACCAUUAGCCUGUUUGAAUUGAUUUCACAUGCACAAUGUUGUAGUAGUUCAUAUUUUGAAUUUUAUUUUUACAAAGGUAGUUAAGGAAAAUGAAGUAUAAUAAUUAUAAAAGCAGACUAUAUACACUACAAUAAUUGUUAGAAUGGUAUCUCAAAUUCUAAUUUAAAAUAUUAUUUUUUGUAAAAGAAAUAUUAUAUAGAAUAUUUCCUAAUUUUAUAAAUGAUUAUAAUUAGAUCUUUAUAAAAUAAGGAAAGUUGGUAAGAAUAUCUUUAUAAAUAUUUUAGGUCAUGAGAGAAAGAAAUGGGAUAAAAAUGUGAUGAAGAGGUGAAAUAAGAGAGUUGAUUAGGAUAUAGAUGUGAAGAAGAAAGGGAUUCAAUAUAUAUAUAUCUUUCAAUUACCACAUUAAAACCCUGUGAACCUUUUAUAUGGUUUACUUUAUUUUUAUAUUCCUCCUUUAAUAUAUUUACAUUAAUGCUUCCAUUGGCACAACAAUAACGAAUUACAAAUACAAGCAACAAGUCCCAUGUUUUAUUACCAAAAGCAGGUAAAAUCCACCUAAUAUAUUACAAUAUAUUCAUCCAAUAUUUUAGACCAAUUCUUCACCAUAAAUAUCAUAAUGUGGCUUUUGUUCUUUCUUAAAUUUAAAUUGAAUUGUCUUAUAUCAAUUUGUUUGUGAUUUUUUCAUUAACUUCACUUUCAUUUGGUUAUCUUUGGUUUUUGAAAAGUAUUAAGGAAUUAAUUAACAAAAUAAUGUUAAGAAAAAUAAUUUUCUCUCUUUUGAUUUUGAUUUUGUAGUAGAAAAAUAUAAUUAAAAUUAUUUAAAAAGUAUGUAAUUUUAAAUUAUUUAAUAUUUAGAUAAAAAAAAUAAGUCUAAUGAGUUUAAAAUAACAUAUAAAAAUAAUUUAUUUAUUUUAAAUUUAUUUUUUAUUUUCCAUUAUGUUCUCUUUCUCUUUUACUUUUUCAUAUUUUUUCUUACGAAGAAUCAAACACAACCUCAUAUUAUAUGUCAAGUGUUUGUCUAUAUUUGAGCAAUGUUAGAUACGGCCAUGGAUUCAUCAAACUAAACUGAUUUUAAUAGAUACUUCACAAAUUGAUUUAUACACUAAAUCAUUGGAUAGCAAUGAUGCAUUGGAAUUAAACGUAGGAUGAAGCUCGAAGAACACUGUUUGUGUAACAACAUAUUUAUGAAAUUAUGCAAAGGAUGAGCUUCGGGGUAGUAGUACAAGGUCAUUAAUGGAGAGCCGUGUUAAACCUUGAUUGUGAUUGGAUUCCGUUAUCAGCAACAGCAACCUUGUUUGUAACCUUGAAAGUCAUUCUGUCCACAUCGAAACUCCAAUUUGACGUUUGUAAUUACCAUUCCUGGAGUGUUCCUUGAUUGAAAUUUAAAUAAUAAUUGCGGCCCACAAGGAAUAUUUUCGAUUCUGUGGGAAUUUGACAAGGUUUGUUAGAGAAGACUGGUGACAUGUUGACUUCAAUGGUUCAAAUAGGAGACGUAUGUGGAUUUGGGGGGUUUAAUUGAAACUGAGUCCCUAUGGCUUUUUAAUAUUUGCAUUGAGCAGUCUCCAUGUGACUUCCUAAUUCCCACCAACCCUCCUGUCCAUGCUGUGAAACUAAAUUGUAAUUUAUCAGCCUUUGUCAAUGGUUUCUAAAUUAAAGAUAUAGACCAUGCAUGUACUUUAAUAAAAGCAAAUCUAAAGUGUAGAUAGCAGCAAUGGUGACACCCAAUAUUCUCCAUAAAAUAGAAUUAGAAUAAGCAGUGUUACAUUGUUCAUGAUCACCUACAAGCAUACAAGAACUUCCAUGAAUAACUCAUAGCAAUUGCCAACAGGGCGUCGUAGAGACUCAUACAUAGAACACUAUCCACCCAGAGGAAAGGACAAGACCAGUGCGCUGCAGCUCUUAUUUUUCACAUGUAUACCACCACUCGUAAUAACCAAAUUCACUCAGUUGGGAUAGGUGGGAGAUGGUGGUUUGUGGGGUGGCUUGUGGGGAGGAGUUGGAGGAGGCUUUAUUUUCUGAGGCGGCUUGUAUGAGUGUGCAGGAGGAUGCCCGGGAGUGUGACCAUAAUGUGGUGGCUUCUCUCCCGUAGGUGGUUUGCCAAAUGGGCUUGGUGGCUUCUCUCCCUUAGGAGGUUUACCAAUUGGGGUUGGUGGCUUGUGUUCUGGGAGUGGUUUCUCUCCCUUGGUAGGUUUGCCAAUUGGGGUUGGCGGCUUAUGUUCUGGGAGUGGCUUCUCUCCCUUGGGAGGUUUGCUAAUUGGGGUUGGCGGCUUAUGUUCUGGGGGCGGCUUCUCUCCCUUGGGAGGUUUGCCAAUUGGAGUUGGCGGCUUAUGUUCUGGGAGUGGCUUUUCUCCCUUGGGAGGCUUGCCAAUUGGGGUUGGCGGCUUAUGUUCUGGGGGUGGCUUCUCUCCUUUAGGAGGUUUGCCAAUUGGAGUCGGCGGCUUAUGUUCUGGAAGUGGCUUUUUUCCCUUGGGAGGUUUGCCAAUUGGGGUUGGCGGCUUAUGUUCUGGGGGUGGCUUCUCUCCCUUGGGAGGUUUGCCAAUUGGAGUCGGCGGCUUAUGUUCUGGGAGUGGCUUCUCUCCCUUGGGAGGUUUUGUUGGUGGCUUGUGUUCUGGAGAUGGCUUCUCCCCUGGAGGCUUGUGCUCCGGAGGUGGCUUCUGAAAUGGCGGGGGCUUGGGGUAAUGAGCAAGAGAUGGAGUACUG
rnacentral:lncRNA from 1 species